rnacentral:lncRNA from 1 species
GAGAUUUGAAAAUGACGCAGGAACUGAACCAUUUAAUCUAUUAAAAGCAAAAUCUAGGUACUCUAGUUUGCUAAAGUUGCCUAGCCAAGAUGGGAUUGGACCGGUUAAUCGACUUGUACUAAUCCUAAAAGUAGCCAGUUGGGUAAGGUUUGCCAAGGAAUCCGGAAUUAGACCUCCAAAUUUAUUGGCUGAAAUGUCUAGAUAAGUGAGCUGCCUAAGAUUCCCAAGAAAAGAUGGAAUCAAGGUUUUGAAUUGAAGAGGGUAUUGUUCCAAAAAAGCCAGUAAAGCCGACUUUCAGUAAGAUGAGAGGACUUCUUUGAUUAAAUUCAGGAAAAUAUCCAGUCAGAUCUUGGUUGUAUCUCACACUAAGAGAUUCUAGGUUUGGCAGUUGGAAAAUUCUCACUGGAAAUUCACCAAACAGGUGACAGUCCCUGAGGUAGAGGGUUGUCAAAGAUGAUAAAUUAGCCAUGGAAUGAGGAAUUGCCGAAGAUACAUUUACAAAACUGAGAGAAAGUACUUCGAGACUGGUUAAGUUUUGAACUAGGCUUCCAAGAUCUGAUGCUUCAAGUUUCAACAAGGGAUAAUUCCUCUCUUCUGACGACUGAUGAUCCUUAUCUUCUGACAAUCUAUCGAGAUUGAGAGAUAGAUCAAGGUAUGUCAACUUGGAUAACAGUGAAAGUUCAGAAGGGACUUGACCAGAAAAGACAGAGGUAGAGAGGUCAAGAUGAGUAAGGCUUGGAAAAUUCCUAAUGCUAGUAGGAAUUUGAGAGUAAUUGAAGUUAUUGUCAGAGAGGUUUAACCUUUGAAGAUGAACAAGGCGGAAGAGGCUGCUGUUGCUGUUGAUAGAGCCGUGGAGACAGCUGCUACCAAGAUCUAGGCCAAUCACAUGACCCGUCUUCUCGUCACACUUGACACCUUCCCAUGAGCAGGUGCUAUUUCCUCCUUCAGCUGGUUUCCAUGAUGAAACCUUUGGAUAAGCAUCGGGAGAUCUAGAAGCAGAUUUGUCAAUAGUAAAGCUGUCUCUGAAUUGCAGCAGGGCGGACUUCUCCUCAUCAGGGCAAGAUGGAUACUGCUUCUGCGAAGAGUAGGAAGAGUAGGAAGAGUUAGCAAUAACCACAUGAUGAAACAGCAACAAAACUAGUACUGGUUUUGAAAUGCGAAUGGUGGAGAUAUCAAGAAACCCCAUGACGACAAUAUUUUGAUUUUUUUUUUUUUUCGUUUUGCACUCUUAGCUAUGUAUGGAGUGGAAAGUGACACAACUAUUUAUAGACUGGCAUCAGCAUAAAAUUCUUCCGCAAAUUAAUCUCUAAAAAGUGAUGGAGAUGGGUGUAAUGGGGACAAGUGCAUCGUAUCUUCUACAUGUGUAAAAGAUGCUCUUGACCAAUUUAUUCGUGAGUUAAUUUUUGAAGUCAAGUCUUCCAACUUUUGAGAUGGUGUGAAAUUAGAAGUUAGACAAAUGAGCAGCACCAUAAAAGAAAAAAAAAAUAUUUGCAUACACACAUAUAGUUUAUCGCAUGAGUUCCUCCUGUAAGGGUUUAUGGUAUUUGUAUUGACACUCUUGUAAGGUUUUAUCAUAUUUGUAUGCCCAAUUGCAAGACUUAUCAACUUUGUAUUUGGGUACUUCUAAAUGUGUUGGACCUUCAUGCUUGAAAUCUUCAUUAAAAUAUGUGUAAUUUGUAUUGGAAUACAAAAUUAAACAAAAAAAAAAUGUUAACAGGUGACUCAUGAGCUUAAUAGGUUGAGUUUGAGUGACUCAUUAGCUUAACGAGUCGAGUGUGGGUCACUCGUUAGCUUAAAUGUUCAGGUGAAACCCGACUCAAACCCAAUAAACCUAACUUGUUUAUAGGUUACCAGCAGAUAGUAAGGGGGAUGAAAGUUUCGAACUCUCAACAACAAAUUAAGACAUUAGAGUCAUUAAAUUCAAUUCCUGCAUUGGCUUGAAGUGGGAUGGAUUUGAAGCCAGAACUUUUCAUUCGAUAUCCAAUUUCUUCAUCAUUAGGACUUUCAAACUCCUAGCAUAUAUUAAGUCAAGAGUGCAGGUGUAACGAAAUUUUUCAUGUUGGAUUUGGUCUAUGUUGCAUUUUUCAAACCGCAAGCCCUUUUUUCAUCAGAAAAGAAAUAUCUCAUUAACUCAAGAGAAAGCAAGGAAGAGAGAUACUUCCACUUGGAGUUGAAGCCCCAAGCCCCAACCAUAGGAAAACUGCAGAAAAACGUAUUUGGCUCAAUUCUAAUUUUCAUUCAUUCUCAAAUGUACAAUAUAUAUUAAAUACAAAUAUAUAGAUUAUUUACAAAUGCACGCCAUUUGCUCUUGCGUGGUGCUAUCCACCCACCCAUUUUACCUGUCACACACCACUCCCAAUUUUCGGACGUCGGGUCAUGUGAAUGGUAGAAGAUCAAUGUACAAAAAUUAACAAGUGUGUGUAUGAAGUAAAAUGGGGUGUGUGAAUAGCAUUAGGAGAAAUUAGAUUCACAUCCUUCAUUUUCCUACUCCAUUGAUUAAAACCUUAUUCCUUUUCAAUUUUUGAUCAACGUCGUUGGAUAUUAAUAAUAUCAUUUAUUAUUUCAAUAAUAAUUUUUUUUAAAUAUAUUCCUUUAGUGUUAAAAAUGUUACAAUUAGUAUAUUUAUAUUUAUGGCUAAAUUUUUUAUCAUAUAUUUUUAUUUUUAGUUUGUAACCAUUUUUAAUUUGCAAACCUUUUUUAAUUUGUACCAAUUUUCUUUUCAGUUUUAAUUUGUACCCAUAUAUUAAUUUCUUUUUGUGCCCAUAUUUUUUAAAGUUUUAUUUGUAUUUGUGUCCAUGUAUUUACCGUCACGUGACAUUGUAUAAUUAAUCAAUAAUAGAAAAAUUACAUAUGAUAUAUUUAUGUUUUAUGGCUAAACUUUGUAUCAUAUAUUUAUAUUUUUAGUUUGUACCCACUUUUAAUUUGCAACCUUUUUUUUAAAUUUAUUGUAUUUUCUUUUUAGUUUUAAUUUGUACCCAUGUAUUUUUUUUUUGCACCCAUAUUUCUAAAAAUUUCAUUUGUACACAUAAUUUUUUUUAAUUUUUUAUCUGUACCCUAGAGGUCGCACUUGGUGCGAUGGCAAGUGCCUUCGCCCAUGAGCGGUAGGUCUCGGGUUCGAGACUUGGGAGCAGCCUCUCCAUAAAUGGGGACCCUGCGUAAAGCAGGAGCUUUGUGCACUGGGUACGACAUUUUUUUUUUAUCUGUUGUCACAGCCCGUCCCGGGAUUUUAUUCAUCGAGGACGUGAAAAGACGGAUUUACCCUUAGCGGGUAUUAAGGUAUGUGUGUGUAUGAUAUAUUAUUUGGACUAAAUAUACAUUCCUAAACUUUUGGAGGAAAUAAUUUAAGUUGGAUUAAAUUGGAUUGUAUUUUGUGUGGUUAGGGAUUAAAAUUAGUAUGUAUGGUUUUGGUUGGACCACACACCCAUUCAACCCUUCUCUCUCUCUUCCCCGUGCUUCUCUCUCUCUUCCUCUCCGUUCAGUCUCUCUCCCUCACUCUCGAACGUACGGACAAGCUAGGAACCUCCCAUUUCUUCACGGAUCGAAGGUUCUAAGGUAAGAUUUGAACACCUAGUAAGCUUGUGAGUUAGUAUAUGUGAUUUUUGGAACUUAAAACCCUCAGAAUCAUCGUGAAACCAUAACCCCGAAAAUGUGCACUGUUCAUGCACACGUAAAAUCUUGCAUUUCAGGCAAUUUCAAGCUCACAUUGAGCUUAAGGAGAUCCUCACGAGCUUCGGGGUACUUCGUUGGUAGAAUUUGGACGUCGGAGGAUCAAGAUCGGAGUUUUUCAAAAUUGGCCGGAUUAUCGUGCUUCCUCAGGUAAAAUCUAGUGGAUUUUGGACCUUGAAACUAGUCUAUUGUGAUUCUACAUGUUGAGGGCUUCAAAUUGAUAUAUUAUACGAAGAAAAUGGUUGAGAAACGAAGGAGAACGAAGCAUUUGAAAAUUCUCCGGUUUCGGCCACCGGAAAAACCAGUCCGGCGAGCUCGCGAGGAAGAAGGUGCGCAUGGGCGCGCGUGGACCCGUGCCUUCCCUGGCGCGUGGGGGCGCGUGCCACAUCAAAAAAUUAUUUUAAAAAUUUGUCGACGUCCGUGACGUCGAGUAGGUCAAUGUGGUAUAUUCAUAUACCCAAAUUGAGCACCGUAUGAGAAGUUAUUAAGAAUUGUUGGUUAGGUGCUUUAAAUAACGUUUUAUAGUUUUUGCAUUUAGGUGAAAAUAUGAAUUGACGAUCCGACCGUUGGAUCGUCACCAACUUUGAUGCGUUGUAAUACGUAAUAUUUGAGGAUUAUAGGAAUUUACGGAUUGAGAAUCCGUUUGCGGAUCUUCCGGAAUUGGAGUUGUAAGUCUAUAAUAUAGAAUGUUAACCGUCACUUGGUUUUGUUAAUUGACGGAGAUCUGACCGUUGGAUGGUAAGGAAAUUUUAGGAUGUUGUCCUAGAGAUAUAUUGUGGACCUCUAGAAGUUAUGGAUUUAAAAUCUGAGUGGCAGAUCUUCCGGAUCGAACUGCGUAGUGACGUAUUUUAUAUAAGUUAUAUAUUCUAUCGAUAUGAAUUCUGAGGUUGGAUUUGAUUAUUGUUUUAGGCGCCGAUUGUCAUGACGCCUUGGCGUAUUGUGCUAGGGAGUUGUAGGGCGAACUCCAGGUGAGUGGGCAGUUUUGAUUUCGUAUUACCUAUAUACAACUGUUUUUCCUAGAAAAUUCGUUUUUAUGAAAACUAUGAAUUAAAUUGCCAUGCAUGCAAUUGUUGAGAUAUCUAGUUUGAUAAUUGAUACUUAUAUAUGUGAAUUGACGCGUUGGACGCACAUGUGAGUUUUAUUAUUAUUCAGAUGAGUUAUUUUAUAUGUAUUGCAUUGAAAGCUCAUAACCUGCACCUAGGUGUUAGUGCUUAUAUUGUUAUUCACCACACCGCACGCUCGUCUUGGAUCCAAGUAGGUGGAUGUCGUACAGACCAUGUGAGGGUUCCGACAUGCUAGUCGUACAGAUCACUAGAUGUGAUUCCGACUAGUGGGUGACCUUAGUUAUGCGCGCUGAUGAUUGAUGAGAGAAGCACUAGAGCGUAAUUGUACACCUGUCAUCGUACAGACUACUAUAGGUAGUUCCGAGUGACGUGCAGAGUUAGGCCGUACAGGUCACUGUGGUGACUCCGGCUGAGUGGGAUGUUGAGCUUAGAAUCAGCCGUACAGGACCAUUGUAGGGUCUCCGGUUGAUUUAUUAUUUCACCUGAUUGAUAUUGAUGCAUUCUGAUUAUAAUUUGGGCAUGGCAUAUCAUUUCUGAGAUGUUAUGAUGAUGGAUAUAUGCUGAGUUAUGAUGUUGCGUAUAUAUAUAUAUAUAUAUAUAUGUUUAUAUACUAUUUUCUGGGAAAAUAUAUAUAUAUGUUUAUAUACUAUUUUCUGGGAAAGUAUACAGGUUUUACGGAGAGGGGUUAGAAAUGUUUUAAAUGAAAUGUUUUCAAAAAACUUUGUUUUACUGACCCACUCAAUUUUGUUUUGCGCCCCUCCAGGUUCUAGAUAGCAGAGCUUUGGUGGCCACGAGGAAUCCAACGGUGUUUUGACAGAAUUCACAAAAGUAGGACUCACCCUCGGGUGUUUCAUCUUAGUAAUUGUAUUUUUUUUAAGCUUCCGAACUGUGUAAAUGGUUACGUCACUCUCACGUGACGGCCAUCAUGCCCUCCUUCGGGAUGGGGUGUGUCAGUUGGUAUCAGAGCCUAGGUUGCAAUUCUGGACAUCUUGAGAAAUUCCUAGUGUCUUCUGUCAGAACGAUACCGCCUCGUAGCGAGCCACGUAGUUCGGAUGAACCUAAUUUCCCUGAUAUAGUAGUUUGGGGGGAAAUUAUUGCCAUUAUGAUUCAGUCUAUUAUCUAAAGGAACCUUUGAGACUGGUUAUAAGUUGAAUUUGAAUCCCUUUAGGGAUAUGAAGGACCUAAGGGAGCAGAUUGAUGGCUUAAUCAUUUGGGAAAAGGCGUUUCGGAUUAUGCAAAGUCAAGGGAAUAUUCCUCUCGACAGGUGGGUCGAGAUGACUACCUAGUUUUUUAGUGUUGAAUCUGCAUUCUGAUGGAGAUAGGAAUGUUAUCCGAUGAUAUCGGAAGGACAGCUGUUUGGAAGUUGUUUAAAGAAUUGUUUAGAAAAAGUUCAUUCCUCCGGCAUAUUGUGAUGGUAGUAAGCAAGAAUUUGCAAAUGUGAGACAAGGAAAAUGACGACGGAUGAAUAUUAUAGAAAGUUUACAGACUUGCCUUGUUUCCAUUCGGAUGUUGUUGUUAAUCCGGUCGUGGUGUUAUGUCGUGUUUGGCUGGAUAAUAAGAAGAAGUGGCGUUCUUUGGCGACCACUAUCCAAUGUACUAUUUACCAAGAAUUUACGAGAUGUUGUUGAGAAUUGAGGACUCUGAGAGCAUGAUCAGCGAGAGUAAAGAAGAAUAAGAAAAGAAUGGUAAUUAGAGGAAAUACGAUAAAGUUAAAGAUCCGUCAUAUCAAGGACAUCGAAAGACUCAGAGCUUCAAAAGAAGUGAAGUUAGAACUAAUUCUUCCAGCUUAGGUUUUAAUGCCACUGGUCAGAGGCGAAGUGAUAGAUUUACUGGUGAUCCCAGAUCUUAAAGACAAGGUGACUCGAGUAAGGGAAAUGUACCUUUGUGCCAUAGGUACAAUAUUAGACACUUUGGAGAGUGUGGGAAUCAGUGAAUGUGUUCAUGUGGACAGAUGGGACAUAGAGUUAUGAAUGGUCCCUAUAAUCAGUUGUUACCCAGCAGUCUUCCCUGACACCACAAUAUCGAUCCAGCAGGUUUAUGGACUUAAUAGUUUGGUCAGAUGGGUCAUGGGUACAGGGAUAUUUGAUGAGUUAUAAGUCCAGCCGUACAGGCCACAAGAGGUGGAUCCGAUAGACAUAUUAUUUGGAAAAUUGAUGAGUAAGUCGUAUAGGUCACUAUAGUUGACUCCGACUUAUGUGCUAGCAUGGAUAGUUAAGCUAGAGAAUCAGUCGUACAGGUCAUUCUAGCUGACUCCGGCUGAUAUAUUUCUUAUUAUGGACGAUGUUGCCAAAGAGAGUAAUGUUGGAGCACGAUCGAGGCGUAUUUAUGUAUUUCUAAGGAAGAACAAGAUGAUAAUAUUACACCUUUAGGAAUUGUUACUUACUUAUCGAGACAACAGUGAGUUAUUUGUAUUGCGGGCUGCAGACCAUAAUAUUUAUAACUUAUUUGUUGGAUUCGUUAAGCAAGUAAACAGGUAGGGCACUCUAUGUUGAUUUGGUUUAUUCAGGAUGCCUAAUGAUGGUGGAAGAUAUAGUUAUGCCAGUGAAUCUUAUUUCGUUGGACAUCGUGGAUUUGGAUGUGAAUUUAGGCACAUAUUAGUUGCGUUAUAAUCAUAACAAGAUAGAUUGCUACGGGAAACCCGUUACCUUCCACCAAUUUGGAUGACUAGAGGUUACUUUUGUGGGUAUGCAAAAUGGAUUGAGUUAGGCCGUUAUUUAUGCUGUGAGAGCAAAUAGAUUGUUAUCGAAAGGCUGCCAAGGAUACUUAGCUCAUAUGGUGAUAAAUGAUGUUGCUUCUAGUAGUUUGGGAGAUGUAAAGAUGGUUAGACAUUUUCUUGAUGUUUUCCCUGAGGAAUUACCUGGAUUGCCGUUAGGCGGAAUUAUGGAGUUCACUACUGAUUUGUCUCCAGGCACAAAAUUUAUGUUAAAGAUUGGUUCAUGAUGAGUUAAGGGAAUUGAAAAUUCGGUUACAGGAAUUGGUUGAUAAAGGUAUCAUUUAAAGUACAUCACGUGGGGGAGCACCAGUUUAUUGGUGAGGAAGAAAAUGGACAUUAAGCCUAUGUUUUAAUUAUAGGCAAUUGAAUCGGGUAAUGAUCAAGAACCGUUAUCCAUUGUUACGUAUUGAUGAUUUGUUGAUCAACUUAGAGGUCUGCGUAUUUCCUAAGAUUGACUUAAGGUCUGGUUGUUAUUGAUUGAAGAGUUAAUGAUAACGUUCCUAAGAUUGUGUUCAGGACUCGUUACGGUCAUUAUGAGUUUUAGUGAUGUUAUUCGGAUUGAUGGAUUCUCUUGCUGUUUUAUGAGUUUGAUGGAUGAAGUAUUCCAAGAAUGCAUUGACAAGUUUGUUAUUGUUUUCAUUGACGAUAUUCUGGUAUACUCUAAGCCUAGAGCAGAGCAUGUUAGAUAUUUUAAGUUGAUGUUACAAAGUUUGAGGGAACGUCGAUUGUAUGCUAAGUUUAGCAAAUGCCAAUGUUGGAUGAAUGAAGAAGCAUUUAUGAGAUAAGUUAUAUUUGCUAAAGGUAUUCAAGUGAAUUUUUAAAAGGUAGCGGAAAUUGAGAAUUUGGAACAACCACGAAUUGUGAUUGAGAUUCGAAGUUUUCUUAGUUUGGUAGGCUAUCGUGGACGGUUCGUGAAAGAUUUCCCAGUCAUUGCUUUGCCACUGACGAGAUUGACGAGAACAGAGGUUAAGUUUGAGUGGAUAAUAAUUGUGAGCAAGGGUUUCAAUAGUUGAAGUAUUUCCUCACUCAUACAAGUAUUUUAGCACUCCCAGAAGAUAGCGGUAAUUAUGAGGUCUUUAGUGAUGCUUCUUUUGGAUAAGUGUUAAUGCUGCAAGGUAGGGAGAUUGCCUAUGCUUCACGGCAAUUGAAACUUCAUGAAAUGAAUUACUCUACUCACAAUUUGGAGUUAGUAGCUAUCAUCUUUACUUGGAAGUUUGGAGACAUUACUUUUAUAGUGAAAAGUGUAAGAUUUUUACGAAUCAAAUGAGUCUCCAAUGUCUGCUUACUCGGGGGUAUUCUAAUCUUAGGCAACGAAGGUGGGUUGAGUUACUAAAUAAUUAUGAUUGCACGACCAGGGUGAUCGUGAAAUUGUUGCGACUGAUGCACUUGGUAGGAAGGCUCCAGUAAGAAUUAAUGCUUUGUAUGCUUGUUGUGUUUUCCCUUCUUGCGGAUUUAGGACCCUGGAGUGAAACUUAAGGUAAAAGUUGAGAAGAAGCUUUAUUGACUAAUUUUCAGGUUAGACCAAUUUUAGUUGAUUGUAUACUUGAUGCCCAGAAAUUUGACGAAGGAAUUCAAGAAUUAACCGAGGCAGAAUUGGAUGGUAUGUUUAUGCAAGAGAAUGGGACGUAUGUGCCAAAUUAUGUGGAAUUAAGAAAGCAAUUUUGACGAUGUACACUGUUAAGCUUUUUGGGUAUGUUGGUUACUUCUAAGUUUUGGAUAGCGUACAGGAAGCUUGGUUACCAAGUUACCUUAUAGUACAACUUAUCGCCCUCAAAUAGAUGGUUAAUCAGAGAGCACUAUCCAGACUUUGGAGGAUAUGCUGAGAUCUUCAGUAUUGCAGUUGGCGACACUUAGAUUAAGCGGUUGGAUUUGAAGGGAAUUGCCUACAUCUAUAGCGUUCGUUCGAGCAUGGGUAUGAGACCAUUUGAGGCACUUUUUGGUAAAGAUUGUAGUACACCUUUGUGUUGGACAGAAGUUGUCAAAAGAGUUCUUGCGGGCCCUGAGGUUAUGGAUGAGUCUACUUGGAAUGUUCGAGUGAUUAAUUUUAACUUGGAAAGCGGCCCAAGAUCGCCAGAAAAGUUUAACAUACAGACAUGCCACUGAUCGAGUGUACAAGGUAAGUGAUUGAGUAUUUAUGAAGUUAUCACCGUGGCGAGGUGUUGUUCGAUUUGGAAAGAAAGGUAAGUUGAGUCCUAGGUACACCGGACCUUAUCGGAUCACCGAGCGAGUCGGUGAAGAUGUUUACAGGCUUGAAUUGCCGUCAGAGCUGUCCAGUGUACAUAAUGUGUUUCACGUUUCGGUGCUUCGACAUUAUGUUACAAAUACGUCGCAUGUGAUCCCUCUGCAACCCUUAGAGUUUAACCCAGAUUUGUGUUAUGUGUUACGACGAGAGGGAGCCGGUGACGAUACUUGAUUGGAAAGGCAAGGUUCUAAGGAAUAAGACAGUGAGCUUGGUAAAAGUAUUGUGGAGGAACCACUCCGUGGAAGAAGCUACUUGGGAGACCGAAGAUCGGAUGAGAGAGAUGUACCCGAGGUUAUUUUAUGAGUAUUAAGUGGAUUGGUAGGUUGUAUGAAUUUCGAGGACGAAAUUCUAUAAGGGGGAAAGAUUGUCAUAGCCCGUCCCGGGAUUUUAUUCAUCGAGGACGUGAAAAGACAGAUUUACCCUUAGCGGGUAUUAAGGUAUGUGUGUGUAUGAUAUAUUAUUUGGACUAAAUAUACAUUCCUAAACUUUUGGAGGAAAUAAUUUAAGUUGGAUUAAAUUGGAUUGUAUUUUGUGUGGUUAGGGAUUAAAAUUAGUAUGUAUGGUUUUGGUUGGACCACACACCCAGUCAACCCUUCUCUCUCUCUUCCCCGUUGUUCUCUUCUCUCUUCUUCUCCUCUCUGUUCAGUCUCUCUCCCUCACUCUCGAACGUACGGACAAGCUAGGAACCUCCCAUUUCUUCACGGAUCGAAGGUUCUAAGGUAAGAUUUGAACUCCUAGUAAGCUUGUGAGUUAGUAUAUGUGAUUUUUGGAACUUAAAACCCUCAGAAUCAUUGUGAAACCAUAACCCCGAAAAUGUGCACUGUUCAUGCACACGUAAAAUCUUGCAUUGCAUUUCAGGGAAUUUCAAGCUCACAGUGAUGAGAUCUUAAGGAGCUUCGAGAGCUUCACGGGUUCGGGUACUUCGUUGGUAGAAUUUUGGACGUUGGAGGAGACCGAGAUCGGAGUUUUUCAAAAUUGGCCGGAUUAUCGUGCUUCCUCAGGUAAAAUCUAGUGGAUUUUGGACCUUGAAACUAGUCUAUUGUGAUUCUACAUGUUGAGGGCUUCAAAUUGAUACAUUAUACGAAGAAAAUGGUUGAGAAACGAAGGAGAACGAAGUAUUUGAAAAUUCCCUAGUUUUCCGGCCACCGGAAAAACCAGUCCGGCUAGCUCGCGAGGAAGAAGGUGCGCGUGGGCGCGCAUGGACCCGUGCCUUCCCUGGCGCGUGGGGGCGCGUGCCACAUCAAAAAAUUAUUUUAAAAAUUUGUCGACGUCCGUGACGUCGAGUAGGUCAAUGUGGUAUAUUCAUAUACCCAAAUUGAGCACCGUAUGAGAAGUUAUUAAGAAUUGUUGGUUAGGUGCUUUAAAUAACGUUUUAUAGUUUUCGCAUUUAGGUGAAAAUGUGAAUUGACGAUCUGACCGUUGGAUCGUCACCAAACUUUGAUGCGUUGUAAUACGUAAUAUUUGAGGAUUAUAGGAAUUUACGGAUUGAGAAUCCGAUUUGCGGAUCUUCCGGAAUUGGAGUUGUAAGUCCAUAAUAUAGAAUGUUAACCGUCACUUGGUUUUGUUAAUUGACGGAGAUCCGACCAUUGGAUGGUAAGGAAAUUUUAGGAUGUUAUCCUAGAGAUAUAUUGUGGACCUCUAGAAGUUAUGGAUUUAAAAUCUGAGUGGCAGAUCUUCCGGAUCGAACUGCGUAGUGACGUAUUUUAUAUAAGUUAUAUAUUCUAUCGAUAUGAAUUCUGAGGUUGGAUUUGAUUAUUGUUUUAGGCGCCGAUCGUCAUGACGCCUUGGCGUAUUGUGCUAGGGAGUUGUAGGGCGAACUCCAGGUGAGUGGGCAGUUUUGAUUUCGUAUUACCUAUAUACAACUGUUUUUCCCAGAAAAUGCGUUUUUAUGAAAACUAUGAAUUAAAUUGCCAUGCAUGCAAUUGUUGAGAUAUCUAGUUUGAUAAUUGAUACUUAUAUAUGUGAAUUGACGCGUUGGACGCACAUGUGAGUUUUAUUAUUAUUCAGAUGAGUUAUUUUAUAUGUAUUGCAUUGAAAGCUCAUAACCUGCACCUAGGUGUUAGUGCUUAUAUUGUUAUUCACCACACCGCACGCUCGUCUUGGAUCCAAGUAGGUGGAUGUCGUACAGACCAUGUGAGGGUUCCGACAUGCUAGUCGUACAGAUCACUAGAUGUGAUUCCGACUAGUGGGUGACCUUAGUUAUGCACGCUGAUGAUUGAUGAGAGAAGCACUAGAGCGUAAUUAUACACCUGUCAUCGUACAGACUACUAUAGGUAGUUCCGAGUGACGUGCAGAGUUAGGCCGUACAGGUCACUGUGGUGACUCCGGCUGAGUGGGAUGUUGAGCUUAGAAUCAGCCGUACAAGAUCAUUGUAGGGUCUCCGGUUGAUUUAUUAUUUCACCUGAUUGAUAUUGAUGCAUUCUGAUUAUAAUUUGGGCAUGGCAUAUCAUUUUUGAGAUGUUAUGAUGAUGGAUAUAUGCUGAGUUAUGAUGUUGCGUAUAUAUAUAUAUGUUUAUAUACUAUUUUCUGGGAAAGUAUACAGGUUUUACGGAGAGGGGUUAGAAAUGUUUUAUAUGAAAUGUUUUCGAAAAACUUUGUUUUACUGACCCACUCAAUUUUGUUUUGCGCCUCUCCAGGUUCUAGAUAGCAGAGCUUUGGUGGCCACGAGGAAUCCAACGGUGUUUUGACAGAAUUCACAAAAGUAGGACUCACCCUCGGGUGUUUCAUCUUAGUAAUUGUAUUUUUUUUAAGCUUCCGAACUGUGUAAAUGGUUACGUCACUCUCACGUGACGGCCGGCCAGCAUGCCCUCCUUCGGGACGGGGUGUGUCAUCUGUACCCUAAUUUAUUUAUACUGUACCCAUUCUUCUUUAUUAAUGUACCACUUUGUUAUAUGUGAAAUGUACCAAUUUGUUUUGUAAAAUGUACCAAUUUUUUUAACACUAUGGAUACAUUAAUUCUUUUGCCAUUUAUUAUUUGUUAUUGUUACAUAGUUUUUAUCCAUUUAUUUAUCAAAAUGUUUGAACUUUUUCAUUGUAGCCAUUUCUAAUAAUAUUAUAAUGAGGGAUUUUAAAUUUAUAGGAUUAUAAAUCUUAUAAAAUAUCAAACAAUUAAUGUCAAAACUAUAAAAAUAUAAAUAUUAAUAGUAAUAUAAUGAGAUGUACAAAGUCAAUGGACUUUGAUCAAACUUUGAAUACCAUUAAGGUUUUAGUUAAAAAGUGUUAGAGAUUAGGGACCCCAUCCAAAGUAUCCCAUAGCAUUAUCCUUACUCUUUCAUACAAUUAGCGUAAUGUAAAAAAGUCAACGAACCCAUGUAGAAGAUUUAAUGAGUCGAAUUGUUCAAUGAACCAAACCCAUGUAGAAGAUUUAAUGAGUCGAAUUGUUCAACGAACCAAAUUAACUAACACUCCCCCUCAAGUUUUGUUGGAUAAAAGCUUAAGCGCUCAAAACGUACUUUUACCUGACGGAAUGAUUUCAUCUCAGAAGGUGUUUUCUUAUAGUGAUACCAAUUAACUCCAUGAUAAUAAUCUUUUUAAUUAUUUUAUUUUUUCACUCUUAGCUAUGUAUGGAGGUACAAAGUGACAUAACUAUUUGUAGACUGGCAUCAGUAUAAAAUGAUUCUGCAAUAUGAUUUCUAAAAAGUGAUAGAGACCGGUGUAAAGGGGACAAGUGCAUCGCAUUUCUUCUACAUGCAUAAGAAGAGAUACUCUUGACUAAUUGAUUCAUGAAUUAACUUUUGAAGUUGUCUUCAACUUUUAAAAUAGCGUGAAAUCAGAAGUCAAAAAAAUAAGCAGCACCAUACAAGAAACAAGGCUUGAUGACGCAGCACUAGCGUAGAAGGAUUAAAAAUAUAAAUCCUUGAAGAAACAAAGUUUUUGGAACCCACCAGUUUGAUAGAAACUCUAAAAGGAUAAUUUGAUUAAUUGAUGAGUUGAUGAUUACAAUGGAUAAUACCCAUGACUUAAAUAAGUCAUUUACAACACUUUUGGACAACUCAAAAGGCUUAGAGAAUUAAAACGAAAGUAAAUGACAUUAAUCGGAUGACAAUUGAAAAGUCCAAAACUUAUUACAAACUUUAUUUUUUGGUUUUGGAAGCCACGGUCGCAAGAGUUGGCAAGCCCCGCACACAACCGAAGGACGUAGUUAGCUUAUUGAUUACUCGGCCUGCGUGCCAUGAAUGCUUGGUAGUUUUUAAGGUCAACAAUUGUACAUUUGAGAAUGAAGGAAAAGUACAAUUGAGCCAAAUAUGUUUUUCUACAGUUUUCCUAUGGUUGGGGCCUCAACUCCAACUCGAAGUAUUUCUCCUCUUCCUUGCUUUCUCUUGAGUUAAUGAGAUAUUCCUUUUCUGAUGAGAAAAGGACUUGCAGUUUGAAAAAUGCAACAUAGACUAAAUCCAACAUGAUAAAUUUCGUUACACCCGCACUUUUGACUUAAUAUAUGUUAGGAGUUUGAAAGUCCUAAAAUGAUGAAGAAAUUGGGUAUCGAAUAAAAAUUUCGGGCCUCAAAUCCAUUGCACUUCAAACCACUGCAGGAAUUGAAACAGAUGACUCUAAUGCCUUAAUUUGAUGCUGAGAAUCUGAAACUUUCAUCUCCUUUACUAUCUGCUGGUAACCUGUAAAUGGGUCCCGUUUAUUGGGUUUGGAUCGUGUUUCACCUGACCCGUUAAGCUAAUUAGUCACCCCUAACUCGUUAAGCUAACGAGUCAUCCAACAAAAACCAUCAUCGGAGAAGACAAACGGAACCGGCCGGAUCGGGAUAAGGGAACGGGUCCAUCCUCCCGUGCCUUUUCCCUCUCCCUCAUUUUCCUCAUUUCCUCCCCUUUCAUCUCAACCAUCCAUCUCUCUCCUUUCUCUUCCUUUCCUUCCAUCCCAGCCACACAAGUGGCUUCACAAAUCUUUGCUCCAGAAAUCUGGAGCCUUCCAAAUUAAAGAAAAUUACCAAAAUGUCUUUAACUUUAAAUGUUAAUAACUCUUUCAUUAUAACUCUGUUUCACGAACGGUUUGCUCCUACACGUUCGUGAGAUCAAGCUCUAUUCAAAAUAUGAAUUGUAACCUCGAAAGGUCUACGGAUUUUAAAGAUUGAUUACGAAAAUUCAACCCCGAUAAUUAUUUGAUUUAAUUCCAAAAAUAAAUGAAAUUAAAAUUAACUAAUAAAAAUAACGUAAACGUGAAAUAUGAAUUUAAAUAACGAGAUACGUAAUUAAUAGUGAAAUUCCGAGGACGGGAUUUCACAAGAAUUCUUUACAAGGCUACAAAGAAAAUAAAUAAAUUAAACUUCUAGAGAUCUCAAAUCUAAUUCAAUCUCAUUCCGCCUACUCUCAUGACUGUCUAGUUUGAAAACCUGCAUAACAAUAAAGGGGUGAACUUCAACAACUCACUAGGGACAUAAUCUUAAAUAGUAAAAUAACCAAGCUAAAUUAGAUGUCAUGGCAUCAUACACAUCAGGUAUCAAAUCAUUAUUGAUAACAAUGCAUGAAGGCAACGUAAAGCACUUUACCUAUACUUGUUAAUUCGUAUAACAAAACACACAGACCUCGUACGUCUCAUUCCGUACUUAUACCACUUGAUCAUGAGUGCUAAGUUAUAUAAAAUUUCCACCGACCCCAAGCCCGGGUCGUGACACCUAACCAGGUCAACAGACCUGGUGAUCGCACCUAAUCAAAACCCCUGGUGCCAAUAGUGCCUGCUGGCGUGAGACCCUCUGCAGCAGCCCCAACAGAAGAGCCAAACGACUCUAUAUGACGUGGCUCGAUAACAACCGUCGAAUUGAUCUUAGGCGGGUGUAAUUGAUCUUAGGCGAUUAUUGAGGCGUGUCGGUAGAGAGAGGGAUUGAUUAAUUUGGUGGUUGCAUGACACAUGUAAUAUCUCCUUCAGUCAUGGAAGCUUUCUCAAAUUUUAGUCAGUCAAGUGUAAUGCCAACAAUUGUUUAAAGAACAGAUUAAUUUUUCUUCAAAACCUACAACUAGCAUACGGAACAAAACGAUCAAAUGGAAGUCACCAAGAGGCAAUAAUCACGGAUCGGGAGCUAUCAGAUGGACAGCACAGCACAAAACUUGACAUUGAGUACUUUACAUGUGGGCCAAUUCGGUGUUGGGCUUUACAUGUGGACCAAUCUGUUCUGACAUUCCAAAAAAAUAUGACCACAAAAUGAAACAAUAUAAAAAGUGAUUUAACUUAUUAUAAGUCCAUGCAAGGUUUUGUUAUUCGUCGAAAUGGGACUUUAGCCUUCACACCUUCACAUAAUGUUCCAAUAACUUGUUUUUUCCCAUUAAUUUUCUUGUUAAAAUAUGUCAAUAAUUAUGAAAAUGGUACGUAAAAGUACUCUUAUAACAUCCCUCAAAUAUGGAAAACCAAAUAAAAUAAUAAAACUAGAAAACAAAAUAAAAUAAUAAAACUAGAAAACACAUUGUUGAUGUGUAACCCUUGAGCUAAUAUCUUGGAGCUAAAGUUACAAAUUUUGAUUUUCCUUUUAUGUGAUUUAUCUUUCUGAUGUAAACCAAGUGGUCUCUUCUCUAGCAUAGGAUCCAAGUGAUAGAAUAAGACAAGUGACAUCAUCUCAUAGGAUGAUAGCAAUGAAUGGUUGAGAUUGUUGUGUAUUGGUGAGUGAAGGAUCUCCCUUCCUCUACAUACAUAACGGUUACAAAAUGUAUUUGGUCUAAUUGAGUGAAAUCCAAGAGACAUAUUCAAUCAUCUUCUCUCUGAACACCAUUGCUGUUUUGUUCUUCAAACUCUAACACAUAGAACUCCAUUGAAAUACAAAUAAAACACAAACUCUAAUAUGGCCUCAGAGCCGGGUUCGGUUAUCUAAACUGGGCGUAAAUCUGUGAAAAGAAAACUGGAAUUGAUUAGAGCUGCAAUCGAGCUCAUACGACGAUCGAGGUGGUGUGAUUUCUUGAAUCCGAUGUCUAACAUGGCAGGAUCGGGCACUGCUGAGCUUCGCACGCCAGUUUUCAAUGGAGAAAAUUAUGAGUUCUGGAGUAUUCGAAUGAAAACCAUUCUGAAAUCUCAUGGGUUAUGGGAUAUCGUUGAAAAUGGGUUCGAUGCUUCAGAUUCAAAGAAGGAGAAGAAGAAGAUAGAAGAGAUCGAGGUCACUGAAGUGGAGAAACCGACGUUAGCUGAAAUCCUGAUGAAGGAUGCUCGUGCACUUGGGUUGAUCCAAGGUGCUGUCUCAAACCAAAUUUUCCCCAGAAUUGUGAACGAAGAGACUUCAAAGGGUGCUUGGGACAUUCUGAAGCAAGAGUUAAGAUGAGAUAAGCAAGUAAGGAGCGUAAAAUUGCAAGGUUUGCGUCAAGAAUUUGAAUAUACUCGCAUGAAAGAUAGUGAAUCCUUAUCUGUAUAUCUUACUAGAUUGUUUGAUAUAAUGAAUCAAAUGAAGAGUUAUGGUGAGGAUCUGUCUAGAGAGAGAGUUGUGAAAAAAUUGUUGAUUAGUUUGCCUAGAUCACAUGAUCCUAUUUGUUCCGUAAUUGAACACUCUAAUGACCUUGAAACUCUUGAGGUUCAAGAGGUAGUUGCUUCUCUGAAAAGUUUUGAACUCAUAUUGGAUAGACAUGCUGAAAAUUCUACUGAACGAGCUUUUGCUAGUCUAAAUGUUGGAGGUAAAAACCCUAAGGGAGUAGGUUAUUCUGGAAAUCAAAAGUUUCAGAAAAACUAGAAAUCCAAAGGAAAGAAGUGGGAUAAUAAGCCAAAUUUUGUUCACAAACCAAAUGUCUCUAAUGAUGGAAACAAGACAGCUUGUAGACACUGUGAUAAAUUGCAUUAUGGCAAAUGUUGGUUUGAAGGGAAGUCUAAAUGCACAGGUUGUGGGAAACUUGGGCAUGUGAUCAGAGACUGCCAUGGAAACAAAAAUAUACAGAAGGUGAACUAUGUAAACCAGGUUGAAGAAAUUGGUACCAUGUUCAAUGCAUGUAAUGCUAUGACAGAUGUGAAGGUGAAUCAUUCAUGGUACAUUGAUAGUGGUUGUAGUAACCACAUGAUAGGUGAUGAAAGGUUACUAAUCAACAUUCAAAGGAAUCUGACUUCCAGGGUGAAGAUGGGAACUGGAGAAAUUGUUCAGGUUGCAGGAAAGGGGACUCUUGUUAUAGAGACCAAAUUGGGAAGAAAGCAUAUUCAAGAAGUGAUGCUUGUUCCUGGACUUGAAGAGAAUCUGCUAAGUGUUGGACAGAUGAUGGAGCACGGGUACUAUCUAUUGUUUGGAGGAAAUAUUGUGAAUAUCUUCGAUGGUUGGUCACUGGAUAAUCUUGUUGUUAGAGUGCAGAUGACAAACAACAGGUGUUUUCCUCUUACAAUGAUGCCCGCAAAUUAGUUAGCAUUGAAAGCAAGUGUGACACACUGUAUGCAGAUAGGGCAUAAACGUUUGGGGCAUCUAAAUAAUAGAAGCAUAAAAAUGCUUGAAGAUCAAGAAAUGGUUCAUGGAUUGCCUCAUUUGGAGAAAACCUCUGUUGUGUGUGAAGGCUGCAUGCUAGGAAAGCAACACAGAGAGUCUUUUCCAUCAAAAUCAGCUUGGAGAGCUAAACUUCCAUUGGAAUUGGUUCACACAGAUAUCUGUGGACCAAUGCAAACUGAAUCUAUCUCUGGAAAUAAGUACUUUCUCUUGUUCACUGAUGAUUGUACUAGGAUGUCUUUGGUAUAUUUUCUCAGAAACAAGUCAAGUGCAUUUGAUUGUUUCAAGAAGUUUAAAGCAAUGACAGAGUUGCAGUGUGGAUAUAAGGUGAAAUGUCUAAGGAGUGAUCGGGGUGGAGAGUUCUUAUCAACCGAAUUUGACAGUUAGUGCAAUGAGCUUGGAAUUCAAAGGCAAUUAACCAUGGCAUAUUCUCCUCAACAUAAUGGAGUAGCUGAGAGAAAGAAUAGGACUGUGGUGGAAAUGGCAAAGUCUAUGAUGCAUGAAAAGGGUCUUUCUUAUGCAUUUUGGGCAGAGGCUGUGAACACUACAGUCUACAUACUUAAUAGAUGUCCCUCAAAGUCUCUCAAGAAGAUAACUCCAUUUGAAGCAUACACUGGUAGAAAACCAGGUAUUGCACACUUGAAGAUUUUUGGGUCACUAUGCUAUGUGCACAUUCCCUCAACACUAAGGCAUAAGCUUGAAGAAAAUAGUCGCAAGUGUAUUUUUGUAGGCUAUGGAAUCUGUGAAAAAGGGUACAAAGUGUUUGAUUUGAGUUCCAGUAAGAUCAUCCUGUCUAGAGAUGUACACUUUGAUGAGAAUGCUUCAUGGGAGUGGGAGAACACUGAUAAGAGUGAAAUACAAGUCCCCAUGAUUGCUGAGAAUCAAAUGGCAGAUUGUAGUGAAGGACAGAAGCAAGUGGAAGUAUGUGAACCAAGUCAAUUCUUGGAUACAUCAACUCAAGUGGAGGAUGUUAUUACACCACUAAGUGAGAAUGUUUUCGAAAGCUCUCAAACAACUGAUCACACACCACAGAAAUGGAGAAGUGUCAAUGAGAUCAUGGCUCAGUGUAACAUGUGCAUUGUAGAACCUAAAAACUAUGAAGAAGCUAUUCUAGAUGAGUCAUGGGAAAAUGCAAUGAAAUUUGAGCUUGAAAUGAUUGAGAAGAACAACACAUGGGAGCUAGUUGAUAGACCAUUUGACAAGCCAAUCAUUGGUGUUAAGUGGGUCUAUAAAACCAAGUUGAAUCUUGAUGGACCUGUGCAGAAGAACAAGGCCAGACUGGUGGCAAAAGGUUAUUCCCAAAAGCAUGGGAUAGACUACAAUGAAACAUUCGCUCCGGUUGCAAGAUUAGAUACUAUCAGGACCUUGAUAGCAAUUGCUGCACAGAAGGAAUGGAAUCUAUAUCAGUUGGAUGUAAAAUCUGCUUUUCUGAAUGGAACUUUGAAGGAGGAGGUUUAUGUUGAGCAGCCACAAGGUUUCGUGAAGGAGAGUGAAGAAACCAAGGUGUAUAAGUUGAACAAGGCUCUGUAUGGGUUGAAGCAAGCUCUAAGAGCUUGGUAUGAUGAGAUAGAUUCCUAUUUUAGCAAGGCAGGUUUCAAGAAGAGCUCUAGUGAAGCAACACUUUAUGUCAAAACUAGUGAAGCUACAGGUAUCAUUAUUGUUUCACUCUAUGUGGAUGAUAUUGUAUAUACUGGAAGUUGUCCAAAACUACUUGAAGAGUUCAAAAAUGACAUGAUGUAGCAUUAUGAGAUGACUGAUCUGGGGUUACUUCAUCAUUUUCUUGGCAUGGGAGUAGUACAAACAGAUAAAAACAUUUUAAUCCACCAGAGGAAAUAUGCAAUGAAGCUUAUUGAGAAAUUUGGGAUGAAAGAUUGCAAAUCAGUGGCAACACCACUAGCUGUGAAUGAGAAGUUAUGCAAGAUAGAUGGUAGUGAAGCAGCAAAUGAAAGUGAAUAUAGACAAGUUGUAGGUAGCUUGUUAUACUUGACUGCUACAAGGUCGGAUAUAAUGUUUGCUUCUAGUUUACUUGCUAGAUUCAUGCCUAACCUCACAAAGAAACACAUGGGAACAGCCAAAAGGGUGUUGAGAUAUAUUCAGGGCACUCUUGAUUUUGGAAUUGAAUUUGUGAAAGGGAAGACAAAUACUCUAAUAGGGUACUGUGAUAGUGACCGGGCAGGAAGUGAGGAUGACAUGAGAAGCACCUCAGGAUAUGCAUUUACACUUGGAUCCGGUAUGUUUUCAUGGGCAUCAAUCAAACAAAACACAGUGGCACUGUCCACUGCAGAAGCAGAAUAUGUCAGUGCUGCAGAAGCAACAUCACAUGCUAAAUGGCUAAGGUUUGUGCUUGAAGAUUUUGGAGAGGAGCAAGUGGAAGGCACACCAAUUCUGUGUGAUAACACUUCAGCCAUAGCAAUGGCAAAGAAUCCAGUUCUUCACCAGAGAACUAGGCACAUCAGUAGGAAAUUUCAUUUUAUCAGGGAAGCUAUCCAAACAAAGGAGAUUGAACUCGUCUACUGCAAAACGGAAGACCAGAUUGCAGAUAUACUAACCAAGGCUCUGUCAAAGGAUCGAUUUGUUUACCUAAGAGAUCUACUUGGUGUGAAAUCAGCUAAAGGGUUAGAAGGGAGUGUUGAUGUGUAACCCUUGAGCUAAUAUCUUGGAGCUAAAGUUACAAAUUUUGAUUUUCCUUUUAUGUGAUUUAUCUUUCUGAUGUAAUCUGAGCCAUUGGAUCAUAGUCCAAGUGGUCUCUUCUCUAGCAUAGGAUCUAAGUGAUAGAAUAAGACAAGUGGCAUCAUCUCAUAGGAUGAUAGCAAUGAAUGGUUGAGAUUGUGUUGUGUAUUGGUGAGUGAAGGAUCUCCCUUCCUCUACAUACAUAACAGUUACAAAAUAUAUUUGGUCUAAUUGAGUGAAAUCCAAGAGACAUAUUCAAUCUUCUCUCUAAACACCAUUGUUGUUUUGUUCUUCAAACUCUAACACAGAGAACUCCAUUGAAAUACAAAUAAAACACAAACUCUAAUACACAUAUCCCUAUUCUAAUUUGGUAAACUAGGCAGCCAUAAAUUCCACACAUUUCCUAGUCAAAUUUGCACCAAAUCAGGCUUAAGAAGUGGUGUUGGAAAGAUGAAAACGUUCCUUUCAACUUUGUAGAAUGAACUUUCCUAAAAAAAAACAUAAUUUUCAAAGACUUGUGACCAAAACAGCCUAAAAUGUCAAUCUGACAGCGCAAUCCUCUUCACUCCUUGAUGAAUCAGUUCUAAUUGGAAUCACUCCAAAAUUUCAUCAUUUCGUCACUUUUUAAGCAAACUAGAUUUUGCUUGUCCUCCAAUUAAAGCAUAAAAGAAAGUAUCAAAAUUCUCUCAAGAUAACAAAUAAAUUAUACCAAAGAUUAUGAUAAAAAUAUAAAAUAAUAUCUACUAGGCGGUCCUCAUACAAUAAAAGAGAAUUAAGUCACGAUAAGCAUGGAAACUAUUGAGGAGAAUUUGUAAGGUAAAUAUUUAUACAAAUGAUAACACUAUUAUUCAUCAACGAUAACGCAAGUUUUAGGGUGAACUACAUUGAUGUUUUCUGUGUUUGCACUUAAAGUCCGCCAAUCUUUUUGCAUUUGUUGCCUAUUGCACUGCACAACUGAUGGAUGUUAAUAUUCAGUUUACAAGCAGUUCCUACUAAACCAGUUCCCUUGUAGUCUACGAAAUGUUGUACAAAUUUCGUAGCUUUGGUUUUAGAAUUUAUACAACUCUAGUUAUACACAUUACUCUUGAAUAUGUAACUGUUGUACAAGUAUUCUUAGUUACUUAGGCAUAGGAAAGUUUUGAUUUGAUUUGAUUGAAAAGAGUGUCUCCAAUUAAUCGAAUGAACAAGAAUCCUUUUAAACAAACAUAGCUGCUUUCAUUCUAAUUUCAGAAAAUCCAAAUCCAUGAAAACAUAUACAGCACUCUACUAUCUUUAUUGAUAUCACUUUCAUCUCCAUUUUGUUUGUUAAAGGAUACGAACAAACAUUGAUAUAACUUAAAACAGUAGGAUAUAUAGGGCAGAGUCUUGAACUUGAAUAACACAAUCAACUAAAAGCUAUGAAGCUUUCUUUCUUUUUAAAGAAACCUCGACGGUACGAGAGAAAAUUUUAUUGAAUAAAAAAAAAAAGUUACACCUAGUCGGGGGACAUAAACUUUACUCAAAAUAAAGACAGGAUAAAGAAAAUUGGCGAAAAUACAAGAAAGUAGGGGGACAUACACUUACAUAACAUAAAACAAACUUAUAACUAAACAUAUAGAGAAGGAAAGAAACCACAAUAGAGAAACCAAACGACAACAACAGAUGCAUAACAUUGUAACAAACUCAAUUUCUAUCCCCCCCCCCCACUAGUACUCUAAAUUUUCCAUAUCAUUUGUCUGAUCAUUCCAACAAUCUUAAGAAACAAAUCGGGCCUCCUUGUGAUCACAACAUCUGCAAGAACUACUCCCACUACCAACCCACUUCCACAUCCGGCCGAAACAAUUUUCCAAUCAAAUUCAAAUAUUCCUGCUGAGCUAGAAUCACCUUCGUCUACGGUUGGAGGUGGAAGUUGAGGGGCCUUAGGAUUUCCACAUUUCUUUGGCAAUGGAUCUCCACACAACCCUGGCACUACUACAAAAGGACCCUAUAGUGUCAGUUGUUGCGUCGGUUUAAUAUCAUAUAGUGGCGCACAAGAGAGUUGCGACACCCACUGAAUAUGACGUCGGAUUUAGAAAGUCUGCGUCGCUUCUAUAUGCGACACGCAUACUUAAUGUCGCUUAUAACCGACACACGUUUUAAUAAUUUUAAAUACUGGCGUCGCUUUGAAUAAAACAGUGUCGCUUUUAAGCGACAUUAAGUAUGCGUGUCGCAUAUAGAAGCGACACUAAUUGAUUUUUUUAUAUAUUUUAAAUCCUACGUCGGUUCUGAGCGACAUAUAUUUUAUUUUUUUAAAUAUUUUGAAAACCAGUGUCGGUUGUAAGCGACAGAUUGAUCGUCUUUAUAUUCACUCACCCGUGUUCAUCUUUUCCUCUUGCAUUUAUCUCAUUCUCACGGUUCACAAACCUUCUCUCUCUCACCUUCCGAGUUCUUCCAAGUUCAUUCUUCACAAAGGUAAAUUUUUCUUGCUUGUAGUAUUUUUAUUUUCUCCUCUUAUGUUUAAUAUUUUGAUACAAUUUAUUGUUGUAGGGAAUUUAUUUGAGCUGGUUGAGUAUAUAAAGAAUUGAUCGACGACGGAAUUCUUCUAUAAUUCAGGUUUUCUAUCACUAAAUUCUUUAAUUUUUAAAUUGUAUAAUACACAAGUUUAUUUAUUUAAAAAUUGUAAUUUAAGUAGUUAGAUAAAUUUCUAUUAUUUUUGUUAAAUUACUUCAUAUUUAGGCGAAAUAAAUUAAUUUUGUCACUUGAAUUGUUAUGAGAAAAUAGAAUGAAUAUUAUCUAUAAGCAUUUAUGUUAAAUUAACAACAUUAAAUAUAACUUAAACUUAUAAUAUUGAGUAAUUUAAGAAUAUAUUAUGUUAAAUUAAUUUUUUUUUCACUCUAAUUGUUAUUUUAAUUUGUUGUUAUUUUGAUAAUUUUUUGUUGUUAUUUACUAGAAUGGAUUAGAUGAGAAUAAUUUGAAUUGUUAUGAGAAAAUGGAAUGAAUAUUAUUUAUAUGCAUUUAUGUUAAAUUAACAAUAUUAAAUAUAACAUAAACUUAUAAUAUUUAGUAAUGUAAAAAUAUAUUAUGUUAAAUUAAUUUUUUUUUUUUUUGCAAUUUGAAUGGUUAUGAGAAAAUGAAAUGAAUAAUAUUUAUAAGCAUGUAUGUUAAAUUAACAAUAUUAAUAUAACAUAAACUUAUCAUUUUUAGUAAUAUAAGAAUAUAUUAUGUUAAAUUAAUUUUUUUUACAAUUUGAAUUGUUAUGAGAAAAUGGAAUGAAUAAUUUAAAUAAGCAUUUAUGUUAAAUUAACAAUAUUAAAUAUAACUUUUGCACUAUAAUUGUUAUUUUAAUUUAUUGUUAUUUUGUUAACUUUUGGUUGUUAUUUACUAGAAUGGAUUAGAUGAGCAUAAUUUUGAUAACUUUUUGUUGUUAUUUUAAUUUGUUUUUACUACAAUAGGUGUUGAAAAUUAAAAGAUUGCAAUCGUGAUCGUGAUAGAGUUCGAGGGUUGAAAGAUAGAAAUUGAAAAUUCUAAUAGUUAUGCCUACAUGAUAGGGAUUGCAAGAUUGUAGGCAUCUUAGUGUCAGCGUAAUAUUUUACCCUCAUAAACUGGUAAAACAUGGACAAGAGUUGGUUGACGAUACCUCAAAAUUUUGAAGCGUAUACAGUUGGAAUUAAUUUGUUUUUGGAUCAAGCAGUUGCAAAUGGUGUUGGUCCUGAUAAGUUUAGAUGUCCUUGCAAAAGAUGUUGUAAUCGAUAAACUUUUGUUAGGAACACUAUUAUUGAACAUCUCAUAUUGUAUGAUAUGGAUAAAGAUUAUAAAAAUGCUUGCUGGCGACAUCAUGGCGAGCAAAACAUUGGAGAGCAAAAUGUGGCAAUUGGAGAAGAAGAAACAUGAGAUGAGGUGAUUGGUAUGCAUGACUUUCUUAAUGAUGUAUUUGUCCAACCAUUAACAGAAGAAGGUGUUGGGCCGUCUAUUGAACCGUCUAUUGGGGAAGGGCGUCCAGAAGAGGUGGAGACUUUUUUUAGGUUGCUUGAAGAGCCAGAUCAAGAUUUGUGGCCAGGGUGUAAGGAGUUUAAGAAAUUAGAAGCAGUUGUAAGGCUGUAUCAGAUCAAGUGUUUAGCGGGAAUGCCAGACGACAUCUUCACAACUUUACUGGAGUUAAUUAAAAGAAUGUUGCCUGAAGGGGAUUGUUUGCCUGAAUCAUGUUAUAAGGCAAAAAAACUUAUAAAUGACUUGGGUCUGACGUAUGUGAAAAUUGAUGCAUGUCCCAAUGAUUGCAUGAUCUAUUGGAAAGAUACUUCGGAUUUGACCGUGUGCUCGGUUUGUGGUGAAUCAAGAUAUAAAGUUACCAACGCAGCGGAUAGGUCGAGAAAAAAAAGAUCGCAGCUAAGGUUAUGUGGUAUUUUCCUUUAAAACCAAGAUUGCAACGAUUUUUUAUGUCGAAGCAUACGGCUGAACAUAUGAGGUGGCAUGCAAUUGAAUGUCCUAAAGAUGAGUUUAUGAGACAUCCUUCAGAUUCUCCAGCAUGGAAGCAUUUGGAUAAUUUAUAUCCGGAUUUUGCGUCGUCAGAAAUUCGAAAUGUUCGAUUAGGGUUGGCCAGUGAUGGAUUUAAUCCUUUUGGAAAAAUGAGGAAUGAUCAUAGCACAUGGCCGGUGGUGCUUUCUGUUUACAAUUUGCCGCCUUGGAUGUGCAUGAAGCAACCAAAUUUGUUGUUGUCUCUUUUAAUACCAGGACCGCGCAGUCCUGGUAAAGAGAUUGAUGUAUACAUGCGUCCACUGAUUGACGAGUUGAAUGAGUUGUGGGAGGUGGGCACUCCAACUUAUGAUGCGUAUUCCAACCAAAGUUUUAUGAUGAAGGCUGCUGUCUUAUGGACUAUAAGUGAUUUUCCGGCUUAUGGAAUGUUGUCAGGAUGGAGUACACAUGGCUAUAAAGCAUGUCCACAUUGCAUGCAUGAUAAAGAAUCCAUUUACUUGCCGGCGAGUCGUAAAAUUUGUUAUAUGGGGCAUCGACGGUUUCUUGAAGAUAAUCAUAGGUUUCGAAGGCAAACCACAGCUUUUAAUGGUCGUCGUGAGCAUCGUGAGCAUCGUAGUGCACCAAGGCAGUGGACUGGUUUACAAUGUCUUGAAGAACUUUGUACAUUGAGAUUUACUUUUGGAAAACCAAAGAAAAAUGCUUCAGUCGGGCAACGCAGAAAAAGAACUUCGAGCAGUACAAGUGGUAACAGUCAGUGGAAGAAGAAAUCUAUUUUUUAUGAACUACCUUAUUGGAGGCAUCUGUUGAUUAGACACAAUCUUGAUGUUAUGCAUAUCGAGAAGAAUAUAUGUGACAGUCUGGUGGGAACAUUGCUAGGUAUAGAAAAGUCUAAAGAUGGAUUGGCUGCACGUGCAGAUCUUGAAGUCUUGAACAUAAGACGCAGUCAACACCCACGUAGAGAAGGAAAUAGAACAUUUCUACCUCCAGCUUUGUUCACGUUGAAAAGAGAAGAAAAAACUGCGCGUUUUGCAAUGUGUUGUCUACUAUUCGGGUCCCCGAUGGAUAUUCAUCAAAUUUAUCGCGAUGUGUGCACGUGAAUGAACGAAAAAUACAUGGGUUGAAAAAGUCAUGAUUGCCAUGUUUUAAUGCAGCAGUUACUCCCGCUUGCAAUACGCCCGGUUUUGCCUAAAGUUGUUACUAUGGUAUUAUUAGAGUUGAGUGCAAUUUUCAGACAGUUGUGUAGUAAGAAGGAGUCUGAGGAAGGAUUUCAAGGAACUGAGUUCAAGAAUUGCCUUGACAUUAUGUCAACUUGAAAAAAUAUUUCCUCCUGCAUUUUUUUGAUAUUAUGGUGCACCUUCCAGUUCACUUGGCAGAUGAAGCAGCUCUUGCAGGGCCUGUUCCCUAUAGAUGGAUGUAUCCAAUUGAACGGUAAUUAAUAAUUUUUUUAUAAAUUUUUUACAAUUGUAGUCAUAACUUUAAUUUAUAAUUAUUACAAUUGUAGUCAUAACUUUAAUUUAUAAUUAUAGGUAUUUGCAAACGUUGAAGCGCAAUGUUCGUAAUAAAGGUCGUCCUGAAGGUUCUAUGGCUGAAGCAAAUUUGGUGGAUGAGUGCUUGUCCUUCUGUUCCAUGUAUCUUAGAGGUGUCGAGUCUCGUCGUAACCGUAGAGGCCGAAAUGAAGAUGGUAUUGGACGUGGAGUGUCUGGUGGGUUAUCAAUUUUUGACUCCAAAGGAUGUUAUAUGGGUUCAGGAGAACAUGUGGAGCUCGAUCUAAAUACUCUUGAUCAGUGCCAUAGAUAUAUUCUAAAUAAUUGUGAUGAAGUGAACCCAUUUAGAAGGUAAUAACGUUUAAUCACACGUUUUAAUGUUUUAUUGAUUUUCUUAACUUUGAAAAAUUAAUUAUCUAAAUUUCGACAUAAUUGUGUAGCCAACAUGAGGAAUUCUUGAAAACUAAACAUCGUCGAGAAAGGUUAACUAUGCGCCAAAUUAAGGAGCUAAGCAAGAAAGAAUUUCCAGAAUGGUUCAAGCAACAUGUGAGUUGAUAUAACAAUCACAUUAUUUAUUUAUUGUUUUGCAUUUUAAUUAUAACAUGUUAUAGUUAUUCUGUCAAUUUUUAUCUUCAUACUUAUUACAGAUGAAUUCAAGCUAUCAUGCUAAUGACACGUUGAUAUCUGAAGACUUGCAUUGGCUAGCUAAUUAUCCUAGUAGGGUUGUGAGUAGAUAUAAAAGUCACAUUGUUCAUGGGUUUAGAUUUCGUAUAAAAUCUGUGGAUGAUAAGCAUAAGAAUCAAAAUUGUGGUGUCUUUGUACCUGCAAAUGUUCCUGGAGCAAUUGGGCAAGUGAAUUGUUAUGGCAGAGUUGUUGAUAUGUUCGAGGUUAAAUAUUGUGGUCCUACUGAGGCGGAAGAUAGGGGUCGAGCUGUGAUGUUAUUUAAGUGCGAAUGGGUUAAUAGUGAAAGUCCACGAGGAAUGAAGACCGAUCAAUAUGGAUUUACUAUGGUGAAUUUCAAUCAAUUGGGAUUUAAAGAGGAUCCUUUCAUACUAGCAUCACAAGCAUUACAAGCAUUUUAUGUGGAGGACACAAUUGAAAAAGAUUGGCACGUAGUUGUUCGAACUCAGCCGAGGGAUUUGUUUGACGUACUAGAGGAUAGUGAUGCUAUUGAUGAUUAUGCCAUACCGAAUUUGGAUGAUCGAAUUCUUGAUAAUGAAAAUUUUCAUACAAGGGUUGGCGUGGAAGGGACUCCUUUUCUUGAAUCAUUAGCGCUGCCUACCGAGUUCGUUAAUCAUGCCAAUGUUGACGAUGAGCUAACAGAUGAUGAAGGAGAAUAAAUAUGUUAAUUAUUUUAUGUAUUAAUUAUCCUAUCUUUCAUUUCGUAUGUUAUGUUAUCUUAUUAUCAAAAUUAUAUUUUUGUUUUUUUUUAUUAAGUAUUAAAUAUAAGUUAAACCUUUUAUUUUUAAUAUUGGGUUAUAAUUUUUUUUUUUUUAGCUUGUUUCCUGUCGCUUUUAACCGACGUCGGUUUAAUUAAAAUAUUUUGGGCGGCAUUUUUCGCGGUUUUUUAAUUAAGUUGGCGUCGGUUUUAACUGACGCAAUGAAAGCUUAUUUCGACGCAAUGUCAUUUUAGCGUCGGUUUAAACCGACGCAAACUAAGAUUAUUUCGACGCAGACUGUCAUAUUACGUCGGUUUGAUCCGACGCAAUAUAAGCCUAUUUCGACGCAAUGUGAGUCUAUUUCGACGCAAGUUAAAAACCUGUUGUGAAUUAUAUGUAUUAAUGCGAAGAAAGGAUGAUUAUUUUUUCUUAUUUAAAGUUCACGAAAUUUUUUGAGCCGUUAAUUACACUAUUUUUCUUUUUUAUUUAACAAUUUUAUACUUCUAAAAACUUUAACAAUUUUAUACACUAGUGGAUAUCCCAAAAUCUUGUGUUAUACUUAAUGAAAGUAUGAAUAAACUGUUUAAGUGUUAGUGAAUGUAUCGUUUUGAUGGAAUACGAACUCUACGAAACUAAUUUCAACGAUCGAACCGUCAAACAUGUUUGUGUAUACUUCGAGAUCGCAUACGCCAAAAAUUAAAAAAAAAAAACUUUCUGAGACACAGUAACGGGAAAAACUUAUUCGACGGUUAUUAACGAAAAAUCACGAUGUAACGGUUAUUUUAACUCCGAUUUUGAUGAUUUUUUAUAUGUACACUCCUUCACCCUAUAUGAAUACGGUGAAUGAAUGCGAUCUUCAAUUUGAAAUAUUUACACUAGUGGAUAUCCCAAAAUCUUGUGUUAUACUUAAUGAAAGUAUGAAUAAACUGUUUAAGUGUUAGUGAAUGUAUCGUUUUAAUACAACAAAUUAUUUGCAUAAGAAAAAUUCAUUUUAAACGAAUAAUGAUAAGUUAAGAUAGAAUAUUUGUGGUGAAUUUAGAAUAUUUAUCAUAAUAUUUUAUGAACUAGUUGGUCAAUUAUUUACAAUAAAAAUCAAAAUUUUAAGGAUAUUAUAAACCGAACAAUGUUUGAUCAAAAGUUUCAAAAUUAUAGAUGUUUGAUUAAAACAAUUCAAAUAUAAGCCAUCAAUAUCACAAUGUUCCUAAAAUUAUAUUUGUGUUUUUAUUAAGCAUUAUGUAUAAGUUAAAUUUUAUAUAUUAAAAUAUUAUAAGAAAUAACCUUUUUUUAUUUUAACUAUUUUUUUUUCUCCUGCGUUUCCAUUUUUUCUUUUUUAGUUAAACUCUUUUUUUAUUUUUUUGUUGGGCGGGAAUUUUCCCGGUUUUUUUGCACGGGGAAAUGGAUCGGAAGAAUUAGGGUGGAAUUGGACGUGCGAAAGAACCGAAGCAUCGAAAUAAUAAAUAGUUGCGUCGAAAUAAUAAGUAGUGGCGUCGGUUUUAAUCGACGUAAAUACUUAUUAUUUCGACACAACCACUUAUUAUUUCGACGCCUCGUAUUAUACGUCGGUUUAAACCGACGCAACCAGUUAUUGUUUCGACGCAGGCAUUUAUUUCUAUGCCUCGGUUCUUUCACACGUCCAAUUCCGAGGACACUGCAAUUAAUGUCUGUCAGAAUAACGUCGGUUAAAACCGACGUCAUUGUCCUCUAUUUCGACGCUAGUUAGAAAUGUCAGACUAUAACGUCGGUUUUAAGCGACGCAAUAUGCCCAUAUUUCGACGCCUCGGUCACAUUCGCACGUCCAAUUCCGAGGCCACUGCAAUUACUGUCUGUCAGAAUAACGUCGGUUCAAAUCGACGCAAUUAGCCUCUAUUUCGACGCUAUUUAAAUCUGUCAGACCUAACGUCGUUUUGAAGCGACGCAAUGUUACCCUAUUUCGACGCUAGUCAAAAAUGUUGCAGAGGUGGUGUCGCUUUGAAGCGACGUAAUAGUUGCAUAUUUCGACGCUAAUUUUUUUGGCAUAUUUAAGGUUCUACGACCUAUUUCCGUCUCUCUCAUUUCACUCCCCAUUUCACUCCCUUCACUCCCCAUUUCACUCCCUUCACUCCUAUUUCCGCACUUCUUCCUUUGGUUUUGCUAUGGAUAGUAGUUGUGAUUCUCAACGUGAUGAGGAACUUCAUGUGGAAGAGGAGGAGGUUGAAGCUGGUUAUUUUUCUACAUUAUUAUUGGAUUCGUUUUUUUUUUUUUUUUUGUGUUUAAUCUUCUAUUAUCCUUAUAAACUGAAAGUUUACAUCUGUUUCCAACUUUUUUGGUUUGUUUUAACUGUGGUUUUGUUAUGAACAAGGAACUUCUCAACGGAGGCGAGGACCCUCAAUUCCCAAAUGGACGAAACAGCUUUGUUCGUUUGAUAUGUCUGGAAAAUGCGUUAAUGAUAACUCUAGUGCAUUUUCAAAAUAUGUGGCAUCGGAGGUUAGAGACCACAGAAUUCUCCCAUUGGCGAAGCAUUGGCGUAAGAUUAAGGAUGUAGAUAAGGAAGCUUUUUGGAAUAGAAUUAAGGUAUAGGUAUUUAUAUUUUUAUUAGAAAAUAAAAGAAUAAUUCAAUGAUUGUUAUAAUAUUUGACUUGGUUGAUUUAUUUUUUUUAUUUUUUAUUUUAUGGAUGUAGGGAAAUAUUGUUUUUGAAGAUGCUGAUAUACCAAGAUUGCCUUUGAUCCGCUUUAUGACGCUUAAGGUUGCUGAGCAUGCACAUAAGGAGUACAGAAAUAAGUUAAAAAAAAAAUAUUAUACCAACAGAGCUGCAGAGGAGCGUCCCCAGCCUCCUCCUGAUGUGAAUCCUACCCAGUGGGGUAAUUUGUUGGCAUACUGGAGUGGAGAUAAAACAAAGGUAAACGAUGUAGUUUAUUUCGUUAUAACUAUAAAUUUGUGUAAUAAUUUUUUUAUUUUUAUUUUCAGGAGGUUGCUGAAAAAAACAAGAUUAAUCGGCAAAAGAAAACAAUGAACCAUACUACUGGUACAAAAUCUUUUGCAAGAAAGCGGCAAAGAUAUGUAUGGAUUGUACAAUUUGAAGAAAUGUUAUUUUAAAUAUUCUAUAGUUAUAAAUUUUAAUUUUAACGAGGUUAGCCUAAAAUUGUUUGUGUGAAAUUUUAUUUUUGGUAAAGCGGAAGAAGCAUGGGAAAGAAGCUGAUCCUGUAACCUUUUUUCGUGAAUGUCAUACACGAAAAAAUGAAGCUUGGAUUGAUGAAGAAUCGGAGCGUACAGGGGUAAUUUAUUUUACUGUGUUGGUAUUUCAUUAUUAUUCAAAUUUAUUAUCUAUAGCUUAUUGUUCUGUUUUAUGAUUGAAUUUUUCUUUUUAAAAAUUGUAAUGCUAGGCAACAAUGGAGAGCAAUCUGCAAACUUUGAUUCAGUCGGGGCAAGAGGAUAAUGAAGAUCUUAGGAACCAAGUGUAUGUUGACACAAUGGGUCCUGAGAGGUAUAAUAGAGUCAGAGGAUACGGUCAUGGGGUGACUCCUGAUAUGGUGUCCUAUGCAUCUUCUUCGUCUUCUACAUCAAUUUCCUCCAAGAGGUCAUCUAACAGUGCAAUGGCAUUGCUGAUGACUCAAAAUAAUGAGUUGAAAUUGAGGGACGAAAAUAACAAUAAACGGAUUUCGGACCUAGAGAACAAGCAAAGUCAGUUGUUUGCGUGGCUUUUCCAAAGAUUUCAACCACAAGCACAACCACAACCACCGUUUAGCCCGGGAACCCAACAGUCAGGCCAGAGUCAGCCUCCUCCUCCUCAACAGUCGGGUCAAAGUCAGCCGCCCCCUGCAUAUCCUUAUGCUGGCUAUAAUCAGCAACCUCCGUAUCCUAUGUAUCUGCUGCCUAUGUAGCCCACGCCAUACAUGCAGCAGCCGCCUAUGCCAUACAUGCAGCAGCCUCCCAUGCCUUACAUGCAGGAGCCGCCUUAUCAAGUGCCAGUAUAUCGACCCGAGAUGGCUGCGCCUUGUCCUGAAUUUCCAGCUGGGGGGUUUGCUGAAAUGCUUGCGGGUGUUGGAUCUGAUGUGGACUUGUCGAGGAUGUUGGCAUCAAAUAUAGGACCUCAAGGGCGAGAAGGAUCUGUGCCACGUUCAGGCGCAGAUUCGGUUCCGUAGUUUAUUUGGUUCGCUUUCUUGUCGGUUAAAUAUGACACUUUAAUCGUUCUAUCUUUUUUUUUUUUAUGUUAUGUUUGUAAUGUCGGAUUUAGUAGUUGUUAUGACGGAUGGGUUUUUGUAUAUUUUGACAUUAUUUUUAUUGUUAAUUAUUUUCAUUAAUGUAUGGACAAUAUUGUGUAUGUUGGCACUAUUUUUUUUAAUUAUUUUUUUAAUGUUUUUCUUUUGACCUUGAAAUUAAUUAAUAUAAUUAUAUAAAAUUUUUCUGUUACAAUGAAUCGAAGAAGAAUGCGAUUUGUAUGUUUUUUUUUAUUAUUAUUAACAAAGGUGGUGUCGGUUAAGACCGUUAUUCGGUUGCAUAUUUUAUUUAUUUAAUUGUUAAUUGACGUCGGUUUAUGGGAUAUUAAAUUGAUUUAAUAUUAUUUCAGUGUCAUUUAAAAGCGACAGUAGGAAUUAUAUUUUACAAUUAAAUUGCUAUUGAACGUUGCCUUAAAGCGACGUAACGUGUAAGUAUGCGUCGCUUUAAACCGACGUUAGUUUAGUGUCGCUUUAAAGCGACGCUAUGUAGUGUCGGUUUAAGCCACCAAACCGACGCUAAAGCCCUUUCGUGACGCUAGCAAUAGUGUCGCUUUGAAAAUGCGACAUUACAUUGUUUUAUGUCGCAUUUUUGCCAAAAUUGCGACAGAAAUCUGAUUUCUUGUCGGUUUUGACUCCGACGGUGAUAGCAUAUAUUGUAGUAGUGUGGGUUUCCCUCGUAUGAAGUAAUAUUCAAUGAAGUAAGCUGGGUUCCUUCUGGUAUAGGACCUGUAUGAACGAAUAUGUCAUGUUUGUAUAUGAUAUUUUAUUUUUUUUAUCCUACGGCCUACUAUGUUAUCUUCAUCUUCGGUCUCAAAAGCCUUCCUUAACUUCUCUUUAUCUAUCUCAAAUUCAUAGCAUAGUAAUAAAAACAUACUGCAAACAAUUUCACUAUGCAUUAAAAUUUAUCAACACAAUUCCUUGAGCUCUCGACAUUAUAAAUUUAUAAAUGAAAGAAAACAGGUGUUAAUGCAGAAGUCAAAAGAUAUAAAUCACUUUCAAUUGAUAGAACUAAAAGAUCACAAAAAAAACAUGGACCUAGCGUUGAUACCAUAAGAAUGUCCAAAGGCUAUUCCUGUUAACUUAGCCUGGUCUUCUCUUGGUCGAUUCUCGAUCAACUCCUCCUGCUUAACCUCAAUUAUUUCAGUUGUCACCUCAUUCCUCCCCCUCUUUUUACUGACUUUAAUCUCACUUGCACCAGCAGCGGGGAUGGCUGGCACAACAGUUCCCGACCCACCAAAUCAAUCAUUCCAAAAUUUCUCAGUCUCAAUCAAUUCAACGAACAGAAUGGCAGCACCACAUUUUCUUCGAACACCACCUGGCAUCCCACAAGUCUACAACCCUCAAUCCACCACUACCUUCAAUGUGUAGCCACCUCAACCACGGGGACCAGCCACCCAUGGUUUCAUGUAUGCAAGUGGAGUUACAACCAGCAAUGCAGCAGAAAACAAAAGUAGAAAAUGGAGAAAAAGAAUAUAGAAAGAAAAAGGGUGUCUGGAGGUGGAGAAAAGCCGAGAGGAGAAAGUGGAGAGCACGGCUGCCCACUCCAUUGUCUAAUAAAAUAAGAUCAAGAUGAACUUUAAUCAUUCAUGGCAGGGGACAAAUACAGAGUAUAAUAUAUACCCAUUAUCCCACUAUCUGGAAAAGUAUAGAGUAUGGAGUGCAAAGUGACACAACUAUUUAUAGACUGGCAUCAGUAUAAAAUUCUUCCGCAAAUUAUACAUAUACUAAAACCCAGUUCCCCGAGCACCGUUUUUCACAGUUCGUGAACAAUGAAAAGACGGUAAUACCCUCGGGUUUUCUUAGCUUUGCCCUCAUGUGUGCAGUCAAUUGCCGGUUUUACCCAUUGAUCCCAAGGGUUCUGUGUCGUUUCUUUCUCUCUUUCCAUUCAUCUCUUUCACUUUACCUUUCAGCUCUCCAUUUUUUGCUUUCCUCAACUGGGUUUUCCUUCGUCGUCGGUGUGCGCUCUGAUUUCUCUCAAUUUAUUCCUUUUCGUUUUGCGAAAUUAUGUCCGGCGAGACAUGAUCUUUGAUUUUUGCAACCAUUGUUGGCCGUUAUUCUCUGUUUUUGGCUGCCAUCCGUAGUUUGGAUCGAUUUCGUCUUUUUCACCGUUUUGUUUCAAGCCUCUCUUUUGAGAGAAUUUUUACGUAUUAAGGUUAGUGAUUUCUAAACUUAAGUUUUGCUUUGCAGUUUGAUUUCAUUUUUGGUUGUCUUGCCCAAAUGUUAGAAGCUUUUAAUUUUUUUGGGUUCAAUUUUAAAUGGGUUGUUGCUUUCGGAGUUUUCGUUUGAUGACAGAGAUGGGGGUUUUUGGGGAAAAACUUUUAAUCCGUGAGUUUUAGUUAAGUUGUGUUGUGGGUCCUGACAAAUGGAUUUUUUGUUGAAAUUGUUUUUCUUCUCAUUUUUGGUUUUUUUUAUUUUUUUUAUUUUUAUUUUUUUGUGCCAUCGGGUUUUUGCAUGUGGGUGUAUAAUCAGGUUUUCUUCUGAAUUUCAGGGGAUUCAGGUUUUUAUUUUUUUUGGAACUUUUGUAUGCAGCUUUGGAAGACAUUUACGCUUAAGGUGAGAAACUUUGGUUGCCCGCUUUUGGGUUUUGUUGUAGAAUUAAGUUUUUUUUUAUUUUUUAAAGAGUUACAUUCGUGGGAAUUCAUUUAUUCUUCUUUUUUUCUGCAUCUGGAAAAUGCAACCUGAUGUGAGUUAUAGUCAUAAGUGCAAACAAGAAAAAGUUAUAGUCUUAAGUGCAAGAAAUAUAAAGCCAAAAGAACCUAGCAACAAUAUCAUACCUUAUUUUUCAAUUUACUUAUAAGGUUUCACAUUUUUGUAAAUAUCAAGAACAAAAACCUAGAACAGCCUCACAAUUUGGUGCACUGACUAGGAAAUUGACAGUUGGGUAUAGGUAUGGGUAGUUAAAAACUAUGAGACAUGAGAAUUAUUGUCAAAUGCAAGGACAGAAGGUCGUGUAUUUGCAAAGUUGAAGCGGCCCAAGGACCGAGUGGGUUUAAGGUUUAAUGCUCAGUAGUUGUUGUGCUUCUGCUGCUUUUUAGUUGUCGAGGAUAUGCAGGGAGAGCAAAUAAAAAGAUUGUAUUCACUGUGUUGACGCAUUAUUGAACAAGAGACCCAAAAGGAAGGACAUAUUCAAUCUCAAAGUCUGUCAGCUUUCGCUUCUUAAUUUUACAACAACAACAAAGCCUUUUCCCACUAAGUGGUUAUUAAUUUUGUUUGCUCUUCGAAAGUUGAAUGCAUGAGUUUUAUAAUUUUUUUGCGAUUAGUUUACCUGAGAUGGGUUUUGGGUAAUCAUGUAUUAUUUUCUGAUUUGGUUACAGGAUGCAAAUCAUUGCUUCUUUAGAAAAGAUUAAGGAAGGUGAGCAAUUUCAGAAAAAAAAAAUGCGAUUAUCAUUUUCUAGAGAUCAUGGCAUGCCCUUCCGUUAUUUUUUGGUAGAGAUAGGUGUAACGGGCAUCUCUUACUAGUUGAUCUCUAAAGAGUGAUAGAGAUAGGUGUAACGGGGCAAGAACUUUUUGAAGUCAAGUCUUCAACUUUUGAAGUCAAGUGCAUCGUAUCUUCUACAUGCGUAAAAGAGGCUCUUGUCUAAUUGAUUCGUGAGUUAAUUUUUGAAGUCAAAUCUUCAACUUUUGAGAUGGCGUGAAAUUAGAAAUUAGACAAAUGAGCAGCACCAUAAAAGAAAAAAAAAAUUGCAUACACACAUAUAGUUUAUCUCAUGAGUUCCUUCUGUAAGGGUUUAUGAUAUUUGUAUUGACACUCUUGUAAGGUUUUAUCAUAUUUGUAUGGCCAAUUGCAAGACUAAUCAAAACUUUGUAUUUGGGUACUUCUAAAUGUGUUGGACCUUCAUGCUUGAAAUCUUCAUUAAAAUAUGUGUAAUUUGUAUUUGAAUGUAAAAUUAAACAAAAAUAAAUAAAUGUUAAUGGGUGACUCAUGAGUUUAACAGAUUGAGUUUGAGUAACUCAUUAGCUUAACGAGUUGGGUGUGGAUGACUCGUUAGUCUAAAUGGUCAAGUGAAAUCCGAUCCAAACUAAAUAAACCCGAUCCGUUUAUAGGUUACUAGCAGAUAGUAAGGGGGAUGAAAGUUUCGAACUCUCAACAGCAAAUUAAGACACUAGAGUCAUCAGAUUCAAUUCCUGCAUUGGCUUGAAGUGGAAUGGAUUUGAAGCAAGAACUUUUCAUUCGAUAUCCAAUUUCUUCAUCAUUAGGACUUUCAAACUCCAAGCAUAUAUUAAGUCAAGAUUGCGGGUGUAACGAAAUUUUUCAUGUUGGAUUUGGUCUAUGUUGCAUUUUCCAAACUGCAAGCCCUUUUUUCAUCAGAAAAGAAAUAUCUCAUUAACUCAAGAGAAAGCAAGGAAGAGAGAUACUUCCACUUGGAGGUGAGGCCCCAACCAUAGGAAAACUGUAGAAAAACGUAUUUGGCUCAAUUCUACUUUUCAUUCAUUCUCAAAUGUACAAUAUAUAUAUAUAUAUAUAUAUAGCCAAGUCCAAUAUUAGAAGUCAAAUCGUGUGAAUGGUAGAAGAUCAAUGUAUAAAAAUCAUUGUUCUAAAAAACGCCAUAGGCAGCCACCUAGGCGCUAGGCGCCUUGGAACCGAGGCGAUUUUGUGCAAAAAGGCUAGAAAAAUUGGGGUGGCUCUAGGCGGGCUAGGUGGCUGGAUGAUUUUUUUUUUUUUAAAUGUUAAAGUCUAAGUUCUAAUUAUACCUUGAAAUUUUAUUAAUUUUAUAGAAUAGGUGUGUUGUGUACCAACUUAAAUUCCGGGAUGCUAAAGAUAAGUAUCUUACAUUACUAAAUUUCCGUAUUUUCCUCCUAUUUUCCAUUUUAUGUUAUUUUAAAAUGUGAACUUAUUGUACAUGUGUCAUACUACAAUACUCCUCAAUAUGGUUAUAUGGCAUUGUAGACAUCGAAAUUUCGGUAAAUAAAUGUUGACCGAUAAAUCAAAGUUUCAACGCUCAUGUAUUACAGAAAUUUUACACGUAGCGUGUGUCUAAACAAAAAAUCGAGAAUCAUCGGAAAAGUCAUCAAACAUGACACAUGUCAACACCUGGCAGAAACGACUUAUUUCAUCUGGAAUAUUAUAUUCAAAAUUAGGCCUUGGAAAAUUCUAUAAAUAAAAGCCAAUUUCAUUCAUUUGAGGGGACCAAAAAAUCAUUAGGCAAAAUUCUUGAAGCUCUGAAGCUCUGAAACUCCGAAGCUCUCAAGUAUCCAGGUUCCCGAAGAAUCAAGAAAGCUCUCUUCGUUCUUUGUUCUUCGUUCAUCCUAAGAUCAAGCCCCAACGGCCCUUUGGAUCAACAAUCAUCCACCAAUUCAAGAUCAAGCCCCGACGGCCCUUGAAGAAAGUGUUCUUCGUUCUUCGUUCAUCCUUCUUCCAAGAUCAAGCCCCGACGACCCUUGGAUCAACAAGCCACCGUUCUUUAGGAUCAAGCCCAAAAGCCCUUGAAGAUCCGUUCAUCACUGUUCUUCAAGAUCAAGCCCAAAAGCCCCUUGAAAGAUCCGUUCAUCACUGUUAUUCAAGAUCAAGCCCAAAAGCCCUUGAAGAUCCGCUCAUCACCGUUAUUCAAGAUCAAGCCUCAAUGGUCCUUGAAGAAACACUCAUCCUCAAGAUCAAGCCCCAACGGCUCCUUGAAGAAACUUCCAACAGUUCAUCCAAAAUCAAGCCUCGACGGUCCUUGGAUCAACAAAACUAGGGGUGGAAUUUUUUCCCGAAAAUCCCGAACCGUCCCGAUCCCGUCCCGAAAUUAACCCGAAAAAUUCCCUAACCGAAUUUCCGGAAACAUUCGGUUUAGGGUUUAGGGAAUCCCGAACCGAACCGAAUAUUAUAUAUAUAUAUAUUUAUUUAUUUUUAAUUUUUAAUUAGAAAUUACUUGAACCGUUGGAUUUGUUAAAAUCUAAUCCAACCGUCCAUAGUUAGGUCAUUUGUUUGUUAGGUUAUCAGACUCUCUCAGUCGCUCUCGCUCUCUCACUUCACUGGCUCACUCACACACACUCUCACUCUCACAGUCACUCUCACCACAGUCCCCCCGCUCCACUCCUCCGUCGAAUCCACGCCGCUCAUCAUCGUCCAUCACUCCAUUGACUCACGCUGCUCCACUCCUCCGUCGAAUCCAUGCCGGUCCUCGUCAUCCAUUGACUCACGCCGCUUCUCCAUGGACUGACGCUUCUCCAUCGACUCACACACUCGAAUCCGACACCAAUCGAGUCCCAAAAUCCAGGUUAGUAGGCCUAGAAGCUUUCCCAGUUGCAUGCAAUGCUUCAUCUCUGUGCCUCGAGAAAUUUCUUCACUGAUUAGCAUAACAAAUCUCACAGAGAGAGAGAAAGAGUGGGAGUGUGUAAGAGAGAGAGAGAGAAUGAGAAUGAAUCAAUUUCGAGCAUUCCUCCUAAUCAUCUUCUUGUUUUUCUUCGUCUUCAGUAUCUGUUUAGGGCUCUAUACGGACCAUCAUUGCCAGUUCUUCAGCUAACUCCUUCCAACUUCAAGUCCAAGGUAAAUGUUGAAACUUUACCAGUAAUUGGGUGUACCAUUUUCAGAUUCUUUAGUUUUUUGCAUUAAAUCUAUUGGAAUUUGUCACCGUUUGGAUUGAAAAGCAAUUGGGCUUCAAUUUCGAACACGUUUUACUCAUUCAUAUGGAUGUUAAGUUUUAAUUUGUUUUUACUUUCUCCGGUCCAUUUUUCAUUUGGCAUGCCCUGCUAUUUGGAUGCCCUGCCAUUUUUCAUUUUUCAAUCCGGCAAAUAUUUUCAUUUUUGCAUGCCCUGCUAUUUGGCAGCAAAUAUUUUUCUCUUUCCAUGCCCUGCAACGAUUGUGAAGACUUGGUUAGUGUGUGUGAUACUUAAUUUUGGCAAUUUGAUUUUGUAUUCAGGUCAGAUUUUAAAGCAGCUAUCAGAGAUAACUAGCAGGUAGGUUCUAACUUCUAAGUUUAAACAAGAGCUCAAUAACAAACAGGUCAGAUUUUGCACUCUGUCAAUAUAUGUAAUGUGAUAUAUAUAAUGUGGUAUAUAUGUGCACUCUCUGUCAAUAUAUGUAAUGUGAUAUAUAUAAUGCGGUAUAUAUGUGCACUCUCUGUCAAUAUAUGUAAUAUGAUAUAUAUGUGCACUUUGUGAUAUAUUGUUUGUAUUGAAAAAUAUUACAUCUCAAUGACUUGAUUUUAUUUAAGUGGAUGAAAAUAACCUAAUUGUAAAUAUAAGUAGUAGUGGCACAUAAACAUUGCACCAUAUUUGAAUGAUUAACAAACACUGGGGGAAGCAUCUGCCAUCUGGGAUUAAUUUCAAGGUCACAAAAUAUCCUGUAUAUUUCCCCACAAAUGAAUAACGAUGCCAGCUGAGUUUAUAUACACUUUUAUAUAUGUGCACUCUGUCAAUAUAUGUAAUCUGAUAUACAUGUGUUUAUGGAUUAAUUUAUGGAUCAGUUUAUGGAUCAGUUUAUUUAUGGAUUAGUAUAUGAAUAUUAUAUAUAUGUUGAACUGUGUUGUGAUAUAUUAUUGUGCAUUGUCAGGAUAAAGGAAAGGAACUAAAGGAAGAGGCCAUUCAUCAACAAGUGGAAGAGGCUGAAGGGGCUAAAGGAAAGGAACUACGUUUAUAAACUAUGUUUUGGUUGCAUGCACUUUCUUGCUUAUAAACUAUUUAACUAUGUUUUUCUUUUGGUUUGUAAUUUAAUCUAAAUUCAUUCGGAAGUUUGGUUUGUAAAACUUAACUUAUUUCAUUUUGGUUGCAUGCACUUUUAAUUAACUAGUUUGUUAGACAAUUGUGAACUUAAGCUUAACUUGUUAGUUGUUGCUUCCUUGGUAUGAAAAUUGAAACAGGUAUGGUAUUGUGAAUCUGUGAUAUUGUGAUGAAUUUGAAACAGGUGGGCUCUGCAGCCUGUGCUUGUGCGGGCAGUGGCUGGUUACAACUGCCAAUUGUAACCCUUUUUUUUUUUUUUUUUUUAUUUAUGAAAAAAGGGUGGGCUUUCCCUUUAAAGGGUGGGCUUACUCUUUAAAAGCCCAACAUUUUGGGCUUCAAAUUGUAAAAAGCUUAAAAUUGUAAAAAGUUAUAAAAGCCCAACAUUUUGGGCUUCAAGGCCCAAUCCCGAAGUUUCCCGAAAAUCCCGAAACACUUUCGGGAAUCCCGAAUUUCGGGAUUCCAAUAAUUUUGGUUCGGUUUCGGGAUAUAAAAUCCCAUCCCGAAAUGUUUUGGUUUGGGAAUCAGGUUCGGGGUUUCGGUUCGGGAUCCCGACCCGAACCAGCCCUAAAUGAAACAUCCACAAAUCAACACCUUACGGAGAUCGAAUCAGAGGAUCAAAAUAGAGAGAGAUUGUAACCCAAAAUCAUCAAAUACAAAUAUUAUUUUGUGCACGUUGUUCUUGUCUCUUUCGUUUCAGGGAAAUUUCGUUUUUACAAAUUAGCACGCCCAGUGGGACAAUCUCUACCUCUCAUCUCUUUCUCCGUUCAAGAAAUUCGAGCACACUUCCAAAAUUAAUGGCAUCAAGGAAGGCUCAAACUGUUCCCGCAACUGGCGCAAAGAAUAAGAGUGUCCUCGUCGCAAGUGGUGUCACUUUAGGCAUCACGACUCGAAGCAAGGCAAGAGCUACUUCUGCCGCCUCUUUCACCUCUGCAUCAACUCUGCAAAGGGAACAAGAGCACCCAAGGCACGAGCCUUUGAUCACCUUAGCCUCACCAAGGGCACCAAGGGGCGAAAGUCCAAGGAAAUACUCUGAAUCCAUGCUCUCCGAUGCCGAUUCGAGCGGCAGUUUAGCCAUGCAAGUCAUGACCAUUGGAGCAACUUCAAUCGAUGAGCAGUUGGCUCAAAUGAAUGAAGCAAUCGCAAGGCUAACCUGAACUGUGGAAGAAAAAGACUUGCAAAUCGCUGCACUCGUCAGCCGACUGGAGCCACAGGACGGCGAGAACCCUAACCUAGAAAAUGAGCCUACGGUGGAGAGAAUCGAUGCGAAGCCAGAGCCAGACCAAGCAGCGGCACUUAUGGGAUCUCUUUCUAUCCAACAGCUGCAAGAGAUGAUCACCAACACCAUCAAGACACAGUACGAAGGGAGCUCAAAUACCUCCGGGUUGUACUCGAAGCCGUAUUCAAAGAAGAUCGACGCCUUAAGGAUGCCGAGGGGUUAUCAACCGCCAAAGUUCAUGCAAUUUGAUGGAAAAGGAAACCCGAAACAACACGUUGCCCACUUUGUUGAAACUUGCAACAACGCAGGGACCGAAGGGGACUACCUCGUCAAGCAGUUUGUGCGCUCGUUGAAAGGAAACACCUUUGAGUGGUACACGGACCUAGAGCUUGAGUCCAUCAACAGCUGGGAGCAAUUGGAGCAGGAAUUCCUCAACCGCUUCUACAACACUCGCCGCACUGUGAGCAUGCUAGAGCUAACAAGCACAAAGCAAUGGAAAGAUGAGCCGGUAUUGACUACAUCAACAGAUGGCGCACUCUAAGCCUCGACUGCAAAGACAGGCUCUCGAAGACUUCUUCAAUCGAGAUGUGUGUCCAAGGUAUACAAUGGGGUUUGCAAUACAUCCUUCAAGGCAUUAAACCACGGACCUUCGAAGAGCUAGCCACCCGCGCCCAUGACAUGGAGUUAAGCAUCGCUCAUCAUGGGAAGAAAUAACCGAUCUCUGACUACAAGAUUGACAAAGUUCUUAAGACAAAGGUGGAGAAGGCUGCGUGUAAAUCCACCAAGGAAGCAAUGACGGUCAACACAACUCCCGUCAAAAUCCUUACACGAGGCAAGGCUAUUCAAACCGAAGCUUUUCAUGAUCAAGAGAUGCGUAGACGCAAUUUGAAGGAGCUUGAGGAGAAGACUUAUCCAUUCCUCGACUCUGAUGUGGUUGCCAUGCUGGAUGACUUGUUGGACAAGAAGGUGAUCGGUUUGCCUGAGUGCAAACGGCCGGAAGAGAUGAAUCGUACCGACAGUCUAAGAUACUGUAAAUUCCACCGCUUCAUCAGUCAUCCGACAGAAAAAUGCUUCGUGCUGAAAGAUCUCAUCAUGAAGCUGGCUCAGAAAGGAAUCAUCGAGCUAGAUCUUGACGAUGUUGUGAAGUCAAACUAUACCACCAUCACUUCUGGCUAUUCCAACUCAAGGUUUUUACCUCAACCGCUGGGGGCAUCCUCCAAGACAAGCAAAGUUAAAGGAUGGACUCAAGUCACUCCUAAAAAAUUGCACAAGAAGCAUACGUCUCCUCCACAAGUCCGCCAAUCGGAAAGGGGGCAAAGCAACUCUUGUCAACCUUCAAAGCAACAUGAACGUGUUGAAGAUGAUGAAAUUUCGACACAUAGAUCGUCUAUCCCCAUCACGAUGCGCGAUUUCUUUCCUGAAGACUUCUUCAAUCACUCUGUCAAGACUCCUUGCUAUGAAAAUUGCAAGGAAAGCCUCUCCAGGAUCGUUUAACAAAUUCACAAUGCUCCUUGUCCGCACGAGCCUAAACUGUAGGACACGAAGCUCCUCGCCUGCACGAGCCUAAACUGCAUGGCACAACGCUCCUUGUUCGCAUGAGCAUAAAAAGCGACAACAAAUGCUCCUGGUCUGCAUGAGCAUAAAAGGCGACAACCAACGCUCCUUGCCUGCACGAGCUAAAACUGCAAACGGCACCAAAUUCUCCUUGCCUGCACGAGUUAAAACUGCAAACGGCACAAAAAGAAAAUACCCAAAAAAAUAUGUAUGCAUUUGAACUACGUUAUGACUUGAUUUCUUCUUUGGAAGGGUACGUAGGCAACUCGAACGUUCAACUUCGAGUACAGUCAUGUCAAAACAAAAAAAAAUAAAUUAAUUAAUUAAUUAAGGUCUUAUUAAAUGCUUGACUAUUGAGAGUCAAUUUUAUUACAAAUUAAAAAAAACAAUAUUCUUUGUAUUAAAAAAAAAAAUAUAUAUAUAUAUAUAUAUAUGUAUGUAUACAUGAUAAAGUGGGUCUUCUUGCACUUAAGACCCGUGCCAAAUCAAAGAAACACAAGUUGGAGUCCACAGAAAGAAGCAGCCCAAAUCCAAGCCCAAGCCUUCCUCCAUUUCACAGAGUCCAUGCUAGAUGAAGCUUUUGAAAAUGGGUGUGCAGAGAGAUUCGAAGCUCGACCUCAUCACUCACAACCGCUUCCAUCCCUGCCUUCACUCUCGCACCCAUUCCAUCAAUCCGGUUUUCUUUCAAGUCGGCAUCGAGAUCCUUCGUAGUUCCCUUACUCAUCGCCCAGUCUCUCUGCCAUCUCCCGCAGCACCGCGAAGCCGCUCGUCGACCCAAGAGACGAUGGCUUCCGACUCAAAGUCUGCUUCAUACUCGACCUUCCUUUCAAUUUUCUUCAUCCCCUCCAUUGAAGAAGCAGCAGCCAUGCCGCUGCCAGAGGCGUUGAAGUCCAACGACGAUUUGGACUCUCCUGUGAUUUCGCACCUGUAAAACCUUUCAUGGAGCUCCGUCUCCCACCACAGUCGGGGCUUUGGAUCCAUAGUCUCCUUAGCCAACUCCAACCUCUCGCCAACUCCGGCCGCGAUCCGAAGUCGAUGAUCGUUCAGAUUCUCGAGCAAAAGGAGGGGCUAAGCAGUUUGUAUAAAGAAGCAAUGGAUGCAUCGAGGUUGCUGGUGGUUUAAAGGGUUUCAAACCAGAAGGUCCCCAUGGAUGGUUUUCUCAACAGAAGCAAUUCGAUGAUUCGGCAUCGUUUCUCUCAGCCCUUCGAAACCAUAAACCCAAACUCCACCUGCUACACAUGGUGUGCACGCCCAUGUUCAACAAUCUUGUCCCGCCGCUUUCAACGUAUCGCAAGAGUUUUACAACGCCACUCCCACCUAUGCUCUGACCUUGCAUGCUGCACUUGAUUGGCGUUAUGCACUUGCUCAUGCUGGUGCCGUACGACGUCGUCAACUCGCCAAAGACAUCGAAAUUUCGGUAAAUAAAUGUUGACCGAUAAAUCAAAGUUUCAACGCUCAUGUAUUACAUAAAUUUUACACGUAGCGUGUGUCUAAACAAAAAAUUGAGAAUCAUCGGAAAAGUCAUCAAACAUGACACAUGUCAACACCUGGCAGAAACGACUUAUUUCAUCUGGAAUAUUAUAUUCAAAAUUAGGCCUUGAAAAAUUCUAUAAAUAAAAGCCAAUUUCAUUCAUUUGAGGGGACCAAAAAAUCAUUAGGCAAAACUCUUGAAGCUUUGAAGCUCUGAAACUCCGAAGCUCUCAAGUAUCCAGGUUCCCGAAGAAUCAAGAAAGCUCUCUUCGUUCUUCGUUCUUCGUUCAUCGUUCAUCCUAAGAUCAAGCCCCAACGGCCCUUUGGAUCAACAAUCAUCCACCUAUUCAAGAUCAAGCCCCGACGGCCCUUGAAGAAAGUGUUCUUCGUUCUUCGUUCAUCCUUCUUCCAAGAUCAAGCCCCGACGGCCCUUGAAUCAACAAGCCACCGUUCUUCAGGAUCAAGCCCAAAAGCCCUUGAAGAUCCGUUCAUCACUGUUCUUCAAGAUCAAGCCCAAAAGCCCCUUGAAAGAUCCGUUCAUCACUGUUAUUCAAGAUCAAGCCCAAAAGCCCUUGAAGAUCCACUCAUCACCGUUAUUCAAGAUCAAGCCUCAACGACCCUUGAAGAAACACUCAUCCUCAAGAUCAACCCCCAACGGCUCCUUGAAGAAACUUCCAAUAGUUCAUCCAAAAUCAAGCCUCGACGGUCCUUGGAUCAACAAGCCACCGUUCUUCAAGAUCAAGCCCAAAAGCCUUUGAAGAUCCGUUCAUCAUUGUUCUUCAAGAUCAAGCCCAAAAGCCCCUUGAAAGAUCCGUUCAUCACUGUUAUUCAAGAUCAAGCCCAAAAGCCCUUGAAGAUCCACUCAUCACCGUUAUUUAAGAUCAAGCCUCAACGGCCCUUGAAGAAACACUCAUCCUCAAGAUCAAGCCCCAACGGCUCCUUGAAGAAACUUCUAACAGUUCAUCCAAAAUCAAGCCUCGAUGGUCCUUGGAUCAACGAAACAUCCACAAAUCAACACCUUACGGAGAUCGAAUCAGAGGAUCAAAAUAGAGAGAGAUUGUAACCCAAAAUCAUCAAAUACAAAUAUUAUUUUGUGCACGUUGUUCUUGUCGCUUUCGUUUUAGGAAAAUUUCGUGUUUACAGGCAUAUAUGCUUAAUGUGUUUUUAAAUUUUGGACUUGUUGGAUACUCUUUUUGCAUUUUAUCAUUCUUUUAUUAUCUUAUCCAUAGAUUUCAUACAAGUAUAAUUUUUUGUAAGUGUCAAUAUGCACUUAUUUACAAGAUAUACAAGAAAAUUACCUAAAUCCGCAUAGGCCGCCUAGCCGCCUAGGCGCUAGGCGCUAGCCCACAUCUCGACUAGCGCCUAGCGUUUUUUAGAAUCUUGAUAAAAAUUAACAAGUGUGUGUAGGAAGUAAAGUGGGAUGUGUGAAUUACAUUGGGAGAAAUUAGAUUCACAUCCUUCUUUUUGCUACUCCAUUGGUUAAAACAUUAUUCCUUUUUAAUUUUUAAUCAAGGUCUUUGGAUAUUAAUAAUAUCAUUAAUUAUUUCAAUAAUAAUUUUUUUAAAUAUAUUCCUUUAGUGUUAAAAAUGUUACAAUUAAUAUAUUUAUAUUUAUGGUUAAAAUUUUUAUCAUAUAUUUUUAUUUUUAGUUUGUAACCAGUUUUAAUUUGCAAACCUUUUUCAAUUUGUACCAAUUUUCUUUUCAGUUUCAAUUUGUACCCAUAUAUUAAUUUCUUUUUGUGCCCAUAUUUUUUAAUGCUUUAUUUGUAUUUGUGUCCAUUUGUUUACCAUCAUGUGACAUUGUAUAAUUAAUCAAUGAUAGAAAAAAAGGAAAAUUAAUGAAAAUGGUUUGAAAACUUUGAGUUUUAACGAUAAGGACAAAAUAAAGGGUAAAGCGAAUAAUAUCAUGAUUGACUUUUUAGUGAAAAAAUAUGGUUUUUCGUUAAAGUGAACAGUACCGGAAGCUUUUCGUUAAAGUUUCGUAGAAAAAAUUACAUAUGUUAUAUUUAUGUUUUAUGUUUUAUGACAUAACUAUUUGUAGACAGGCAUCAAUAUAAAAUUAUUCUGCAAUAUAAUUUCUAAAAAGUGAUAGAGACGAGUGUAAAGGGAACAAGUGCAUCGCAUUUCUUCUACAUGCGUAAGAAGAGAUGCUCUUGAUUAAUUGAUUCAUGAGUUAACUUUUGAAGUCGUCUUCAACUUUUGAAAUUGUGUGAAAUCAGAAGUUAGAAAAAUGAGCAGCACCGUACAAGAAACAAGGCUUGAUGACGCAGCACUAGUGUAGAAGGAUUAAAAAUAUAAAUCCUUGAAGAAACAAAGUUUUUGGAACCCACCAGUUUGAUAGAAACUCUAAAAAGAUAAUUUGAUUAAUUGAUGAGUUGGUGAUUACACACCCAUGACUUAAAUAAGUCAUUUACAACAUUUUUGGACAACUCAAAAGGCUUAGAGAAUUAAAACGAAAGUAAAUGACAUUAAUCCAACGACAAUUGAAAAGUCUGAAACUUAUUACAAACUUUAAUUUUUGGUUUUGGAAGCCUAAUUCCUCUUAAACACGACGGGCUCAUGAUAUCAUUCCUCUUGUUCUACUCGCGAUUCUCUUCAAAACGAUAUAUUAUAUGCCUAAUUAUGACACCGGAAUAUUUCUUGUUGUCGUUUAUGUCGUCAUAUUUAUUGAAUUCAAUAUUUUCCAAUUUUAUUUCUUCUUCUCUUGAAACAUUUUAUUUUAUUUAUAUUUCUUGAUAGGAAGUGACUCAUAUCUUGUCUUACAUCACUUGACUUGACCUCAACCAUUUGAUCUUCGACCUCAAGAUCCAGAAUAAUGGAGUGUGUAAAAAAUAAAUAAAUAAAGGGAAGAGAAAAAGAAGUACAAACCGGUUACAAAACUCUGCUAAAAUUGCUACAUAACGCAAAAUGACUACAUCUUAUCAAAAACUUAACACCAGCCAAGUUACAUGGUGUAUUUAUAAAGACCCAAUUCUUAACAAACAUGAAAGCAAUCGUAAACCCUCCUAAAUAAUAGGAAAGUAACCUAAGAUCAUGUGGCACAGAAGGAUUUGAGAGUAGUAUAGAUUGACUGAAUAGUACUCCUUUUCUUAAAGUCGACAAGACUGAACAAAUAAUGAAUGCAACCAAAUAUAGUAAUUAGGUUUUAAUUCGACCGGUGGAGUGGAUACUGGUCUAUGUGUGGAACUUGUGCUUUGUUUUUGGUCUAUGUUGAUUUUUUCAAACUGCAAGUUCUUUUCUCAUCAGAAAAGAAAUAUCUCAUUACUCAUCCCCAACUACAGAUGUCUCUAGGAAGUGUAGGUAUUCUUGUUGACGUCAAAUAGGAGAGAAACGGCAUUCACUAGUCUUACUUGGUUGAUAUGACUCUUCGACACUUGGUACACCCGAUUCUUCUACACUUAAUGGAUUUCUGUUUAAGAAGUUGAGGUUCCACCAUAAUAUCGUAGUAGUCACAUGCACUCCACGUCGCUCCGUUGUUUGUCCAUAUGUUAGGCUUGAAAUUUUUUCCGCAAAAAACAGAAGAAAAAAAAAGUUAAUUUUUGCAUAUAUGUAACACAUUUAUAGUUGAUCUCAUGAGUUCCUUCCGUAAGGGUUUAUGAUAUUUGUAUUGACACUCUUGUAAGGUUUUAUCAUAUUUAUAUGGCUAAUUGCAAGACUUAUCAACUUCACAUUUGGGUACUUCUAAAUGUGUUGGACCUUCAUGCUUGAAAUCUUGAUUCAAAAAUAUGUAAUUUGUAUUGGAAUGAAAAAUUAAACAAAAAAAAAAAAAACAAUGUUAAUGGGUGACUCAUGAGCUUAACAGGUUAAGUUUGGAUGACUUAUUAGCUUAACGAGUCGGGGAUGACUCAUUAGCUUAACGGGUCAGGUGAAACAUGACCUAAACCCAAUAAACCGAACCCGUUUACAGGUUACCAGUAGAUAGUAAAGGGGAUGAGAGUUUCAGACUCUCAGCAUCAAAUUAUUAGUCAUCAGUUUCAAUUCCUGCAUUGGCUUGAAGUGCAAUGGAUUUGAGGCCCGAAAUUUUUAUUCGAUACCCAAUUUCUUCAUCAUUUUAGGACUUUCAAACUCCUAACAUCUAUUAAGUCAAGAGUGCGGUGUAACGAAAUUUAUCAUGUUGGAUUUAGUCUAUGUUGCAUUUUUCAAACUACAAGUCCUUUUCUUGAGAAAAGGAAUAUCUCAUUAACUCAAGAGAAAGCAAGGAAGAGGAGAAAUACUUCGAGUUGGAGUUGAGGCUCCAAACAUAGGAAAACUGUAGAAAAACGUAUUUGACUCAAUUGUACUUUUCAUUCAUUCUCAAACUGUAGAAAAACGUAUUUACUCUUUUAUAUAAUGAGCCUAAUGCUGAAACGUUAAUGAAUCCAUGUAGAAGAUUUAAUAAGCCUAAUUGUUCAUUGAACCUAAUUAACUAACAUUCCCUCUCAAGUUAGAGAGUGAAGAUCCACAACUCCCAACUUCCGUAUCAUAAUCGAAAAUUUUAAAUUUCGUCAGGUAAAAGCUUAAGCAUUGAAAACUUACUUUUACCUGACGAAACGGUUUCGUCUAAAAUGGUGUUUUCUUGUAGUGAUAUCAAGUAACUCCAUAACAAUAAUCUUUUGAAUUUUUGCACUCUUAGCUAUGUAUGGAAGUACAAAGUGACACAACUAUUUAUAGACGGGUAAUGCUUGACAAAGGAAUACGUAUAGGGUGGACUAAUAUAUAUAAAAUAUAUAUGUGUGUGUCCAUAAAUUCCUUACCACAUCAACCUUGACCCAUUGGAAUCUAUAAAUUUGAAUCUAAAUUCCCAUGGCUAAACCAAAUUCUUUACAAACACUUAUCAGCUGCUAAUUAUUAAACUGACCAACUAUGAUUAGUGUGAUGAGCUGAAGGAUACAAAAUAUGUGUUAUAUAAUUAUGGUUGUUUAGUAAAACUAUAACACAGCUAAUGUUUCUCUCGCCUAUCUUUUCUCACAAUCUAAUAAGUGGACUAAAUGAUUUAAGCAGUUAGUGAAAGAACAUAUGUAGCUUGUAAUUUGACUAAUUUACCCAUGUUCGGAGAAAUUUCACAGGCCUUUGUAAGAUUUCACUUUAACAAAGAGAGCUCCAAUAACCUUCUAAAACAUUUAAGCAAAGCACAUAUCACAAAAAAUGAACCUGAAUGGGGAAGAUCAUCAUAAGCUAAUAUGGACCAUGUAUAAAAGAGAUAAAUAGGAAUUAAGGAUGUGUGAAUGGAUACCAAGCAACUAAAAAGCUUCUAAUGGGUCUUUUCCUUCAAAUAAUGAUUGAUAAGAAACAACCAUUCUUCAUGAGGAAGCAGGUAAUGUAUUGUGCACCCUAAUCUAUUGUCCUAACAACCAUAAUACAUAGAAAUUUGUGGUGCUCCACUGCACGUAUGCAGCAGGCUUUUAAGCAUAUCAAUAUUUGCAUAAGAAGAACCAACAAACAGAGAGACGAAACACCUAAAUUUAGAACGAUUGGUUUUAGGGUGGAAUUCUAAUUUUUUUCAUGGUACAGAGCAUGUCGUCCCACGUGUGAAGCCAAAUGGCCACACGCAUUUCACGUUAUCCUGUUGUGUGUUCACGUGUUAGGCUUGAAAAUUCACCACACAUGAAAGAGUGUGUUGAGAAUGAGUUCCACGUCAAUGAGAGGAGGGACCUUGCAUGAGCUUAUAGGAAAUUAAGUUAUUCCUCGUAUUACCAAUUGAUUUUAUAGUAAAACCUCACAUUUUUUUCAAAAUGAAAGCUUAACAAAAAAAAAAAAAGGGAUAAAAAACACCUAAAUUUACAGAGAUAAUUUAAAACAUGUAAAUAAGAAAUUGAAAAGUAAUCUGCAAUUUGGUUUCUUCAGAAGCAAUGAGAAAAAGAAAACGGGAGAAUGAGACCAACACAGAGAAGAAAACAUCCUUUUUACCCCUAAGUUGUGCGCGACGUCCUACUUCCUUCCCUUCUUCGUUUUGGCAGCCUUCCCCUUCAUUCCUUUCAUUCUUCGUAUUUUCUCCCCCGCGCUGUCUCACUUUCAGAGUCUGUAAGACUCACUCACGACUCAGCAGCUGUUCAGCCUGACUUGUGCCUCAUCUCAGCCUCACUCAGUCCUUCCUCGACGUCGACCACUCGCCCACCUCACACACCCUCGCGGCCCACAAGCUUCCUCUCGCCGUUUCGAGUCUCGACAGCCCACCGUGAUUCCUCGAUUCCAAAAGGUUAGUCUUUGUGCUGGAUUAAAAUUUGGAUCCACAACUAUAGUUGGUCUUUCUGCUGAUUAAAAUUUGGGUCACAACUGUGUUUUUUACGAUUAGGGAUUUGAAUUGGAAACCUUAUCUGUCAUUUCUGCUUUGACAGUUUUGUUUCUCUAUUUGUAAAUAUGAAUUCAUCACGCAAAAACACAAAAUGGUUUUGUUAUUUCCCAUUAAUUUUCUUGUUAAAAUAUGUCAAUAAUAUGAAGAGAGUUUUAAUGAAAAAUAUGUGGUACCGUUUACUUUAAUGAAAAAUUACAUUUUUACAUUAAAAAAUCAAAUAUAGAACUAUUCACUUUACCUUUUAUUUUGUUCUUAAUGUUAAAACUCAAAAUUUUCAAACCAUUUUUAUUAAUUUUCUUAAUAUGAAAGGUUUUGUUAUUCGCCAAUGUGGGACUUUCGCCUUCACCUCUUCACGUGUACCAAUCACUUGUUUUUUCCCCAUUAAUUUUCUUGUUAAAAUAUGUGAAUAAUUUUGAAAAAUGGUACAUAAAAGUACUCUUAUAAAGUUAUAAUAUCCUUCACAUGAAAAGGUUUUUUUGCAAGAAUAAAAGGUUUAUUGUCCUUUGCACGACAAAAGAGAAAUUAAGUCACAAUGAGCAAGAAAAUUAUUGAGAAGAAUAUAUAAGAUAGAUAUUUAUAUUAAUGAUAACAUUAUUAUUUCAUCAAUGAUGUAACACAAGUUUUAGGGCUAACAACUUUGAUGUUUUCUGUUUCUGCGCUUCAAGUCCACCAGCCCUUUUGCAUUUGUUGCCUAUUGCACAACUGAUGUAUUCAGUUUACAAGUUGUUCCUACAAAACCAGUUCCCUUGUAAUCAACGAUUCUCAUUCAUUCCCUCCGAUGAUUGGAACAAAAUGUAGUACAAAUUUCGUAGCUCUGGUUUUAGAAUUUUAGACAAUUCUUGCUAUAAACAUUACUCUUAAAUAAGUAUUCUUAGUUACUAAGGCAUAGGAAAGUUUCGAUUUCAUUUGAUUGAAAAGAUUGUCUCCAAUUAAUCGAAUGAAUAAGAAUCCUUUCAAAUGAACAUAGCUGCUUUCAUUCUAAUUUUAGAAAAUCCAAAUCCAUGAAAACAUGCAGCACUCUACUACCUUUAUUUACAUUACUUUCUAUCUCCAUUUAGUUGUUAAAGAAGCCCGACAGUACAAGCAAAUUGAUAUAACUUAAAAACAAUAUGAUAUAUAGGGCUGAGUCUUGAACUUGAACAACACAAUCAACUAAAAGCUAAAAAGCACCAAUACCUUCUAUCUUUUUUUCUUUAAAGAAACCUCGACGGUACGAGGGAAAAUUAUUUGAAUAAAAAAAAAAGUUACACCUAGUCUGGGGGACAUAAACCUUACCCUUCAAAAUAAAGAAACCGAAAGUACAAGAAAAUAGGAGGGACAUACACUUACAUAACCUGACACAAACUUAUAACUAAACAUAUAGAAAGUGAAGAAAAGAAACCACAACAGAGAAAACAAACGACAACAAGAAAUGCGUAACGGUAACAAACUGAAUUUCUACUUCCCCCACUAGUACUCUAAAUUUUCCUUAUCAUUUGCCUGAUCAUUCCAACAAUCUUAAGAAACAAGUCGGGCCUCCUUGUGAUCACAACAUCCGCAAGAACUACUCCCACUACCAACCCACUUCCACAUCCGGCCGAAACAAUUUUCCAAUCCAAUUCAAAUAUGCCUUCUGAGCUAGAAUCACCUUCGUCGAUGGUUGAAGGUGGAAGUUCAGGGGCCUUAGGAUCUCCACAUUUCUUUGGCAAUGGAUCUCCACACAACCCUGGGUUUCCCUCGUAUGAAGUGACAUUCAAAGAAGUAAGCUGGGUUCCUUGUGGUAUAGAACCUGUGAGAUUGUUGUGAGACACAUUGAAACUGGAAAGAAAAUUAAGUUGCACCAGCUGUUGGGGGAUACGUCCUGAGAGCUUGUUUUGUGAAAGGUCCAACGAUUCAAGCUUCAUCAAGUUUCCAAAGGAUGAUGGGAUAGAACCAGUGAGAAAGUUGUGGGAUAGAUUCAGCGAACGAAGCUCCUUAAGAUUCCCGAUGAAUUCUGGAAUUUUCCCUUCAAAUUUGUUGCAUGAGAUAUCGAAGGAUGCGAAUUCUUCUCGAAUCUUUGGGUAGUGUUGCUCCAAGCCUUUUGUUGCUAUAGUGAGUUGGUAAUCAACACUGUUAACAAUCGUGAAUCCAUUGACAUCAUAAACUACGUCUGUGUACAUAUAUGUUGACUUGUUUACAGUAAUAUCUGGAAACACAGAUGGAACCGCACCAGUAAAAUCAUUGUAAGCCAAAUCAAGAAUGCGUAACUUAGGGAAAUCGACAUUCUUUCUAGACUUUCCAAUCACACCGUGGAAUCCAUUAUGGCGCAUUGCCAAAAGUUUUAGCUCUAGAAGAGUCCCCAACCAAAUGGGGAAAACAUCAUUGAAUCGAUUGUUUGACAAAACAAGAUACUCAAGCAUUAUACAAUUGACCAAUGACCUCGGCAACUGCCCCUGCAACUUGUUAUGACUCACAUCAAUCAUUCUCAACUUGCUUCCUUUGUUGUAUGUCUGAGGAAUAAUUCCGUGAAAAGAGUUGUUUCCAAGAAGUAAAAGAAUCAGAUCAUCACUAAAGUUUCCGAGACAUUGAGGAAGCAUGCCACUCAAGUUAUUUUUCGACAAGUCAAGAUACUGAAGAUUUUUCACAUUGCAAAGCGACGGUGAGAUUUCUCCAGUAAAGUUGUUGUCUGCAGCUGCAUAUUCUCGCAUGGUUGGUGGAGGUAUCGGUAGUGAUCCAUGAAACAUGUUGGCCGAAAACCUUAUACAUAACAGUUUCACCCAAGGAAGGACAAGUGGAGGUUGGUCUGAAAUGAAGUUACUAGAAAUGUCUAACAAUAGCAAAGUUUCUAUGCUUGUGUUCCACAUCCAUUUUGGUACUUGGCCUCGGAUUUUGUUUCUAGAAAGGUCCAAACGCUCCAAACGUUUCUGAUAUUGUAAGAAAGAUGGAAACUCUCUUAUGUUGCAAAAACUCAAUCCUAGAAUGGUGAACUGCGGAACUGUUGAAUUCACAAUUCUCGAUUCAGUGACAAAAUCUAUACUGUUCCAAUUUAAUUGGAGUUGGUAAAGAAAUUGUAGAUUUUGAAACAUUUGAAACUCUACUACACCACUCAGACAAUUGGAAUGUAGAUAAAGGAUCUGAAGGUUUGUGAGAUUGGAAAAUGACGCAGGAAUUGAACCAUUCAGUUCAUUAAAAGCAAAAUCUAGGUACUCUAGUUUGCUAAAGUUGCCUAGCCAAGAUGGGAUUGGACCAGUUAAUCGAUUCAUAGUGCUACUAAUCCUAAAAGUAGCCAGUUGGGUAAGGUUUGCCAAGGAAUCAGGAAUUGGACCUCCAAAUCUGUUGUUUGAAAUGUCUAGAUAAGUGAGCUUCCUAAGAUUCCCAAGUGCAGAUGGAACCAACCCUUCCGAAAAAUUGCAUUGAGCCACAUCCAACUCUUGCAGUGAAUCAAGGUUUCCAAACGAAGAGGGUAUGUUCCCGAAAAACCUGGUAUAGGAAACUUUCAGAAGCAUGAGAGGACUACUUCGAUUAAAUUCAGGAAAAUAUCCAGUCAGAUCUUGGUUGUAUCUCACACUAAGAAAUUCUAGGUUUGGUAGUUGGAAAAUUCUCACAGGAAAUUCACCAAACAGGUGACAGUCUUUGAGGGAGAGGGAUGUCAAUGAUGAUAAAUUAGCCAUUGAAUGAGGAAUUGCCGAAGAUACAUUUACGAAACUGAGAGUAAGUACUUCGAGACUGGUUAAGUUUUGAACUAGGCUUCCAAGAUCUGAUGCUUCAAGUUUCAACAAGGGAUAAUUCUCCUCUUUUGACAACUGAUGAUCCUUAUCUUCUGACAAUCUAUCGAGAUUGAGAGCUAGAUUAAGGUAUGUCAACUUGGAUAACAGUGAAAGUUCAGAAGGGACUCGACCAGAAAAGACAGAGGUAGAGAGGUCAAGAUGAGUAAGGCUUGGAAAAUUCCUAAUGCUAGUAGGAAUUUGAGAGUAAUUGAAGUUAUUGUCAGAGAGGUUUAACCUUUGAAGAUGAACAAGGCGGAAGAGGCUGCUAUUGCUGUUGAUAGAGCCGUGGAGACAGCUGCUACGAAGAUCUAGGCCAAUCACAUGACCCGUCUUCUCAUCACACUUGACACCUUCCCAUAAGGAGCAGGUGCUAUUUCCUCCUUCAGCUGGUUUCCAUGAUGAGACCUUCGGAUAAGCAUCGGUAGAUCUAGAAGCAGAUUUGUCAAUCGUAAAGCUGUCUUUGAAUUGCAGCAGGGCGGACUUCUCCUCAUCAGGGCAAGAUGGAUACUGCUUCUGCGAAGAGUAGGAAGAGUUAGCAAUAACCACAUGAUGAAACAGCAACAAAACUAGUACUAGUUUUGAAACCAUGCGAAUGAUGGAGAUAUCAAGUAACCCCAUAACAACAAUCUUUUGAAUUUUUUUUGCACUCUUAGCUGUGUAUGAUGGAAGUGCAGAGUGAUAUACAACAAUUUAUAGACUGGCAUCGAUUAGUAUAAAAUUCUUCCACAAUAUAAUUUCUCAAAAGUGAUAGAGACGGGUGUAGAAGGGACAAGUUGAUAUGAUGCCUUGACUAAUUGAUGAGAAAAAUCAAAAGUUAGAAAAAUCAGCAACACCAUUCAAGAAACAAGUCGACUUGAUGAGAAAAAGAAAGGGGUGUGAUGUUCACACACCCUAUUUUACUUCUCACACACCCUUUUAAUUUUCUACCGUCAAAUUAGAUGAAUUGAAGAAGAUCAACGAACAAAAAUUAACAAGGGAUGUGUGAGAAGUAAUAUGGGAUGUGUGGAUAGCACACCCAAAAGAAAUACAAACCAAUCACAAACUUUGCCAAGAUGGUUACGAAAGGCAAAAAGAGUGCAUCGUACCAAACUUAACUCCAGCCAAGUUACAUGGUGUAUUUAUAAAGAUACAAUUCUUAACAAACAUGAAAGCAAUCGCAAACGAUCCUGAAUAAUAGGUAUUCUUGUCGACGUUGAGUAGGAGAGAAACGUCCUCCAACUUUGCAUUUGGAUAGUUCUAAAUGUGUUGGACCUUCAUGCUUGAAAUCUUGAUUAAAAUAUGUGUAAUUUGUAUUGGAAUGCAAAAUUAAACAAAACAAAAAAAAAUGUUAACGGAUGACUCAUGAGUUUAAUAGGUUGAGUUUGGGUAACUCAUUAGCUUAACGAGUCGGGUGUGGGUGACUCGUUAGCUUAAAGGGUCAGGUGAAACCCGUCUCAAACCCAAUAAACCCAACUCGUUUACAGGUUACCAGCAGAUAAUAAGGGGUAUGAAAGUUUCGGACUCUCAGCAGCAAAUUAAGGCAUUAGAGUCAUCAAAUUCAAUUCCUGCAUUGGCUUGAAGUGGGAUGGAUUUGAAGCCAAAACUUUUUAUUCAAUAUCCAAUUUCUUCAUCAUUAGGACUUUCAAACUCCUAGCAUUUAUUAAGUCAAGAGUGUGGGUGUAACGAAAUUUUUCAUGUUGGAUUUGAUCUAUGUUGCAUUUUUCAAACUGCAAGCCCUUUUGUCAUCAGAAAAGAAAUAUCUCAUUAACUCAAGAGAAGGCAAGAAGGGACUUCCACUUGGAGUUGAGGCCCCAACCAUAGGAAAACUAUAGAAAAACAUAUUUGGCUCAAUUCUACUUUUCAUUCAUUCUCAAAUGUACAAUAUAUAUAUAUAUAUAUAUAUAUAUAUAUAUAUAUAUAUAUAUAUAUAUAUAUAUAUAUAUAUAUAUAUAUAUAUAUAUAUAUAUUAAAUACAACUAUAUGGAUUAUUUACAAAUGCACGCCAUUUACUCUUGGGUGGUGCUAUCUAUACACCCAUUUUAACCUGUUACACAUCACUCUCAAUUUUUGGCCGUCAGAUCAUGUCAAUGGUAGAAGAUCAAUGUACAAAGAUUAACAAUGGUAUGUGGGAAGUAAAAUGAGUUGUGUAAAUAUCAUUACCCUUACUCUUUCAUACAAUUAGCGUAAUGCAGAAUAGUCAAUGAACCCAUGUAGAAGAUUUAAUGAGUUCAAUUGUUCAAUGAACCAAAUUAACUAACACUCCCCCUCAAGUUUUAAAUUAUGUCGAAUAAAAGUUUAAGUGCUCAAAACUUACUUUUACCUGACAAAAUGAUUUCAUCUCAAAAGGUGUUUUCUUAUAGUGAUAUCAAUUAACUCCAUGACAAUAAUCUUUUGAAUUUUUUAGUUUUGCACUCUUAGCUAUGUAUGGAGGUACACAGUGACAUAACUAUUUGUAGACUAGCAUCAAUAUAAAAUUAUUCCGCAAUAUAAUUUCUAAAAAGUGAUAGAGACGAGUGUAACGGGGAUAAUUGCAUCGCAUUUCUUCUACAUGCGUAAGAAGAGAUGCUCGUGACUAAUUGAUUCAUGAGUUAACUUUUGAAGUCGUCUUCAAUGUUUGAAAUGGCGUGAAAUCAGAAGUUAACAAAAUGAGCAGCACCAUACAAGAAACAAGGCUCGAUAACGCAGCACAAGAGUAGAAAGAUUACAAAUAUAAAUCCUUGAAGAACCAAAGUUUUUGAAACCCACCAGUUUGAUAGAAACUCUAGAGGAUAAUUUGAUUAAUUGAUCAGUUGAUGAUUACAAUGGAUAACACCCAUGAUUUAAAUAAGUCAUUUACAACACUUUUGGACAACUAAAAAGGUUUAGGGAAUUAAAACGAAAGUAAAUGACAAUAAUUGAACGACAAUUAAAAGUCCGAAACUUAUUACAAACUUUAUUUUUGCGGUUUUGGAAGCCUAAUUCCUCUUAAACACGACGGGCUCAUGAUAUCAUUCAUCUUGUUGUGCUCGAGAUUCUCUUCAAAACAACAUAUUAUACACCUAAUUAUGAAACUGGAUAUUUCUUGCUGCUUUUUCUAUCACCAUAUUUAUUAAAUCCAAUAUUUCCAACUUUAGUACUUGUUACACCUCACCCCCAAUUAUAUGUAUAAUUUCGUAAGUUCCCUAACAUUUUAAUGAAACUUCAUUUUGGUCCCCUAUUUUGAGUAAAUCUGGACCCUUUAAUGAAACUUCAUUUUGUACUUACCUAGUGGUCCUUUCCGCUACAGGACAUAGGGAUAGAUUCCGGUCCGUCCAGGACGACGGUUUGGUGUUGGCAUAGGGCCUGGAGCGUGUUUCCUCUGGCUAUUAGCACAAGGACGGAGAGCCGGCAUUGGACUUGAAGUGUAUUUUCCUCUGACUGUCUGCUUAGAGACGGAGAGCCGGCAUGGGGCCUGGAAGAGACAAUACUUCGACUUGAAGUUGAGGCCCCGACCAUGGGGAAACCUCCCCCAACUACAUAUGUCUCUAGGAAGUGUAGGUAUUGUUGUUGACAUCAAAUAGGAGAGAAACGCCAUCCAUUAGUCUUACUUGGUUGAUAUGACUCUUCGAUACUUGGUUGACACGAUUCUUCUACACUUAAUGGGUUUCUGUUGAAGAAGUUGAGGUUCCACCAUAAUAUCCCAAUGGCCACAUGCGCUCCACGUUGCCCCGUUGUUUGUUCACAUGUUAGGCUUGAAAAUGCUUCCGCAAAAAACAGAAAGAAAAAAAAAAGAGGUUAAUUUUUGCAUAUAUGUAACACAUUUAUAGUUGAUCUCAUGAGUUCCUUCCGUAAGGGUUUAUGAUAUUUGUAUUGACACUCUAGUAAGUAGACCUGGCAUUCGUGUCGUGUUUCUCGUGUUCGUGUCAUACCCGAUAGCUUAACGGGUUGUGUCAUGUAAUACCCGUUAAAGUAAACUGGUAAUAUAACCCGACCCAAAAUUAACCUGUUAAUAUUAUCGGGUAAUAUGACCCGACCCGUUACCCGUUAAGAAAAAUAUAUUUUAAAUCAAUAAAAAUGAAAAUGAAAAACAUAAUUUGACCAAAAAAAAUGUAAAACAUAGUACUAAAUUAGUAUAUACAUACUAAAUUUCGGAGUUGACCCAUUCGUGAAAGUUAUAAAGCUUUUCAUUACGAGUGAUUACAUUUUUCACACUUCUACAAUAAUUAUUAUUAAUUUUGCACUCAAAUAAAAAACAUUGUUCAUGAGAUUUGGAGGGUUUUAAAAAUCUAAACGACCAUGUUACCAUCGUCUAAGCGUUGAGGAUGCAAUUAGGAACAUUUAUUAUGCUUUCACAUCUUUCAGACUUAUACAUUAAUGAUUAUGAAUUUUGCUUAUUUUGAACCCCCUUAAAAAUAUUAUUCAUGAGAGUUUGUAUGGUUUUAAAAUUUCACACGAUCAUAUACCCAUCCUCAAAGCGUAGAGGAUGCGACUACGAGCGUUUGCAUAUUUUUUGCACAUGUAAAUUAAUUAUUAUAAUUUUUUUAAUGUGUUUGGUAUUUUUUUACUUGAUAUUUUUAUUUUUAAUGUGUUUUAUGAUUUUUAAUCUUAAUCUUUGCCUAUAAUAUACUAUAAAAAUAAAUAAAUAAAUAAAACUUCAAUUUUAAAAUUUAUAUUGAAUAAUAAUUAAUAAACAAUAUAUACAUAUUCAUUAUAUCUAUUGUAUUUUAUAGUAAGUUUUUUUUAGUAGUUUAAAAAAUUAAAAUCAUCAAAAUAACUUUUUUUCGUAUCGUGUCGAAACAGGUUAUCCGCGUGUCACUCUCGUGUAAACCUGUUAAGGACCCAUUAUUAACGGGUUAUUAUCAUGUGACCCGAUAAUGACCCAAUUAGUUAUCGUUUUGACCCGAAACCUGUUAUUUUCGUGUCAUUUACGUAUUGUGUUAACGGGUCGUGUAAGAAAUUGCUAGGUCUACUUGUAAGGUUUUAUCAUAUUUAUAUGGCUAAUUGCAAGACUUAUCAACUCUGCAUUUGGGUACUUCUAUAUGUGUUGGACCUACACGCUUGAAAUAUUGAUUCAAAAAUGUGUAAUUUGUAUUGGAAUGCAAAAUUAAACAAAAAAAAAACAAAUGUUAACGGGUGACUCAUGAGCUUAACAGGUUGAGUUUGGAUGACUCAUUAGCUUAACGAGUUAGGUGCGCGUGACUCAUUAGCUUAACGGGUCAGGUGAAACAUAACUCAAACCCAAUAAACUCAACUCGUUUACAGGUUACCAACAGAUAGUAAAGGGGAUGAAAGUUUCGUACUCGUACCAUCAAAUUAAAGCAUUAGACUCAUCAGUUUCAAUUCCUGCACUGGCUUGAAGUGGGAUGGAUUUAAGGCCCGAAACUUUUAUUCGAUACCCAAUUUCUUCUUCAUUUUAGGACUUUCAAACUCCUAACAUAUAUUAUGUCAAGAGUGCGGGUGUAGCGAAAUUUAUCAUGUUGGAUUUAGUCUAUGUUGCAUUUUUUAAACUGCAAGUUCUGUUCUCAUCAGAAAGUAAUAUCUCAUUAACUCAAGAGAAAGUAAGGAAGAGGGGAAAUACUUCGACUUGAAGUUGAGGCCCCAACCAAAGGAGAGAUUUUUCAGUAUGACCAGUAUACGGGGUGAUACACCAUGUGUCACUAUAUAAAUGGUGGGAUAUGUGUGCUAAAAAGUUAAUAACUUAAAAAAUAAAAUUUCACACCACUACUAUUAAAACACGUGGUGUACAACUUGUGUUCCUGUCAUAAUGAAAAUUUUCUCCAACCAUAAGAAAAUAGUAGAAAAACGUAUUUGGCUCAAUUUUACUUUUCAUUCAUUCUCAAAUGUACAAUAUAUAUAUAUAUAUAUAGUAAAUAAAAAUAUAUGGAUUAAUUAUAAAUACACACCAUUUACUCCUUUAUACAAUGAGCCUAAUGCAAAAACGUCAAUGAACCCAUGUAGAAGAUUUAAUGAGCCUAAUUGUUCAAUGAACCUAAUUAACUAACACUCCCUCUCAAUUUAGAGAGUGAAGAUCCCGAACUCCCAACUUGCAUUUCAUAGUCAAAUAUUUUAAAUUUCGGGUAAAAGCUUAAGCGCUGAAAACUUACUUUUACCUGAUGAAAUGGUUUCCUCUAAAAAGGUGUUUUCUUGUAGUGAUACCAAGUAACUCCAUAACAAUAAUCUUUUGAAUUUUUGCACUCUUAGCUAUCUAUGGAAGUACAAAGUGACACAACUAUUUAUAGACGAGUAAUGCUAUGGAGACUAAAUUUGUAGAUAAAGUUUUGAAAACUAAAGGACAUGGAAACUGAUGGUUGUUUUAUUACUUAAACGUUGAUAAACGUGCUUAUUCCUAUUGGAGACACGUCAUUUAUAUUGCAAAUUUAGUUUUCAAAUUUAAUCUCUCUAGCAUUACCCUUUAUAGAUUGGCAUCAAUAUAAAAUUAUUCCGCAAUAUAAUUUCUAAAAAGUGAUAGAGACAGGUGUAACAGGGACAAGUGCAUCGCAUUUCUUCUACAUGCGUAAGAAGAGAUGCUCUUGACUAAUUGAUACAUGAGUUAACUUUUGAAGUCAUCUUCAACUUUUGAAAUUGCGUGAAUCAGAAGUUAGAAAAAUGAGCAGCACCAUACAAGAACACAAGGCUUGAUGAUGCAACACAUUUUCAUACCAUUUUUUUUUUGGUUUUAGAAAUGCUAUUUAUACCAUAUUUUUGUACCAUAUUUUCAUACCACCUUAGGUGGCAUUUGAUGUGGAUAACCACAUCAUUUGAAUUAAUCAGAUUUUUAAAUUUAGUUCAUUCUUUAACAAACUAAUAAUUAAGAAAAACUAGUUAAUUAAAUAAUGAUUGUCGUAUUCCUCGUAUUUCUCCUUCCUUUCCUUGAGUUUUGCAAAUUUUUCAAAUGAUGUAGCUGUCCACAUCAAAUGCCACCUAAGGUGGUAUAGAAAUAUGGUACAAAAACAUGGUACGAAUAGCAUUACUCGGAUUAAAAAUAUAUAAAUCCUUGAAGAACCAAAGUUUUUGGAACCCACCAGUUUGAGAGACACUCUAAAGGUUAAUUUGAUUAAUUGAUGAGUUGAAGAUUACAAUCGAUGACAUCCAUGACUUAAAUAAGUCAUUUACAACACUUCUGGACAACUCAAAAGGCUUAGAGAAUUAAAACAAAAGUAAAUGGCAUUAAUCAGACGACAAUUGAAAAGUUCGAAACUUAUUACAAACUUUAUUUUUAAGUUUUGGAAGCUUAAUCCCUCUUAAACACGAUGGGCUCAUGAUAUCAUUCCUCUUGUUCUACUCGCGAUUCUCUUUAAAACGACAUAUUACAAGCCUAACUAUGACACCAGAAUAUUUCUUGCUGCCUUUUCUGUUGCCAUAUUUAUUUAAUCCAAUAUUUUCCAAUUUUAAUUCUUCUUCUCCUAAUUUGAAACAUUUUAUUUUAUUUAUAUUUCUUCAUACGAAGUGACUCAUAUCUUGCCUUACAUCACUUGACUUGACUUCAACCAUCUGAUCUUCGACCUCAAGAUCCAGACUAAUGGUUGGAGAGCAAGUGUGUAAAAAAUAAAUAAAUGAAAGGAAGAGAAAAAGAAGUACAAACUGAUUACAAAACUUUGCCAAAAUUGCUACACAACACAAAGUGACUACAUCAUACCAAACUUUACUCCAGCCAAGUUAAAUGAUGUAUUUAUAAAGAUCCAAUUCUUAACAAACAUGAAAGCAAUCGAAAACCCUCCUAAAUAAUACGAAAGUAAUCUAAGAUCAUGUGGCACAGAAGGAUUUAAGAGUACUGUAGAACCUUUUUUUUUUUUUUUUUUUUUUUUUUUUUUAAAGGAAGAGAAAGGUGAAGGAGCAACCCCGGGAUAGGGAGCCCAAAGUGGGCUGAAAAUCCAGCAGCACCCCUUCGGCUCCAGCACCCUAGUAUAACCUAUCCCCGUCUGGGCGCAAGCUACAAGGUUUUAAUUCGACCGGUGGAGUGGAUACUGGUCUAUGUGUGGAACUUGUGCUUUGGUUUUGGUCUAUGUUGAUUUUUUCAAACUGCAAGUUCUUUUCUCAUCAGAAAAGAAAUAUCACGGUAACUCAUUAACUCAAGGGAAAGCAAGGAAGAGGCCCCAACCAUGGGGAAACCUCCUCCAACUACAUAUGUCUCUAGGAAGUGUACAUAUUCUUGAACUUCGACCUUUAACAUUCGCAUAAUAGUUGGAUAAUAGUCGCUCUCAUGCUUGCCCCUAAAAUACUAUUGUUGAUCUAGUGCAGUUGCAAAUAUUUAAUUGUGUUUGGUUUUAUCUAUUUUGUAGGUACUCUGAGCUCAUAUAAGUAAACAUUUGUCCAAAGAAAGGUUGAUUAGCAGAUUGUAACUCAAGUAAUUAAUAACAUUCAUUCCAUCCAUCUCAAUAUCAAUGGUACAUAUAUAAAUAUAUAAAUAAAUAAAGUUGACCUGUUCCAUCUGAUCUUUGAUGGUAUGCAUCAUGUUCUGAAACAUACAGUACAGUCCAUUAAAAAUGAAGAUCAAUGGUUUGGAGAGCUCCAAGAUAUGUGGCCAAGUGUUAAAAACUCCAAAUUGACUAUCCUGUCUUCUAAAGUCACGUCAAGAAGUGUUGAUUUAGAGAGCUCCAAGAUUUGUGGCCAAGUGCUAAAAACUCCAAAUUGACUAGGCUAUCUUCCAAAGUCACGUUAAGAAGUCUUGAUCAUUAAUGACAUGCAACAACAUAUUAUUCGCAAUAAAUUUCCUUGACAAAUAUUGAAAAAUGGAAUCAUCAACAAUUCGGUUUUCCAUUGACAAAUAUUAAAAAAAUGUUGACUAAUGAAAAAAGUUGAGAAAGUUACGCAUCCAAUUCCUCGAACAAGCUUCUGGAACGUAGACUUCAGCAGUGAUAUCGUAUAGAGGUCGACAAGGUUGUCUAGGUCGGAUUACUUGACUUCAAUCUUCUGAUGCUUAUGCUUAUGUAGACACAAUAUUCUUGGUGUUGACUUUUAGGAUGCCUUAUGAUCUGGUCGAUACAUAUGGCGUUCUCUUCAUGGAUCAUUGUUAAGACUCAACGAUGGAUGAAAAUCGUAGUGACUUUAAAUAUGCUCAACAAGAGUUCUCGACCAUAUCUCACGUUAGAUACGGUGGGUUUUGGAACAACUCGAAGAUUUUGAAACUAAGGUCUAUCUAGUUGACCUCUAAGAUUUUGCAGUGUUCCUUAACAGUAAAGACAUAAACAUUUAGGAAUGUACCUUGUGCAGAUCAGAUAGAGAGUCUAACUCAGUGAAUCCCACAAGGUAUGCCUCAUUCCGAAGAUCAAUAAGGUGUGAUCUAUUCUGAGAUGCAUAGGAAUAGAGUAACCCCAAAUCUGUAUUAACGGAAAAAUGUCGAUAACACCAAUUUGGUGAUGGCGUGUAGGCAGUGCUGCUUUAUGUCAAAUGAUUAUUAGCACUUGAGAUGUCCGAUCUAGUGCUAUGAGCUAAGUACAAUAAACGCUAAUUGCACUCAAAUAUGGCGUCGCAUGUCUUGAUAUGGAACCUUAUGUAAUAUCAUUAGAACUAUACUCGAAACUUCUGGUCAAGGUAGUGUAGAGUUUUCCCAAGAUUAUUCAUCUCAAAGUCCGACUUUAGGUGCGAGUCAGUUUUCUGCAACUCUAACAAUUUUGGAUUAUGUACACAUAAUGACAUUAUCCCUAACUGAUCAAUUAUUCAUUAAGAUGGGUAUACCACAUCUGCCCAAAUUGUUCUGCAUCCGUAAAGUGAAAGCCUCAUCUAAACCCAGAGGGUGUUCUGUGGUCUAGAACUAUUUGAAUAAAUACAUGUAAGUUCUUCAGAAACUUCCAUGUAUAUUUCGUAUCAUGAUCCCAUAAGGUAGCUUUUUAUUGCACUAUUUCAUUCAUCUCAUUCGACGUUGAUUGUUUAUUUCUAAUUGACCAAUCAGUUCUACGUUGUUAGUAAUCAACAGAACGCAAUUCGAUAUCGUCACUUUUCCUUUAUGUCUGUAGCUACCAUAUAACUGAAACAUCAUCCAUGAUAAUCUCAUUCCAAUUCCAUAUGUCAUCCAAACUAGUAUAUUGGAUUAAGAUGUCACGUCUCGAUCCCAACAUACGUCGAGAAUCCACACGUGAGCAGGAAAAUAACGUUCGUUGAAUACGGUAUAAGUUACGGAAUGAAAUACUUUAACUGAUAACCCAAAAUAAUGUGAAGGUGGCUAAAUUCUCCACAAAAUAUUUACAAAUAUUUACAUCCCAAAAAGAAGCAUAAUCUUUGCUUUACUAAGAACAAGUAUGAGGUGCUCAAAAGAAAGUCCCAAAAGAUAAAGUACAAGAGUGAAUCAAGGGUAACCUAACGCUCCAAGUCUCUGAUAACUGCACUGCUACCCCCACCUACAAACUUCUUAGAGUCUACUUAAACCUGUCACUUGUACGAUCAGUGCCUACACCAUCGAAAUGGUGCACCAGGCAAACAACAACCUGGAUAAGUUGUGAAGCUUAUGAGAGUGACAAUAAUAUCAAGUAUGUGAGAAUAAUGCUAAUGCCAACCAUCAAACACAGUUUACAUAUCUUGAAUAUAAAUCAUUCAUAAGAAAUCAAUACCAACUUUUGUAAACCCCGAAGGAGUCACCCAGACAUCCAACGGUUCGUCUGAAACCAAUCACAACAUCUCACAACCAUCUUCUCAUACAACACAAUGAAAAGUAGAGUUAGAGCGACACAGUUUGGCCGAAGCCUACACCUUUGAAGAUAUCUCAAUUCAAAUUCAAUAAAUCCCAAGGUGAGUACGAUCCCGGACCUUCACUCAACGAAAUCGUGAAAUAUGAGGGAUUCCGGACAAUCUCUCAACGGAAUCCAAGUGGAUACAAUUUCGGACCCUCACUCAACGGAAUCGCUAAGUACGAUACAUAACAAUAACUAAAUGAAACCCAAAUUAGAUACGAUUCUGGAACAUCACUCAACGGAAUCAUGAAAUAAAAGGGAUUCCGGACCAUCUCUCAACGGAAUCCGAGUGGAUACGAUUCCGAACCAUCACUCAACGGAAUCGCAGAAGACCAACAACCAGAAUGUACGACGGCUCAAAGAAAUGAGACAAGCACAUGCUACUUAAUUUACAAAAACUCAACAAAGGGAGAUUAGGCACAAUUACUAAAUUUAGAACCAAUCACCACAGCGGAAGGUGAAACAAUAUCGAAGCAACAAAUCCCCAUCAUAAUGGUUAACGGUCCAUUACUAGUCCUCACAUUAAUCUCAACAUGCCAAUCAUACAAAUCAAACCACAUUUCCAAUAUACAUGCCACACCCUAUUUCAUAAACAUAAAUUGAUGUCGAAGUAUUGGAAUAACAAUUCAAUAGAACAUAUUCAUAAAACCAAUUCAUAUCCACACAUGAUCAUAAUUAUGACAACCUGAUAAUUACCAAUAUCACAUAUAUUAAAGUCACUUACCUGGAGUCCGUGCUAAUGUACCCUAGCACGAUAGUCAAUGCAUCACGUUCUAUCACCGCCUAACAAAGCACAAGUCCACAUUUAGAUUUCCUUCGAUAAUUCACAUACUCAAAAAUUCUCAUAUGUCUCCCACAACAACAUUUAAUGAGGAAUCAAACCGUCGUUCUAAUGUAGGGUCCAUGAUCUUACGUCAUUUGCUUCGUAAAAUCCAAUCACUAGAUUUUCACUUAUAAGUCCCUAAGGUCCUUAAACAAUAUCUACAAUAGCAUACUAAAAUUUGGUGUCGAUUCAGUGAUAAGAUCGUCAAUUGUUAGAAUAAUCAAGUGGCAGACCUUAUCGAUAAUAUAUACAAUCAAUAGCAUUUUCAUAAAUCGAAUGUCACACACCGGAAAAUUUGAUUUUCUCCAAAAAUUCUCAAAUUUUAUAGGAAUAAAGAUUUCAACAAGUAGAGUAAACUUUAUACCUGUGGCUGAGUCCAAUUUGGCCUGGAAGGCCCUCAAAUUGGCUCGCACCCAACAAACCCUAAGGUAGGUGUUCUUCAAUUGGCUCCCUUGGUGUUCCAACGUCCCAACCACCAGUUGGGUCUUGUUCCUGGGUCCAAGGGAAGUUGAUCAAGGGUGAUGGUUAAUGGUGAUACUAUUCGGAACGACAAUUCGUCGUCGAAAACCCCUGGGUUCUUCGAUGGAGUUCUACCCGAAUUAGACCUUAAAAUCCUUGAUUUUAUUUGGUGGAGAUGGAAGGAAGAAGAUAGUUGAGCAAGUUGCAAGUGAAGGAGAUAGGAAAAUCAACUGGGAAAUGGAGGAAUUGGCCUGAAAUUGGCCUGUUUGAAUUUGGCUGGUGGACCUCACGAUUUCAUGAAAUAGGGAGGAAGAAAGUGGCCUUUCCUUUUUCUUUUCCAAAUGGGUCCUUUCAUACCCUUUAAAAAUCUGAUAGGUCCCCACUUUUCUAUUUUUUUUCUUUACUAACUUAACCUUUAACCCAUGCUUCCCACAAUCUAUAGUUCACAACUUCAAACGUUCGUAACUAUACCGUUAUAAUUCAGACUCGCAAACGGCUUUCGCCUAUGCGUUCGUGGAUUCAAGAUCUAUUUAAAAACACUAGUUGUAACUUUGAAAUAUCAACGAAAGAUAAAGAUUGAUUAUGAAACUUCCAACUUGACAACUAAUCAAUUACUAAACUUAUAAUUAGUGGAAUUAAAAUUAACUAAUAAAGAUAAUGUAAUCGCAAAAUACGAAUUUAAAUUACGAAACACGAAAUAAAUGGUGAAAUUCUGGGGAUGGGAUUUCACAUAAGAACUUCAGGUUUUGGGUGUAAUCCGGAUUUAAUCUCAUGAGAUGUUGAGGGAGAGAUUCAUUUGUGCAUGUUCCUCCACUUUUAGGGAGGUGCAUCCUUCAACAUCUAAAACUUAGAAAUACAAGAUUGAUAGGUUUUGAGAAGAAGAAUUUUACCUCCGAACGCUCAGCCCAAGGAGAAUAAAGAUGCAUAGGUCAUGCUAGAGGUGAAGAAAGCUCGGUUUAAGAAGUCCCUUCAAGUUUGGAAGCCUGUUUUGGAAAGCAACAAAAACUAGCUAAGUGCAAGAGGGGUGAACUUCAUAUAAUACUCAAAGUUCAAAAAAGGUUACCUUCAACUCCUCCAGAAUCUUGGCUAUGACCUCUUUGUCACUUUGCUGCCCUUCUACACCUACCUGUAUCUUCUGAGGGGAAGGAUCAAGCUUCUUGCUGAUAAUAGGUCCUAGUUACAAGAAAUGAUAAGAUUAGCUCAAAGAAUCAAAGAAAUGGACUGAGAUUGCUUGUCUAAAUCCCAGCUGUCUACCACAGAAGUUGGGGUGGUAAACCUUCAUCCUACUUUCACAGCCCACUCAGUCGCUCCGUACUCCCUAAGUCAAAUCCCUCUACCAGAUGAAGCAAACGAAUUUCUCCUUGCAGAAGCUGUUGGCAUCCUCCCCAAAUGAAUCCUAGAAGAAGUUGUCCGAGAACUAAGGGUAUAUCUUGAGUACUGAAGCACCUUCCAGAUCAGUCCGAGUCUUACAAAUUCUAAAGAAAUAAAGGCAAGCUAAGGUAAAGUGAUUGGUGGUGGGAGCCUCUGCCAGAAUUUGAGCUGAAGCUACUCCCUCUGGAAACUCUAGGUUAGCAGACCGAAACUCCGAGAAGUACCAUUGAAGCGAGAGCUUCACCAUCCAGGUAGCUUCGUUGACAUUAGUCUUGAAUGGCUGGUCCCUUGUCAUCUCAUAAAGAAGAUGAUAGAGAUGUGCCAGAAAAUGACCGAUGGCAACAUUAUCGAAGGAAUACAGCGCCUCCACCAAAGGGAUCCAUUCCAACUUCACUCUUUUAGAUUUGUUUGGGAACACAUGUUUAUUCAACCAAUAGAGGAGAAAGUACAUGUGCUCCUAAGCUGGAUCAGAGGUGGGAGAAGGCUGGUUGAACAUCUUCUUGGCAAAAGGAAUGAAGCCCGCGAAAGAAGUCGCAUAGCUCUUGAAGGUAGUGAGGUUAUACUCCAAGCUAGUGAUCGACUGAGAAGCCUCUAAACCUUCAGCAGCAGGGCAUGAGGGUGAAGACCAAUAAUAUGUAAUGUCUACACACUUGCCUGAUGGCCUCAAACCAAAGACCUGAGCCAUAUCCAGAAUGGUGAGAGUUAAGGGGCCCACUCUGAAAUUAAAGGUAUUAGUCCCUGUGUUCCAGAAUAGAAGAGCUGUUGAGAUAAGCUCAUUCUUCCUCGAAGAAAAUGGACAGGUUGAGGCCAGCCUAAGGGCAAUGAAUGCCGUUGACCUGAGGGCAAUGAAGGUCGUUGAGCCGACGGGAGUCAUUGUUGAAUUCAAGAGAAAUGAGUGAAAGAGUGACUGGAAAUUGAGGUAAGAGAAGGCUGAGAAUGCAAGAGAUUUGGGAGCUUAGGGAGUCAAGUUUGCUGAAUGAGGUGGCCGAGAAAAGUGAAAUGGAAGUUAUUUAACGGGCAAGUAGUUAACUUUGAAAAUCAUGGGUUAGUGCAAAGAUUUGUUUGAAACGGCUAAUUAAGUGGUGCUAAUACCCAGUUCCGGCAAGCAAUUAAUUUUAAUCAUUAUCAAUGUCUUGAUUAGCAGACUUAACAAUAAUUAAAAGGGGCACUGUUUGAGUAGACAUUUAAUGCUGGGCUUAGUGAGAGUGGAGGCCCAAGAACACAAAAAGCAAGGGGAGGAUUAGGCUCGAACAAAUCGACAGCCCAGGAAGAAUUGAAAAUCAUUUUUGCCAAAAGUACUUUUCGUGGGAAUGGAUAGGUAAAUAAAUGGUGACUCACCAUGUUCCGGAGGCCAUCACCAAAAGUUAAGGCUUAGACAUUAGGGCUAAAGAGUCUAUAAAAGCAGCAAGGAACACAAGGGAUAGUGACACUCAACCAAUCAAUCAAAAGACAUCCAACUUUGCUCUUAGACAAGCAAGAAACCAGAAAGCUUUAGUUUGUCCAGACUCUACUCUUUUAGUCAUAGAUCCACCAUAGAAAGCCAUCUUUUGUCAAGUUUUAGAAGCUCUGCUACUUUUUCCCAGUAUUGUAGUAUCUAAUCCCUUUAGUAAACCCGAUUUACAUCUCAUUCUCUCAAGAUUACAACCCCUGUAAAACACAAAGAGAAGUGGUUGUAAGAAAAUGAACCUUGCCAGGCAAGGUUAUAAGCUUGCCCGAAUCUCUUUCGUUUGUACUUACAUAAAGUAUAUUUGUUGUUUAAUAUAUCUUCCAUUGUGUCUUAAAUCAUUUUGAACUGCUUUUCGUUCAAAGUUUCAUCUAUGAUUAAUUUGGCUACACUAAUUAACCUUGCUUCUUUAGUGUUAACUGUAAUCAAAGAAAUGGUUGGAAGGGUCCUGAACUCCAUUUAUCUGGACAUAUAAUAUUAUAAGUAAAAGUUCUUGUUUAAAAGGCAAGAAAAAGAAUUAUAUACAGACUUAACCCAUUUGUAACAAUCCAAUAGAAUUAAGAAGUUUAAGUAACUUAUGGCGCAAGUAAUCAACCCAUUUCAUAACCAAAAAAAAGAACAAUCUGUUAUACAAAGAUACGUUCAUAUCCAUAUUAGUUUUGAUUGUGAGCCUCAAAGUCUAACGAAUGCCCCACAAAGGCACCAUUUAAACUAAUUGCAAACUCAUAUUGCAGCACACCAAGCAGCAAACCUUAGCCGACAAGCAAGACCCCUGGAAGUUAUGCGAGGGACAUAUCUAGCCCAAACAAGUGUGACACUAGUUUAGCUGCACCAAGCCAGUGGGAUCUUGUUUCCGACAAGCGGAUGACGGAGGAGGAACAGCCGCUUCAGGUGGCAAGAUGUACUAAGGUAAUCAAUCCAAAUUCUGAAGUGCUAAAUUCAUUCCUUGAUGCAAUGAACAAAGUCGUUAUGGGGAACAAGAAGUUUAGUGCAAUGCCUAAACAUAUGGUUUACAAUUUAUAUUUGACUAUAGAACUUCAUGUACAUUAGAACCUCGAUAAUUUAAAAUAUCCGAUAAAACAAUAAGGCUGAUUAAAUAAUAUUUUUGGAUGGUUCAAACUUGGAGAUAAUGUGCUAAAUUAAUAAUUCGCUAAAUAUCAAAGAGAAUAUAUAAUGAAAAUUUUAUAUAAGUCCCACGUCAUAUAUAAAUUAAUGAUUUCUUGAUUUCUUUACACCUUUGAGAUUAGAAACCAUUGUUCUAUGUAUGAUGUGUUACUAUGACUUAUGGGAGAAAUAAGAAAGCUCAUGAAUUGUACUUCCUUAAACAAAUGUAUAGAAUUGUUAAUUCGUAAAUCAAGAAACUAAAUAAAAUGUACAAUAUUUGAGUAAAUAAGAAGGAAUAUUAUAUGAUUGAUAAAUUAAUAAUUUUUUUAAUUUGUCAAUUAUUUAACAUUUGCUAAAGUAAUAGAUUUUCUUUGGUCCCAAGGUUACUAAUUUAUGGAGGUUUAACUGUAUGUUUUUGUUACGACAGUUUCAAUUUUGUUUGUUUAUCUAUGUUUUUUUUGUUAUUUAGUUUCUAUUCUUUCUGUUAAAUGAUUUGUGAGCCUAUUACAAAAACACGAAAAGAAAAAAUGAUUUGUGUGCCUAGCGUAAAUUUCAAAAUGAUGACGUAAAUGUAACACUCACUAAAAUAACGAACAAUUUUCAUACGAUUCCAUAUCCAUCCACCCUUCUAAAAUACACAAAAAAUAUACAGACCUCCACCACAAGGUACUGAAAAAUCUCAACCAAGGUUGGAGUAUAAUCAUGUGAACUAUUAUAAUUCUUUACUUUUUUGGGACAAACAAUAGAGUAGUGUACGUACACUAAACUCACUUAAAUUACAGGGAAGGAGAUUGAAAUACGAGACCUCGAGUGCAAGGACGAAUGUUCUUAACCAAGUCAGCCACAAGCCACUUACAAUCUAUAAUAAUUAUUUUCAAUUUCAUAUUUUUAGCAAAGCAAAGUAAUUUGGAUUGCUUUGAAUGUUUUACUCAGAUCAAAAAUUUACAAAUUUUGAACGCCGCAUUGCAUUUAUAAAUUUAUUAACCAUAGCUAGCAUUGUUGGAAAUGCUUUAAAAAAUGGGUGUUUAAAAAUUAUUUCCUCAAGGUAUGCUUUAACGGCGUUUAAUCGGUUUCAGUGAUUGCAUUCGAGUGCUACAGAGCAAGCGUAAUACUACGUAUAACAUUAAAGAAAGAAGUAGAGCCCUAGUAUCUGAAUAUCCAUCCAUAAAGCAUGUUAUAGCCGCACCAACAAAUGUUGUUUCAUUAUUCAUUCAUGUCAACUCAAUUGGAAUAGCAAGGGAUUUAAGACGAGCUAAACUAAAAAUGAACUAUGCGCAGAAAGCGAAAAAUAAGAAUGUUUAUUACCAGAGACAUUGUGGUCUCCGAAAAGGAGAUAUCAACAGACCUGGGAAAGAAGGCAACUUGAACUUGCCUAAAUAAUCGUCGUCUCCAACUCUCAACUCUUAUAUAUAGGAUGCCGUCUCCUGCAAUUCCAAGUCAAACAGUGGAACGAAGGGAAAUCAUAUUGAUCACUCGAACCAAAGGUACAAAUAUCACCGAUAAUAGUUUCGGCAGCCAUGUAUUUGCAAAUAAAAAUCAUAACUAAGAAAAUGAGGUGGUUAUAUUACCUCUUUGGUCGACUACGGUCUUCCUCAUAGUCCAUCACUCCUCCAGGUUCGGAGUAGAUCUCCUCAUGCCCCCGGAAGUCAACGUCGGCCUGCUUACAGUGGGGAACUUCUGCCACAAUGUAAGUAAAGACACAUCGACCAACAUAUCCCAAUAACUAAACAAAAGAUUAAUAAAAAAUUAUGUGUUUCGUGUGUGGAGUGGGACUAAAGAACUCGUUCAUCUAUGAUUAUGUAUAGCUUCAGAAUAGCUCAUCAAAAAGGCGCUGAUGUGCACAUUUGUGGCAGAGAAAUACAUCAACGAAAAUAAAAUCAUAAUAUCGUGUUUUACCAUCCCAUGCCAUAUGUUCAAAUCAUCAAAAUGGAUCCCGUUCACUUUAUUAGGAAGGAUUACUUGCAGAAGCAAUACAAAAAAUACAACAGGAUUAAACUGACCUUGAUGGAAAUCGACUUCUUUACUUCUUCCACCCUAUUUCCAACUUCUUUCUUGUGUUCCUUGGCCACUUCAGUCAUAGUAUCAGCCCACUUCAUCUUUUCUUGAAUUGAGAUAAGAAGAUUGCUUGAGGUAUCCAACCUACGUUUUCAUUCACACAAAAUUUAGGCAAUACCAUCAGAUUUAUAUCUCAAAAAGAAACUUGAGAAGUCAUUAACUUAGAAGCAAAAUAUCACAAAGUCAGCAUACUGGAUAAAACACGAGAAUGCAUUACUACGAAAAACAUGGAACCACUUUUUUUAAUGUGGAGAUAGUUAAUAAACUCUACCACAUGAAACAAUUUCAUUAAAUUGGUAAUAGAUGCUCCAUAGCAUUUGAUUGCACACAACUAAGAGUCAGGAAACUUUUAUGCAAUCAAGGUCAGACAUGAAUGUUUUCAGAUCAUAAUGCACAUAUUUAGGACCAAAUUCUAAAUAAGAAGUUCCAUCUAUGCAUACUGAACAUACAACCCAACAGAGAAACUGCAUCAGAGACGUUACCAGUUUGACAGUGUUUGAAUCAUACUCCCAAGUUGUCCAGGUCUCGGAUCUCUCCCUGCAGCAAACUGGAGCUGCAUUUUACAAGAAAUAAUUGAUUCGAUAUUUCUUAUAAGGAAAUAAACAAAGAGCAACGAGAAAAGGCAAGCGAAAACAAGUAAAACAACACAAAAAUUAAAAAUAAUUUGAAGCAAAGGCAGCAGUAAUAAACACAAACCUCAAAGCAUUUUUGCAGCUGGUCCAGCUUUCCUCUUAUUAUGCCCUAAGAGAAAACAUGACAUCUCCUUCAUGUUUUCUCUAUCCACUUAACUAUGUUACACAGAUACAAAUACAUGAUAAAUUACUAUAUAACAAGGUUGGGAUAAUAAAAUAGUAUAUAUCACAUUACACAUAUAUGUGCAAAAGUAAUCUACGUAAGAGAGUCAGAAGUGAGUUGUAAUUUAAAAGUACCAAUACAUUUUUAAGGAAAAGAUUCACACAAAAAAAUACCCUUGUGCAUCUGGAUGCGUAUGUACACAACACAUGUCGCACUAUAUCCAAAAUGUCAAUGAAUACUGCAAAUCUGUAUCUGAUAACUGUUGGGGUGUUAUCGGGGGUGGGGGGGGGUGUUGGGAAUCAGGGCCAUAUCCUUACAGGAUACUCACCUGCAAUAUUUGGAAUAUCGCUUCAUAGACCAAACUAACAGUAACAAUUUUCAGGUACUGUCCAAUAUUCAAAAAUAAAUUCUUACACGGGCAAGAACCGAGUCCUGCGGCCCAUGCAGAGUAAAAUUGGCGGACAGAUGGACGGGAGAAGAGUGUUUAUUUGUACUGUAUUUGAAUAACAAUUCGUUAAAGUUAUGAUUAUUCAUUCCACAACCUUCACUAAAGAAACCUUUUUGUCCAGUAAAAGAUGCAUAUUUCAAUGUAACUAGGAAAAAAUAGAGGUAGAGGGAUGAAAGAAUUAUUACCGCAUACAUGCACUCAUUAAUGAGAAAAUCCUCGAGCUCUUGUACAUUGAUAACAUCUAACUCCUGCAUAAGUUGAUGAUACGGUAGUACCUGGAAAAUAAUUCAAGAAUAUAAGAGAAAACUGAAUGCACAACACAAUAUGGGACAUCUGUGUAUAUAAAAACCGGAUAUCAACACAAUAGUGACCUAGACACCUAAUACAGGAUAUGAUGAAUCACUACUUUACAAAUACUUAAAAAGGUUCUAGAAGACUCUCUCCAUGGUCUUUUAGCACAACAAUCUCAUAAUAUGUUCAAUCAAAGGCAUCAGAUACUAAGACCUGUAAGUCCACUAUUGUUCUGAAUUUUGAUUGGAACUAAUAAGCUUCUGGCAUUCCAUAUAACUUUUCAUAUCAUCGUUUGCAGUAAAAGGCACCAUCAUCUAUUACAUUCAGAAUUCAAUUGGUAACUGCAGUCUUUCCUCCAAGUGCAACUAAAACAAAUAUCUGUCCAUAAAACUUGUCUAAAAGUGAUGAUAAUUUUUCCUCUCCUUUCAUUUUUGAUGACAUAUUUUCUGAAGCAUGGAAGACAUCAAGUACCAAAGGUGACAAGCUCCAUAUAUUCACAUUGAAAAACCAUACAGCCAUAACCAUUACUAUGCAAUCAGAGAUGUAUAUCACCAACAACUUUUCAAAGGAUUACGCAUUUAAGGAAACAUACCUUGUUUGUCUCAGCCAGUGUAAGAACAGUAAGCUGUUUCAGCUUUAAGACUUGAUCAGGGACCAAAUGUGGAAGACGACUGGCAUCACCUACAAUACAUUUCAGUUUCUUAAAUUCCAUAACAAUGCCAAAGGGAUGCUUAAUUUCUUUUUUCAUGGAAAAUAUACUCAGAAAUUUUAUGGGAAGUAGUUCUCCUGGGAAUUGACAAUAUCUCCCGAAUUUCAAAAAUGAUUGAAGUAAGGAAAAGCUUAAAUGUUAUGGAGGGAAUAAUAAAGGACAUAGUAGUAGAAUUUAAUAAAAGAUACGGCAGUUGCUUUAAAACAAAUGUGCCAGUUUACACUUCUUCUAACGAAAAUAUGUUGCUGCCUCCAUUUAUUCAUCUUAUCAGUGAAUAAGUAUAAGAAAGUAUCUUCUUUGACAUCUCCAAAGCAACAGUAAGAAAAAAAACCGGUGAUGAAGUGAUGACUCUGCAGCAGAGCUUGAUAGAAAUAUACAUGGGUCAGUUAUAUCCUCAAGCAACAUUAAUAUGACAAAAGCACCAACUGCAUUGGCACCCAAAACCCUGCCACAUGUUCUUGAUAAUGAGGCUGCGCACAAUGUUUCAUACAAUGAACCAACAGACGUUCCAAUGGUGGCUCAAAUUUUGGGUUUUUCUCCUUCUGAGUUUUGUUUUCAUGUUGCACAGGGUUUGUUGAUAGUUAAAUUUUAGGGCGUUAUUGUUCGAUUUCUUCAUCACAGAUAUGGAAGCGGAAAACAAGCAUUAAUCGAUUUGGUGCAAGAUGACCAAAGCAAUCAAACCAACAGCUAGAGAAUAACAAACCCAUUAGAAAAUCGACCAAAAGAUGAAGCGAUUUUUGCGUGCUUACUCUUGUAAUCACUCCAUGUGCCAUGUGCAAACAAUCGAAGCACAUGGAGGUACACAGAAUUUUCAGUUCCUUCAAGCUGCACAUAUUCCACAGUCAAAAAACAAAUGCGUAUGAAACAAAAUCCAGUAACAAUCAAUAAUUUUAUUUUCUCUUUGGCUGCAACAAAAUUCUGAUUAUACAUCCUUUGCUCAAACCCAGAAACUACACGACCAAAAUAUACACAGAAAACUGAAAUUCCACAAUAAAUAAAUAGAAACAUGGGAACCUGAAGAACAUUAGGGACAGCGAUAAUUUCCGAAAAGGCAAAAAGGGCAGGGUGGGAGGUGACUUCUGCAACGAGGGGGCCGAGAGCAGAGCCAUCGAGUGAUGAGGCUUGCUUCACGAAGUGAUCAAUGACCUCCUCUUGCUUUUGCUCAAUCUCCAUCUCAAAAAACAACAGAAAUUACUAAUUGCAACGAUGGAAAAAUCGAGACGAGACGGUGAAAAGUUCAGCAGUGGAAAGCUAGGGAUUUGGUGGGUUGGAAUUUCGGGGAAGAGAUUGAGGAAGGGCCCAGAGGUUUAGGGGGUCGAAAAUAACCCUAAAAUCGUCUCCAACCGAGGGCUAGGCCAGAGGGCUCUGGAAUUUGAGAGGGCCCACGGGAUCAGAGAGGGCUGGAGGGCUGGAGCGCUGGCUGCUUUCGGCCAGCCAGCCCCGGGCUGGCUAUUUUUUUUUUAUAUGAUUUCCUAUUGCUGUCGGUUAUAGCCGACAGCAUUAAAGAUAUUCUUUUUUUUUAAUAGUUCUACUAUUAGUGUCGGUUAUAACCGAUACUAAUAGUUUGAAAUGUUUUUUAAUAUAACGGCUAGUAGCCGUUGUAUUAUUAGGCCUUUUUUUUUUCUUUUUUUUUUAAUGAAUUUAAACUUUUUUUUUUUUAAUGAAUGUAAACUUCUUUUUUCCCCUUUUUUUUUUCCUUUUCAUAUGAAUCAAAUUUUGUUUCAUAUUUUUUUUCCUAUAACUUUUAUUUCACAAAAUUUGUUUCAUAUUUUUUUUCAAUUCUAUUUUUUUCGUAUAACUUCCUAGGCCAUUUAUACAACAUUAAAUUGUAGUUUUUAAAUAAUAAAUUAUGUUUGGCCCUAUGGCCCUCGGUUGGAGACGGUUUUUUGUGACAGGGCUAAAACGAGCCCUUUGGCCCUCUGGCCCUCGGUUGGAGACGGAGGCAAAUAUGGCCCUGUACUGUUCAUUAAAAUAUUAAUAUCUUGGGGAAUCUUGGAGGGCUAGAGGGCUCAAACGAGCCCUCUGGCCAGCCUUCGGUUGGAGAUGGCCUAAGGGUAGAAUGAUGCAUUGUCAGAUUCUAUUGUGGGCACCUGGCAUUCGCAUCGAGACAUCUCCAUAUCUUAACCGUAAUAUUUAUUAAAAUAAAUGAGUAAUAUAAUUUGACCGAAAUUGAUCGUUAAUAUUAAAACGUAAUAUGAAGUUACAUGUUAUAUUGAAAAAAAGGUUAAAUUAAUAAAAAAUUAAAUGAAAAACCUAAAUGAGAUCAAAGAAUCCAAUAAUGAGAUCAAAGACAUCUCCAGUGCAUGUAUGAUAUAUAUUUUCCGAUUAGGGAUUUGGAUUGGAAACCUUAUCUGUCAUUUCUGCUUUGACAGUCUUGUUUCUCUAUUUGUAAAUAUGAAUUCAUCACACAAAAACACAAAAAGGUUUUGUUAUUUCCCAUUAAUUUUCUUGUUCAAAUAUGUCAAUAAUAUGAAAGGUUUUGUUAUUCUUUAAUGUGGGACUUUCGCCUUCACCUCUUCACAUGUACCAAUGACUUGUUUUUUCCCAUCAAUUUUCUUGUUAAAAUAUGUCAAUAAUUUUGAAAAAUGGUACAUAAAAGUACUUUUAUAAAGUUAUAAUAUCCUUCACGUGAAAAUGUUUUUUUGCAAGAAUAAAAUGUGUAUUGUCCUUGCACGACAAAAGAGAAAUUAAGUCACAAUGACCAUGAAAACUAUUGAGGAGAAUUUAUAAGAUAGAUAUUUAUAUAAAUGAUAACAUUAUUAUUUCAUCAAUGAUAUAACACAAGUUUUAGGGCUAACGACAUUGAUGUUUUCUGUUUCUACAAAACCAGUUCCCUUGUAAUCCACGAUUCUCAUUCAUUCCCUCCGAUGAUUGGAACAAUGUUGUACAAAUUUCGUAGCUCUGGUUUUAAAAUUUUAGAUAAUUCUUGUUAUAAACAUUACUCUUAAAUAAGUAUUCUUAGUUACUAAGGCAUAGGAAAGUUUCGAUUUCAUUUGAUUGAAAAGAUUGUCUCCAAUUAAUCGAAUGAAUAAGAAUCCUUUCAAAUGAACAUAGCUGCUUUCAUUCUAAUUUCAGAAAAUCCAAAUCCAUGAAAACAUGCAGCACUCUACUAUCUUUAUUUACAUUACUUUCUAUCUCCAUUUAAUUGUUAAAGAAACUCGAUGGUACAAGCAAACUGAUAUAACUUAAAAACAAUAUGAUUUAUAAGGCUGAGUCUUGAACUUGAACAACACAAUCAACUAAAAGCUAAAAAACACCAAUACAUUCUAUCUUUUUUCUUUUUUAAAAAAACCUCGACGGUACGAGGGAAAAUUUAUUGAAUAAAAAAGAAGUUAUAUCUAGUCAGGGGAUAUAAACUUUACCCCUCAAAAUAAAAAAAGAAAAAAAAAAAGAAACCGAAAGUAAAAGAAAAUAUGAGGGACAUACACUUACAUAACCUGAUGCAAACUUAUAAAUAAACAUAUAGAAAGUGAAGGAAAGAAACACAACAGAGAAAACAAACGACAACAAGAAAUGCGCAACGGUAACAAACUGAUCAUUCCAACGACUUAAGAAACAAGUCGGGCCUCCUUGUGAUCACAACAUCUGCAAGAACUACUCCCACUACCAACCCACUUCCACAUCCGGCCGAAACAAUUUUCCAAUCAAAUUCAAAUAUGCCUUCUGAGCUAGAAUCACCUUCGUCGACGGUUGAAGGUGGAAGUUGAGGGGCCUUAGGAUUUCCACAUUUCUUUGGCAAUGGAUCUCCACACAACCCUGGGUUUCCCUCGUAUGAAGUGAAUUUCAAGGAAGUAAGUUGGGUUCCAAGGGAUGAUGUGAUAGAACCAGUGAGAAUGUUGUGGUAUAGAAUCAGUUUCACCCAAGGAAGGAAAAGUGGAGGUUGGUCUGAAAUGAAGUUUUGAGAAAUGGCCAACAAUACCAAAGUUUCUAUGGUUGUGUUCCACAUCCAUUUUGGUACUUGGCCUCGGAUUUUGUUUCUAGAAAGGUCCAAACGCUCCAAACUUUUCUAAUAUUGUAAGAAAGAUGGAAACUCUGUUAGGUUGCAAAAACUCAAUCCAAGAAUGGUGAACUGUGGAACUGUUGAAUUCACAAUUUAAUUGGAGUUGGUAAAGAAAUUGUAGAUUUUGAAACAUUUGAAACUCUACUACACCACACUCAGACUAUUCGAAUGUAGAUAAAGGAUCUGAAGGUUUGUGAGAUUUGAAAAAGAUGUGAGGUUUGCCAAGGAAUCAGGAAUCGGACCUCCAAAUCUGUUGAGUGAAAUGUCUAGAUCAGUGAGCUUCCUAAGAUUCCCAAGUGAAGAUGGAACCAACCCUUCCGAAAAAUUGCAUUGAGCCACAUCCAACUCUUGCAGUGAAUCAAGGUUUCUAAACGAAGAGGGUAUGUUCCCGAAAAACCUAGUAAAGGAAACUUUCAGAAGCAUGAGAGGACUACUUCGAUUAAAUUCAGGAAAAUAUCCAGUCAGAUCUUGGUUGUAUCUCACACUAAGAAUUUCUAGGUUUGGUAGUUGGAAAAUUCUCACAGGAAAUUCACCAAACAGGUGACAUCCCACGAUGGCUAGGGCAUUCAAAGAUGAUAAGUUAGCCAUUGAAUAAGGAAUUGCCGAAGAUAUGUUUACCAAACUGAGGGAAAGUACUUCGAGACUAGUUAAGUUUUGAACUAGGCUUCCAAACUGAGGUAGUAGGAAUUUGAGAGUAAUUGAAGUUAUUGUCAGAGAGGUUUAACCUUUGACAUCACUUUCAUCUCCAUUUUGUUUGUUAAAAGAUACGAACAAACGUUGACAUAACUUAAAACAAUACGAUGUAUAGGGCAUGGUCUUGACCUUGAACAACCAAUCAACUAGAAGCUAAAAAGCAGAAAUACAUUCUUUCUUUCUUUUUAAAAAAACCUCGACGGUACGAGGGAAAAUUUUAUUGAAUAAAAAAAAAGUUACACCUAAUCAGGAGGACAUAAACUUUACCCCUCAAAAUAAAGAGACAAUGAAGAAAAGAAAGCGAAAAUACAAGAAAGUAGGGGACAUACACUUACAUAACGGGAAACAAACUUAUAACUAAACGUAUAGGAAGAGAAGGAAAAAAACCACAACAAAGAAAAUAAACGACAACAACAAAUGCAUAACAUUGUAACGUACCCAAUUUCUAAGCCCCCCACUAGUACUCUAAAUUUUCCUUAUCAUUUGUCUGAUCAUUCCAACAAUCUUAAGAAACAAAUCGGGCCUCCUUGUAAUCACAACAUCUGCAAGAAUUACUCCCACUACAAACCCACUUCCACAUCCGGCCGAAACAAUUUUCCAAUCAAAUUCAAAUAUUCCUGCUGAGCUAGAAUCACCUUCGUCUACAAUUGAAGGUGGAAGUUGAGGGGCCUUAGGAUUUCCACAUUUCUUUGGCAAUGGAUCUCCACACAACCCUAGGUUUCCCUCGUAUGAAGUGAUAUUCAAUGAAGUAAGUUGGGUUCCUUGUGGUAUAAGACCUGUGAGAUUGUUGUGAGACACAUUGAAAUUGGCAAGAAAAGUAAGUCGACUCAGUUGUUGGGGGAUCUGUCCUGAGAGCAUGUUUUGUGAAAGGUCCAACGAUUCAAGCUUCGUCAAGUUUCCGAAGGAUGAUGGAAUAGAACCAGUGAGAAUGUUGUGGGAUAGAUUCAGCGAACGAAGCUCCUUAAGGUUCCCAAUGAAUUCUGGAAUUUUCCCUUCAAAUUUGUUGCUUGAGAUAUCAAAGGAUGCAAAUUCUUCUCGGAUCUUUGGGUAGUAUUGCUCCAAACCUUUUGUUGCUAUUGUGAGUUGGUAAUCAACAUUGCUCCAAACCGGGAAUCCAUCGACAUCAUAAACUACACGUGUGUACAUAUAUGUUGACUUGUUUACAGUAAUAUCUAGAAACACAGAUGGAACCGCUCCAGUAAAAUCAUUGUAAGCCAAAUCAAGAAUGCGUAACUUGGGGAAAUCGACAUUCUUUCUAGAUUUUCCAAUCACACCGUAGAAUCCAUUAUGGCGCAUUGCCAAAAGUUUUAACUCUAGAAGAGUCCCCAACCAAAUGGGAAAAACAUCAUUGAAACGAUUGUUUGACAAAACAAGAUACUCAAGCAUCACACAAUUGGCCAAUGACCUCGGCAACUGCCCCUGCAACUUGUUAUGACUCACAUCAAUCAUUCUCAAACUGCUUCCUUUGUUGUAUGUCUGAGGAAUAAUUCCGUGAAAAGCGUUGUUUCCGAGAAGUAGAAGUGUCAGAUGAUCACUAAAGUUUCCAAGACACUGAGGAAGCAUGCCACUCAAGUUAUUUUUCGACAAGUCAAGGGACAGAAGAUUUUUCAUAUUGCAAAGCAACGGUGAGAUUUCUCCAGUAAAGUUGUUGUCUGCAGCUGCAUAUUCUCGCAUGGUUGGUGGAGGUAUCGGUAGUGAUCCAUGAAACAUGUUGGACGAAAACCUUAGACAUAACAGUUUCACCCAAGGAAGGACAAGUGGAGGUUGGUCUGAAAUGAAGUUAUUGGAAAUGUCUAACAAUAGCAAAGUUUCUAAGCUUGUAUUCCACAUCCAUUUUGGUACUUGGCCUCGGAUUUUGUUUCCAGCAAUUUCCAAACGCGUCAACCCAUUCUGAUAUUGUAAGAAGGAUGGAAACUCUCCUAAGUUGCAAUUACUCAAUCCAAGAACAGUGAACUGUUUAACUGUUGAAUUCAAAAUUCUGGAUUGAGUGACAAGUUCUAAACCGUUCCCGCUUAAUUCGAGUUGGUAAAGAGAUUGUAGAUUUUGAAACAUUUGAAACUCUACUGCACCACUCAGAGUAUUCGAAUGUAGAUACAGGAUCUGAAGGUUUGUGAGAUUUGAAAAUGACGCAGGAACUGAACCAUUUAAUCUAUUAAAAGCAAAAUCUAGGUACUCUAGUUUGCUAAAGUUGCCUAGCCAAGAUGGGAUUGGACCGGUUAAUCGACUUGUACUAAUCCUAAAAGUAGCCAGUUGGGUAAGGUUUGCCAAGGAAUCAGGAAUUAGACCUCCAAAUUUAUUGGCUGAAAUGUCUAGAUAAGUGAGCUGCCUAAGAUUCCCAAGAAAAGAUGGAACCAACCCUUCCGAAAAAUUGCAUUGAGCCACAUCGAAGUUUUGCAGUGAAUGAAGGUUUUGAAUUGAAGAGGGUAUUGUUCCAAAAAAGCCAGUAAAGCCGACUUUCAGUAAGAUGAGAGGACUGCUUUGAUUAAAUUCAGGAAAAUAUCCAGUCAGAUCUUGGUUGUAUCUCACACUAAGAGAUUCUAGGUUUGGCAGUUGGAAAAUUCUCACUGGAAAUUCACCAAACAGGUGAUAGUCCCUGAGGUAGAGGGUUGUCAAAGAUGAUAAAUUAGCCAUGGAAUGAGGAAUUGCCGAAGAUACAUUUACAAAACUGAGAGAAAGUACUUCGAGACUGGUUAAGUUUUGAACUAGGCUUCCAAGAUCUGAUGCUUCAAGUUUCAACAAGGGAUAAUUCUCCUCUUCUGACGACUGAUGAUCCUUAUCUUCUGACAAUCUAUCGAGAUUGAGAGCUAGAUUAAGGUAUGUCAACUUGGAUAACAGUGAAAGUUCAGAAGGGACUUGACCAGAAAAGACAGAGGUAGAGAGGUCAAGAUGAGUAAGGCUUGGAAAAUUCCUAAUGCUAGUAGGAAUUUGAGAGUAAUUGAAGUUAUUGUCAGUGAGGUUUAACCUUUGAAGAUGAACAAGGCGGAAGAGGCUGCUGUUGCUGUUGAUAGUGUUGGGACUUAAAAAGGCUUCACUACUUUGGAGAUGUUUAUCUCACAAAGAAGAAUGAAAUGCAGCGGAAUUGAUAGGCAAGAGAAAGAACACUCAAAGUGUUAUACAAAUUUUUUUUAUUCUCACACAAACUUAGUACAAGAGGAAACACUCAAACACUCUCACACUUCUUGCUCUCUUACUUGCUCUCACUUCUUCUUAGUUCUUGCUUCACAACUCACACACAUACACCUAUUUAUAGGCAUGUUUGCCGACCUAUGCCAUCACUAGAGUUUUCUAGUGUAUGAACAUGCACAUACUACACCAACCUAGGCAUUUGCUAGAUUAUUCUAGCUUGUUAUGCAUGCCACCGACAUGGGCAUUACAUAAUAACCUAUACAUUUAUGAUGGUUCUAGCCUUUUCUACAUACAAACCAUUUUUCUAGAUUUUCUUAAACUUUUCCAACUUUCUACCUUCUUUGCUAGAGUUUUCUAGCAUUUUCUCAUUGGUUUUGGGUUGGAUCACUUGUCUUGGGCCUAAGACAAGAUUACUAUUCAACAUCCCCCCUUAAUCUUGUCUUGUGACGCCGAUUGAGUUUCUCAGUCUGACAAAGUCUUCUUGCCUAAGUGGUUUGGUAAAUAUGUCGGCGACUUGGUCUUGUGACUUCACGUAUUCCACUUGCACAUCCUUUCUUGCAAUGCACUCUCUUAUGUAGUGAUAACGAGUAUCUAUGUGCUUGCUUCUGUCAUGGAAUACUGGAUUCUUUGUUAGGGCUAUUGCAGACUUGUUGUCGACAUAGAUCUCUGUUGGUUCUUCUUGUGGCAUGCUUAAUUCUUUUAGCAAGUUUCUCAGCCAAAUUGCAUGGCAGACACAUGAAGUAGCAGCUACGUAUUCAGCUUCGCAGGUAGAGAGAGUGACAAUCGGUUGCUUCUUCGACAUCCAUGUGAAUGCAGUGUCUCCCAUGAAGAACACAAAUCCAGUAGUGCUUUUUCUAUCAUCGGAAUCUCCUGCCCAAUCAUUGUCGCUAUAUCCAGCAAGUUUGUAGUUAUCAGAACUUGAAUAGAAUAAGCCAAAGUUAACAGUACCUUUAAGGUAUCGAAGAAUUCUUUUGGCUGUCUUCAGAUGUGUAGUUGUGGGAUUCUCCAUGUAGCGACUGACUAAUCCGACGGCAUAGAGAAUAUCUGGUCUUGUGCAAGUCAAGUAACGCAAGCUUCCAACUAAACUCUUGAAAAAUGUUGGAUCUACACUUUCUCCUUCGUCAUGCUUGGUUAGUUUGACUCCGCACUCCACUGGCGUGUUUAUGGGCUUGCAGUCGUCCAUUUUGAACUUUUUCAGUAUCUCUUUUGUGUAGCUUUCUUGGGAGAUGAAAAUACCUUCUUCGUUCUGCUUGACUUCAAUGCCUAGGUAGUAUGCCAUCAACCCGAUGUCCGUCAUCUCGAAUUCUUUGGUCAUCACUCUCUUGAACUCUUCAAACAUGCUUGGAUUACUUCCGGUGAAGAUUAGAUCAUCCACAUAUAAGCACACAAUCAAAAUAUCUCCAUCUUUGACUUUGACGUAGAGAGCAUGUUCAUGAGGGCACUUGGUGAAGUUGUUCUCAUGGAAGUACUUGUCAAUGCGACUAUUCCAUGCUCGUGGCGCUUGUUUUAACCCAUAGAGGGCUUUCUUCAACUUCAAAACUUUAUCUUCAUGCCCUUUGAUUUCAUAGCCUGAUGGUUGCUGAAUGUAGACUUCUUCUUCAAGGACUCCAUUUAGGAAAGCGGACUUCACAUCCAUUUGUUGAAUCUUCCAUCUGUUUUGAGCUGCCAACGAAAUUAGUAAUCGUAUAGUUUCCAACCGAGCAACAGGUGCAAAUACCUCAUCAUAGUCGAUUCCGGCUCUUUGACUAUAGCCCUUCGCCACUAAUCUCGCCUUGUAUCUUUCGACCUCUCCAUUGGCAUUUUUCUUUGUCUUGUACACCCACUUGACUCCGAUGGCUUUGUGUCCUUUCGGAAGAAUAGCGAGUUCCCAUGUAUCAUUCUUCUGGAUUGCUUCAAUUUCUUCAUCCAUUGCUUUCCUCCACUUAGUAUCUUGCACUGCUUCUUGGAAGUCAACUGGUUCACAAUCAGCAAAGAGACAGAAAAGUGUAGGAUUAUCGAGUCUUUCAGCUACCUCAUAAAGAUCUCGUAGACUUCUUGUGCGUGGUACUUCUCUUUCAUUUAGACUCCCACUUGGUGAUGCUGAUGCUGGUGAAUUUCCAUGAUUGGUUGAUGUUGGUGAAGCAGGUGGAGUAGUGGAUUCUUGUUGAACUUCUCUUGCUUGCUCCAUCGUCCCUUGUUCAUUCUUUUCUUCAAAUUGAGGAAAGAAGCUGAGAUCACUUGCAUGAGAGCUAAAAUCCCAUUCUCCUUCUUCGUCGAACGUCACGUCUCGACUGAUCAUCGUCUUCCCAUUGUUUGGAUUAUACAACUUGUAGCCUUUUGAAUUUGAGUCAUAGCCGAUGAAGAUGAACUUCUCACUUUUGUCGUCGAGUUUGGUUCUCCUCUCGUCUGGUACAUGUACAUGGGCUAUGCUUCCAAAAACUCUUAGAUGGGAGAUACCUGGCUUUCUUCCACUCCAUGCUUCUUGUGGAGUCUUUCCCCACACACUUCUUGUUGGAGACCGAUUGGAUAGGUAGACAGCACAUGCUACAGCUUCUGCCCAUAACUCUUUAGGUAAUCUCUUACUUUUGAGCAUACUUCGAGCCAUGUCGAGGAUAGUUCGAUUUUUUCUUUCCGCCACACCAUUUUGUUGAGGGGAUCUUGGAACUGUCAAAGGUCGACGAAUUCCAUUUUCUUCACAAAACUCUUGAAAUUCCUUCGAAGUGAAUUCUCCUCCUCGAUCAGAUCUCAUGGCUUUGAUCUUGCAACCACUUUCUUUUUCUACAGCGACUUUGAACUUCUUGAAUGCUCCAAAGACUUCUGAUUCUGCUUCAAGAAAUACACCCAGGUUUUCCUUGAAAAAUCAUCAAUGAAGAGAAGGAAAUAAUUAUUUUUACCCAAAGAGCUUGGUUUUAUUGGGCCGCACACAUCGGUGUGAAUGAGCUCAAGUGGCUUCUGGGUUCUUGUGGUCGACUCCUUUGGAAAGCUUUUCCUGAACUGUUUCCCAAGUAAACAUCCUUCACAAACUUGAUUAGGGUGGCUGAUGCACGGUAAGCCUCUCACCAUCUCCUUCUUAGAUAAUAACUCCAAUCCCCCAAAGUUAAGAUGCCCAAAACGAAGAUGCCAAAGCCAAGAUAUGUCUUUGUAACAAAUCUUGAGACACUUUGUAACAUCGUUUUGAAUGUCCAUGGGAAACAUCCUAUUCUUUGACAUUUUCGCCUUGGCAAUUAAUCUUCCUUUGUCAUCUCUAAGAAAAAGGAUAUAAUUUUUCGUAUGAAAAUCAUAACCUUUUUCUAAGAGUUGACCCAAACUCAAAAUGUUGCUUUUCAUAUUGGGCACGUAGUAGACAUUUGAAAUUAAUUGGUGACCGCCAUUUUUCAAGGGAAUAAGGAUGUUACCUUUUCCUUUUACAGGUAUUUUGGAUUCGUCUCCAAAAGAAACGUUGCCACUCACUGAUUCAUUGAGCUCUACGAACACGCUUCUUCUUCCACACAUGUGGUUGCUGGCGCCGGUGUCAAGAUACCAUGUAUAGUCUUGGUCUUUAUCAUUGUUCUUGCAUGCUAGUAGCACAAUGCCAUUCUCUUCUUUAUCUUCUUUCACAUAAUUGACCUUUUCAUCAGGUCUGUUGCUUGGAGCUCUACAUUCCCAAGCAUAAUGCCCGAACUUUUGACAAUUGUAGCAUUGAACUUGAGAUUUUUCAUACCUCAAAUUUGAGCGCCCUCUUCCACGACCUUUUGUUGAGCUUUCUCCUCUAUCGUAGUUGCUUUGGUUGUUGAAGUUCCAACCACGUCCACGUCCAUAUCCACGCCCACGUCCGCGACCUUGGCCACGACUUCUUUCGUAUUGGCUUCUCUCGUUGUCGAAGCUUCCUUCUUUCUUCUUUGGCUGAACAUGUGUCUUGAGGAGCUGCUCAUCAUUCCCUUGCCUCUUCUUAUGUUUCUCUUCAUAUGCUUGUAGCGAACCCAUUAAUUGCUCUAUACUAAUUUCUUCCAAGUUCUUUGUUUCUUCAAUCGUCACGACAAUGUGCUCGAACUUGGGGUCCAACGAGCGUAGUAUCUUCUCCAUAAUUCUAACAUCUUCUAACUUUUCUCCGUUUCUUUUUAAUUGAUUGGAAACGGCUAAGACUUUUGAAAAAUAAUCAGAGAUUGAUUCAGACCCUUUCAUUUGUAGAGAUUCGAACUCACCUCUUAGUACUUGAAGACGAACCUUUUUCACUUGUUCGGCUCCUUUGUAAGAGGUUUGAAGCUUCUCCCAUGCUUGCUUGGCAGAGGUUGCACUCGAGACUUUCUCAAAGCCAUUGUCAUCUAAUGCUUGGUAGAUGAGGUAGAGAGCCUUCUUGUCUCUCUUUCUUGAAUCUUUCAAACUCUCCUUCUGGGGUUGGGACAGAGUAGCUUCAUCUUCUGGCUCAGUGUAGCCUUUCUCCACGACUUCCCAUACAUCAUGUGCUCCCAAAAGGGCCUUCAUUUUGAUACUCCAAUUAUCGAAGUUGUUGUUGUCGAGCACUGGAACUUGGAAGGCUGCCAUAGCGUUGCUAGCCAUAGCUCUGAUACCACUUUGUUGGGACUUAAAAAGGCUUCACUACUUUCACAAAGAAGAAUGAAAUGCAGCGGAAUUGAUAGGCAAGAGAAAGAACACUCAAAGUGUUAUACAAAUUUUUUUUAUUCUCACACAAACUUAGUACAAGAGGAAACACUCAAACACUCUCACACUUCUUGCUCUCUUACUUGCUCUCACUUCUUCUUAGUUCUUGCUUCACAACUCACACACAUACACCUAUUUAUAGGCAUGUUUGCCGACCUAUGCCAUCACUAGAGUUUUCUAGUGUAUGAACAUGCACAUACUACACCAACCUAGGCAUUUGCUAGAUUAUUCUAGCUUGUUAUGCAUGCCACCGACAUGGGCAUUACAUAAUAACCUAUACAUUUAUGAUGGUUCUAGCCUUUUCUACAUACAAACCAUUUUUCUAGAUUUUCUUAAACUUUUCCAACUUUCUACCUUCUUUGCUAGAGUUUUCUAGCAUUUUCUCAUUGGUUUUGGGUUGGAUCACUUGUCUUGGGCCUAAGACAAGAUUACUAUUCAACAGAUAGAGCCGUGGAGACAGCUGCUACCAAGAUCUAGGCCAAUCACAUGACCCGUCUUCUCAUCACACUUGACACCUUCCCAUGAGCAGCAGGUGCUAUUUCCUCCUUCAGCUGGUUUCCAUGAUGAAACCUUUGGAUAAGCAUCGGGAGAUCUAGAAGCAGAUUUGUCAAUAGUAAAGCUGUCUCUGAAUUGCAGCAGGGCGGACUUCUCCUCAUCAGGGCAAGAUGGAUACUGCUUCUGCGAAGAGUAGGAAGAGUUAGCAAUAACCACAUGAUGAAACAGCAACAAAACUAGUACUGGUUUUGAAAUGCGAAUGGUGGAGAUAUCAAGAAACCCCAUGACAACAAUAUUUUGAUUUUUUUUUUUUUUUUUUUUUUUGCACUCUUAGCUAUGUAUGGAGUGGAAAGUGAUACAACUAUUUAUAGACUGGCAUCAGCAUAAAAUUCUUCCGCAAAUUAAUCUCUAAAAAGUGAUGGAGAUGGGUGUAAUGAGGACAAGUGCAUCGUAUCUUCUACAUGUAUAAAAGAUGCUCUUGACUAAUUUAUUCGUGAGUUAAUUUUUGAAGUCAAGUCUUCCAACUUUUGAGAUGGUGUGAAAUUAGAAGUUAGACAAAUGAGCAGCACCAUAAAAGAAAAAAAAAAUAUUUGCAUACACACAUAUAGUUUAUCGCAUGAGUUCCUUCUGUAAGGGUUUAUGGUAUUUGUAUUGACACUCUUGUAAGGUUUUAUCAUAUUUGUAUGCCCAAUUGCAAGACUUAUCAACUUUGUAUUUGGGUACUUCUAAAUGUGUUGGACCUUCAUGCUUGAAAUCUUCAUUAAAAUAUGUGUAAUUUGUAUUGGAAUACAAAAUUAAACAAAAAAAAAUGUUAACGGGUGACUCAUGAGCUUAAUAGGUUGAGUUUGAGUGACUCAUUAAUUUAACGAGUCGGGUGUGGGUCACUCAUUAGCUUAAAGGUUCAGGUGAAACCCGACUCAAACCCAAUAAACCUGACUUGUUUAUAGGUUACCAGCAUAUAGUAAGGGGGAUGAAAGUUUCGAACUCUCAACAACAAAUUAAGACAUUAGAGUCAUUAGAUUCAAUUCUUGCAUUGGCUUGAAGUGGGAUGGAUUUGAAGCCAUAACUUUUCAUUCGAUAUCCAAUUUCUUCAUCAUUAGGACUUUCAAACUCCUAGCAUAUAUUAAGUCAAGAGUGCAGGUGUAACGAAAUUUUUCGUGUUGGAUUUGGUCUAUGUUGCAUUUUUCAAACCACAAGCCCUUUUUUCAUCAGAAAAGAAAUAUCUCAUUAACUCAAGAGAAAGCAAGGAAGAGAGAUACUUCCACUUGGAGUUGAAGCCCCAAGCCCCAACCAUAGGAAAACUGCAGAAAAACGUAUUUGGCUCAAUUCUAAUUUUCAUUCAUUCUCAAAUGUACAAUAUAUAUUAAAUACAAAUAUAUAGAUUAUUUACAAAUGCACGCCAUUUACUCUUGUGUGGUGCUAUCCACACACCCAUUUUUACCUGUCACACACCACUCCCAAUUUUCGGACGUCGGGCCAUGUGAAUGGUAGAAGAUCAAUGUACAAAAAUUAACAAGUGUGUGUAUGAAAUAAAAUGGGGUGUGUGAAUAGCAUUAGGAGAAAUUAGAUUCAAAUCCUUCAUUUUCCUACUCCAUUGAUUAAAACCUUAUUCCUUUUCAAUUUUUGAUCAACGUCGUUGGAUAUUAAUAAUAUCAUUAAUUAUUUCAAUAAUAAUUUUUUUAAAUAUAUUCCUUUAGUGUUAAAAAUGUUACAAUUAAUAUAUUUAUAUUUAUGGCUAAAUUUUUUAUCAUAUAUUUUUAUUUUUAGUUUGUAACCAUUUUUAAUUUGCAAACCUUUUUUAAUUUGUACCAAUUUUCUUUUCAAUUUUAAUUUGUACCCAUAUAUUAAUUUCUUUUUGUGCCCAUAUUUUUUAAAGUUUUAUUUGUAUUUGUGUCCAUGUGUUUACCAUCACGUGACAUUGUAUAAUUAAUCAAUAAUAGAAAAAUUACAUAUGGUAUAUUUAUGUUUUAUGGCUAAACUUUGUAUCAUAUAUUUAUAUUUUUAGUUUGUACCCACUUUUAAUUUGCAACCUUUUUUUUAAAUUUGUUGUAUUUUCUUUUUAGUUUUAAUUUGUACCCAUGUAUUUUUUUUUUUUGCACCCAUAUUUUUAAAAAUUUCAUUUGUACACAUAAUUUUUUAAUUUUUUAUCUGUACCCUAAUUUAUUUAUACUGUACCCAUUCUUCUUUAUUAAUGUACCACUUUGUUAUAUGUGAAAUGUACCAAUUUGUUUUGUAAAAUGUACCAAUUUUUUUAACACUAUGGAUACAUUAAUUCUUUUGCCAUUUAUUAUUUGUUAUUGUUACAUAGUUUUUAUCCAUUUAUUCAUCAAAAUGUUUGAAUUUUUCAUUGUAGCCGUUUCUAAUAAUAUUAUAAUGAGGGAUUUUAAAUUUAUAGGAUUAUAAAUCUUAUAAAAUAUCAAACAAUUAAUGUCAAAACUAUAAAAAUAUAAAUAUUAAUAGUCAUAUAAUGAGAUGUGCAAAGUCAAUGGACUUUGAUCAAACUUUGAAUACCAUUAAGGUUUUAGUUAAAAAGUGUUAGAGAUUAGAGACCCCAUCCAAAGUAUCUCAUAACAUUAUCCUUACUCUUUCAUACAAUUAGCGUAAUGCAAAAAAGUCAACGAACCCAUGUAGAAGAUUUAAUGAGUCGAAUUGUUCAAUGAACCAAACCCAUGUAGAAGAUUUAAUGAGUCGAAUUGUUCAAUGAACCAAAUUAACUAACACUGCCCCUCAAGUUUUGUUGGGUAAAAGCUUAGGCGCUCAAAGCUUACUUUUACCUGACGGAAUGAUUUCAUCUCAGAAGGUGUUUUCUUAUAGUGAUACCAAUUAACUCCAUGACAAUAAUCUUUUUAAUUAUUUUACGGAGUAAUUAGGUUUUCAUCCUUAUUGUUACUACUCUAUUGAUUAAAACCUUAUUACUUUUCAAUUUUUGAUCAAGGUCCUUUGUAUUAAUAAUAUCAUUAAUUAUUUCAAUAAUAAAAUAUUUUUUAUUUCUAAAUAUAUUCAUUUAAUAUUAAAAAUGUUACAAUUAGUAUAUUUAUAUUUAUGGCUAAAUUUUUUAUCAUAUAUUUUUAUUUUUAGUUUGUACCCAUUUUUAAUUUGCAACCCUUUUUUAAUUUGUACCAAUUUUCCUUUCAAUUUUAAUUUGUACCCAUAUAUUAAUUUCUUUUUGUGCCCAUAUUUUUUAAAGUUUUAUUUGUAUUGUACCCAUAUUUUUUUAUUUAUUUGUACCCAUUUUUAUUUUUGCUAAAUGUACCCAUUUUGAAGAAUGUACCCAUGUUUUGAUACAAUAAUUUUUUGGUUAUUUUUUAUGAAUGUACCCAUGUUUACACACACACACAAUAGUAUAUUUAUAUUUUAAUAUUUGUAAUCCCACAAAUUAUGUUUUUUAUUUAAAAUCUCAUUACUAUAAACAACUAUAAAUUUUAAUUUUUAAUUUAAAAAAUAUAGUAACGUACAUAGAAAUAAAUUAUCAAUUAAUUUUAGGGACUUGGAUCAAAAAUUGAAAACCAACAAAGUUUCAGUCAAAGAUUAUUCAUAACUAGGGACCGCAUCCAAAGUCUCCUUUAUUUUAUUUUUUCACUCUUAGCUAUGUAUGGAGGUACAAAGUGACAUAACUAUUUGUAGACUGGCAUCAAUAUAAAAUGAUUCUGCAAUAUGAUUUCUAAAAAGUGAUAGAGACCGGUGUAAAGGGGACAAGUGCAUCGCAUUUCUUCUACAUGCAUAAGAAGAGAUACUCUUGACUAAUUGAUUCAUGAAUUAACUUUUGAAGUCGUCUUCAACUUUUAAAAUAGCGUGAAAUCAGAAGUCAAAAAAAUAAGCAGCACCAUACAAGAAACAAGGCUUGAUGACGCAGCACUAGCGUAGAAGGAUUAAAAAUAUAAAUCCUUGAAGAAACAAAGUUUUUGGAACCCACCAGUUUGAUAGAAACUCUAAAAGGAUAAUUUGAUUAAUUGAUGAGUUGAUGAUUACAAUGGAUAACACCCAUGACUUAAAUAAGUCAUUUACAACACUUUUGGACAACUCAAAAGGCUUAGAGAAUUAAAACGAAAGUAAAUGACAUUAAUCGGACGACAAUUGAAAAGUCCAAACUUAUUACAAACUUUAUUUUUCGGUUUUGGAAGCCACAGUCACAAGAGUUGGCAAGCUCCGCACACAACCGAAGGACAUAGUUAGCUUAUUGAUUACUCAGCCUGCGUGCCACGAAUGCUUGGUAGUUUUUAAGGUCAACAAUUGUACAUUUGAGAAUGAAGGAAAAGUACAAUUGAGCCAAAUAUGUUCUUCUACAGUUUUCCUAUGGUUGGGGCCUCAACUCCAACUCGAAGUAUUUCUCCUCUUCCUUGCUUUCUCUUGAGUUAAUGAGAUAUUCCUUUUCUGAUGAGAAAAGGACUUGCAGUUUGAAAAAUGCAACAUAGACUAAAUCCAACAUGAUAAAUUUCGUUACACCCGCACUCUUGACUUAAUAUAUGUUAGGAGUUUGAAAGUCCUAAAAUGAUGAAGAAAUUGGGUAUCGAAUAAAAAUUUCGGGCCUCAAAUCCAUUGCACUUCAAACCACUGCAGGAAUUGAAAUAGAUGACUCUAAUGCCUUAAUUUGAUGCUGAGAGUCUGAAACUUUCAUCUCCUUUACUAUCUGCUGGUAACCUGUAAAUGGGUCCCGUUUAUUAGGUUUGGAUCGUGUUUCACCUGACCCGUUAAGCUAAUUAGUCACCCCCAACUCGUUAAGCUAAUGAGUCAUCCAAACUCAACCUACUAAGCUCAUGAGUCACAUGUUAACAUCAUUUUUUAUUUUUUUUUAAAUUUUGCAUUCCAAUACAAAUUACACAUUUUUUAAUUAAGAUUUCGAGCAUGAAGGUCCAACACAUUUAGAAGUACCCAAAUGCAAAGUUGAUAAGUCUUGCAAUUAGCCAUAUAAAUAUGAUAAAACCUUAUAAGAGUGUCAAUACAAAUAUCAUAAACCCUUACGGAAGGAACUCAUGAGAUCAACUAUAAAUGUGUUACAUAUAUGCAAAAAUUAACUUCUUUUUUUUCCUGUUUUUUGCGGAAAAAUUUUCAAACCUAACAUGUGGACAAACAACGGGAUGACGUGGAGCGAAUGUGACUACUGAGAUAUUAUGGUGGAACCUCAACUUCUUAAACAGAAACCCAUUAAUUGUAGAAGAAUCGUGUCUAUCAAGUGUCGAAGAGUCAUAUCAACCAAGUAAGACUAGUGGAUGGCGUUUCUUUGAUGAGAAAAGAACUUGCAGUAGUUUGAAAAAAUCAACAUAGACCAAAACCAAAGCACAAGUUCCACACAUAGGCCCGUAUCCACUCCACCGGUCGAAUUAAAACCUAAUUACUAUAUUUGGUUGCAUUCAUUAUUUUAAGAAUCGUCCGUGUAUAAGAGUCGUAUCAAACAAAUAAGACUAUAGUGGAUGGCGUUUCUCUCUUACUUGACGUUAACAAGAAUAUGUACACUUCCUAGAGACAUAUGUAGUUGGAGGAGGUUUCCCCAUGGUUGGGGCCUCAACUCCAAGUCGAAGUAUUGUCUCUUCCUUGCUUUCCCUUGAGUUAAUGAGUUACUGAGAUAUUUCUUUUCUGAUGAGAAAAGAACUUGCAGUUUGAAAAUAUCAACAUAGACCAAAACCAAAGCACAAGUUCCACACAUAGACCAGUAUCCACUCCACCGGUCGAAUUAAAACCUAAUUACUAUGUUUGGUUGCAUUCAUUAUUUGUUUAGUCUUGUCGACUUUAAGAAAAGAAGGAGUAAUUCAGUCAAUCUACACUACUCUUAAAUCCUUCUGUGCCACAUGAUCUUAGGUUACUUUCCUAUUAUUUAGGAGGGUUUACGAUUGCUUUCAUGUUUGUUAAGAAUUGCGUCUUUAUAAAUACACCAUGUAACUUCGCUCGAGUUGAGUUUGGUAAGAUGUAGUCAUUUUGUGUUAUGUAUCAAUUUUAGCAAAGUUUUGUAAUCAAUCGGUUUGUACUUCUUUUUCUCUUUCCUUCAUUUAUUUAUUUUUUACACACUUGCUCUCCAACCAUUAAUCUGGAUCUUGAGGUCGAAGAUCAGAUGGUUGAGGUCAAGUUAAGUGAUGUAAGACAAGAUAUGAGUCACUUCCUAUGAAGAAAUAUAAAUAAAAUAAAAUGUUUCAAGAGAAGAAGAAUUAAAAUUGAAAAAUAUUGGAUUCAAUAAAUAUGGAGAAAAGGCAGCAAGAAAUAUUCCGAUGUCAUAGGAAGGAACACGUCUCGAUCUUCGGGUUCUAAAGCCUGAAGACAAGGCUGCUAGUUCUGCGAAGUUCAAAUAUCAAAUUUGGCUUUCAAUGUGCCGAAUGUAGUAACCUGUAACACCUCACUUCGCCGAGAAGGUUGAUGAAAUGACCUCUACCAACAAGGACUUAAAAAUCCUUGUCGACCGAGACUUGGAUAGGUAAUCAAUCGGCCGACAAGUAGUGCUGCUUAUCCAAACUGAAGGUGCUCAUUGAUCGGCUGAUUCUAUGGCUCCAGUGUUGUUUAUCCAAACUGAAGAUGUCGUUGGUUGCCUUCACAAUGCUGUUUAUCCAAACUGAAGAUGUGUCGGUGAGAAAAAGAAAAUAAAAAUCUCAAGGUUGUUGAGAGGUUUCGCGUAGAGCGAGAGUUUGCGUAAGGUAGUUUGUGUGUUGAAUUGGAGAAGCCCUUGAAUGAUGCACUCCCUUCUCUAUUUAUAUCAGCGAGAACCCCUAUGGCCGAACUAGAAAUAUAUUAGGAUUAGAACUCCUUAAACCAAUUUGAUUAAACUUCGACCAAUCCUAAUCUUCAUAGGACUUUGAACCAAACCUUCAAACAAACUAGGUUCAUCUCCUAAUACCAAGUACUUUAGCUUUGAGACUCCUUAUUAUACCAGGAUUCAACUACUUCACCUUUAUUCGAAAUAAUCCUCUUCGUAGCAGGAUUCGGCUAACCUCGACAGGGCCGGCCCAUGACAAGAUUCUAAAUAAAAACCAUUGGGCCGAGAAUAUUUCUGAGCUCAGCCCAAAAUAUCAUUUUGGGUCCAAACAUUGGUCCAUUGCUUCUGAGGUCCUCGGCCUAAAAAUUCUGGCUGAGCCUCGACCUUGAAAAAGUGAAAUCAAACCUUUAGUAUAUCUUCGAAAGACAACGAAAAAUCUCAAAUAUUCUACCCACUCAGGUGCAUUUAUGAAGCACGAUUGCACGAUCUUAAUUUGUCAGAUGCUCUGCCACGUGGUGAUUCCUCAGCUUACUCGUCUGCCAUUAAUAAUGACAUUUGAAACGUGCAACCAUCGAAACGUCUCUUCACCAUUAAAUUUGCUGUCAUAUGCAAACGUGCAUCCUCAAUCCAUGAGUUCUUCGGUCUUCGGUCUCUUCACCUGGAUUCUUUGAAUAUCCAUCAUGAUUACAAAAUCCUCUGGUCAAUUUUACCCCCUAAGAACUAUUGAUCUUCCUCCCAAAACACCUAUAAAUACUCAGUUUUCCUUCAUUCAUACCUUACGCUUUUAAAAAUCUCAAAUCUCAUUGCCACUUGCUCUCAAUACUAGAAAAACCAACCUUCCUUUGAAACCUAUAAAACCUUCAUCUUCUUCAAUGGCUGCCAAUACUUUCAUCACCAAGUUGGUCGAGGAAUGCACUAAAUGCCAAAGCAUCACUAAUCGAAACACUAUCAAAACCAUCUGAUUUGAGGAUGAGCCAAAUGCUUCCCACUAAACCCUCGGUCCAUUGUUCAAAGACGAUGUUCCAGAAGUGAUCAUCGAAAUGCUCAAGGAGCAUUGCUUGAAACCCUUAUUCCAAGGGUAUGAUUGGUCGAAAUGGGAAUUGGCCAAACCCCAAGGCGUUUGGCCUUCGAUCACUGCGGCCUAGGUUGCCUGGUUCACUCAGAUGGAGCCACAUUUCGGCGACGAAUGGAAAGCUCUAGGCAUUUUUUAUGUCAUUAAACUCUCGACCAUCGAGAUGAGCUUAGAUCGAGAGCUCGUGAUGGCUGCUUUGAGCUUCUGGUGCUCGGCCACCAAUACGAUGGUUCUCCCCCUCGGCCCCUUGGCCCAACAGUGAUGGACAUCACAACCAUACUUGGCACCUCUCCUACCGGCCUCCCAGUCGACAAGUCUCUCUCCGGGUAUCAAUUUGACCUGGACCUGAAAACCAUUUUCGAGGAGCAUGCCAUUGAAUCCCUGACAAAGGAAAACCAAAAGCUGUCGAAGGAAGAUGCGUAUAAACUACAUAAAAAAUUCUUCAACUAUAACACCCUAAUCACUCACUUCACUGGCUCGAGAGGGGAAAAUCUUAAAAAGGGUGAACACGGGGCCUUCUUAUUCUACUGGUACAACAAAUAUAUAUAUUGUGCCAAGUCAAAUAAAUGCUUGGCUGAGAAUAUGCCUAUUGCCGAAGCCUUGGCUAGCGGUCAUGUCCUGGCCCUUAGUCCGGCCGUUCUUGCUAACCUCACCAAAACGGCCCGUUCUGGGUUUUUCAGCUCUGGUUGCAGGUCUAUUUCUCUGCGUUGCGGCCAGACCUUGCAAGUUUCAACUCUUCCGAAGCCAUAGGCCUUGAGCUGGCCUCACGACCCAUUCUUUCCCACUUGGCCAAAGAGAUCUUCAAAUAUUUCUUUGGCCUAAAAGACCUGUCGGACGACGAAUUCCAUAUUUGCCAUCGCCGAGCGUACCCCCCUUCCAUCAUCCUUCAACAUUGGCAUGGAAAGAUGUCGACGAAGCUGAUCUCCAAAAUUUCUAGGGGUCAUUUAUCAUCACUCGCAACCUGCCCUAUGGUUGCAAGGCUCGACGAGGAAGCUGGGAAGUUUAUCACCCAAACUUCUUGGCUCGUCAACUGGGUUUUCUUCAAGGAUGCCAUAUGCCAUUCCUUACUUCUCUUUCCCUCUUGAGCCGAGAACGCUUCUUCGGCUCUUCAGAGAGGGAGUGUGAAGUAGCUAAGAAGGAUUUCAAGGAGUGGUGUGCCAAAUUCAGUCUUCGACUGAAAACUCCAGAAUCCCGUUAUGCUAGCAUCUUUGCCGAUUGGUGGGAUACCUAUACUAAGGAUUUCUUCAGAACUUCGGCUGAGGAAAUCUCACAAAAGCUUUUUGGCGACGACCCCAAAAAAACUCUCGCCCUAAAAUCCAGAGAAAUGGCCCAAGGUAUAUAGCUUUCCUUUUUAUUUUUCUUACUUUUUUAUUUCGGACUUCUUUUUUAUUCAAGCUCAGUGUUUUUAGGUGAUUGGGAUGGCCACGGCUAAGAAAAAACUUACCACUCCCAUGAGGAAAACUGCAACUGUCGCACUAACCCCAUCAAGCAAACGAUUUCGUCCGAAUGCCGAGACGGUUGAUGAAGCUCCCCGGGCGAGAAAAUGUGUUAAGAAAUUGGCAAAGAAAGGGGAACAAGAGAUCCAUGUUAUCUUUAGCCAAACCAUGGGAGCAACUACUCCCAGUGCCUUUCUCAUUUCCCCUGCUGUCAAGGUCUCGGCCAUGGUGUAGGGAGACUUAGUGAUUGAGCUGGUCACCAAUCCGGCUGUCGAAUAGCCUACAACUUCAACACUGGCCGCUGCUCACGUCGAAGUCAGCCUGGCGGUUGCUACCCCGAAGAGAGCAACUUUUGUAGCAAAAAAAAAUCUCCCCCCGAAUCCAAAAAAAGCUUCAACAAUCAUCCUAGAAUAAGAGGUAUAAAAUUUUAUAAUGUUCUUUUUAUCUCGAACUCAUUGUCUAACGACUAAUCCAUUGUCUAGGAGGAUGAAAGUGAAGGGCCCCUACUGGUAAAACAUCCUCAACCAGCCGAAUUGCCGACUAUCACUUCUCAACUGGCAGUCGAGGCGGUGGAUCAAGCCGAUGCUCCCACAGCUGAAGCAGGUUUGGGUUAUGAAACACCACUCCAUGUCGAGCCAGAAGCAACAGCCGAGAUGCCGAUUCAUCUCUAGGACCAGAAUCUCAAUAUCCCUCCCCAGGAUGUUACUUUAACCUUUGUAAGAACCGUUACCAUGUCCCAUUUUCAAUUCCUAACCUUUGAAUUAUGAACCAAGAGCAACCAUGAAAAUGCCAGGUGCCUUAUCGUUCAUUUCACCGAUAAUUUUACGCGUCAAAUGGUGUUAUUUAUAUUUCUUGGUUGCUUCAAUGGCCAUCGAAUGUAGAUAGCCUCUAGCUGAUAUGGCCGAGGUCUCAUCUCGACAGGUCUAUCAUAACUUCUUUAUCUGAUAUUCUUUUGGACUCUUCUUUACUAACUUCUUCUUUGUGCAGCUUCAUGGGAAGUCGAGCUCGACGCUCUCCUCUUGAGUACUUCUGGAGUAGCCGGGCUUUCUGUUGCGUCGACCGAGCCUUCAGUAAUCGCGGUCGAAUCCAAUACCUUCGUCAAGUUUCAGGAACUUCUAUCCCUUUUAGCCUCACAAGUCCUUUAAUGUAAAGGCAUCGACUCUGUAGAAUAAUGCUUGAACGAUCUUGUAGCCGAUGGCUUGUUGAGCACCGAAAGUGUCGUCCACUUAUCCAAUAUCCUGGAGCGGACCCGACAAUACUUCGCCACUUUUGAAAGGGCUCUCCGAGCUGAGGAUAACCUUAAGUCUAUAAAGGCAGCUCAUGAUGCUAGCCAACCGAAGGUUGAAGCUAUAAAAGCAAAGAAGACUCGACUGGUUGACCUUGAUCGUCAGAUCGCCAAACUCCAGCGUCAAAGGUCGAUCGUCGCUUCAGAGCUCGAGAAAGAUUUUGAGGCGAAUAAGUCCAUCCUGACAGACCACAUAGCCAACUCAAAGCGGAUACAACAACUGCAGCUUGAUAAAAGAACAAGACAAACCGAAGUUACAAUGGGUGAAGUAAGGUGGUUGGAACUGAAAGCCGCUCUUAAAGCCUUCCUUCCUUCGACCCCUUAGGAUUUUGGCCUUAUUAACCAACUGUUGGAUUCUUUUUGUAAUUCUUGUUUGUAAGCCUUUUUGCAAAAUUAAUGAAACAAAACUUUUAUUCUCGCAUUUCCCAUUGAUUAGUAGUUUAUGAAUUAGACCAGUUCGAUCUUUAAGGUGGUAUGUCCCCAUGCCGAGAACUUUAUAGAAGACAAACGGUCCUUCCCAAUUCGGCGACCAUUUCCCAAAUUUGGGAUCUUUCAUCCCUACGGGUAACACGAUUUGCCAUACUAACUCUUCCUCGUCGAACGUUUUUUGUUUGACUUGUUGAUUAUAGGCUUGCUCGGCAAUCUUUUUUUGCACCACCAAUAAAUUAUAAGCAUCAAGUCGAGCAACCUCAAAGUCUUCUAACUCUUGUCUCAUGGACUGAUUGUAUUCAGCACUGAACAAACUACUUUGUUCAAUUACUCGUAAUGAGUUUAUACUUAACUCAACUGGUAGCAUCGCAUCGUGCCCAUAAGUUAACACGUAAAGGGUCUCCUUGGUUGCUGAUCGAGGUGAAGUUUGAUAAGCCCAUAAUACCUCAUUUAAUUUCAAAUGCCACAUGCCAGGCCUUUCUUCUAUCAUAUUUUCAAGAAUACUGAUUAAAAUCUUAUUACUUGCUUCGGCCUGUCCAUUUACCUGUGAGUAAAACGGCGGGGACUGUUCCAGUUAAAUUUUUAAACUCGCUGUGUACUUUUUGAAUCUGUUAGAUGUAAAGAUUGUACCGUUAUCCGUUAUGAUUAUUUUUGGUAUGCCGAAUUUGGUUACGAUAUUUUCUUCCCUAAAAUUACAAACUUCUUUAGACGUUAACUCGGCGUAUGACUUUGCUUCGACCCAUUUGGUGAGGUAGUCUGUUACAACAAGUAUCCACACAUGCUUAGCUGACUCGGAAGACGGCGUAAUUUUACCGAUUACGUCUAUGGCCCAUCCUCUGAACGGCCAGGGUUUGGUGACUAAGUGAAGUAAUUCGGCCGGGACUUUUUGUAUAGGCUUAUGAAUUUGACACUGUACACAUCCUUGUACGCACUCAAUACAAUCCUUCAAUAUACUUGGCCAAAGAAUCUUGAGUCCAGAUUGAUGAGCUCCGUAAAUUCCUUCGUGUACUUCUGUAAUUUCUUAAGCAGCCUCCUGUGGGCUGAGUCACAAUAACAAUAAACCAUCAUCACCCUUCCAGUACAACUUAUUCUGGUACAACACGUAAUUUAAGGCAUGGACCCUUGUCUUGCGGUCGUGUUUGUCACUGGGGUUAUCGAGAUAUCACAUGAUUGAUCUUCUUCAGUCGUCUGGUAAUGUCUUAACAGCACACACAUCUGCAGGAUCUCCUCGUUCUAACAACGAAGGUAAGGAAAUCACUCGUGUACGGAUCAAGUAGCUGUGUUGGAGAACUUAUUGAUUAACCAAGGCUGGGUGCGAUUGUCGUACUACAGGUAUAGCCCGGCCUAGCUCGCCCCCAGGAGUUAUGCUCCGAAGGCUAUUUGAGCCAGUUCGUCUGCGUCGGUGUUUCAAACACGGAAGAUGUGUUUGAAUGUGAUACCGUCGAACAACUCGGCCAAAUAAUUGGCAACCAUGUGAUAAGGCAACAGAGUACAACUCAUGCAACGGAAAGUUUCAUUGAGUUAGUUAAUCACAAGUUUCGAAUCGCUAAGGACGAGUAUGCGGGUUGCCCUCAAGUUGUGAAAGAUGCUGAGGUCGAUGAUAAGGGCUGCGUAUUCGGCCUGAUUAUUUGUACAAUCAAAAUCAAGCUUAAGAGAAAAAUACUAGCGGUGUUGAUCUCGACCGAAGUACAACUCGGUAUAAAAGACGAACUAGUUUGACUUUUAACAGCUGGGUUUAUUCGGACCUCUCGAUACGUCGAGUGGCUGGCCAAUAUCGUCCUGGUGCUAAAGAAGAAUGGUGCCCUACGCAUCUGUAUCGAUUUUCGUAAUCUGAACCUAGCAACGCCCAAAGAUGAAUACCCGAUGCCGAUCUUCGAUUUGUUAAUUGACGCCGCAGCAUACCACGAGAUCUUAUCUUUUAUGGAUGGGCAUGCUGGUUAUAACCAAAUUUUCAUCGCCGAAGCUGAUGUCCAUAAAACCACUUUUCGUUGCCUCGGGGCACUCGGCACAUACAAAUGGGUCGUCAUGCCCUUUGGCCUUAAGAACGCCGGUGCCACAUACCAACGAGCUAUAAACACUAUUUUCCAUGAUUUAAUUGGUACCAUCGUCGAAGUCUACAUCGACGAUGUGAUAAUCAAAUCAGCACGUCAGCAGACACAUUUGGAUGACCUCCGUUAGUUGUUCCUGCGCAUGCACUGGCAUAAUCUUAAGAUAAAUCCUGCCAAAUGUGCUUUUGGCGUCUCAGCCUGAAAUUUUUUAGGAUUCCUCGUCCAUCACCGUGGUAUUGAGAUGGACGACAACAAGGCUCACGCAAUCAUUAAUGCUCCACCCCAAACGACUAAGAAACAACUACAAUCAUUGCUCGGCAAGUUCAAGUUUCUCCGUCGAUUUAUUGCCAAUUCAGACGGGAAAAUGAAAGCAUUCUCCAUGCUUUUGAAACUUAAGGACUCCAACACCUUCGAAUGGCGUUCAGAACACCAAGAGGCAUUUACACAGGUCAAGGUCUCCUUAACAGUUUUGCAUGUCCUCGUCCCACCACGACGGGGCCGACCUCUUAAGCUAUAUAUCUCGGCGGCUGAAGAAUCCAUCGGAUGCCUUCUUGCACAAGACAAUGACGCUGGGCAAGAAUAGGUCAUUUUUUACCUUAGCCGAAAUCUCAAUCCACUAGAGAUUAAUUACUCUGUUGUCGAGAAGUUUUGUCUUUUGUUAGUUUUUCGCUGCGUCAAAACUCAGACAUUAUAUGCUCCCAUCAGUCACUCAAGUCAUCACCCAGGCCGAUGUCAUUCGUUACAUGCUUACUCGGCCGAUCGUAAAAGGCCGAAUUGGCAAGUGGACGAUGGCUCUCUCUGAGUUUAGCUUGCAAUAUGUGCCCCAGAAAGCUGUCAAAGGUCAUGCUUUGGCCGAUUUUUUGGCCCAACACCUUUCCUCGUAUGAGUUCGGGGGCAAUGACGUUGACAUCGGAAUGGUGGCAAUACGUGGUAAUUACUGAACGAUGUAAUUUUAUGGUUCCAGUACUUCAGUCUCGGCUAGCGUUGGGAUUGUUAUUCAAUCCCCCACUCAUAAUCGUUGGUAUUUUUCUCUCGAGCUUGAUUUCAAUUGUACGAAUAAUCAAGCCGAAUACGAAGCCCUUGUCAUCUACCUCAGUAUACUACACGAUUUACGGGUAACUCAUGUCCUUGUUCUUGGUGACUCUGAACUUGUCAUCUACCUCGAUGUACUUUUCGUUGCAUGAGUUGUACUCUGGCGCUUUACCAUAUGGUUGCCAGCUAUUUGGCCGAAUCUUUCGACGGUGUUACUUUCAAACACAUUUCACGAGUUCAUAACACUGAUGCCGACGAAUUAGCUCAAAUAGCCUCCAGAGCACAACUCAUGGGGGGCAAAUUAGGCCGAGAAAUACCUGUGUCACGACAAGCACAUUCGGCCUUAAUUAAUCAGUAAGUUCUCCAACGUGAUUGCGUGAUCCGUACACGAGUUAUGUCCUUGCCUUCGUUGUUAGAACGGAAGGACACUGUUGAGGUUUGUGUUGUCGAUGCAUUACCAGACGAUUGAAGAAGGACAAUUAUGCGAUACAUUGAUAACCCUAACGAAAAAUAUGAUCGACAGACAAGGGCUUAUGCCACAAACUACGUAUUAUACCAGAAGGAGUUGUAUUGAAAAGGUGAGGAUGGGUUACUGCUGUUAUGCCUCGGCCCACAUGAAACUGCUCAAGCAAUGGCAGAAGUACAUGAAGGAAUUUGCGGAGCUCACCAAUCUAGAUGAAAAAUGCAUUGGCUGCUUCAGCAGCAUGGCUAGUUCUAGCCAAGUAUUCUGAAUGAUUGUAUUGAGUACGCAAAGGGUACAGUGUCAAAUCCAUAGGCCUAUACAGAGAGUUCUGGUCGAAUCACUACAUUCGGUCACCAAACCAUGGCCGUUUCGAGGAUGGGCCAUGGAUGUAAUCGGGAAAAUCACACCAUCUUCUGGUGCAACCAAACAUGCGUGGAUACUCGUUGCAACAGACUACUUCACCAAAUGGGUCGAAGCCAAGUCAUAUGCCAAGCUAACCUCUAAAGAAGUUUGUAAUUUCGUUGAAGAAAACAUUGUGACUAGAUUCGGCGUGCCAGAAACAAUCAUAAUAGAUAAUGGUACGAUCUUUACAUCCGACAGGUUUAAGGAAUAUUCGGUGAAUCUAAGGAUUCGACUCGAGCAAUCUACGUCGUAUUAUCGCAGGCAAAUGGACAAGCCGAAGCAAGUAAUAAGGUUCUAAUCGGUAUUCUCGAAAAGAUGAUAAAAGAAAGGCCGGGUAUAUGGCAUUUAAAGAUAAAUGAAGCGUUAUGGGCUUAUCAAACUUCUUUACGGACAGCCACUGGAACGACUCCAUAUGGUUUGACUUAUGGAAACAACGUAAUGUUGCCAGUCGAGUUAAGUAUAAACUCGUUGCGAGUAAUUGAACAAAGUAGUUUGUUUAGCGCCGAGUACAGUUGGGCCAUGAGACAAGAGUUAGAAAAUUUAGAAGAAGCUCGGCUUAAUGCUUAUAACUUAUUAGUGGCACAAAAGAAGAUCGCCGAGGGAGAGUUGGUUUGGCAAACCAUACUACCCGUAGGAAUUAAAGACCCUAGGUUUGGCAAGUGGUUGCCAAAUUGGGAAGGGCCAUUUGUUAUUCAUAAGGUUCUCGGUAAGGGAGCAUACCAUCUUAGGGAUAAAACUAGUGUAGUUCACAAGUUGCCAAUCAAUGACAGGUUUUAAAAAAAUACUAUCCAGUCACAUGGGAGAUUCCGGAAUAAAAGUUCUUUUCAUUAAGUUCGCAAAAAGUUGUACAAAUGGAGUGGGGCGAUCAGUUAUAAUCAAAUACUUCUAGGAUGAUGAAGGUAGGAGAGAUUCAAGAAUGGCCUUCAACUCUAAUUACCGCACCUCGCUCAUCUUGACCUCAGCUUGCCGAUUCCUCUUGUCCAUCUUCAGCUGCUCGACCCGCUUCACGCUAGUUGCAUAGUCAGUUAAGCAAGACUUGCCGCUCGACUCAAAAUCUUUUGCAAGCUCGGAAGCAAUUGCCGACCUUAGAUUUUUGAGUUCGGCAAUUUGACGGUCAAGGUCGGCGAGGGUCUUUUUUUUCGCCUUUAAAACUUUGACUUAUGAACGAAGAGCAUCUCGAGCAACUAUUGCAGCUUUCAAGUCGUCUUCAGCCCGAAGAGCUUUCUCAAAAAUACCAAAAUAUUCUUGGGUUCAUUCCAAGGUAGAAGACGCUUGAGUGAUAGCUUCAGUGCUCAAUUGACCAUCAGUUGCGAGAUCGUUCAAACAUGCACCCACUGAAUCGAAGCCCUGGCAUACGAGAACUUGUGUAGCUACCGAAGAGCCAGCCACCCCUGAAGUACUCGAUAAGAGAGCAUUGAACUCGACUUCCCAUAAAGGCUGCACACGAAAAGAAUUUAAGCGAAAAGAAAAUCAUAAAAGAAUGUAGUAGAAAGAGUUUAUUUUAGACAUGCCGAGAUGAAACUUUGGCCAUGUCUCUUGGUUCGUUGCUUGAACCUAAAGAGCUUAAUGGCCGAGCCUAGUGUUUUAGACUGCUUCUUAAUUCACGCGGCCGAUGAAGGUUAUCUACGUUCGACGGCCACUGAGGUGGCCAGGAAAUAUAGAUAACACCCUUCGGCGCAUAGAAUUUUCAGUGAAAUGAAUAACUGGGCACCUGACAUUUAAUAUUUUUCUCGGUUCAGACUCAUUAUAAUACAAUUGACAAGAGAAAUUAGUCGAGCCUUACAAAAGUCGAAGUCGCUUCUUGAAAGGGAAUGUCGAGGUCUUGGUCCUGCGAGUGAACUAGAGUUUCUGACAUCGCUUCAGGCUCAAUGAAAGGCCUUUUUCCACGAUCGACUGUAGGAGGAUUGACCUGAUCGGUCGCCUCAACCAUAAGGGGAAGAUCAAUGGAAGGAGGUUUGGUUGGUCGAGAACGACUCGCCAGCGGAAUCUCAUCACUCUCGUCAUCCUAAAACAAAAGAAUUGUUAGUACUUUUGAAUUUAAAGAGUGAAGGGAGUUGCCAGUAUAAUCAUACCUCUUCUAAAAUGAUCAUUGAUUAUUUUGGAUUCUUGGGGAGAUUCUUCCCGAUCGAAGGGGUUGCCUCCCCUAGGACGGGUGCUACAGUCUGCCCCGAAGUUGCAGGCGUAUCGACCAGCGGUACAACAACUGGUUUGACCACGACCUCGAUGACCUCAGGGGCCAGGUGAGCUUGGGGUGUCAGGUUGGUUGGAGUUGGCCGUUUCUCCGUUGAGGCUUGGACAACAGGAACAGGAGGAGAGGCACUAGGAGUGGUCGCUUCGGAAGUGUGGUUGGAGAUAACGUGAAUCUCCCGUGCUUCUUUCUUCGCCAAUUUCUUGAUGCGUUUUGUGGGGCGAGGGGCUUCACCUGCCGUCUUGGUGUCAGGACGAGGCCGUUUGCUCGGUGCGUUUUGUGCGGUGGUUUUAGAUUUCUUGGAGGAAGGGGCCAGUUUUUUCUUGGCCACAGCUGGGGCGAUCACGUCUGCCUGUUUCAAUACUCGACCGCCUGAGAAAGCGAAAUCUAAUUAGUAAAAUCGAUUAAGUGUUUGAAGAAUAAAGGUAAAGAUAAUUGUAUACCCUGGGGCGUCUCUUUGGAUUGAGAGGCAAAAGUUUUUUCGGGUCGGUCACCAAAAAUUUUGUUGACUACGUUUUCGACUGAAGCACCAAAAAAGUUGUGGGUAUAUUCUUCCCACCAAUCGUCGAAGGUGUCGAUGCCGAGAGAUUCAAGAACAGUUGGUCGAAGGCGGAAUUUCUUGCACCGUUCCUGAAACUCCUUCUCGGUGUCUUUGCACUUCCUUUCUGAGGAACCAGAGAGGCGUCAUUGGCUUAAAAGGGAGUGGGAAGUAAGUAGAGGCACCGGGCAACCUUGGAGGUAGUUAAGCUGUGGGGUAGCAAAGUGGCGGUGGUAGACUUCCCAACUUGCUCGGCGAGCAUCGCAACUGAGCGCAAGGUCGUGAGUUAACACGAACGAACCCCAGUUUUGACGAAAACCAGCAUCUUCGCUUUCAUUCUAGGUUGAUGUGGGAAGUCUGAUGGAGUGAGGGUAUUCCUGACAACGACAUAUCAAAAAUUCAUCGUCAGAGAAGAUGUUUAGGCCAAAGAAGUGUUUGAAGACUUCGUCAGCUCAGUGAGGAGGCACUGGUCGAGGAGCCAACUGAUGGCCGAGUGCUACAGUGGACUGAAGGUUGGGGAUUUCUGGCCGAAGUGUGGAGAAAUAAACCUGCAGCCAGAGUUAGAAUACCCAGAGAGGUCCAUUCUGGUACGGGUCGAUCUUGGUGGCGGUCGUUUCAGCCAGGUAGCGUAGAAGGUUGGCAAGGAUAGCCGGACUGAGCACCAGAGAAUGACCACUAGCCAGGGCUUCCACCACGGUAUUUUUUCGACCAAACACUUAUUCGACUUGGUACAACAGAUAAACUUGUUGUACCGGUAAAAUAGGAAAGCCUCGUGCUCGCCCCUCCGCAGACUCACCUCCUCUCGGCCAGCAAAAUGGAGGAUGAGGGUGUUGUAGUUAAGAAAAUUCUUAUGCAACUUCUGAACUUCCUCUUUUGAAGGCUCUUGACCUUCUUGUCUCAACGUCUCGACUGCUCGUUCGUUGAAUAGUACCUUGAGGUCGAGGUUUGAUGAGCAUCCAAUAAGGGCAGCGUCUAUUGGAAUGCCAGAAUGAGGAGUCCUGAGGAUAGCCGAGAUGUCGAGGAUGGUGGGGGUGAUAGGGCCGAACGGAAGGACCAUGGUGUUGGUGGCCAAGCACCAGAGGCUUAGAGCUGACAUAAGGAGUUCUUUAUCCAUGGUAAUCUCCAUGGUCGAAACCUUAAUGGCGUCGUGGAUGCUGAGAGCCUCCCAUUCUUUACCAAAGAAUUUUUCCUUUCGUACUACCCAGGCCGCCCAGUUCGCUUUGGUCGAAGGCCAGACUCAUUGAGGCUUUGUCAGGCACCACUUCGACCAAUCAAAUCCUUGCAGCAAAUGUGCCAGGCAAUGUUCUUUGAAUAGGUUGGUGAUGGACAAUGGCACUGCGUCUUUAAAUAGUGGUCCCAGGAUUUGAUGAGUAGUGUUUAGUAGGCCUGGCAAUUGCUGACACGACCCGAUAACCCGACAUGACACGACACGAAAUUAACAUGUGUUCGGGUCGACACGAUAACGAAUCGGGUCGAUAUCGGGUAACUUGAUAAGAACCUGUUAAGAUAAUGGGUUGGUUCGAGUAUACACAUGGGUAACACGAUACACGAUAUGCAAAAUAUUAAUUUUAUAACCCUAAAAAAAAUACUAUAAUAAUUAUAUAUAUUAAAUUAACAAUUUUAUCAUUCAAUUUAUUAAGUGUUAUAUGUACAAAAUAAAUAAAUUUAAAUCUACUUAAUAAAUAUAUAUAUAUAUAUAUAUAUAUCAUUGAACUUGAUGGGAUACGAAUUCUACGAAACUAAUUUCAACGAUCUAACCAUCAAACUUGUUUGUAUAUGCUUCGAGAUCGCAUCAACAAAAAAUUAAAAAAAACAAACAUUCAGAGAUCAAGUAACGGGACAAAACUUUUCGACGGUUAUCAAUGAAAAAUCACGAUUUAAUGGUUAUUUUAACUCUGAUUUUGAUGAUGUUUUACAGCUACACUCGUUGACCCUAUAUGAAUACAAUGAAUGAACUCGAUCUUCAAUUUAAAAUAUUUACACUAAUGGAUACCACAAAAUCUUAUGUUAUACUUAAUGAAAGUUUGAAUAAACUCUUAAGUGUUAGUUAAUCUAUUGUUUUGAUGGGAUAUGCAUUAUACGAAACUAGUUUCAACAAUCCAACCGUCAAACAUAUUUGUAUAUACUUUGAGAUCGCAUGCGCCAAAAAUUGCAAAAAAUAAACAUUCAGAGAUUAAGUAAAGGGACAAAACUUUCCGACGGUUAUAAACGAAAAAUCACAAUUUAACAGUUAUUUUAACUCCGAUUUUGAUGAUUUUUUACAGCUACACUCCUUGAUCCUAUAUGAAUACAAUGAAUGAAUUCGAUCUUCAAUUUAAAAUAUCGACACUAGUGGAUACCACAAAAUCUUAUAUUAUAUUUAAUGAAAGUAUAAAUAAACUCUAAGUGUUAGUGAAUCUAUCAUUUUGAUGGGAUACGUAUUCUACGAAACUAAUUUUAACGAUUCAACCAUUAAACUUGUUUGUGUAUGGUUCAAGAUUGCAUACGCUAAAAGUCACAAAAAAUAAACAUUCAGAGAUCAAGUAACAGGAGAAAAUUUUUCGACGGUUAUCAACGAAAAAUCAUGAUUUAACGGUUAUUUUAACUCCGAUUUUGAUGAUUUUUUAUAGCUACAUUCCUUGACCCUAUACGAAUACAAUGAAUGAACUCGAUCUUCAAUUUAAAAUAUAUUACUCUAGUGGAUAUCACUAAAUCUUAUGUUAUACUUAAUGAAAGUAAGAAUAAACUCUUAAGUGUUAGUGAAUCUAUUGUUUUGAUGCGAUACGCAUUCUACGAAACUAGUUUCAACGAUCCAACCGUCAAACAUGUUUAUAUAUACUUCGAGAUCACAUACGCCAAAGAUUGCAGAAAACAAACAUUCAGAGAUCAAGUAACGGGACAAAAUUGUUCGACGGUUACCAACGAAAAAUCACGAUUUAACGAUUUUUUAACUCCGAUUUUGAUGAUUUUUUACAGCUACUCUCCUUGACCCUAUAUGAAUACAAUGAAUGAACUUGAUCUUCAAUUUAAAAUAUUCACACUAGUGGAUACCACAAAAUCUUAUGUUAUACUUAAUGAAAGUAUGAAUAAACUCUUAAGUGUUAGUGAAUCUAUUGUUUUGAUGGGAUACACAUUUUACGAAACUAGUUUCAACGAUCCAACCGUCAAACAUGAUUGUAUAUACUUUGAGAUCGAAUACGCCAAAAAUUGCAAAAAAUAAACAUUCAGAGAUCAAGUAACGGGACAAAAAUUUUCGACGAUUCUAAACAAAAAAUCACAAUUUAAAAGUUAUUUUAACUCCGAUUUUGAUGAUUUUUUAUAGCUACACUCCUUGACCCUAUAUGAAUACAAUGAAUGAAUUCAAUCUUCAAUUUAAAAUAUUGACACCAGAGGAUACCACAAAAUCUUAUGUUAUACUUAAUGAAAGAUAAAUAAAUUCUAGAGUAAAAGAUUGUUUACUACCCUCAUGUUUCGUGGUUUUCAACAUUUAGUACAUCAAGUUUUUUUUCAACCCAGAGUCAUACCUAAAGUGUAAAUUUUGGGACAGUCUCAUACAUCCGUUAGUCAAACUAUUUAGUUUUCUGUUAACUGAUAACGUGGCGCCCACGUGGACAAUGACUGGGCGCCACGUGUCAUUAAAAAUAUUAAUAUAAAAAAACCGAAUCUGGGAAGAAGAAGAAGAAGAAGAAGAAGAAGAAGAAGAAGAAGAAGAAAAAAACACGAAUCUGGGAAGAAGAAGAAAAAGAAGAAGAAGAAGAAAAAGAAAAUAAAAAGAAGAAGAAGAAAAAAAAAACCGAAUCUGGGAAGAAGAAGAAAAAAAAAAACCGAAUCUGGGAAGAAGGAAACCCGGAAGAAGAAGAAUGAGGAGGAAGAAGAAGAAGAAGAAGAAAAGAAAAGAAAGGAAAAGAAAAACGAAUCUGGGAAUGGGAAGAAGAAGAAGAAGGAGGAGGAAGAAGAAGAAGAAGAAAAGAAAAAAAAAAAAAACCGAAUAUGGGAAGAAGAAGAAGAAAGAGAGGAAAAAAAAAGAAAAGAAGCUAGGGAGGGUGCGGGUUGCAGGAAAGAAAUUUUUUUUUUAAUUUAUAUUUUUAAUAUUUUUAAUGACACGUGGCGCCCAGUCAUUGUCCACGUGGGUGCCACGUCAUCAGUUAACGGAAAACUUAACAAUUUGACUAAUGGAUGUAUGAGACUGUCCCAAAAUUUACACUUUAGGUAUGACUCUUGAAUGAAAAAAACUUGAUCUACCAAAUGUUGAAAACCACGAAACAUGAGGGUAGUAAACAGAGUUUAACCCUAAAUUCUAAGUGUUAGUGAAUCUAUCGUUUUGAUGGGAUACACAUUAUAUGAAACUAACCGUCAAACUUGUUUGUGUAUGCUUCAAGAUUGCAUACGCUAAAAGUCACAAAAAAUAAACAUUCACAGAUCAAGUAACAGAACAAAACUUUUCAAUGGUUAUCAACGAAAAAUUAUGAUUUAAAGGUUAUUUUAACUCCGAUUUUGAUGAUUUUUUUAUAGCUACACUCCUUGACCCUAUACGAAUACAAUGAAUGAACUCGAUCUUCAAUUUAAAAUAUUUACACUAGUGGAUACCACAAAAUCUUAUGUUAUACUUAAUGAAAGUAUGAAUAAACUCUUAAGUGUUAGUGAAUCUAUUGUUUUGAUAGGAUACGCAUUCUACGAAACUAGUUUCAACGAUCCAACACAUUUUACAAAACUAGUUUCAACGAUCCAACCGUCAAACAUGAUUGUAUAUACUUUGAGAUCGAAUACGCCAAAAAUUGCAAAAAACAAACAUUCAGAGAUCAAGUAACGGGACAAAAAAUUUUGACGGUUAUCAACGAAAAAUCAUGAUUUAACGGUUAUUUUAACUCCGAUUUUGAUGAUUUUUUACAACUACACUUCUUGACCCUAUAAGAAUACAAUGAAUGAAUUCAAUCUUCAAUUUAAGAUAUUUACACUAGUGGAUACCACAAAAUCUUAUGUUAUACUUAUUGAAAGUAUAAAUAUACUCUAAGUGUUAGUGAAUCUAUUGUUUUGAUGGGAUACGCAUUCUACGAAACUAAUUUCAACGAUCCAACCAUCAAACUUGUUUGUAUAUGCUUCAAGAUCGCAUACGCCAAAAAUCGCAAAAAACAAACAUUCAAAUAUAAAGUAACGGGACAAAACUUUUCGACGGUUAUCAACUAAAAAUCACGAUUUAACGGUUAUUUUAACUCUGAUUUUGAUGAUGUUUUAUAGCUACACUCCUUAACCCUACAUGAAUACAAUGAAUGAAUUUGAUCUUCAAUUUAAAAUAUUUACACUAGUGGAUACCACAAAAUCUUAUGCCAUGAUGAUUGAUGAAAAUUGAGGAUUUUGUAAAAGGAAUAACAUGCAAGCUUUGAGUUCCAUUGGCAAGGUUUAAACUUUUGAGAAAGGCUUCACAACCUUGAAAGCAAAAACUUUUUCAUUUUGCGUAUCCUUGCACAUUUAAUAUUUUGUAAUAGACUAGUAGUGUAUGGAUGUUUGUUUAUUAGGCUCUUAUUUUCGAGUGUAGAUGUAGUACUUAAACGACAAAUGUGUUUUAAUGUUUUGAAGUAAUAUUUAUGUGGCAAUGUGUGGUAUGUGCAAAUUUGAGAAGAAAAAAAAUAUUUUUCUUAACAAGUCUUAAUGGGUCAUAACAGGUCGGGUCACUUUACCCAUUGGGUAAAGUGACCCGACCUGUUAAGGAUCCGUUGAGAUAACGGGUGUGACACGACACGACCCGUUAAGAUAACAGGUAUUACACGAAAACAACACGAACACGAUAGACACGACCCGUUUACCAGGCUUAGUGUUUAGGUCACUCUCGAAGUGCAAAGUCUUGAUGGCGUUCCGAUCGAUGAAGUCCUUGCACUUGUUGCUCUCGUUGGAGAGCUGGGAGAUGAAGGAGGCCAUUGAAGAAGGCUUAAAGAUUUCUGAGAUGAAAGCUUGGGAUUUUCUAGGUUUUGAAAGUUUUGAAAGCAAAGUGGCAAGGAAGUUUCAAGGGUUUUGGAAAGCGUAAGGUACAAAUGGAAAGGAUUCGGGUAUUUAUAGGCAUUUGGGAAGGAAGGCUAAACGUUUGAUUUUCAAAAUUAUGGAUAGAAUCAAGCGGGAAAGUUGCUAAUCAUUGUAGAUAUUCAAAGAAUCUAGGCGAAAAGACCAAGGUUUUCGCUGUUCGAGGACGCACGAUUGCGUGUUGCGGCGGGUUUAGUGCAAGAGAGACAUUUAGGCGGUCGCAUGUUUUUGAGGGUCAUGAUUAAGGCCUGCUAGGUUAACCAGGGGACCAACAUGUGGCAGGACGGUUGGGAGAAUCGAGAUCGUGGGUUUAUGUCUCAUAAAUGCGUAUGGUGGUAUUUCUCAAGAGGAUUCAGUGUUUGUCUUUAGGUCAGUUUCGCUUCUUCAAGGUCGAGGCUCGAACCAAGGAGGGUAGGUCGAGGACCUCAGAAUCGAGGGGGCAAUGUUUGGGCCCAAAAUAUUGGUUUGGGCUGAGUUUAGAAUUGUUUUCGACCAGAGGCCAUACUUAAGAGUAGCUGGGGGUCAUCCGACUUAUGGGCCACAUAGCCAAGGUCGGCCGUGUCUUAUUAGGAAUCCAUGGGUAGUUGAAUCCUGAUAUGAGAAGGAGUUUCAACAGGAUCAGGAUGUUGAAGUUUGGGAUUGAAUGCGGCCUGAUAAGGGGGUUGAGUUCAAAGUCCUAGUAUGAGUAGGACUUGCCGAUAUAAGGUUGGAUCGGGGGAAGGAGUUCUAAUCCGAGUAUGGUUGUGAUUUGAUCGGAAGCAGGUUGACUACUAUAAAUAGAGGGAGAAGGACAUCAUUAAGGCUCUCUCCAAUUCAACACACAAACUGCCCUGCGCAAACCUUCGCUUUCGCGAAACCUCUCAACAACCUUGAGAUUUUAAUUUUCUUUUUCCGUCGACACAUCUUCAGUUUGGAUAAACAGCACUGUGAAGGCAACCGGUGGUACCUUCAGUUUGGAUAAACAACAUUGUCGUUGUAGAACCAGUCGACCACGGAACACCUUAAGUUUGGAUAAACAGCACUGUGUCGAGGUCGACUGGUUAUCUAUCCAAGUCUCGAUCGAAAAAUACUUUCGGGUCUUUAUUGGCAAAGGUCAUCUCAUUAGCCUUUUCGGCGGGGUGAGGUGUUACAGUUUACUAGGGCUCGGCACAUUGAACGCCGAGUUACUUUAUGAUUGGAUACUCACAAGUAGGUUUUAGAGUUCGGCAUUCUGACGGCCGAACCACGUUCACCAUCAAGACAUAUAUUUGUUUUGAGUAUCUGUGCCCCUAUACAUUGGUGUUGAUUCGGCGUGCUUAUACUCUUACGAAUAUAAUCACUGUGACCGAAUCCGACGCUGACGAUUUGUGAACUUCGCAGAACUAGCAGCCUUGUUUUCAAGCUCUAGAACCCGAAGGCUGAAAGUGUUCCUUCCUCGACCACAAUCACAAGAUUGAGAAGUCAGUAGCGCACCCGACGCAACAUCAACAUAUUUUACUCCUCGGCCGAGCUUGGCUGACGAGUUGGCACGCCCCGCAUCAACCAAAUGACGUAGUUAGCUCACUAGUUACUCGGCCUGCGCGCCACAUAGAUUUGGUAGUUUUUAGGGUCAACAACGACAUAUAUGCACCAACUUGAGCGGGAGUGUUGACUUUUGUGUAUAUUCAUGUAAUCUUGGAAUUCUUAGCAUAGUAUGAUUGCAUGUAAUUAUUUCUUUCCUUAUUGAAAUGAUUGUAACAUCCUAUAAAUUUCUCUUUGAGAGAUAAAUAGACACACAAUACUAUUCCAAAAGCAUUCUUUUCUAAUAUAAAGUCUAAACUAAUCUAAAGUAUUCUUAUGAACAAAUAAUGAAUGCAGCUAAACAUCAAUCAAUCAUUGUUGUCAUGUCAUGUUUUUGCAACUUGCAAAGAAAGAACCAUCCAUAAUAAUUAACCGGUGUAGUGGAUACUGGCCUAUCUGCGUGGAACUUGUGCUUUGGUUUUGGUCUAUGUUGUUUUUUUCAAACUGCAAAUUCAUUUCUCAUUAGAAAAGAAAUAUCUCAUUAACUCAUUAACUCAAGGGAAAGCAAGGAGGAGAUAAUACUUCGGCUUGGAGAUGAGGCCCCAACAAUAGGGACACCUCCUCCAACUACAUAUGUCUCUAGGAAGUGUAGAUAUUCUUCUUGACGUCAAGUAGGAGAGAAACGCCAUCCACUAUAAUCGUACUUGUUUGAUAGGACUCUUCUACACUUGGAGGAUUCUUCUACGUUUAUUAAUUGUAUGUUAGAUUAAGAAUAUAAUUUCAUGUAAGAAUACACGAUUUAAUGCCUGGUCAUGGAUUAAGUCAUUUUUUUUUAGAUAAAGAAUGACGACCUUUAGCAUUGGCAUAGUAAUUGAAUAAAAAUUGCCCUCAUGCUUGCCCCUAAAGUACUAUUGUUGAUCUUGUGUAGUUGCAAAUAUUUAAUUGUGUUUGGUUUUAUCUGUUUUGUAUGUACUCUGAUCAUACAUAAGUAAACAUUCGUCCAAAGACAGUUUGAUUAGCAGAUUAUAACUCAAGUAGUUAAGAGCAUUCAGUUCUGCACUUGAGAUCCAUGAUUCAUUCCACCCUUCCCAAUGUCAAUCAUACAAUAAGGAAAGAUAUCGUCUCCGGAUCUCUUCCUCUAAAACCAUCAAAUCAAGUGAUUUGAGCCCUUAAAAUUUGAUCCAACGACUAAAAACAAAGAUCCCUUUUAAAAGUUAUAACAAUUUUAGCCGUUGGAUCAAAUUUUAAGGGUCCGGAUCACUUGAUUUGGUGAUUUUGGUGGAAGAGAUUCGGAGAGGAUCUCUUUCCAAUGAAUAAAUAAAGUUGACCAGUUCCAUCUGAUCUUUGAUGGUAUGCACCAUGUUCUGAAACAUAUAGUACAACCCAUUAAAAAUGAUGAAGAUCAAUGGUUUGAGGCCAAGUGUUAAAAACUGCAGAUUGACUAUUCUGUGUUCUAAAGUCAAGUCAAGAAGUCUUGAUCAAUAACGACAUGCAACAACAUAUUAAUUCGAUUGCAAAAAUUUCAUCUUUGUUGUAAAUAGUAUAAUAAUGUAUGCCCACAUGCAUACAGUAGACAUAUCAUAUGCUUAAUAGGGUUUUUGUUUGUUUCCAUGGUGAUGCUCUAUAAAUAGAGCUUUACGAACGUUCAACUGAGUAGAGAGAAAAGGAAGAGAAAAAUAUCUAAUAGUAAUAAUAUACAUUACUUCCUCUGCAACAGCUUGUAUUGGUAUAAUACUCUGCAACUGCUUCAUUCCUAUCCCGAAUAAAGGUUAUCUUUCUAUAACUUUUACAUUUUUAUAACACGUUAUCAGCACGAGUCUCUAAGUAUAACCAUGUCUCAUUUACAUUCACUAAACAAUAAAGGAAAUCAUUCUCUCAUUUCUCUCCGCCGAACGAAAAAAAAAAAAAUGUUUCCUCUAAGGUUUUUCCUGUUCAUCUUCUUCAUCUGCCUCAACUGCGUGAUAUAUCCUCGCGACGAACUAUUUGCUCCAUGCCUGCUCGUAGUUCUCCAACUAGCGGUUACAUACAUCUUUGAUUACUUGUUUGGUUUGGAUAUUGAUUACUAACAUAAUAUUUAUAUUGAUUUUACUGCAAUCCAAGAUGGUGCGGUACAAUCGCCCACCUUGAACUGCAAAUUUCAUCUUACUGCGAUCCAAGAUGGUGCGGUAUCAUCGCCUAUCUUGGACUGCAGAUCUACUUUUACUGCAAAUUUCAGGUGCAGCGGUAUAAUCGCCCUCCUUGCUCUUCAAAUUUAAAUUUACCUGUUAUUUAAUUUUACUGCAAAUAAAGGUGGAGCGGUAUAAUCGCCCUCCUUGCUCUUCAAAUUUAAAUUUACCUGUUAUUUAAUUUUACUGCAAAUUUCAGGUGGAGCGGUAUAAUCGCCCUCCUUGCUCUUCAAAUUUAAAUUUACCUGUUAUUUAAUUUUACUGCAAAUUUCAGGUGGAGCGGUAUAAUCGCCCUCCUUGCUCUUCAAAUUUAAAUUUACCUGUUAUUUAAUUUUACUGCAAAUUUCAGGUGGAGCGGUAUAAUCGCCCUCCUUGCUCUUCAAAUUUAAAUUUACUUGUUAUUUAAUUUCAUUGCAAUUUUAGGUGGUGCGGUAUAAUCGCCCUCCUUGUUCUCCAAAUUUAAAUUUACUUGUUGUUUAAUUUCAUUGCAAUUUUAGGUGGUGCAGUAUAAUCGCCCACCCUGCUCUGCGUAUUUCAAUUUUCUUGCUACUUGAGUGGUGUGGAAUAAUCGCCCAUUCCAUGUUACAUUCUUUCAAUGAGAAUGGUGCGGUACAAUCGCCCUUCUCAUUCACCCUGAAAAUCUCGAGCCAGAAGUUUCGAGUGCUUAUCAUUUUGGCCUGAAGAUCAAAAUGAAAAAUUUGUAAGAACCAGAAGUUCUAACAUCACAUUCCUCUAGGAAUACAUAUUACUACAAGUUCUUACACAUCUCAUUUUCUUUCAGAAAAGAAAAUGACGAACUUGGCUAAGCUUGAAUAUGCUGCCCUGGACAUUACCGGGAAGAAUUACCUUACUUGGGUACUUGAUACCAAGAUCCAUCUGGAAGCAGGGAAUCUUGGAGAUACCAUCAGGGAAGAAAGCAGCUCAUCUUCUCAAAAUCGGGCGAAGGCUAUGAUCUUUAUUCGCCGCCAUCUUGAUGAGGCACUAAAGAGUGAGUACUUAACGGUUGAAGAUCCGUUAGCUCUCUGGGAGGCCUUACGAAGCAGAUAUAAUCACCAGACAACGGUGAUUCUUCCAAAAGCUCGCUAUGAGUGGUCUCACCUGAGAAUUCAGGAUUUCAAAUCAGUGGCGGAGUACAAUUCUGCGUUGUUCAGGAUUACCUCUCAGAUGAAGCUCUGUGGGGAUACCAUUACUGAUGAAAUAUUGCUGGAAAAGACUUACAGCACAUUUCAUGCCAAUAACGUGCUCCUGCAGCAGCAGUAUAGAGCGCGAGGCUACACUGAAUACAACCAGCUGAUAUCUGUGCUCCUGGUAGCUGAACAGAACAAUGAGCUCCUGAUGAAAAACCAUAAUUCCCGACCUACUGGAUCUGCACCAUUCCCAGAAGUAAAUGAUACUUCCCUCGAAGUGAACGCCACAUCCUCUGGUGGUAAUUAUCAUAAACAAGGACGUGGCCACAAACGAGGUCGAUGGAAUAAGAAAGGCAAGAACCAUGGUGGUCAGUUUCACAACCAGGUUCAGAGGCAUAAUUCUGGCCCGAGCUUCAAAAAUGUGAAUCGUCACAAAGGCAAAGCUAACAUGACCAAUGCUCCCAGGAACUCUGAAGGAGCUUGCCAUAGGUGUGGUGGCAAUGGGCAUUGGGUGCGAACUUGUCGUACCCCAAAACAUCUGGUGGAGUUGUAUCAAGCCUCCCUCAAGAAGAAGGGUGUCGAGACCAAUUUUCUCGACCAGGCUAAACCAAUGGAUAUACCUGAUCCAGUGUUUGAUUUAUCAGGGCAAUUUGACGCAACUCACCUAGAUGUUUCAGACUUCAUUACGGAAAGGGGGAAUGAAGUAUAUCGGUCCGACUAAAUCGUUUAUGUUUGAUGUACUUUUAUUAUGCUGAACUUGUUGUCUAAAACUAGUUUUUCAGAUUCAAUAAAAAUGGCAUGUAAAUUUCCUGUUAUAAAUUGUUUGUUAACUGUGAUUCCAUUUACUCAGAAAGCAUGGAUAAAAACUGUGGUUAUUCUCAGAACAUAAGAAAUGGCGGAGAUAUUUGUCUUGCAGACAGUGCAACCACACAUACAAUACUUCGUGAUCGAAAGUAUUUCUCAAGCUUAAUGCUUACAAAAAUCGGGGUAACAACAAUAUCAGGACCUUCAGAUGUGAUUGAAGGCUCAGGGAAAGCCCAGAUUAUGUUACCAAAUGGAACAAUAUUAUCCAUACAAAAUGCAUUGUAUGCUACUCGAUCUACUCGAAAUUUGUUGAGUUUCAAAGACAUACGUCUAAAUGGAUACCACAUUGAAACGAAAAGUGCAAAAAAUGUGGAGUAUCUAUGCAUUACCUCCAAUGAUACCCAGAAGCGUAUAUUGGAGAAGUUGCGUGGUUUUUUCGAGUGGAUUAUAUUAUACAUACAUAAGGACAGUUGAAUCACAUACUAUCAUGAACCAGAAGUUCACUGAUUCAAAGGUUUACAUGCUUUGGCAUGACCGUCUGGGUCAUCCAGGAUCCACCAUGAUGCGUAGGAUCAUUACCAACUCUAAUGGACAUCCAUUAUUGAGCAGAGACAUUGCUAUCUCAAAUGAUAACCCUUGCAAGGCUUGUUCUCAAGGGAAGUUGGUAAUUAGACCAUCACAACUAAAGGUUGAUGCUGAAUCCCCAUCAUUUCUACAAAGAAUUCAAGGGGAUAUAUGUGGACCUAUUCAACCAUCUUGUGGACCAUUUCGAUAUUUUAUGGUUUUGGUUGAUGCAUCCACUAGAUGGUCACAUGUUUGUCUCUUGUCUACUCGGAAUGUAGCUUUUGCGAGACUUCUUGCUCAGAUAACUAAGUUACGAGCACAAUUCCCAGAUUAUCCCAUUAAAUCAAUCCGACUUGAUAACGCUGGUGAAUUUACGUCUCAAACCUUUGAUGAUUACUGCAUGACAUUGGGCAUUGAUGUUGAACACCCUGUUCCUCAUGUCCAUACUCAAAAUGGCUUAGCAGAAGCAUUGAUCAAGCGGCUUCAGUUAAUAGCCCGCACUCUGCUUAUGAAAACCAAAUUGCCAGUUUCUGCAUGGGGACAUGCCAUUCUACAUGCUGCAUCAUUGGUUCGAUUGAGACCUAUAGCCAACCACCAAUACUCCUCAAUACAACUCGUGUUUGGACAUCAGCCAAACAUUUCACAUUUACGAGUUUUUGGUUGUGCUGUUUAUGUGCCUAUUGCACCCCCGCAACGCACUAAAAUGGGACCUCAGCGUAGACUGGGAAUUUAUGUGGGUUUUGAUUCACCAUCUAUUAUUAGAUAUUUGGAACCCUUGACAGGUGAUAUGUUUACAGCUCGUUUUGCUGAUUGUCAUUUUGAUGAGACAGUCUUCCCAUCGUUAGGGGGAGAAAAGACCGUUCCAGAAGAACGGAAAGAGCUGACAUGGGUUGUUCCCACCUUGUCUCAUUUUGAUCCUCGAACCUUUCAAUGUGAAAAUGAAGUGAAAAGGAUCGUUCAUCUUCAAAGCAUUGCCAAUCAAAUGCCAGAUGCAUUUAAUGACGCUAUGAAAGUGACAAAAUCGCAUAUACCAGCUGCAAAUGCACCUGCCAGAAUUGAUGUCCCUGUUGGACAAAAUAAAGUGGCAGCGAAUGAUUCAUUUGGUGCACGCUUGAAGCGUGGUAGACCACCAGGUUCAAAAGAUUCAGCCCCUCGGAAGAGAAAGACGAGGGCACAACUGAAUCCAAAUGAAAUCAUUCAGGAAGAGAGAGUCAAUGACAAAUCCACAAUUCAUGCCUCUGGACUUCCAGAAGAAGAAAAUGGCCCUGAAGAGACAGAAGUACAUGAAAGCAAAGAAAUCUCCAUAAAUUAUGCAUGUACUAAUGAAUUGUGGGAUCGGAAUGAAAUAAUCAUUGACGAUAUGUUUGCAUUCGCAGUAGCCACUGAAAUCAUAUUAAGUGAUGAUAUUGAGCCCCGCUCUGUUGAUGAAUGCAAACAGAGACAAGAUUGGCCUAAGUGGAAAGAUGCAAUCCAGGCAGAAUUAAAUUCCUUGGAAAGACGAAGUGUUUUUGGACCAGUAGUCCAAACCCCAACUGAUGUAAACCCCGUAGGUUACAAAUGGGUAUUUACAAGGAAACGCAAUGAGAAAAACGAGAUUGCUAGAUACAAAGCACGACUCAUUGCACAAGGCUUUUCACAAAGACCUGGAAUUGAUUAUGAGGAGACAUACUCUCCUGUAAUGGACGCAAUUACGUUCCGUUACUUAAUAAGUUUGGUGAUUUCAGAAAAACUUGACAUGCAACUUAUGGAUGUCAUCACCGCGUAUCUAUAUGGAGAUUUAGAUACUGACAUAUAUAUGAAAGUCCCAGAAGGACUUAAGUUGCCUGAAGCAACAAACAAACCACGGGGUAUGUUCUCAAUCAAAUUAAGGCGAUCACUAUAUGGGCUGAAACAAUCUGGGCGAAUGUGGUAUAAUCGUCUUAGUGAGUAUUUGAUUAGAGAAGGAUAUAUCAACAAUGUCAUCUGCCCUUGUGUGUUCAUUAAGAAAUCCAACUCUGGAUUUGCUAUAGUGGCAGUAUAUGUUGAUGAUAUGAACUUAGUUGGGACUCCUGAAGAGCUCCAUAAAACUGCUGAAUAUCUGAAAAGCGAAUUUGAAAUGAAAGACCUUGGGAAAACCAAAUAUUGUCUAGGCCUGCAGAUCGAGCAUUGUAUUAGUGGAAUUUGGUCCAUCAAUCAGCUUACAUUGAAAAAAUACUGAAGCGAUUUGGCAUGGACAAGGCUUAUCCACUUAGCACCCCAAUGGUUGUUCGUUCUUUAGACGUUAAGAAAGAUCCAUUCCGUCCAAAAGAAGAUGAUGGACUGGUCCUUGGUCCAGAAGUACCAUAUUUGAGCGUAAUAGGUGCUUUAUUGUAUUUAGCACAAUGUACUAGACCAGAUAUAGCUUUUUCAGUUAACUUGUUAGCCAGGUACAGCUCUGCUCCAACAAUUCGUCAUUGGAAGGGAGUCAAAGAUGUUCUACGAUACCUUCGUGGGACAACAGAUAUGGGUCUCUUCUACUCAGACAAGCCCACAAAUGAACAAAUCCUUGUUGGAUACGCCGAUGCUAGUUUUCUCUCUGAUCCGCAUAAAGCCCGCUCACAAAAUGGAUAUGUGUUCACUAAUGGAGAUACUGCAAUUUCAUGGCGAUCAACGAAGCAAACGCUAGUUGCAACAUCUUCCAAUCAUUCGGAAAUAAUUGCUCUACAUGAAGCAAGUCGUGAAUGUUCUUGGUUAAGAUCAAUGAUCCAUCACAUCCGGAAUUCAUGUGGUCUACCUUCAAAGACAGACACUCCAACUGUCAUCCACGAAGAUAAUGCAGCCUGUGUCGCCCAGAUGAAGGAAGGAUUUAUCAAAGGUGAUAAGACUAAACACAUAUCUCCAAGAUUUUUCAGUGCACAUGAGCUUCAGAAGGCUAAAGUUAUUGAAGUCAGACAAAUCCGUUCCAAUGAAAAUUUAGCAGACUUGUUCACCAAGUCUCUACCAAAGUGCAUAUUUCAGAAACUGGUGCAGGGAAUCGGAUUACGUCGGCUUUCAAAUUUAAAGAAUGCAGAAUCAGGGGGAGAUCCAAUUCAGGGGGAGCAUCCAUGAUACAUGCAUGUUGUACUCUUUUUCCUUCGCUUAGGAUUUUUCCCACUGGGUUUUUCCUAUCAAGGUUUUAACGAGGCAACAUAAGCAUGCUCAAUACCAUCCGGAUAAAAGUUGUACUCUUUUUCCUUCGCUAUGGUUUUUUUUUUCCCACAGGGUUUUUCCAAGCAAGGUUUUAAUGAGGCAACUGAUGUUGAUAUGUGGGCAUCCAAGGGGGAGUGUUGUAAAUAGUAUAAUAAUGUAUGCCCACAUGCAUACAGUAGACAUAUCAUAUGCUUAAUAGGGUUUUUGUUUGUUUCCAUGGUGAUGCUCUAUAAAUAGAGCUUUACGAACGUUCAACUGAGUAGAGAGAAAAGGAAGAGAAAAAUAUCUAAUAGUAAUAAUAUACAUUACUUCCUCUGCAACAGCUUGUAUUGGUAUAAUACUCUGCAACUGCUUCAUUCCUAUCCCGAAUAAAGGUUAUCUUUCUAUAACUUUUACAUUUUUAUAACAAUCUUUGCAAAACUUUGCACAGAAAGAUCAACAAUUCGGUUUUCCAUUGAUAGAGAUAUUGAAAAAUGGAGUCUCUACAAUAGUCCAACUCUUUGGUAUUGGGCCCACAAAAUUGAGAAGUGGAUUUUCAGGUUGCAAUUUUUUUUGACAAGAGCGAUGGCGGUAUUUCAUUAAUCAUUACAAACAAAUACAUAGAAGUCAAUUGGGUACAUUUCUCCAAUGACCAAUACAUUGAUCUGGAGUGAAUUUGCACAAAGAAUCAAUUAAUUAAAAACCCCUACACGGCUAUCACAAGCAAGGUGCACCAAUACAAAUUUGUCACAAGAAUGAUACACGCAACAAACCAAUACUAGUGCACACACCGAUGUUCACUGAUGAGCGAGGCCACACAAAGUCAUCAUAGGAGAGCGAAACCACCUAAAGUCACAACUGAAAGACGAAACCACAAAAUCAUUGCUUGAAGGCGAGACCACAUCAAUACGCUCAUAGCGAGUCCACAUAUUCCGCCAAAUGCGGCACAAACAAAAUCUACACUAAUCCAAUAAUAGAAUCCACCGGUCCCCUAAUCUUGGUGGAAGACAAGGACACACAAUCGAAGACCACUUGCAACUUCACCACAUAAGUGAGAUUCGUAGCUUCUACGAGACAAGCAAGCAGAACCGCCACAAAUCUGGGUGCCUCAGGCAGUGCAGCCACACGAGAGUGUCACCACAGGUGGAUUCGACCCACCAACAACCACGAAUCCAAAUCCAAAAUCAUGAAUCAAGCCUCCAUUUAAGGAAAAUACCUCGGGAGAAGGCAAGGGACCGAAUCUAGGUGGGAGGCACCAAAUGCUUUGAUACCAUUCUACCAUGCUCCAAACUCGGGUCAGUAGAAAAUUCAAACUCGAAUCUGGAACACGAGCUAAAAAUUAAAUAAAUAAAAAUAAACUAAAACCUGAUGAAAAUAAAUUCCUCUUGGAAAGAAACUCAAGAAUUGUCAUGCCCCGAUCCCGACAUACGUCCAGGAUCGACACGUGACAUCACCAAAUACUCGUAUCUCAACAUACCCCGCCUCCGGGAUAUGGCAUACCACAACUCGAUAAUCAAAUCACAUAGUAAUUUAUCUUAUACUUUAUGGCUGCAUCUAAUCUCCUCGUUAGAUUGCCUACGUACCCUCAUUAGGGAUCAAACCAUUCGUAGUUCGUCGUUCACUAAUUUAGACAUUUAUUCCAAUGCGUUCUAACAGGAAUACAUAGCAUUUUGUAAUUAAUUAUUAGAACUUGACAUGCAUGACAAUACCAAGUUCAAGGCUACAAAACAAACCAACAGGUAGUUCAAGAUUCUCAUUCCAUCCAUCAUAUAAAUUCCAUGUUUUCAGCAUGAUACUUCCAUCCACAACAUGUAACAUAUCAAAUAGCCAACGAUACACAUAUUAUUCUCAAGCCACAUUCCACAAUCCCGUCUAUUAAUCAAUUCAUGAAUCAAAGAUACAUGAUCUUAGCAUUUAAUUAUGUUAAUCAAUGAAUGCAGUAACAUAUCAUUUCACAAAUUUAACCAAGGAACUCUAUAUAAUUUCCUACUUGUAUUAUGAGCAAUAACAUGGUAAAUCUAUUUGAUAUUCACAAGGUCUAUUGUGGGUAAUUCUCAUUCACUCGAAUAUAGGGUUCUAGACUAACCUUAUGGGAAUGAGCGAAAGCAAGAAUUCCGGACCACUCAACGGAAUCCAACAACACCGGGUUCCGGACCACUCAACGGAACCAGAGUAUUAAGCGGUUUCUCAUAAUCUACCCAAACCUGUCAUAGGUUAAAUCAGUGCCUACAUCAUGGAAAUGGUGCACCAUCCAAACGGAGCUCGGGUGAGUGACAAUAAUACAAGUAUGUGAUAUUCAAUAAAAAGAAAGACCCUCGAUCACAGUUUAUAAACCUCAAAUAUAAGUGCAUAAAUAUGAAAACAUAGUCAAGUCUCUAACAACUCCAAAUGAGUUACCCAGACAUCCAACAGUUUUACCCAUUCAAACCACCAAGAUUCUUCAAAACCAUCGUUCAUAUGUACAUUAAAAACUAGGGCUUGAGGGAUGCAGUUUGGCCAAAGCCUACAUAAGUAACCAAACAGGAAGUGGCCCCCUAAAGCGGAUUAACCAAGCAAAGCCACCCCUAAGAUAGUAACCAAGUAGGCAAUGAUCCCCCCCAAUGCAGAUUAACCAAGCGGAGUCACUCCUACAGCUGUUAGGAAGUGAUCACCUAAUACGGAUUAACCAAGCAUGAUCAUUCCUAAGCAUACAUGGCCAUAAGGAUCACCCAACACGGUUUAACCAAGAGCAACCCAUAUAUAGUAUGGUCCCCCAACGCGGAUUAACCAAGCAGGACCACUAGUGACCCCCCAACGCUGAUUAACCAAGCAGGGUCAAGAUAACCAAGUAGGUAGUGACCCCCUAACAAAGAUUAACCAAGCAAAGUCACACCUACAUAACUGUUAGGUAGUGAUCACCCAAUGCGGAUUAACCAAGCAUGAUCACCCCUAAGUAUAAAUGACCAUAAGGAUCGCUCAACGCAGAUUAACCAAGCGUGAUCCAUAUAUAGUAUGAUCCCCUAAUGCGGAUUAACCAAGCAAGACCACUAGUGACCCCCCAAUGCGGAUUAACCAAGCAGGGUCUUAGUCCCCUACUAGCCCUCAAUUUACAAAACAUUUCAAUAUAAAAUUUGAAUCACUUUUUCACAAAUAUUACCAAUCCAUGAAUCAAAUCAUAUUUAAUAAAAAUAGAUCGAUGGCCAAUUAUAAAAGAAUCACAUUUUAACAGAAAACACAUUUAUAAAAUCAUGUCAUAUCCACAAAGGAUAUUAAUACAAAGAAUCGGGUAACCACCAUAUCACAUAUAUUAAAGUCAGUCACCGAGACAAAUCCGCAAAUCUUCACUGAGUCUCUAGUAAUACUAAUUUUAGUAAUUCAAAUGGUUCAAGACCUGUUGACCAAAAGUCAACGGUGGGAUCCACACCCUAGCAAUUUAAUCCGGAAGAUCCGCACAUUAUAAUCUAGAUCCGUAACUUCCUAAGGUCCACAUUAUGCUCAAAGAACAACAUGCUAAAAUCUCAUCGCGAUCCAACGGUCAGAUCUCCGCUAAUCACAAAUUCAAGUGGGUCAAUAAUUAAUUUUUCUAACUUAAAAGUCUUGUCGGGAUGAUCCAUACUUCGGAUUCCUGAUCCGUCAAUUCCAGCUAUCCUCAAAUAUUAUGUUCUAUAAUGCAUUAAGGUUUGGUGACAAUCUAACAGUCGGAUUGUCAAUUCAUAUUUUGAUCAAGUAAGGUAUCGUAAUGAAACUAAGUUCAAACAAUCAAAUUACGUCAUACGGAUAUCAAACAUGAACUCAGGGCAUCUAAUAGCACUUAAAAAAAUAUCGUCAGCCCACUGGCCACGCGCCACCGCGGGUGGCGGUCAACCGUCCCGAUUCGUCGGAAAAUUCAACUAUUUCCAAAAUUUAUCAAAUUUCACAGAAAUGUAGAUCUCAAUGAAUGGAGUAAGUUUCAUACAUGUGGCCAAGUCCAAUUUGGCCUAGAAAAGCUCCAAUUUUACCCAAACCCGGCCGGAACCCUAGAAAUGGGUGUGCCUCGAUCUGUCACCAUCGAUGCUCCGCCGCCCCCAGAACUGUUUGGGCUUUGUUCCUGGCCUCUAGAGAAGUGCUUUGGUGGUGGUAACUGGUGGAGAUUGUUCCACAAAUGGUGGAUCGCCGACAAACUUCCCUCAUACCCACUAGUGCGGUUAUCACGAAAUCGACCUAAUUUCCAUCAAAUUUGGAGUGUAAAGGAAAGAUGGAACAAUAAGGAAUGUUUUCUAGGUGAUUAAAUCAUGUGGUUCUCCGGAAAAACCGACAAAAACCAUCGGAGAAGACAAACGGAACCGGCCGGAUCGGGAUAAAGGGAACGGGUCCAUCCUCCCGUGCCUUUCCCCUCUCCCUCAUUUUCCUCAUUUCCUCCCCUUUCAUCUCAACCAUCCAUCUCUCUCCUUUCUCUUCUUUCCUUCCAUCCCAGCCACACAAGUGGCUUCACAAAUCUUUGCUCCAAAAAUCUGGAGCAUUCCAAAUUAAAGAAAAUUACCAAAAUGUCUUUAACUUUAAAUGUUAAUAACUCUUUCAUUAUAACUCAGUUUCACGAACGGUUUGCUCCUACACGUUCGUGAGAUCAAGCUCUAUUCAAAAAUAUAAAUUGUAACCUCGAAAGGUCUACGGAUUUUAAAGAUUGAUUACGAAAAUUCAACCCCGAUAAUUAUUUGAUUUAAUUCCAAAAAUCAAUGAAAUUAAAAUUAACUAAUAAAAAUAACGUAAACGUGAAAUAUGAAUUUAAAUAACGAGAUACGUAAUUAAUAGUGAAAUUUCGAGGACGGGAUUUCACAAGAAUUCUUUACAAGGCUACAAAGAAAAUAAAUAAAUUAAACUUCUAGAGAUCUCAAAUCUAAUUCAAUCUCAUUCCGCCUACUCUCAUGACUGUCUAGUUCGAAAACCUGCAUAACAAUAAAGGGGUGAACUUCAACAACUCACUAGGGACAUGAUCUUAAAUAGUAAAAUAACCAAGCUAAAUUAGAUGUCAUGGCAUCAUACACAUUAGAUAUCAAAUCAUUAUUGAUAACAAUGCAUGAAUGCAACGUAAAGCACUUUACCUAUACUUGUUAAUUCGUAUAACAAAACACACAGACCUCGUACGUCUCAUUCCGUACUUAUACCACUUGGUCCUGAGUGCUAAGUUAUAUAAAAUUUCUACCGAUCCCAAGCCCGGGUCGUGACACCUAACCAGGUCAACAGACCUGGUGAUCGCACCUGCCUGCUGGCGUGAGACCCUCUGCAGCAGCCCCAACAGAAGAGCCAAACGACUCUAUAUGACGUGGCUCGAUAACAACCGUCGAAUUGAUCUUAGGCGGGUGUAAUUGAUCUUAGGCGAUUAUCGAGGCAUGUUUGUAGAGAGAGGGAUUGAUUAAUUUGGUGGUUGCAUGACACAUGCAUACGGAACAAAACGAUCAAAUGGAAGUCACCAAGAGGCAAUAAUCACGGAUCGGGAGCUAUCAGAUGGACAGCACAGCACAAAACUUGACGUUGAGUACUUUACAUGUGGGCCAAUUCGGUGUUGGGCUUUACAUGUGGACCAAUCUGUUCUGACAUUCCAAAAAAAUAUGACCACAAAAUGAAACAAUAUAAAAAGUGAUUUAACUUAUUAUCAGUCCAUGCAAGGUUUUGUUAUUCGUCGAAAUGGGACUUUAGCCUUCACACCUUCAUAUAAUGUUCCAAUAACUUGUUUUUUCCCAUUAAUUUUCUUGUUAAAAUAUGUCAAUAAUUUUGAAAAUGGUACAUAAAAGUACUCUUAUAACAUCCCUCAAAUAUGGAAAACCAAAUAAAAUAAUAAAACUAGAAAACAAAAUAAAAUAAUAAAACUAGAAAACACAUAUCCCUAUUCUAAUUUGGUAAACUAGGCAGCCAUAAAUUCCACACAUUUCCUAGUCAAAUUUGCACCAAAUCAGGCUUAAGAAGUGGUGUUGGAAAGAUUAAAACGUUCCUUUCAACUUUGUAUAAUGAACUUUCCUAAAAAAAAAACAUAAUUUUCAAAGACUUGUGAUCAAAACAAGCUCAAAAUGUCAAUCUAGCAGCACAAUCCUCUUUACUCCUUGAUGAAUCAGUUCUAAUUGGAAUCACUCCAAAAUUCCAUCGUUUCGUCACUUUUUAAGCAAACUAGAUUCUGCUUGUCCUCCAAUUAAAGCAUAGAAGAAAGUAUCAAAAUUCUCUCAAAAUAACAAAUAAUUAUACCAAAGAUUAGGAUAAAAAUAGAAAAUAAUAUCUACUAGGCGGUCCUCAUACAAUAAAAGAGAAUUAAGUCACGAUAAGCAUGGAAACUAUUGAGGAGAAUUUGUAAGGUAAAUAUUUAUACAAAUGAUAACACUAUUAUUCAUCAACGAUAACGCAAGUUUUAGGGUGAACGACAUUGAUGUUUUCUGUGUUUGCACUUAAAGUCCGCCAAUCUUUUUGCAUUUGUUGCCUAUUGCACUGCACAACUGAUGGAUGCUAAUAUUCAGUUUACAAGCAGUUCCUACUAAACCAGUUCCCUUGUAGUCUACGAAAUGUUGUACAAAUUUCGUAGCUUUGGUUUUAGAAUUUAUACAACUCUAGUUAUACACAUUACUCUUGAAUAUGUAACUGUUGUACAAGUAUUCUUAGUUACUUAGGCAUAGGAAAGUUUUGAUUUGAUUUGAUUGAAAAGAGUGUCUCCAAUUAAUCGAAUGAACAAGAAUCCUUUGAAACAAACAUAGCUGCUUUCAUUCUAAUUUCAGAAAAUCCAAAUCCAUGAAAAACAUAUGCAGCACUCUACUAUCUUUAUUGAUAUCACUUUCAUCUCCAUUUUGUUUGUUAAAGGAUACGAACAAACAUUGAUAUAACUUAAAACAGUAGGAUAUAUAGGGCAGAGUCUUGAACUUGAAUAACACAAUCAACUAAAAGCUAUGAAGCUUUCUUUCUUUUUAAAGAAACCUCGACUGUACGAGAGAAAAUUUUAUUGAAUAAAAAAGAAGUUACACCUAGUCAAAGGGGGACAUAAACUUUACUCCUCAAAAUAAAGACAGGAUAAAGAAAAGAAGGCGAAAAUACAAGAAAGUAGGGGGACAUACACUUACAUAACAUAAAACAAACUUAUAACUAAACAUAUAGAGAAGGAAAGAAACCACAAUAGAGAAACCAAACGACAACAACAGACCCCUCCCCCCCCCCCCCACUAGUACUCUAAAUUUUCCAUAUCAUUUGUCUGAUCAUUCCAAAAAUCUUAAGAAACAAAUCGGGCCUCCUUGUGAUCACAACAUCUGCAAGAACUACUCCCACUACCAACCCACUUCCACAUCCGGCCGAAACAAUUUUCCAAUCAAAUUCAAAUAUUCCUGCUGAGCUAGAAUCACCUUCGUCUAAUGUUGGAGGUGGAAGUUGAGGGGCCUUAGGAUUUCCACAUUUCUUUGGCAAUGGAUCUCCACACAACCCUGGGUUUCCCUCGUAUGAAGUAAUAUUCAAUGAAGUAAGCUGGGUUCCUUCUGGUAUAGGACUUGUAUGAACGAAUAUGUCAUGUUUGUAUAUGAUAUUUUAUUUUUUUUAUCCUACGGCCUACUAUGUUGUCUUCAUCUUCGGUCUCAAAAGCCUUCCUUAACUUCUCUUUAUCUAUCUCAAAUUCAUAGCAUAGUAAUAAAAACAUACUGCAAACAAUUUCACUAUGCAGUAAAAUUUAUCAACACAAUUCCUUGAGCUCUCAACAUUAUAAAUUUAUAAAUGAAAGAAAACAGGUGUUAAUGCAGAAGUCAAAAGAUAUAAAUCACUUUCAAUUGAUAGAACUAAAAGAUCACAAAAAAAACAAGGACCUAGCGUUGAUACCAUAAGAAUGUCCAAAGGCUAUUCCUGUUAACUUUGCUUGGUCUUCUCUUGGUCGAUUCUCCAUCAACUCCUCCUGCUUAACCUCAAUUAUUUCAGUUGUCACCUCAUUCCUCCCCCUCUUUUUACUGACUUUAAUCUCACUUGCACCAGCAGCGGGGGGAUGGCUGGCACAACAGUUCCCGACCCACCAAAUCAAUCAUUCCAAAAUUUCUCAGUCUCAAUCAAUUCAACGAACAGAAUGGCAGCACCACAUUUUCUUCGAACACCACCUGGCAUCCCACAAGUCUACAACCCUCAAUCCACCACUACCUUCAAUGUGUAGCCACCUCAACCACGGGGACCAGCCACCCACGGUUUCAUGUAUGCAAGUGGAGUUACAACCAGCAAUGCAGCAGAAAACAAAAGUAGAAAAUGGAGAAAAAGAAUAUAGAAAGAAAAAGGGUGUCUGGAGGUGGAGAAAAGCCGAGAGGAGAAAGUGGAGAGCACGGCUGCCUACUCCAUUGUCUAAUAAAAUAAGAUCAAGAUAAACUUUAAUCAUUCAUGGCAGGGGACAAAUACAGAGUAUAAUAUAUACCCAUUAUCCCACUAUCUGGAAAAGUACAGAGUAUGGAGUGCAAAGUGACACAACUAUUUAUAGACUGGCAUCAGUAUAAAAUUCUUCCGCAAAUUAUACAUAUACUAAAACCCAGUUCCCCCAAGCACCGUUUUUCACUGUUCAUGAACAGUGAAAAGACGGUAAUGCCCUCGGGUUUUCCUAGCUUUGCCCUCAUGUGUGCAGUCAAUUGCCGGUUUUACCCAUUGAUCCCAAGGGUUCUGUGUCGUUUCUUUCUCUCUUUCCAUUCAUCUCUUUCACUUUACCUUUCAGCUCUCCAUUUUCUGCUUUCCUCAACUGGGUUUUCCUUCGUCGUCGGUGUGCACUCUGAUUUCUCUCAAUUUAUUCCUUUUCGUUUUGCGAAAUUAUGUCCGGCGAGACAUGAUCUUUGAUUUUUGCAACCAUUGUUGGCCGUUCUUCUCUGUUUUUGGCUGCCAUCCGUACUUUGGAUCGAUUUCGUCUUUUUCACCGUUUUGUUUCAAGCCUCUCUUUUGAGAGAAUUUUUACGUAUUAAGGUUAGUGAUUUCUAAACUUAAGUUUUGCUUUGCAGUUUGAUUUCAUUUUUGGUUGUCUUGCCCAAAUGUUAGAAGCUUUUAAUUUUUUUGGGUUCAAUUUUAAAUGGGUUGUUGCUUUCGGAGUUUUCGUUUGAUGACAGAGAUCGGGGUUUUUGGGGAAAAACUUUUAAUCGGUGAGUUUUUUAGUUAAGUUGUGUUGUGGGUCCUGACAAAUGGAUUUUUUGUUGAAAUUGUUUCUCUUCUCAUUUUUGGUUUUUUUUUUUUUUUUUUUUUUGUGCCAUCGGGUUUUUGCAUGUGGGUGUAUAAUCAGGUUUUCUUUUGAAUUUCAGGGGAUUCAGGUUUUUAUUUUUUUUGGAACUUUUGUAUGCAGCUUUGGAAGACAUUUAUGCUUAAUGUGAGAAACUUUGGUUGCUCGCUUUUGGGUUUUGUUGUAGAAUUAAGUUUUUUAUUUUAUUUUUAUUUUAAAGAGUUACAUUCGUGGGAAUUCAUUUAUUCUUUUUUUUUUCUGCAUCUGGAAAAUGCAACCUGAUGUGAGUUAUAGUCAUAAGUGCAAACAAGAAAAAGUUGUAGUCAUAAGUGCAAGAAAUAUAAAGCCAAAAGAACUUAGCAACAAUAUCAUACCUUAUUUUUCAAUUUACUUAUAAGGUUUCACAUUUUUGUAAAUAUCAAGAACAAAAACCUAGAACAGCCUCACAAUUUGGUGCACUGACUAGGAAAUUGACAGUUGGGUAUAGGUAUGGGUAGUUAAAAACUAUGAGACAUGAAAAUUAUUGUCAAAUGCAAGGACAGAAGGUCGUGUAUUUGCAAAGUUGAAGCGGCCCAAGGACCGAGUUGGUAUGUUUGAGUAGAUUGCUUGAUCUCCUUAGUUGGGUUUAGGUUUAAUGCUCAGUAGUUGGGACCAAGAUCCUCUCCCGAGGUAAGGAUGAGGAUCCUCCUGAUCAAGGAGUGUGGACCGUUGGAUGAAAAUCCAACGGCUACAAUUAUUAUAACUUUAAAGAGACUCCCCAGUUUGUAGUCGUUGGAUUUUCAUCCAACGGCCCACACUCCUUGGUCAGGAGGAUCCUCAUCCUUAGCUCAGGAGAGGAUCCUGGUCCCAGUAGUUGUUGUGCUUCUGCUGCUUUUUAGUUGUCGAGGAUAUACAGGGGGACAAGGAUUGUCUGCCCUCCCACUUUCGGUGCCCUCCUGUGAUUUGUGUGGUCACGAUUAAGCCACGUUAAUAUUUUAUAUUACUAUUCUUUGUGUCAACAUUUUAUAUCCUAUGCAGGGAGAGCAAGUAAAAAGAUUGUAUUCACUGUGUUGACGCAUUAUUGAACAAGAGACCCAAAAGGAAGAACAUAUUCAAUCUCAAAGUCUGUCAGCUUUCACUUCUUAAUUUUAUUAUUAUUAAUUUUGUUUGCUCUUCGAAAUUUGAAUGCAUGAGUUUUUUAAUUUUUUUGCGAUUAGUUUCCCUGAGAUGGGUUUUGGGUAAUCAUUUAUUACUUUCUGAUUUGGUUACAGGAUGCGAAUCAUUGCUUCUUUAGAAAAGAUUAAGGAAGGUGAGCAAUUUCAGAAAAAAAAUGCGAUUAUCAUUUUCUAGAGAUCAUGGCAUGCCCUUCCGUUAUUUUUUGGUGGUUGUAAAAUUAUGACCUGACAGGGAAGUUGGUUUUGACAAGAUUUUUAUUUUUAUUUUUUAUUUUUUAAUUUUACAUAUGUAGUGUCAUGCUAGCAUUAUUGCUUACGUAUAAAUGCGAGUGUGUUUUACAUUUAUAUAAUGCCUUUAAUUUUAACCUCUGCAUUUUCACUAAUGCCUUUAAUUAUCCUCUGUUUUACAUGUCAGUUACGACACAAAAGCUUCAUAGAAAAAGUAUCAGCUUUUGACUCAAAUUUCGACCGUGCCCCUAUCAUUUCCGAAAAUCAAAGCAACCCCAAGCAAUUCCAGAAUCAUUUUUAUGCGUCUCAAAAUCCAGUAUGUAUUAUCUUCAUCUCAAAUUUAUUCAUCUCACAAACGUUGAUAUCAAGUUCGUAGUUUUUCAUUGUUCAAAAUUCCACACUACUCAAUAUUUAAUAACACUUUUAUUUUCCUCUAUUUACCUUUUUAUUAGUGAUGUUGCAGCAAAGGAAAUAUCAGACACGACUCUUAUUCCAAAGGCUCCAACCAGAAAUGUAUCAGAUUCCCCAAUCAUUUCUGAAACCAUAUUUAUGGCUGCAAAACAGAGUAUGUAUACCCUUUCAUUGUUCUAUACUUUUUGAAUUAUUAAUGACCUAUUAAACAUGAUCUCUUUAUCCCAUUCGCUUAAAACUCAAAUAGUUCACUAGAUUUCUGUAUCAUAGUAUCUUUCGACCAUCUUUUGUAUGUAAGUAGGACAAUUUCGUAAAUCUUUUGUAUGUAAAUAUUAUAUACAUAUGCAUCAAGCAUUCUCUUUUGUAUGUAAAUAGGAUUAUCUACCAAAUCUUUUGCACAUAAAAUAGUAUGUACAUAUAGAUCAAGUAUUUUUGUAUGUACAUAGUGCUAUACACAAAAUUUCAUACAGUUUUCAAUCCCGCAGCAUCGUGCGGGCAUCUCUUACUAGUUAAUCUCUAAAAAGUGAUAGAGAUAGGUGUAACGGGGCAAGAACUUUUUGAAGUCAAGUCUUCAACUUUUGAAGUCAAGUGCAUCGUAUCUUCUACAUGCGUAAAAGAGGCUCUUGACUAAUUGAUUUGUGAGUUAAUUUUUGAAGUCAAGUCUUCAACUUUUGAGAUGGCGUGAAAUUAGAAGUUAGACAAAUGAGCAGCACCAUAAAAGAAAAAAGAAAAAAUUUGCACACACAUAGUUAAUCUCAUGAGUUCCUUCUGUAAGGGUUUAUGAUAUUUGUAUUGACACUCUUGUAAGGUUUUAUCAUAUUUGUAUGCCCAAUUGCAAGACUAAUCCAAACUUUGUAUUUGGGUACUUCUAAAUGUGUUGGACCUUCAUGCUUGAAAUCUUCAUUAAAAUAUGUGUAAUUUGUAUUCGAAUGUAAAAUUAAAAAAAAUAAAUAAAUGUUAAUGGGUGACUCAUGAGUUUAACAGGUUGAGUUUGAGUGACUCAUUAGCUUAACGAGUCGGGUGUGGGCGACUCGUUAGCCUAAGGGGUCAGGGGAAAUCCGAUCCAAACUAAAUAAACCCGACCCGUUUAUAGGUUACUAGCAGAUAGUAAAGGGAUGAAAGUUUCGAACUCGCAACAGCAAAUUAAGACAUUAGAGUCAUCAGAUUCAAUUCCUGCAAUUCCUGCAUUGGCUUGAAGUGGAAUGGAUUUGAAGCAAGAACUUUUCAUUCGAUAUCCAAUUUCUUCAUCAUUAGGACUUUCAAACUCCUAGCAUAUAUUAAGUCAAGAUUGCGGGUGUAACGAAAUUUUUCAUGUUGGAUUUGGUCUAUGGUGCAUUUUUCAAACUGCAAGCCCUUUUUUCAUCAGAAAAGAAAUAUCUCAUUAACUCGAGAGAAAGCACGGAAGAGAGAUACUUCCACUUGGAGGUGAGGCCCCAACCAUGAAAAACUAUAGAAAAACGUAUUUGGCUCAAUUCUACUUUUCCUUCAUUCUCAAAUGUACAAUAUAUAUAUAUAUAUAUAUAUAUAUAUAUAUAGCCAAGUCCAAUUUUCAGAAGUCGAAUCAUGUGAACGGUAGAAGAUCAAUGUAUAAAAAUUACAAGUGUGUGUAGGAAGUAAAAUGGGAUGUGUGAAUAGUAUUGGGAGAAAUUAGAUUUACAUCAUUCCUUUUGCUACUCCAUUAAUUAAAAUAUUAUUCCUUUUCAAUUUUUUAUCAAGGUCUUUGAAUAUUAAUAAUACAUUAAUUAUUUCAAUAAUAAAAUAUUUUUUAUUUUUAAAUAUAUUCCUUUAGGGUGCGUUUGUUGCACAGAACUAUCUCGGAUUGGACUAACUUCAAGAACUAAGCUGGACUGACUUGGCUUAGACUAAGCAUGACAAAAAUAGUGAAGUGUUUGGUAUGGCGCCGGACUAAUAAGCCGGACAUGAAAAAAUAUUAAUUUUUAUAUUAUAAAAGAUUAUUUUGUAGUUAUUUUAAAUUUUAAAAACCUAAUUAAAUUGCUUCUCUAAUCUCUAUCCAAGAAGGACCCAGAUGCUUCGUCUACCAAUUCAAUUGCCAGCAACUUUUUUAUUUCCUAUCGCAGCAACUCACCCAACACCAACAAUAAAGAAAUACCCAGAUGUUUUUAUAUCCCAAUUCAAUUGCUUAUCUAUUAAAGCGAUUCAAUUGCUUCCCUACCGCAGCAACUCACUAGUCUACGACAACAGAUUUGCGAAGACCCAAUCGACCCAUAAAUAACCAGACCUGAAAGAGAGACCCAGAAAUACCCAGUUUUGUAAGCUGCCACACAUCCAUCACCAACAACAGCGCUUCCUAAAAAAAAAAUGGCGGUGUAACCGCCGUUUCCCGCCGGCGGAGGAAUGGCUGCACUGCAAGAGUGGUGGGAAUCAAUUUUGGGGGAUGCAGAGGAAUGGCUGCAUCACAUGGAUUUGUGACGAGAGAGAGAAGAAAGAGAGAUGCAUGCGGAUAAGGGGUGGGCUGAGGUCGUUGGCUCGUUUCUUUGUUAGUCCUGCUUAAUACCAUGUGAAACCUUGGGUCUAGAUAUUGAGGUUUAGUGAAGUGCGGGGCGCCUCGUAGUCGAGGCGAGUCCCGUUAAUUCCAAUCCAAGACCAUGCCAAACGUAGGACUAUAAUCCUAGUUAAGCCAAUCCAUGCUAGUCCCUUCUAAGAAGGUGUAACAAACACACCCUUAGUGUUAAAAAUGUUAUAAUUAAUAUAUUUAUAUUUAUGGUUAAAAUUUUUAUCAUAUAUUUUUAUUUUUAGUUUGUAACAAUUUUUAAUUUUCAAACCUUUUUCAAAUUGUACCAAUUUUCUUUUCAGUUUUAAUUUGUACCCAUAUAUUAAUUUCUUUUUGUGCCCAUAUUUUUAACGCUUUAUUUGUAUUUGUGUCUGUGUGUUUAUCGUCACGUGACAUUGUAUAAUUAAUCAAUUAUAGAAAAAAAGGAAAACUAAUGAAAAGAGCUUGAAAACUUUGAGUUUUAACGAUAAGGACAAAAUAAAGGGUAAAGUGAAUAGUAUUGACAUACCCCGAUCAUAAAAUCAGAGCGUGCUGACCGUCACGUGAGCGUGACGUAACCAAAAGUGCGACGCGGAAGCAAAAAGGUAAAAGAAAUACGAAGGAAUAAAAACCAACUACUAGCAAUAAUAUCCAACUAACAUGCUAGAAUGAAUUUAAGUGUGAAAUACACAUAAUCAGAGCAUAAGUACUAGGUGCAGUCAAGUAGGACCAUUCCUAAAUUACAACACCCGAAGGUGAGUCCUACAUUUAAGUGGUCUGUCAGAACGCCGUGGGAGUCCUCGUGAGCCACCAACACUGCUAACUAGAACCUGGAGGGGCGCAAAACAAGAUUGAGUGGGUCAGUAAAACAAAGCUUUUCAAAAAUAUUUCAUUUAAUAACACUUCUAACCCCUCGCUGUAAAACCUGUAUACUUUCCCAGAAAAAUAGUAUAUAUAUAACCAUAUAUAACAACAAAUAAUUCAAAUCACAAGUCUUUAACACUUUUCAGGAAAAUAUGCCAUGCUAUGCUUCAAAACAUAAUAAGGAUGCAUCAAUAUAACAAGUGAAAUAAGGAAUCAACCGGAGACCCUGCAGCUGUCCUGUACGGCUAAUUCUAUAGCUCAAUAUCCAAUCCAACCGGAGUCACCAACUGUGACCUGUACGGCACUACUCUGCACACAAAUCGGAACUACCUGAAGUAGUAUGUACGACAAGAAUGGUGUAAGAAUACGCUCUAGUGCUUCUCUCAUCAACAGCUGUAUAAUAAUCUAAAGUCACCUACAAGUCGGAACCAUCUCUACUGGUCUGUACGACAUGUCGGAACCACCUCUAGUGGUCUAUACGACAUGCACCUACUUGGAUCCAAGGUGAGCGUGUGGUGCGAGGUGAAUAAUAUAAGCACUAACACCAGGGGUGCAGGUUAUGAGCUCUCAACACAAUUCACAUCAUCAAUAAAUCACAUGAACAACAUAAAACUCACCUGAUACUCACUUGUGCGUCCACAACACCAUUUAACAUAUAUGCAUGAAAUACUAGUUCAUAUAUUUCAUAUAAUAUGAAUGCAUGACCUUUUAAAACAUACUAUCAUUUAAAUUCAAUUUCUGGGAAAAGUCAGUAGUAUAUAUGUAUAUACAGAAAAUAACUGCCCACUCACUAGUAUGUCGAAGAGUCGUAACCCCCGUGACGCCCUUGAAUGUGCUCGUCCUCGGGAUAGGUCUCACCUAUAUGCGAAACAACUAUAAAAACGUUAUUUUAACGCACAUAGGCAAAACUAGCUUAUAACUUCUCAUACAUUGCUCAAUUUGGGUAUAUGAAUAUACCACAGUGACCUACUCGACGUCACGGAUGUCGAGAUAUUUUAGAAUAAUUUUUCAAUGCCGCACGCGCCCCCACGCGCCGGGAGAGGCACGGUGCUACGCGUCAUCCCCUACCUCCAGACACCGGAAAAUCUCGUCGGCGCCGGAAACUGGGCAAACCUGUAAAUGCCAUUUUCCACGAAAUUUUCACCAAAAUGUCACAAAUCACGAGAGGAAGAAGGCUAUACCUUUUAAAACUUCCAAAUCCUUUGAAAACUCGUCGGGAUAAUUCACCAAAACCGGCCACCUUCGAACCUCGUGAUCCCGACGUCCAAAACCUUCAAACGAACGUCCUCGAGCUUCGUGGGAACCUCCUUAAGCUCACUGUGAGCUUGAAAUUCCCUGAAACACAAUGUUUUACGUGUGCAUGAACAGUGCACAUUUUCGGGGUUAGGGUUUCACAAUGAUUUCGAAGGUCUUAAGUUCCAAAAUUAGUAUGCUUGAACUCAGGGACUCAAGAUGAGUUCGAUUCUUACCUUAGAACCUUCGAUCUGUGAAGAAAUGGCGUAGAAUAAGCUUGUCCGCACGUGCACAGUGACAAAGGUGCCGAAAAACCGAGAGAGAGAAGGGAGAGAAAGUCCACGGGAGAGAGAGAGAAAAGGCAGGUUUGUGUGUGUGUGGUCCACAUUAAUCCCUAACCACACAAAUGAAAACAUAACCUAAGUUCCAAUUAAAUUUUCCACAAACUUAGGAAGGACAAUAUUAAUCAAAUGUAUAAGUCACACACACACCUUAGAAAUCUUUAGGGACAAUUCCGUCAAUUCACAUCAACGAUAAAUGUAAUUUCGGGACGGCUGUGACAGUAUCAUGAUUGAUUUUUUAGUGUAAAAAUGUGGUUUUUCGUUAAGGUGAACAGUACAGAGAGUUUUUCGUUAAAGUUUCCUAGAAAAAAUUACAUAUGUUAUACAUAACUAUUUGUAGACUGGCAUCAGUAUAAAAUUAUUCUGCAAUAUAAUUUCUAAAAAGUGAUAGAGACGAGUGUAAAGGGGACAAGUGCAUCGCAUUUCUUCUACAUGCGUAAGAAGAGAUGCUCUUGACUAAUUGAUUCAUGAGUUAACUUUUGAAGUCGUCUUCAACUUUUGAAACUGUGUGAAAUCAGAAGUUAGAAAAAUGAGCAGCACCAUACAAGAAACAAGGCUUGAUGACGCAGCACUAGUGUAGAAGGAUUAAAAAUAUAAAUCCUUGAAGAAACAAAGUUUUUGGAACCCACCAGUUUGAUAGAAACUCCAAAAGGAUAAUUUGAUUAAUUGAUGAGUUGGUGAUUACAAUGGCUAACGCUAACACUCAUGACUUAAAUAAGUAAUUUACAACACUUUUGGACAACUCAAAAGGCUUAGAGAAUUAAAACGAAAGUAAAUGACAUUAAUCGGACGACAAUUGAAAAGUCUGAAACUUAUUACAAACUUUAUUUUUUGGUUUUGGAAGCUUAAUUCCUCUUAAACAUGACGGGCUCAUGAUAUCAUUCCUCUUGUUCUGCUCGCAAUUCUCUUCAAAACGAUAUAUUAUACGCCUAAUUAUGACACCGGAAUAUUUCUUGCUGUUUUUUCUGUCGUCAUAUUUAUUGAAUCCAAUAUUUUCCAAUUUUAAUUAUUCUUCUCUUGAAACAUUUUAUUUUAUUUAUAUUUCUUGAUAGGAAGUGACUCAUAUCUUGUCUUACAUCACUUGACUUGACCUCAACCAUCUGAUCUUCGACCUCAAGAUCCAGAUUAAUGGAGUGUGUAAAAAAUAAAUAAAUAAAGGGAAGAGAAAAAGAAGUACAAACCGAUCGAUUACAAAACUUUGCUAAAAUUGCUACAUAACGCAAAAUGACUACAUCUUACCAAACUUAACACCAGCCAAGUUACAUGGUGUAUUUAUAAAGACCCAAUUCUUAACAAACAUGAAAGCAAUCGUAAACCCUCCUAAAUAAUAGGAAAGUAACCUAAGAUCAUGUGGCACAGAAGGAUUGAAGAGUAGUAGAUUGACUGAGUAGUAGACCUGUAAACAGGUCGGGUUCAAUCCAACCCGUUAAAUUAAUGGGUCACCCAAACCCAACCUGUUAAGCUAACGGGUCACCCGAACCCGACCUGUUUCACCUCGUUAACAAUUAUUAUUAUUAUUUUUUUGCAUAGAGUUUAUUUUUUGUUGUUAAGACUUUACUGAAAUUACUAAAACAUCCUCAACUAACGGAUGCUAACGGGUCCGAACGGGUUGACCCAAAGUGACCCGUUAUUUAACAGGUUCACCCGUUAGCGACCCAACCUGUUAAGUAUCCACACAAAUACUAAUAUUAACGGGUCAGGUCGGGUCGGGUCUAAAAUGCCAGGUCAGUGAGUAGUACUCUUGACAAGACUGAACAAAUAAUGAAUGCAACCAAAUAUAGUAAUUAGGUUUUAAUUCGACCGGUGGAGUGGAUACUGGUCUAUGUGUGGAACUUGUGCUUUGUUUUUGGUCUAUGUUGAUUUUUUCAAACUGCAAGUUCUUUUCUCAUCAAAAAAGAAAUAUCUCAUUACUCAUCCCCAACUACAGAUGUCUCUAGGAAGUGUAGGUAUUCUUGUUGACGUCAAAUAGGAGAGAAACGGCAUCCACUAGUCUUACGUGGUUGAUAUGACUCUUUGACACUUGGUAGACCCGAUUCUUCUACACUUAAUGGAUUUCUGUUUAAGAAGUUGAGGUUCUACCAUAAUAUCGCAGUAGUCACAUGCACUCCACGUAGUUCCGUUGUUUGUCCACAUGUUAGACUUAAAAAAAUUUUCCACAAAAAACAGAAGAAAAAAAAAUGAAGUUAAUUUUUGCAUAUAUGUAAUACAUUUAUAGUUGAUCUCAUGAGUUCCUUCCGUAAGGGUUUAUGAUAUUUGUAUUGACACUCUUGUAAGGUUUUAUCAUAUUUAUAUGGCUAAUUGCAAGACUUAUCAACUUCACAUUUGGGUACUUCUAAAUGUGUUGGACCUUCAUGCUUGAAAUCUUGAUUAAAAAAUAUGUAAUUUGUAUUGGAAUGAAAAAUUAAACAAAAAAAAAAAAAACAAUUUUAACGGGUGACUCAUGAGCUUAACAGGUUAAGUUUGGAUGACUCAUUAGCUUAACGAGUCGGGGGUGACAUGACCUAAACCCAAUAAACCGAACCCGUUUACAGGUUACCAGUAGAUAGUAAAGGGGAUGAAAGUUUCAGACUCUCAGCAUCAAAUUAUUAGUCAUCAGUUUCAAUUCCUGCAUUGGCUUGAAGUGCAAUGGAUUUGAGGCCCGAAAUUUUUAUUCGAUACCCAAUUUCUUUAUCAUUUUAGGACUUUCAAACUCCUAACAUCUAUCAAGUCAAGAGUGCGGUGUAACGAAAUUUAUCAUGUUGGAUUUAGUCUAUGUUGCAUUUUUCAAACUGCAAGUCCUUUUCUUGAGAAAAGGAAUAUCUCAUUAACUCAAGAGAAAGCAAGGAAGAGGAGAAAUACUUCGAGUUGGAGUUGAGGCCCCAACCAUAGGAAAACUGUAGAAAAACGUAUUUGACUCAAUUGUACUUUUCAUUCAUUCUCAAAUGUACAAUAUAUAUAUAUAUAUAUAUAUAUAUAGUAAAUAAAAAUAUAUGGAUUAACUAUAAAUACACACCAUUUACUCUUUUAUAUAAUGAGCUUAAUGCUGAAACGUUAAUGAAUCCAUGUAGAAGAUUUAAUAAGCCUAAUUGUUCAAUGAACCUAAUUAACUAACAUGCCCUCUCAAGUUAGAGAGUGAAGAUCCACAACUCCCAACUUGCGUAUCAUAAUCGAAAAUUUUAAAUUUCGUUAGGUAAAAGCUUAAGCAUUGAAAACUUACUUUUACCUGACGAAAUGGUUUCGUCUAAAAUGGUGUUUUCUUGUAGUGAUAUCAAGUAAACUCCAUAACAAUAAUCUUUUGAAUUUUUGCCCUCUUAGCUAUGUAUGGAAGUACAAAGUGACACAACUAUUUAUAGACGGGUAAUGCUUGACAAAGGAAUACGUAUAGGGUGGACUAAUAUAUAUAUAUAAUAUAUGUGUGUGUCCAUAAAUUCCUUACCACAUCAACCUUGACCCAUUGGAAUCUAUAAAUUUGAAUUUGUCUAAAUUCCCAUGGCUACACCAAAUUCUUUACAAACACUUAUCAGCUGCUAAUUAUUAAACUGACCAACUAUGAUUAGUGUGAUGAGCUGAAGGAUACAAAAUAUGUGUUAUAUAAUUAUGGUUGUUUAGUAAAACUAUAACACAGCUAAUGUUUCUCUCGCCGAUCUUUUCUCACAAUCUAGUAAGUGGACUAAAUGAUUUAAGCAGUUAGUGAAAGAACAUAUGUAGCUUGUAAUUUGACUAAUUUCCCCAUGUUCGGAGAAAUUUCACAGGCCUUUGUAAGAUUUCACUUUAACAAAGAGAGCUCCAAUAACCUUCUAAAACAUUUAAGCAAAGCACAUAUCACAAAAAAUGAACCUGAAUGGGGAAGAUCAUCAUAAGCUAAUAUGGACCAUGUAUAAAAGAGAUAAAUAGGAAUUAAGGAUGUGUGAAUGGAUACCAAGCAACUAAAAAGCUUCUAAUGGGUCUUUUCCUUCAAAUAAUGAUUGAUAAGAAACAACCAUUCUUCAUGAGGAAGCAGGUAAUGUAUUGUGCACCCUAAUCUAUUGUCCUAACAACGAUAAUACAUAGAAAUUUAUGGUGCCCCAUUGCACGUAUGCAGCAGGCUUUUAAGCAUAUCAAUAUUUGCAUAAGAAGAACCAACAAACAGAGAGACGAAACACCUAAAUUUACAACAAUUAGUCUUGUGAAGCCAAAUGGGAGGGAGUGUGUUGAGAAUGAGUUCCACGUCAAUGAGAGGAGGAACCUUGCAUAAGUUUGUAAGAAGUCAAGUUACUCCUCGUAUUACCAAUUAAUUUUAUAGUAAAACCUCACAUUUUUUCAAAAUGAAAGUUUAACAAAAAAAAAAAAAGGGAUAAAAAACACCUAAAUUUACAGAGAUAAUUUAAAACAUGUAAAUAAGAAAUUGAAAAGUAAUCUGCAAUUUGGUUUCUUCAGAAGCAAUGAGCAAAAGAAAACGGGAGAAUGAGACCAACACAGAAAAGAAAACAUCCUUUUUACCCCUAAGUUGUGCGCGAUGUCCUACUUCCUUCCCUUCUUCGUUUUGGCAGCCUUCCCCUUCAUUCCUUUCAUUCUUCGUAUUUUCUCCCCCCGCGCUGUCUCACUUUCAGAGUCUGUAAGACUCACUCACGACUCAGCAGCUGUUCAGCCUGACUCGUGCCUCAUCUCAGCCUCACUCAGUCCUUCCUCUACGUCGACCACUCGCCCACCUCGCACUCACCCUCGCGGCCCACAAGCUUCCUCUCGCCGUUUCGAGUCUCGACAGCCCACCUUGAUUCCUCGAUUCCAAAAGGUUAGUCUUUCUGCUGGAUUAAAAUUUGGAUCCACAACUAUAGUUGGUCUUUCUACUGAUUAAAAUUUGGAUCACAACUGUGUUUUUUCCGAUUAGGGAUUUGAAUUGGAAACCUUAUCUGUCAUUUCUGCUUUGACAGUUUUGUUUCUCUAUUUGUAAAUAUGAAUUCAUCACAGAAAAACACAAAAUGGUUUUGUUAUUUACCAUUAAUUUUCUUGUUAAAAUAUGUCAAUAAUACGAAGGAAGUUUUAAUGAAAAGUCCGCGGUACUAUUUACUUUAACGAAAAAUCAUAUUUUUACAUUAAAAAGUCAAAUAUGGUAAUAUUCACUUUACAUUUUAUUUUGUCCUUAUCGUUAAAACUCAAAGUUUUCAAGCUCUUUUCAUUAAUUUUACUUAAUAUGAAAGGUUUUGUUAUUCGCCAAAGUGGGACUUUCGCCUUCACCUCUUCACAUGUACCAAUCACUUGUUUUUUCCCAAUAAUUUUCUUGUUAAAAUAUGUCAAUAAUUUUGAAAAAUGGUACAUAAAAGUACUCUUGUAAAGUUAUGAUAUCUUCACGUGAAAAUGUUUUUUUGCAAGAAUAAAAGGUGUAUUGUCCUUGCACGACAAAAGAGAAAUUAAGUUACUGAUAAAACACAAGUUUUAGGGCUAACGACAAUGAUGUUUUCUGUAUCUGCGCUUCAAGUCCACCAGCCCUUUUGCAUUUGUUGCCUAUUGCACAACUGAUGUAUUCAGUUUACAAGUUGUUCCUACAAAACCAGUUCCCCUGUAAUCCACGAUUCUUAUUCAUUCUCUCCGAUGAUUGGAACAAAAAGUUGUACAAAUUUCGUAGCUCUGGUUUUAGAAUUUUAGACAAUCCUUGCUAUACACAUUAUUCUUAAAUAUGUAACUGUUCUACAAGUAUUCUUAGUUACUAAGGCAUAGGAAAGUUUCGAUUUCAUUUGAUUGAAAAGAUUUGUCUCCAAUUAAUCGAAGGGUUAUUAUACAAAAUAGUCCAUGAGAUUUUUAUGAUCAAUAGAAAUUCUCUAAUAUUAAAAAUCAAUAUAAAUGGCCCCUGAGAUUGUUCAUUAUCCAUGAUUUUGGUCAUUUCAUUAAAACUUCUUUGGGCAAUUUUCAAAACUUCGUAACUCAAUCGAUUCUUAACCAAAUUCGACUCAUAAUAUAUCAAAAUGAAAAUAAAAAAGUUUAGAACAAGAUUAUACCUAUUUGGAAGCCCAAUGAUUGCCAGAGAUGACUGGAAAAUAGCCUGAAAGGUGACUGGUCCACCGGAAAACUGGAAAACUCGCCGGAAACUGGGUAAACUUUAAACAUUUAUAACUUCUUCAAUACUCAACGAAAUCGAGUGAUUCAAAAACAAAAAUUUAGAUUUCAUUUGAUUGAAAAUAUUGUCUCCAAUUAAUCGAAUGAAUAAGAAUCCUUUCAAAUGAAAAUAGCUGCUUUCAUUCUAAUUUCAGAAAAUCCAAAUCCAUGAAAACAUGCAGCACUCUACUAUCUUUAUUUAUAUUACUUUCUAUCUCCAUUUAAUUGUUAAAGAAACUCGACGGUACAAGCAAACUGAUAUAACAUAAAAAUAAUAUGAUACAUAGGGCAGAGUUUUGAACGUGAACAACAAUCAACUAAAAGCUAAAAAGCAUCAAUACAUUCUAUCUCUUUUUUCAAAAGAAAUCUCGACGGUACAAGGAAAAAUUUAUUGAAUAAACAAAAGAAAUUACACCUAGUCUUGGGGGGAUAUAAACCUUGCCUCUCAAAAUAAAGAGAAACGUAAGAAAAGAAACCGAAAAUACAAGAAAAUAGGAGGGACAUACACUUACAUAUCCUGAUACAAACUUAUAACUAAACAUAUAGAAAGUGAAGGAAAGAAACCACAAUAGAGAAAACAAACGACAACAAGAAAUGUGUAACAUUGUAACAAACCGAAUUUCUACGCCCCCAUUAGUACUCUAAAUUUUCAUUAUCAUUUGCCUGACCAUUCCAACAAUCUUAAGAAACAAGUCAGACCUCCUUGUGAUCACAACAUCUGCAAGAACUACUCCCACUACCAACCCACUUCAACAUCCGGCUGAAACAAUUUUCCAAUCAAAUUCAAAUAUUCCUGCUGAGCUAGAAUCACCUUCGUCCACGGUUGAAGGUGGAAAUGGAGGGGCCUUAGGAUUUCCACAUUUCUUUGGCAAUGGAUCUCCACACAACCCUGGGUUUCCCUCAUAUGAAGUGAUAUUCAAUGUAGUAAGUUGGCUACCUUGUGGUAUAAGACCUGUGAGAUUGUUGGGAGACACAUUGAAAUUGGCAAGAAAAGUAAGUUGCCUCAGUUGUUGGGGGAUCCGUCCUGAGAGCUUGUUUUGUGAAAGGUCCAACAAUUCAAGUUUCAUCAAGUUUCUGAAGGAUGAUGGGAUAGAACCAGUGGGAAUGUUGUGGGAUAGACUCUGCGAACAAGGCUCCUUAAGAUUCCCAAUGAAUUCUGGAAUUUUCCCUUCAAAUUUUUUGCUCGAGAUAUCAAAGGAUGAAAAUUCUUCUCGGAUCUUUGGGUAGUAUUGCUCCAAACAUUUUGUUGCUAUUGUGAGUUGGUACUCAACACUGUUAACAAUCGUGAAUCCAUUGACAUCAUAAACUACGUCUGUGUACAUAUAUGUUGACUUAUUUAUGGUAAUAUCUGGAAAUACAGACGGAACCGCACCAGUAAAAUCAUUGUAAGCCAAAUCAAGAAUGCGUAACUUGGGGAAAUCGACAUUCUUUCUAGACUUUCCAAUCACACCAUAGAAUCCAUCAUGGCAUAUUGCCAAAAGUUUUAACUCCAAAAGAGUCCCCAACCAAAUGGGAAAAACAUCAUUGAAUUGAUUGUUUGACAAAACAAGAUACUCAAGCAUUACACAAUUGGCCAAUGACCUCGGCAACUGCCCUUGCAAUUUGUUAUGACUCACAUCAAUCAUUCUCAAACUGCUUCCUUUGUUGUAUGUCUGAGGAAUAAUUUCGUGAAAACAAUUGUUUCCAAGAAGUAAAAGAUUCAGAUGAUCACUAAAGUUUCCGAGACACUGAGGAAGCAUGCCACUCAAGUUAUUUUUCGACAAGUCAAGGUAUUGAAGAUUUUUCAUAUUGCAAAGCAACGGUGAGAUUUCUCCGGUAAAGUUGUUGUCUGGAUGAAAACCUUACACAUAACAGUUUCACCCAAGGAAUGACAAGUGGAGGUUGGUCUGAAAUGAAGUUAUUAGAAAUGUCUAACAAUAGCAAAGUUUCUAUGAUUGUGUUCCACAUCCAUUUUGGUACUUGGCCCCGAAUUUUGUUUAUAGAAAGGUCCUAACGCUCCAAACUUUUCUGAUAUUGUAAGAAAGAUGGAAACUCUCUUAUGUUGCAAGAACUCAAUCCUAGGACAGUGAACUGCAGAACUGUUGAAUUUGCAAUUCGUGGAUUCAGUGACAAAUUCUAAAAUGUUCCAACUUAAUUGGAGUUGGUAAAGAAAUUGUAGAUUUUGAAAUUGUAAACAUGAAAAUUUCCUCCUUCGAAUGAGACAAGAACGCGUGUACAAAAUAAUAUUUUGUAUUAAUUUUGGGGUUACAAUCACUUUUACAAUUUGAUACUCUGAUUCUAUCUUCGUAAGAUGUAGAUUUGUAGGUGGGCAGUUGAUCCAAAAGGUCAUCGGGGCUUGAUCUAGGGAUGAACAAGGAUGAAUGGACCUUCAAGGGCCUUCAGGGCUUGAACUUGAUGAACGAGGAUGAACAGAUCUUCAAGGGCCUUUGGGGCUUGAUCUUGAUGAAAGAUGAUGAUUGGAUCUUCAAGGGCAUUCGAGGCUUGAUCUUGAUCUUGAUGAAUGAGAAUGAACAGAUCUUUAAGGGCCUUCGGGGCUUGAUCUUGAUGAACGAGGAUGAAUGGAUCUUCAAGGGCCGUUGGGCUUGAUCUUGAUGAACAGUUGGGAGCUGCGGUUGGGAGCUUCUUCAAGUACCGUCGGGGCUUUAUCUUGAAUGAGUGGUUGGGAGCUUCUUCAAGGGUCGUUGGGGCUCGAUCUUGAAUGAGCGGUUGAGAGCUUCUUCAAGGGUCGUCGGGGCUUAAUCUUGAAUGAACGGUUGAGAGCUUCUUCAAGGGUCAUCGGGGCUUGAUCUUGAAUGAGUGGUUGCCUCAAGGAUUUGGCUUGCGGCAAAGGAAGAAUCGGCACGUGACCAAAGUGCUAGUUGAUUCUUCAAAGGUUUUGGCGAAGAACGAAGAGAGCUUUCUCGAUCUUUUGGAAUUCCUGAGAAUUUGGGGAGUUGGAUGCUUGAGAGCUUUAUAGUGUAUUUGUCUUGUCAUUGUCCAAAAUGAGAAGAAAAAACUUGUUUUGAUCCAUAAUGGAUUGAAGUGUGUUUGCCUUGUCAUUGCCCAAAGUGAGAAGAAAAUUUUGUUUAAUCCUCCAAGGGUAUUUCUUCCUAUUUUGUUGAGUCACACGCCAUGUGUAAAAUUUAUGUGACAUGUGAACGUUGAAAUUUUAAUGCAUUGGUCAACAUUUAUUUCACCGAAAUUUCGAUGUCUACAUAAACAUUUGAACCUCCACUGCACCACUCAGACUAUUCCAAUGUAGAUAAAGGAUCUGAAGGUUUGUGAGAUUUGAACCAUUAAAUCUAUUAUAAGCAAAAUCUAGGUACUCUAGUUUGCUAAAGUUGCCUAGCCAAGAUGGGAUUGGACCAGUUAAUCAACUGGAACAAAUCCUAAAAGUAGCCAAUUGGGUAAGGUUUGCCAAGGAAUCAGGAAUUGGACCACCAUAACUUUUGGCUGAAAUGUCUAGAUAAGUGAGCUCACUGAGCUGCCUAAUAUUCCCAAGUGAAGAUGGAACCAACCCUUCUGAAAAAUUGCAUUGAGCCAUAUCUAAUUUUUGCAGUGAAUCAAGGUUUUGAAUAAGAGAGUAUGGUUCCAAAAAAGCCAGUAAAGCCGACUUUCAAUAAGAUGAGAGGACUGCUUCGAUUAAAGUCAGCAAAAUAUCCAGUCAAUUCUUGGUUGUAUCUCACACUAAGAAAUUUUACGUUUGGUAGUUGGAAAAUUCUCACCAGAGAUCACCAAAUAGGUGACAGUCCCUGAGGUAGAGGGAUGUCAAAGAUGAUAAAUUAGCCAUGGAAUGAGGAAUUGCCGAAGAUACGUUUACGAACUGAGAGAAAGUACUUCGAGACUAGUUAAGUUUUGAACUAGGCUUCCAAGAUCUGAUGCUUCAAGUUUCAACAAAGGAUGAUCCUUAUCUUCAGACAAUCUAUCGAGAUUGACAGCUAGAUUAAGGUAUGUCAACUUGGAUAACAGUGAAACUUCAGAAGGGACUUGACCAGAAAAGACAGAGGUAGAGAGGUCAAGAUGAGUAAGGCUUGGAAAAUUCCUAAUGCUAGGAGGAAUUUGAGAGUAAUUGAAGUUAUUGUCAGAGAGGUUUAACCUUGGAAGAUGAACAAGGCGGAAGAGGCUGCUUUCCAUGAUGAAACCUUUGGAUAAGCAUCGAUAGAUCUAGAAGCAGAUAUGUCAAUAGUAAAGCUGUCUUUGGAUUGCAGCAGGGCGGACUUCUCCUCAUCAGGGCAAGAUGGAUAAUGCUUCUGCGAAGAGUGGGAAGAGUUAACAAUAACUAUAUGAUUAAACAGCAACAAAACUAGUACUAGUUUUGAAACCAUGCGAAUGAUGGAGAUAUCAAGUAACCCCAUAACAACAAUCUUUUGAAUUUUUAUUUUUUUUAUUUUUUAUUUUAAAGCUUUUAGGCCAUCUCCAACCGAAUGAGGAUCAGAUAGCUCAUUUUAGUCUUAUAGCCCUUUAAGAAAUUAUAUUUUAAUGAAUAGUGUCAUACCAUAUUUCUUACCAUCACCAACUGAAGGAGCCAAAGGGCCAUAGGCCAAACAUAGCCUCUUGACAAAAAAUCAUCUCCAACCGAGGGGACCAAAUGGUCAUAGGCCAAACAUAAUUUAUUAUUUUAAUUGAAUUAAUAUAGUUACUUAAAUUAAAAACUACAAUCAUUAUCUUAAAGAUUCAACUACUUAAAUUUAAAAACUACAACUAAAAUUAAAAUGCUACAACUUCAAUUUAAAGACUACAACAACUUAAAUUUAAAAACUACAACUUAAAUUUAAAAACUACAACUUAAAUAUUAAAGACUACAACAAUUUCAAGACUAUAAUCAUCAUCUUCAUCCGCCAUUGUAGGAGUAUAGUCGGAUGAUGUAAACAACUCCCGUCAGGCCAUAAUUUCUCUCUUUUUCCUAUCAAAAUAUGUCUUACUCAUUGGAGUGUAAUCCGAAGUGUUCAUUUGCAUGUUCCUACCAUCCAUCUAUUCUUGUAUUUGUUUUGCCCAUUCUUCGUGCCUACGGUUCCUUUCUUCUGCGGCAAGGGCAUUUUUCUCUGCCAGUAAUUGCAAUGAGGACACAAUUUCCUAUUGACAAGCUAAAUCAUCCAUUGCCUUGCCCUUUUCCUUCAAUUUUCGGGCCUUGUUUUGUCCCGUAGCCCUAGGGAUGGAAGAUUCACUCGGAGACGGAUUUUCUACCCUUGUUUCUUGAAUGAUAGGAGAUUCUUGUUGAGGUGGAUCAAAUCUUUCUUGAGGUGGAUCUUGAAAUAACACACACCCUUUAUAAAUUUCCCAACAACCAUGAUGAGUAAAGGGGUUUUUUCAUUUCCUUCAUAUACAAUUCCUUCGCUUGGCGUACCUAGAAAAUAUAAUUACAAAAAUUAAAGGAAAUUAAUUUAUGAAAUUAAGAUUAGCAUGUGAAAUUAAUUUAUGAAAACACUUACUUCGUCGUAGUAAUUGGCUCUGCUUUCAUGUCUGCUUUCGGCCGCAAGCACUGCUUGAUGUCAUUUAUUCAAACUUGGUUGAAGAUGUUUUCUUCCUUUUGAAGAACAACUCUAGUGGUUUCGGGGAUUCGGUGGAGUGGUGUCUUCGUAUAAUUCGUAGUACUUUUUAGACCCAUCUAUAAGUUUUGCAAAGAGCUUCAUCUUCUUUUCGGGUCCAAGCCCUUCCUUUCAUUGCAUAUGUGGUUAUUUGAAAAUUAUUGAAAAAAAUUGAAGGAAAGAUUAUUGGAAGAGGUAAGAGAAUAGAAUGUGAAGAAUUGAAGCUCUUUGAGGUAAGAUAAUAUGGAAUGGUGAAAAUUAUGUGAGAAAUGAUGUAAGAAUAACUUAGGUAUUUAAAGGAAAAAAAUUAUUUUUUUUUAUUAAAAAAAUUGUACCAAAAAAAAAAUUCAAAUCCAACGUCUACCUGGCGUCAGCAUGACGCCAAGUAGCCGUUGGGUUUGGAUUUUGGGCCGACCCAGGGCUGGCUAGCUAGCUGAGGAGGGCCAGCCAGUUGGCACAAUUUCAUAUUUUUGGCCCGGUGGGGCUCACGAGCCAUUUGGCUUAGUCCUCGGUUGGAGACGGUUUUUGUGACAUUUCGAGUUUUUUUAGCCCUUUGGCCAGGUCGGUUGGAGAUGACCUUAGUUAUGUAUGAAAUGCAAAGUAACACAACUAUUUAUAGAAUGGCAUCAGUAUAAAAUUCUUUCGCAAAUUACUUUAGUCUAAAGUAGGGGAACUGCACUGUGCAAUUUUGCCUCAAUUUCACUUUAUUUAUGAGUUUGCCACCGGGCUGAUUUCAGCCCAAAGUUUGCUUCAUUUACAAGAUUGCCAUUGGGCUUAACAACGGGUCUUCAUUCUUUUGGCUGGAUCUGGGCUUUUGACUCGGGGAGAGAGAGGUAAGGGCGACAGAAUGGUUGAGAGGAAGACAUUCGCCGGGAUUUAGGGGAGUGGAUUUUCAGGAUGGACAUGCGGGUGGAUGUCCUGUGGGUGAUGCAUCGAUCAGAGGGUUGUUGGGGGGAGGAGAGGAGAGGAACAGAGGGACUGAUGGAUUGGAGAGAGAUGGGAGCCGGCUCAAAGACUCUGCAUUUCUCACUUUCUCUUCUCUCAGACCACUUCUCUCUCUUCCAUCUCUCUUCCAUCUCAAUGCGAAGGGUUGCGGAAAGCCGGUUCUCCGGCCGAUUUGAGGUGGUAAUAAGCUACUUAUGAUGAAUCCUAUGCUAUUAUGUUUCUUUGAACCACUAUGCUAUUAUGUGGUUUAUCUUUAUAAAGAGGAAUUCUUUUGAAAUCUUUCGUUGAACUAUUAUUGAUGAAUCCUAUUGUAAUAAGUAAUUUUUUGUCUGUUCAUCGUAGAACUAUAGGGAGGGAGAGAGAGAGAUAGGGAUUUGGUGAGAGGAAGGCAUGCGGCUUGCAGGCAGACAGAGUCACAAGGGUGUACGAUUCGAAAGAGAGGGGAUUGAGUGGUGACGCUCGAUUUGGGAAGAGAAAGAGAGGGAGAGCGCGAUUAUGGGGUUAGGCGACGGCGGGAGAGAGGGCGAGGGUUGUUGCAUCCAUGUCACUCAGAGUGGGUUACGUGAGAGUCAGAGUGCUGCGUUCUUGGGUUUGAGAGUUGAUUUUGAGAAAAUGAUCUAUUCCAUCUCUGCUUCGUGAUCCCUUUGAUCCAUGCUUCCUCAUCUUUUCGAUCUUCUUGGCCCCUCAUCCUGCACCCAAUUUCUCUAGCCUUUAAGAGGUAAUUAAAUCUCACUUCUUCUCAACUACCCAGAAGCCAAAUAUUUGAUUUUUCGUUGUGGUUUGUUACUUUACCGAAUUUGGUUAUUGAUAUUUCGUUUUUUUUAUGGUCCAUUUGUGUUUUCUUGGGGUUGUAUUUUUGCUAGAAUUUCAUAAAAUUUGAUUUGGCUGGGUAACCGAUUGGCUUAAAAUUGUUGUGAGAUUGAAUAUUUCUUGAAUUUGAUCAUUAGAUUUCUUUUUUUUUUUUUUUUGGAAAUUGACGUGUUUUUCCCAUUCAUAGCCAAAACAAACCCGUGCUUCCUCCCUUUUCGUCUUCUCCUCUCACAAUUUGCGCCUUUAGUUCUCAACUGGAUUCACAGUAAACGCCUAUAAAUUUAGAGGUACGAAAAUAUUAAUUUUUUUUUCAUGUUUUUUAUUUAUUUUUAGUGUUAAUUUCUGAUUAAAUUAUUAUUUUUGAUACCCACAUAGAAUCUGAUGGGUUUGCUUGGAUUCCAGAGUAAAAACCUUGAAACUUAAAGGUAUGAAAAUUUCAUUUUAUUUUUUAUUUUUUGUGUUAAUUUCUGAUUAAUAUUAUUCUUCAUAAAUCCACUUAGAAUCUUGAUCUGAGUUUUGCUUAAACUCAUCUUGGGGUUUUAUAAUUUUUUUGUUUUAUAAUUUUCUGGUGCACAUGUGAUUAAAUACAACUGAAUUUGAUUUUAUCCACAAGUGCAUAUCUGAUCCUGUAGUGCUCAAUCUAGAGAAUUGGUACUCAUAAUCAAUAAGAUUCAUACUGCUUAUUGGUAUCAAUUUUGGUUGCAGCAAUGCUAUUCUUGCUGAAGACCUGCCAUGUAAGUGAUUCAGAUUGUAGUAAUGUCGUACAAGUUAACACUUUUGUGUGGAAUUGGUGCAACUUUUGGGGUUUGUGCGAUGUUAUUUUGAUUAGUUAUUGGCUAAAAUUUGGUUCUUUUGAUUUGGGUCUGGUGAAAUUGUUUCAACAGUUGGGCGGGAUUGGUGUUCAGGGAUAUUAUGGUUUUCUAAGGUUUUGAUAGGGUUGUCAUGAAUGGAGGAUGUUAAUGAAGUAAAUGAACAUGCUUAUCUUUGUAGGCUUGACUUCUGAACACAAGGCCUACUCUUUUCAAUUGUUGGGGAAGGGUUUCUUAAUUUUUAUUUCUAUUUGUGUGUGUUGAAUUUUGAGUUAUUUUGCGAGCAAUUGGCUGUGUUGAUGCACAAAACCGGAAGGGGUUUUGGAACAACGUAAAUCCUACCAUGAAUCUGCAAGAAAGUAAAGAACACAAGAUGUAUCGUGGUUCACCCCAAUGUUUGGGCUACGUCCACACUGAUUAUUGUAUUUCUCUGAGAUGUUAAAGAGGGAGAGAGGGAGAGAGGGAGAGAGGGAGAGAGAGCUUCCUUAUGUGAGGAUGAGCUUCUUUGAAUAUGAGAUGGGAUGUGAGGCCUCUCUAAUUGUGAGGGUGAGGGGUCCUUUUAUAGAAUAAAGGCUCCUCACUUAUUACAUAUUUGCCGCUUCCCUUAUUACAUAAUUACAUUUAAGUCCCCCGAGUAUUUAUACGAGGUCUAAAUACGGAGGCCCUAAGUAUGGUAUAAACAGUAGUCCCCCAAGUCUUCAGUCAAGAGAGUCUUUUGGCUGGAGACUUGAAAUUCAGUCCAUGUGUGGGCCGAAGUAACUAGAUGUCGUCUAGAACUGAUACUCGAUAUGAGGCGGUGCUCAAUUUGAAAUGAUGCUCAACUAGAAGUAGCACAUGUUGCGAGGCUGCUCUGCUUGUGGCUUAUGUUGCCUUGGUUGGCUCGGCUUGUGGCGUUGAAGGUGAAUAAGUCCAUUUUAUAGAAUAAGGGCUCGCUCCUCAAUACAUAAGUGAUGGGUUAGGAGUGAUGCUCGCGGCGAUGCGGUUGCUCAGCUGGCGGCGAUGCUCUCUAAUGAUGGUGAGGGAGUCCCUUUUAUAGAAUAAGGGCUCGCUCCUCAAUACAUAAGUGAUGGGCUAAGAGUGAUGCUCGCGGCGAGACGGUUGCUCAGCUGGCGGCGAUGCUCUCUAAUGAAGGUGAGGGAGUCCCUUUUAUAAAAUAAAGGCUCGCUCCUCAGUACAUGAAUAAUGGGUGCUCUCUAAUGAAAGUGAGGGAGUCCCUUUUAUAGAAUAAGGGCUCGCUCCUCAAUACAUAAAUAACGGACUAAGUCCCCCAAGUUUUUUUUCAUGAGUGCUUUCUAAUGAAAGUGAGGGAGUCCCUUUUAUAGAAUAAGGGCUCGCUCCUUAAUACAUAAAUAAUGGGCUAGAGUCCCCUAAGUAUUUUUCAUGAGGCCUAAUAUAUGAUACAUAAUGUAGUCUCCCAAGUCUUCGGUCAAUAGAGCCUGUUGGCUGGAAACUUCAAAUUGAAUCCAUGUAUGGGUCGAAGUGGCGGUUGUUCGGAGGCGGUAUUUGUAUACCCUACACUGAAGCUUUGUAGGUGAAGCUUUGCAAGUGAAGCUUUGAAGCUGGAGCUCUGUAAAUGAAGCUUUUGAAGCGAGAGCUUUUGUAAAUGAAGCUUUUGAAGCUAGAGCUCUAUAAAUGAAGCUUUUGAAGCUAGAGCUUUUGUAAAUGAAGCUUUUGAAGCUGUAGCUUUGUAAAUGAAGCUUUUGAAGCUAGAGCUCUGUAAAUGAAGCUUUUGAAGCUGAUUGAAUGAGUGAUGCUCAUGAAUGUUUAUGUUGAUUGACAUGAGUGAUGCUCAUGGAUGUUGACAUGAGUGAUGCUCAUGAAUGUUGACAUGAGUGAUGCUCAUGAAUGUUUAUGUAUGAUUGAUAUGAGUAAUGCUCAUGAAUGUUUAUGUAUGAUUGACAUGAGUAAUGCUCAUGUAUAAUUUGAAGUACUGGGCGUAUUUUUGAUCACCUGGUUGGUGAUAAUAGCGGCAGGCUGCCGAAUAAUUUUGGAGUACUGGGCGUACUUUUGGUCACCUGAUUGGUGCUAUUUUAGGCUUAUGGGCCUUCGCCCUCCACACAACAUUCCAGCCCAUUUAUUUUGGGCUUUGCCUUUUUUUAUUUAUUAUUAUUUUAUUUUUUUUAUUACCCUCUGAUGGGGUUUAUAUAGAUGUCUCCGAAAGAUAAGAAAAAUAAAUCACAUCAUACAAAAACAAGAAAAGUAAAUCACAUCAUUCUGGUGGGGUGUUUAUUCCUUACUUUUGCUUUCUCUUUUGCUUUCUGCUUUUGUUUUUGCUUUCAUUUUCUCCUUUCUUUUCUGCUUUUGUUUCUCCCACUCCUGUUCUUUCUCUUUUCUCUUUUGGCAGAUGGCAGACAAUAAUAAUAUGAUUAAUAAUAAAAACUUAUCUUAUUCGUUGCAAACCAAUCAGGUUGGGAAGAGGACCACUGCAAAUCCAGGUAUCAUUGCCGUGACGCCACGCUGUACUGAUGCACAGUCAAUAUGCCUGUAGCCAUUCUUGACUGCAGCGAUGACAGCUUGACCGACCACGCCUGGUUCAGCCUUCCAUGUUCCAAGACCAACAGGUGGGAUCUUAGCUCCCGUAUUCAGAUCAAAAUACAAAGUUUCAGAUUUGUUUUCGCCCAUCUUCUUCAUCAUUUGGGCAUAAACCAUUGCCCUGUGGUAGUGCUCCUUCAUUCUCAAAUUGGAGGUUUGCUCAUCCAACUUCUCAUUUUCAGCUUGAUCUGCCGGUAAACCGACAGCAGUUGAACUGGUUUUGGAUGUUACCUUCUGAGAGCUGGGAAUUGCAGCUAGAACGGCACAAAGCAAGCCCACAUAGUUCUUAUACCGAACUCGAGCCUCCUCAAGAGCUCCUCCGCUGAAAACAAAAAAGUCACCCACACGGAAAAUGGCGCGAGCAGCCCAUGCUUGGAGGUUGGAGAAGAGAUCCUAACCGAAAGCUCCACCCACAUAGUGGUUGGUGUUGGCGGCAAAGACGUCCUCCUCCGUGACGGAGUUGAGGUUGUGAAUGGAGGAUUGAAUCGUCGGCGACGACUGGGUCCUCGUGAGCUUUGCGUGGCUUUUCUAACCGUCCAUAUGAGAGAAAUUGUACUGGGGGUUAGCAGCCAACCCCGGAUUUGUAAAGUCUCUAUAUCCUUCCUCCAAAACGUGCAUUCACGGCUUCACUGAGAUUUCCUCCGUAUUCCAAUCCGGCACCAGCAUUAUCUAGGAAAAAUGCGACGUCCUGGUAUUGUUCUUCCUGUAUAGCUAUAUUGAGAUGAGAAAUGACUCUGCCAACUAUUGAGAAAUGAUUUCAUUACAUUAUAAUUAGUUACACUGAGGUAUUUAUAUAAACUAGAUUUACAUAGGUAAAGAGAAUAGUUACAGUGGUAACUAUUUGUAACUAUUCUAACAACUAACUAACUUGACUAACACUAAUGUUUUACAAUGGUAACUUGCUCUUCACACCCCCUCAAGCUGAACGGAGAAGGUUGAAGUGAAAGCUUGGAUCGAAGAUGAAGAAAACGUGGCCUUGGCAGAGAUUUGGUGUGAAUAUCCGCUAAUUGAUCCACACUGCAAACAAAUUUGACAGUAAGAAGCUUAGCCAAAACAAGCUCACGGAUGUAAAUGAUAAUCGAUUUCAACAUGCUUUGUGCGAGCAUGAAAAACCGGAUUUGAAGCCAAGGCAAUUGCAGAAACAUUGUCAAACCAAAUUUGUGGCAAGAAGGACAACUUGAAACCAAUAUCAGAGAAGAGUUGACAGAUCCAAGUGAUCUCAGCAGCGGUAUGUGCAAGGGAGCGGUACUCAGCUUCGGUAGAGGAUCGGGCAACUGUGUGCUGUUUCUUUGCACUCCAACUAACUAGACAAGGACCAAGAAAGAUGCAAAAGCCACCAGUGGAAUGCCUAUCCCACGAACAUCCUGCCCAGUCAGCAUCGGAGUAGGCGUUGAGAAGUAGGGGAGAUGGGGUUUUGGGAAACCAUAAACCAAAUCCAAGUGUCCCUUUUAGAUACCGAAGGAUGCGUUUCACGGCUUGAAAGUGAGGCUCCCGGGGAGAGUGCAUGAACUGACACACCAGAUUAACCGCAAAGGAUAAAUCAGGCCGGGUCCAUGUAAGAUAUUGGAGGGCGCCAACAAUAGAGCGAUAGUCCUCGGGAUUCGACAACAAGGAACCAGUGUGAUCAAGCUUGACAGAACUAAGGGGAGUGGCACAUGGCUUUGCCCCAUCCAUUUUGGUACGCUUGAGAAUAUCCAAUAUGUAUUUGGAUUGAUGAAUGAAGGCUCCUGAGGGGGAUUUCUGAAUUUCCAGACCUAGAAAGUAAUGAAGAUCGCCGAGAUCCUUGAUUGGAAAUUUAGAGCUCAACUGAGAAAUAAUGGUGUUGCAAACACUAGAAGAAGGUCCGGUCACUAUGAUAUCAUCGACAUACACAAGAACCAAAACCAAGGUAGGUUGAUGCAACACAAACAGACUAUGAUCAGAGUGUGAAGCUUGAAAUCCCAUGGAGAAAAGAGCAGAAUGAAGUUUUUCAUACCAAGCACGAGGGGCUUGCUUUAAGCCAUAUAAGGAUUUCUUCAAGUGACAGAUAUGAGUAGGAUGAUCCUGAUCAAUGAACCCAGGUGGUUGAGCCAUAUAUACAUUCUCUUUCAAAGAACCAUGUAGAAAAGCAUUGCUUACAUCCAGCUGGUGUAAAAACCAGUUUGAUUGGACGGCAAGGGUGAGAAUGAUGCGUAUAGUCACAGGUUUAGCAACCGGGCUAAAAGUAUCACCAUAAUCAAUGCCCUCUUGCUGAUUGUAACCUUUUGCAACGAGUCUAGCCUUGUAACGAUCCACAGAACCAUCUGGUUUCCUCUUAAUCCGGAAAACCCAUUUACAGCCAACCAAAUUAUGAGUGGAGGUAGAAGGAACAAGCUGCCAAGUGUCUGUACUUUGUAAAGCAUUGAAUUCAUCCUGCAUAGCAGCCCUCCACUGUGAAUGUUUGGAAGCCUGGAGAUAUGUAGUAGGUAUAAACUCACUGUCAAAAUGAGAAGGCAGAGGAUGUGUUGUGGCAGUAAGGGCCUUAGGUUUGUAUAUGCCUGACUUAGAGCGGGUUUGCAUUGGGUGAACAGAGGAAAUAUGAGGUACAGGAUGUGGUGCAGGGUGUAGAGAAGGAGAGGCUAGUAGAGGAGAAGAGGGAGGUGAGGGAGGUUGCAGAGGUGCAGGACAAGGAGUAGGAGAAUGAACGUGCUCAGGUUGAGUAACUUGCUCAGGUUGAGUAACUGGCGCAGGUUGAGGAGGGGAGGAAGAUAUGGGUGGUGGAGCACGGAAAGUGAAAGAAUGAGGAGAAUAAAGAUUGGGAAAGGUAAGGGAAAAAAGUGAGUAAGGUUCUGGGGUAUGGGGAGUGGAGGACUUUAGAAGGUGGGGAUCAUGAAAGGGAAAUGUAUGUUCAUCAAAAUGAACAUGUCUAGAGAGAUAAACCCGAUUAGUGAAGGGAUCUAGACAUCUAUACCCCUUGUGAGCUAAGCUGUAGCCAAUGAAAACACACAUCUUGCUCUUGGGAUCUAAUUUGGAAUUGGUGUAUGGUUUUAACCAAGGAAAGCAUUGACAUCCAAAUACCCGAAGAGACUUGUAAUCUGGAACUUUCUUGAAAAAUUGUUCCCAAGGGGAAGACUUGUUGACUGGAGGUAGGCGAUUGAUAAGAUAGACUGCAGUAAGAAAACCUUCAACCCAUAAUUGGUGAGGAACUUGUGAGGCAAUAAGGAGGGUUCGAGCAGUCUCAACAAUAUGUCUGUGUUUCCUUUUAGCACAACCGUUUUGCUGAGGAGUGUAUGGACAACUGAAUUGUUGCUGAAUGCCAUGGAAAGACAAAUGAUGCUUGAAGUUAGAACUUGUAAACUCACCCCCUGAGUCUGAUCGUAAAGUGCCAAUUUUGUAACCAGACAAAUUCUCAACAAGAGCUUGGAAUUGUACAAAACUGUGAAACACUUCCGAUUUAUGUUUGAGAGGAUACAGCCAAGUAUAUUUGGUAAAAUCAUCUACAAAUAUGACAUAAAAGCGGUAGCCACUAACAGAACAUACUGGAGCUGGCCCCCAAACAUCCGCAUGAACUAAUUCAAGAGACCUAGAAGUAGUACAGAGAGAUUCUUGAAAUGGUAACUUGGCACAUUUGCCUAAAACACAAUUGGAGCAGAAGAAUUGUUGAACAUUAUUAGAACCAGGCAGUAUAGACUUGGAUAACAGUGAUCGAAAAGUCUUGAACGUUGGAUGACCCAAACGUUGAUGCCAUACAUGAGAAGAGGUCCUUAUUGCAGAAUGAGCAUGAACCUUCGGUGCAGGUGAAGAAGAAGCAUAAAAUGGAUAGAGACCAUUGUUGACAGGAGCUCUAAAAAGCAUCCUCCCCGUAGUAAGAUCCUUGACAUGGAAGUCAAAAGGAUUGAGGGUUAAUGAACACCAAUUAUCACGCAAGAACAUAUUGGCAGAAAGAAGAUCAUGCUUCAAGUGGGGAACAUGUAACACAUUCUUUAAUUGAAAAUCUGCAGAAGGUGUUUUAAGUAAAGUAGAACCAGUAUGGAGAAUUGGCAAACCUUGGCCAUCUCCAAUGUAGACUUUAUCUGGACCAGUAUAGGGCUGUGGAUUCUGAAGAUGAUGAAUAUUAUUAGUCAUAUGUGAGCUUGCGCCGGAAUCCAGUAGCCAUGGUGGUGGAGAAGAAGUACUAGAAGAUGCAUACAUCGCAAGUUUGGCUGGCGAACACGGCCUUGAAAAGUUGGAUUCAUGCGGUGGGAACAGUCAAUGGCAAGAUGUCCAGUGUCCUCACAAAUUUGACACGGAAUGACUGCAGAAGUGAAAGAACGGAAGCCACGAUUUCCACCUCGAUUUCCACCACGAUUAGUUGAGGAAUUAUUAAACCGAUUUGAACGAUUACGGUUGUUGUAGGUCAUUUGAGAAGUGUUCCGCUGAAAAUUACCGCGAUUAUUGCCAGGGUAAUAAUUCUGAGAACCAUUAGACUGAGCAUUGUAGGCCUGAUGUGGUGGAGGUGUAGGAAGCAAAGGAGGAGCAUUGGAAGCUGCUGGAAUAGAGGUGAAUGCCUGAUACGGUUCAGAGGAACCCUGAGAUUGCUUGCGACGAGCAAGAGCCAUUUCUUUGCUGAGAAGAAAUCCAUGUAGAUCAUCAACAGUAGUAUCAGCAAGACGAAAUUGAAUUGAAUCCACGAAGGAAUCAUAGUCAUCAGGCAAGCCAUUAAGAAUGAGGUGAAGGAGAUCCGACUCCUCAACUAGGGCACCGGCAGCAGCGAGAGCAUCAGAAACUUCUUUGAUGCGUUGCAAAUAUUCAGAUAUUGUGGAAGUGCCUUUCGACAUCAAUUGCAAAUUCGAUCGCAGCUGAUGAAUGUGAGAACGAGAGACUCCACCGAAUCGUUUCUCAAGAUUUUGCCAAAGUUCACGGGAGGAGUGAACACCAACAGUAAAGGGAAUCAAAUCCUCAGAGAGAGUGGAAUUGAUCCAAAUGAGGAUGUUUUGAUCAUUUUCGUACCAGAUCUCGAAGGCUGGAUUCGGAAUCGAGGACAAAUUUCCAGAAAGAUCAGCAAGAAAUUGAGGCGGUGGCGGUUCAGAUCCAUCAACCAUGCCGGUGAGCUUGUAGCGGCGGAAGAUCGGUUCGAACAGAUAACGCCAAACAAGGUAAUUAUGACGCUUGAGUUUUGUUUGAAUCAUACUCCCAAUGUUUUGGAUCGUGAUGGAGUUGAUUGAAGCUUGAAAUGAGGAGUUAGGGUUCAUCGGAGAAGGAUUGAGAUGUGGAGGCAGCAAAGAAGAAGGAUCCGCGAUUGCCGGAGAAGGAGGAUGCGCAGCCACAGGAGAGGAAGAAUUCGAAGAAUUUGCCGCCAUUGAUGAACAAGAUCGAAGAUCUGCAGACGGAAGCUAUGGUGUUUGGUAGGUAAGAAAAUAAGCAAGAAAAUAGCAGAAAGAGGAUCGAAGUCGGUGGACUUAAGCGAGUGAUACCAUAUUGAGAAAUGAUUUCAUUACAUUAUAAUUAGUUACACUGAGGUAUUUAUAUAAACUAGAUUUACACAGGUAAAGAGAAUAGUUACAGUGGUAACUAUUUGUAACUAUUCUAACAACUAACUAACUUGACUAACACUAAUGUUUUACAAUGGUAACUUGCUCUUCACCAACGACGUCGUUUGUAGCUGUAGCAGCAAUUGCAACCUUGAGCCUCGCAACAUCCUCAAAGUCCUCUGCAGAUACAGCCCGACGCAACUGCAACUUGAGAAGGGAGACAAGGCGCUCUUGUUGUUCGACCUUUAAAAAAUGGCGGCGCCGGCGAUCCCAGUCCCAAUCAGGGUCGUGGGCUUGAAAUGGUGCGGAUUGGGCCUCUGCUUGUGGCUUAAAAUUGAGGUAGGAAUCGAAGUUUUUUAUGGUAGUUUUGAUGAGGUCCUGGAGCGCAGAGUCCCAUCUCCACUGAGUUGAGUCGGAGGAGGAAUAAGGGUUUUUCUGGCAUCGACAGAGGGACGAGUCGGGAAACCUCGAGGAGGAGGUGGUUUGGGAAUGGGAGGAAGGGUAGAAUGGUCUUUUGGCGACGGAGGAAGGGUAUGGUUUGGGGUUGGGGACGUUGAGCUUGUGAGGACUUGGGGUUGGAGCAGAUACAGAAGCCAUUGAUACAGCAGAGAGAGGAAGGAUAUGUGUUUUUCUUGUUUUUUGUGUGAUCAAAAUUUACAGCGUAGAUUGCCCUCAGAAUAAAAGAAGGCAGACACGGAGUAGGUUUCUUUUUUGUUUCUGGGUUUUUGUGAUUUUGCAGAUUCAUGGUGGAGGUGAAAAAAUGAAAGAGAACCGACAUAACUUUUCGUGUCGAUUCCCAAGACGCCAAAUGUUGAUGCACAAAACCGGAAGGGUCUUGGAACAACAUAAAUCCGACCAUGAAUCUGCAAGAAAGUAAAGAACACAAGAUGUAUCGUGGUUCACCCUAAUGUUUGGGCUACGUCCACACUGAUUAUUGUAUUUCUCUGAUAGAGAGAGCUCUGAAAUAUGAGAGUAUUGUGAGGGAGAGAGCAUCUGUAAUGUGAGAGGGGAUGUGAGAAGGUGAGGGGGCUUCAGGCCUAAGAGUUGGCCUCCCUUAAUGAGGAGAGUGAGGGGUCCUUUUAUAGAAUAAGGACUCCUCACUUAUUACAUAUUUGCCCAUUCCUUUAUUACAUAAUUACAUUUGAGUCCCCCAAGUAUGAGGUCUAAAUACAGAAGCCCUAAGUAUGGUACAAACAGGUUGCGAGGUAGAAGGAGAGGAAGGUGAGGUAUACGGACGAGCUGGAGAGGAAGGUGCAGACACUUCAGACUGAGGCAACCACCCUAUCAGCACAGGUCACUCUAUAAUAGGUAUAAAAUCUGUUAUUGAUUGUUUUUCCUUCUUGGUUAAUUGAAUAAAAUUGUCGUUUAUGAUAUUCAAUCAAUGGAAAAUGUGACUUUCACAUGCUCCAAGCCUCUGUCAAUUAUAGAGAUCUCAAUAUGUAUCUAAAAUUUGCUUAAGACACUGGUGGAAAAAUGUAUUUAACAUUUUACAUUCAUAUGCAUAGGCUCGACUUCUAAAAACGUAUCCUGCAAAGCUAUGCUUCACAAGUUUACAAUGCCUGUCGAGUGUAGCACAUACAUUUGUGUUGUAUAAUUGUAUUCGAUAAGGAUAAUACUAUCACUGCACCUUAUUCCUUGACACUUUGGGCCUUCUUGAGUCUUCGUUGGAGUAGUGCAAAUCAGUUUUCCAACUCAAUAUCAUGGUCUUACUUGGUUGGUAAUUUUUGGCAUAAUCCAUUUAAAAAAUUUAGUUGUUUUUGUUGUUGGUUAUGUUUAUUUGUCAAAGUAAUGAUUUUGGUUUCAUGGUCAGGGCUUUAUGAGUAUGAUCAUGAUGCGUCAAAAGCUAUGGAGCUGGAAGUGGCAAUUAGAAUUAAAGUGAUAAUACAUAGUAAGUGUUUGGUUUUUGUUUUUUUUUUCUUCUAAAUUUCUGCAGCAAAGUUUUUGAAUCUCUCAUUUUUCAGACACCAAAUUCCAUUUGGAAGGAGUAGGUUGAUUAAAUACCUUUUAUGCAUCAUUUGUUUUCAUUUGUUUGUUGGAUGUCAGCAUGUGGGACUCUUGAGUUUGAGUACCUUUGUCUGUUUCGAUAUGAUAAUGCGAUGUUAAUUUAGGUUAUAAUGAUGAAUCUUUGUAUUUAAGAUUUUUUUUGGCCUAAUCGGAUAAAUAGUUCCCGUGGUCAUAAGGUAUUCGGAAGGUAACCCCUGUGGUAAAAAAAUUCGGAUUUAAACCCAUGUGGUCUAAGUCUGUUAUGAUUUAUACCCAAAAUUAAAACUUCCGCUAUCCCUCUGUUAGUAAUAGUCUCAUAUGAGGAUAAGAUGGUCAUUUCAUCCCCCAUCCCUUCCAUAAUCACUCUCCAAUUUUAGAUUUGGUUUUUCAUUUUGGAUUUUAAUUUUUUUUCGUUUUGAUUUUAGAUUGAUGCUGCUCCUUUCUACCUUGUAGUUUAGGAACAAAGCCAGAGGAGAUGGAAAGGUUUCAUUAGGGUGGUAACCCAGCAAAACCAGUGGAGAUGGAAAGGUUUCGUUAGGGUGGUAACCUAGCAAAACCAGAGGAGCCCCACCAUAAUUUCACAAUACUAAUCUCUCUCUCCAUUUUAACAACAUAUCAACAAACAGACGACCCCCUCCUGAAAAGGGUCAGAUCGCGGUCGUCGAGCAGAUUGAGGUCUGCAACCCAACGUAUUACUUAAAUUGGGCGAAACGCCUGAUUUUGCUAUUCACUUCUCAUGAACGUUGAACGGAAGGGAUGAAUGACUAUUCAUUCUCAAAGAUUUAUAAUCACCAUUGAUAAACAUGGUUCCAAUCAAUAAGCACAACAAACUACCAAAAAACAUUCAAUCGUUUACGAAAUUCAACUUUCCUGACCCAAUUACAAAAGAGCAAAAAAUAAAAAUAAAAAUAAAAAUAAACAGUGGACUCCCACAUAUGAAAGUAUCAAAACACAAUGUAUCCAAAAUAAAAUAAGAGCACUAUCAGGUUCUCUUCUACCAUAGGUUCUGAUUUUUGUGGACAAAGCUCUUGCCAGGAGGUUUCCAUGGUGCAACAGUUUGUUUAGAAGUGGUUGGUGGAUGAAGAGGCCAUCCACUCGUAGGACUUGAGCUUCCAAAUCUACUUUGAGGCAUCUCCACUCUAGGAAUUGUGGUAAAUGUGGCACCCUUUGCCCCUUCAGUAAUGGGAUGAGGAAAUACUCCAGUCAUAGGAUUUGAACUUCCAACUCUACCUUGAGGCAUCUUCACUCUAGGAAUUGUGGUAAAUGUGGCACCUCUUACCCCUCUAGUAAUGGUUGGUUGACUGUUAUCUUGAACCUGUGAUAGGAACAUAAUGAAAUGAAAUUAUUCACUUAUCAUUGUGAAAAUUACAAACUAUAAGUCAAUUGAAUAUAAAUAAGAACUCACUUUUGUAGCUUCAUAGGGAUCACAAUACAAGGCUUGCUUGGGGUUGUUUCUCCUUGCUAUGAGUUUGGACUUUUUAGGCACUGGACCUCUAUCGAUUGAAUGUACAACAUCUCCAACAUCAACUUGAACAACAGUUGUAUGUUGAUUCAUUACUUGGUCUUCAUUUUCAGUAAUUGUAUGUUGAUUCAUUACUUGGUUUUCCUUUGAGUAGAUGAACCACUACUUUGUCUUUUUUUCUUGCCACCAGUUUCUGGUCUAGAAUAUGCCCAUCUCUUGUCAACAUAUACACCUUGUGGGGCAUCUCUAGGCUCAUUUUUACAAAACUUUUGGUUAUGCCCCCAACCCCAACACUUGUGGCAUUGUAUUGUCUUUCCCUUCCUACUCACAACCUGCUUAGAAUCACUAUAUUAUCAUUUACCUUUUUCUCCAUUUCAGGACCCUUUUUUCUUGCUUUUUUUGGUCUACCAGGUUGUUUUUUCACUAAUGGGGGUAGAAGGGGGUCCAUGUUGCACUUAGGCCACUUGUUACAUCCUUUCAAUGGAUGAAUCAUGGGUUCAUAAGCUUUCAGAUAGGUUGCCUUGUGGUACACCUCAUCCACAUAAUCCUCUGGAACCUGUCAAUUAUAGGCUUCAUCAUCAAUGCUCUUCAACUUCUCCAUUUCAGCUUCAAAGUCAACAUGGUUGGGGGCUCUUGCAACACUCCAUAACAAAUCUUUUAAUGUCUUACCCUUAUGAAUGGCUUUAAAUUUCCAUACAAAUGCCUCACACACCAUCUGUGGUCAGCUUCUGGCACAACCGUAGUAAAAGUGGUAUCCAAACCCUGCAGCAUUUACUAGAUACAUCAAUACAAAUUAAAUAAGCCACUAUGUUUGCAUAACUUAAAAGGAAACAUGGAGUUUACCUUUUGUUGAUCCGAUAUAAAUGUCUACCCAUGCUCAUGAACUGGUCCAAGAUCAUCAAUAAGAAUCUGUAGAAACCAGCACCAUGUAUCUUUAUUUUAAAUUUCAACAGCAGCAUAGGCUAUUGGAUACAUAUUGUCAUUGGCAUCAAUGCCAACAGCUGCUAGUAGUUGACUUGUAACCAUGUUGUAUAUUUCUUAAAUAAAUUGAAAUCAUGCUUUCAAUUUUUAAUCAUUCAAGGUUGAGAAAAAGAUCAUUCAAGGUUGAGAAAAAGAAAAAAUGUAUUUACCUUUAAAAGCUCCUUUAAGAUGGCAGCCAUCAACUCCAAUCACUGGCAUGCACCCAGCUUUAAAUCCCAUUUUGCAAGCAUCAAGGCAAACAUAAAGUCUCUGAAAGAAUGGAGGAUUUGCAUGCACUUUCAUAGUACUUCCAACAUUGGUUUGUAUAACUUCUUCACAAUAUUCCCAAACCUUACCAUAUUGCUCUACAAUUGACCCCCUUAUCAUUUCUUAGGCUUCGUGUCUUGCCCUGAAACACUGAUCUAAGGAUACCUCCAAUUCCAUCUCCCUCUUAAUUAUGGUUUGCAAAGUUUUUGCAUCUGUUCGUGGAUCAUCUCUAAACCUAUCAAUGUAUUUUUCAGCCAUGAGUUUGAAAGUGAAAUGUUUAUUUCUCCAUACUCGACUACAUGUAUGCUCGUCAACAAGUACGUUAAUUAAUCAAAUGGAAAUUUCAAAGGUAACUGACAAGCGAUGGAAUGUGGAAUCCAAAAAAGCAAUAAGAUUUGUUCCAUUGCUAUUAAACAACUAAUUGGCUUUUUGCCUUCUAGUUUGCUUUGUUUGUUUCCUUUUUGUUGCCUUCUUCCCUUUCAAAACCCUACACAUAAACCCCUAUAUAUACCACUAAGAAGGAGACCGACUGGAAAAAAGAAAAUAGAACCCAUGAUUCAUCCAACGAAAAACCAUCAACUCCAGCUUUUGAAGCAUAAUAAAGAGGAGACCUUCAAGCAUAAAACCGCACAUGGUGGUUACGAUUACGAACAAACGAUUUUCAAAAUAGAACAAUCACCUAAAGUUAUCAAGAUUGUAGCAAUACCUGGGUAUGUUGGUGCGAUGUCUCCCUCAAUUCUUCGCUUAGCCAUUGAUGGGGCUUUUCAAACAUGAACCAAACCUCUGGGUAUGUUCGUGCUUUAGAAUUGGGAACAAGUUUGAUCUUGAGGGGGUUUUGUAGCUAAGCUAUUGGCAUGCUACUAAUUAUGAAAUGACCAUCUUAUCCUCAUAUGAGACUAUUACUAACGGAGGGAUAACAGAAGUUUUAAUUUUGGGUAUAAAUCCUAACAGACUUAGACCACAAGGGUUUAAAUCCGAAUUUUUUUAUCACAGGGGUUACCUUCCGAAUACUUUAUGACUACGGGAACUAUUUAUCCGAUUAGGCCAUUUUUUUUUAUGACAGAUAUGUGAGGCAUUAGCCAUGAUUUCAUCUGGGCAAUUAGGAAAUAUCAAAAGUGUCCUCUCUGCUAAGGAUAACACACUCCUGUGGGAACUAGACAUCUUAAUAUUUUGCAAUCUGAUUACAAAUUAUACACCAAAAGUACAUACCGCUAUCAAUUAUAUGAUAUUUUUAGAUUGUUAGUGGCUUUGUUCUAUUUUAUAUAUUGACAUACAACAUUAAAAUCCCGAUCAUGGUCCACUAAAAAGUAUUAAACGUGUUAUAAGUAGAAACGCAUUCUAACAUGUAUUUCUUUUUACAGUGAAAUUAUCUACAGAAACUCAAAGGUGGUUACAGUGGAGACCAAUAUUCAGAACACAGUGGACAAGUCUUUACAAGCUAAUCCUACCGGUUAUAGAAACGACAUCCUUUGUCUCUCUGCUUACUUGCUUUUUAACAUGGAGAAAAAUUAUUCUCUACUAACACCCGGUGGAAAGCCACUGUUCAUUAACAGUGUCCACCCGAUUUUGCCCCUCAUUCUCUUCAUGGUUUUUUAGUUUUAGUGGGGUUGUAUGGUGAAUUGGCCGUUUUGCCCCUCUCUCUUUUUCUUCCGUGCGUGCCCUCAGUUCCACACACUUCCAAAUCCCUAAGGGUGCGUUUGUUGCGCCGGACUGUCUCGGACUGGACUAGCUGCCGGGACUAAGCUGGACUGGUUUAGACUGGACUAAGCUGGACUAACUUAGUGAAGCGUUUGGUGCAGUCUCGGACUAAGAAGCAGGAUAAGAAAAACAGUACUGUUCACCAGAUUUGUGUUUGCUUAGACUAGGACUACAAAUUUUUGUCAUUGUGUAAUAGAGUAAUGCUACAAAUCUCAUGAUAUGGGUUAAUUGGAGCAUAUUUUUGCCAUGUAUAUUAUGAAUCUUAAAAAAAAUUGACAAUUGUUUUGUUUCUAUUACCUGCUAAUAGAAUUGGGUUUAAUUUGCAAAUGUAGCUUGAUUUAAACUCUAUCACCCAACAGAAGAAAAAUAAUAGUGGCCAAUACAUGCAACUUCAACAAAUACAAGUACAUAAGAUCUCCAUAAUUUAGAAAAUCCUAGUUAACAUUAGUUAACAUUAGCCAAAAUAGAUCUCCAUAAUUUACAAAAUGGCUAGUAAACAUAAGCCAAAAAUACUAGUGCAAAGCUAAGUUAUAAGUCAUAACAUAAGACUGUAUGAUUAAUAAAAUACAUCCAUGUUAACGUUAAUAAAAUACAUCCAUGUUAACAUUAGCCAAAAUCCUCAUCCGCUUGCGUUGUCUCUUAAAAGUCUUUGGACGAACACUUUCUUGAGUUCCGGUUUGAUUGCCCUGAACACUCCCACAUUUUUUGGUUUAUCCAAAAUAAGAGACAAUGCAUCAAUUUGAUCCAUAGGAGAGAGACCCAUUGCUUCAAGUUCAUUAGCUAUGUCAGUAUGAUCUGCAGUACCUUGAACUAAAGCUUCAGUUACCAUUUGCAUCCUCUUCCCACUUUCAACAUAAAAAAUCUUUCAGUCCACUGAUAAUUGCCUCGGUUCCAUCACUUGAACUUCCCACAGCUCUUUUCCUCUUUCUUUGGCUAUUUUCAGAUGGGGUGCUUUGUUGGCUUUGUUGGUUCAUUGAAGAAACAAAAUUAUCACCUCCAAUAUCACUUUCACCAACAUGAUCAUGACUUUGUUCCUCCACCAUUUGAGCAGGGGUUUCGGCUACAUUACCCGUAGCCCGAUCUUUUCCAAAUAUAUAUGCAAAUCUAUCAAACAGUGGAAAAGGUUUGCUUCUCCAUCCAUCGGCUUCUUUAUUUCUCUAAGAUUAUAUCAACAUAGCAAAACUAAAAUUUAGCAUGCGUAACAAAUAUAGGAGCAAGAAUAUAUAACUAAUGCAUAAAUAAAAUAGGAUAUGAACCUGCACAUAAGUUUGCCAUGCGUCAUCACUGUCAACUUCAACGCACUUUUUGACAUCAUUCCAUGCAAAUCCACUUGUGUUUAUCAUGUCAACGACCAUACUAUAUGUUUUUUUUCCAUUUCUUCAACUUGGACUCAAUAUGUGGAUUUGCCUUUAUAUUUGAAUGAGGACAUAAAACAUUGACAGCUUUUGCUAUUUCAACCAAAGUACCUUGUUUGAAAGCACCGGUGUCACACCGUUGCUUCCGAGCAACAAAAUCCUCAAGAACUCCUAGUAAUACUUCUUCCUCAAAUGCUUCCCAUUUACGCCUUCUUCCUUUUGGCUCUUGAGUAGCAUUCAAAAUAUUUUCGUUAUCCAUACCUAAACAAAAAAUAUUUUAAUGAAGGAAAAUACCAUACAAAUAAUCAAUUUGCAUAAUAUCCAAUCAACUUGCAUAAUAUCCAAUCAACUUGCAUAAUAUCCAAUUAAUUUGCAUACCAUCCAAUCAUUGUGCUAAUAUCUAACAAAUGCAUGAUAAAAAGGAAUACUAAAAUAAAAUGUUAUCAUUAAAACAUAUAGCUAGUUCGGUUGCUGGUUCCUAAUUGCUCUCCACUCAUUAUACAUUUCCUCAGCCAUAUCAUUCCUCAUUGCAGUCCACUGGUCCGAUGAUUGAACACUACCAACAUAUUCACCUUCUUCUGUAUUUUGUCCAUCUUCUAUUAUUGGCAAAUUCUCCAUUGGAUCUACUAACAUCUCUUCCCUAAUAAGAUUGUGUAGUAGGCAACAAGCGGUAAUUAUUCGACCUUGUGUCCUUAUCGGAUAGAAAGAUGGACUCCUUAGUAUCGACCACCUUCCUUUUAGCAAGCCAAAACAGCGUUCAAUUACAUUCCUUGCCUUAGAAUGCUUCAUGUUAAAAUAUUCUUCCUUAUUAGAAGGUGUUCGUCCCUCCCAUUCAGAUAAAUGAUAAGGUAUUCCUCUAUAGGGUGCAAGGAAUCCUUCACCAUUUGUAUAACCACCAUCUACAAGGUAAUAACAACCUAAUGAAAAAAAAAAACAGACCUUAUUAGUGUUUUGUAGUUGACAAACAGAACUAAACCUAACUUAGAAAGUUGAGACUAAGUAAUAAUCUUACCCGCUGGUACCUUAAAACCAUUAGGCCUACUAAUUGCAUCAUGUAGCACUCUAGAGUCUGAUGCGGAACCCUCCCACCCCGGAAACACAUAUAUGAACUGCAUAUCUCCUGAACACACACCUAAACACAUUAGUUGCGACUCGACCCUUUCUUGUUCGGUAUCUUGGUUUGUCAAUUUCAGGUACAUGCACAUCAAUGUGUGUUCCAUCCAAUGCUCCCAAGCAAUUCUUAAAAAUAAAAAAUAAAAAACUUUUUGUUAAUUUAUACAAAGGGAAUGAAGAGUUAAAGCUUAAGGAAAAUGAAAAAUAUUUCUCAUCAUACCUUAAAACAUCGCCACCUAGCAUCUGUAGAAUCAAUAGGCACAGGCUGUGGGACUUUUAGUAGGAAACCUUGUAAUCGCAAAAUUCCUUGCAAUACGCUAUUGAAAUACCUACUUAUAGUCUCUCCCGACCUAUAAAAUCUACCGCCAACACUACGAUUCUUAGUAUGAUGUGCUAAUAUUUGUAAAGUCAUACACACCUGUUCCUCUACAGACACCAAACCAUCAGUUUUUACCCUCCCAUCUUGACGAAGUAAGUCGCAUAAUAUGCCAAAAGUCCUUCUAUCCAUUCUCAAUUCGUUAACACAUUCAGUAUCAGUAUUCCCUAUUAUACCAUUCAGAUAACACAAACUAAUCUCUCGUCUAAUAAGUGAACGGUUAGUCAAUGUGGGUCGUUCAACAUGUCUCUGUUUGCCACGUAGCAUCAUCACCACAAGAAUCGUACAAAUACAAAUUGUUUCCAAAUAAGACAUCUCUAACAAUAAGAUCAAUAAAAGCUUCCUUCGAUCCAUAUCUAUCCAAACAAAAAAAAAACAAAAAAAAACAAAUUAACUAAAUCAUUAACCCGAGGCAACAAAUAUACAUAUGGCGUUGAAAAAAAAAAAGUUUUCAUUAACCCGAGGCAUCAUAUUCAAAAUGUUCUACUCUUAUACAUCUAUAAACAUGUGUCUAAGAACACUAGUAUGAGGAUUGCUAUCAUUGCUAGGCAUUGCAUGUGAAAAGGGAAAUUAAAGGACACCUGUAAUGCAGUAGCCUUAGCCUUAGCCUUCCGUUUAUGCUCCUCUUCUCUGCAACCAACAACCACAACAAAUUGCAAUUCAGCAUCAACCCCACACAAUACAAAAACAUUCACAUUGUAUACACAGUACAUACAUACACACUGCAAACACAGUACAUACAUACACACACUACAUACACUGCAUACACUACACACACUACAUACACUACACACAUACACUGCAUACACUACACACACACCCUGCAAGUACACACACAGUGCAUACAUACAUACACACACUGCAUACACCCUGCAUACACCCCUGCAUACAUACACACUGCAUACACAGUACACAAACACACACACACACUACAUACACUACACUUACACACACUGCAUACACUACACACACACCCUGCAUACACACUGCACACACACACACUCACACUCACACACUGCACACACACACACACUGCAUACAUACUGCAUACACACACACACACUGCAUAUAUACACACACACUGCAUACAUACACACACACUCACACUUACACACACUGCAUACAUACUGCAUACAUACACAUACACUGCAUACAUACUACAUACAUACACACACACACUGCAUACAUACACACACACUCACACUUACACACACACUGCACACACACACACUCACACUCACACACUGCAUAUAUACACACACACACACUGCGCGCACACACACACACUGCACACACUGCAUAGACACACACACACUGCACACACUGCAUAGACACACACACACUGCAUACACACUCACACACAAACUGCACACACACACACAAACUGCAUACUCACUCACACACACACUAUACACACACACACACACUGCAUACACACACACACACUCACACUCACACACUAAACACAGUCACACACACACACACACUGGACACACACAUACACACACUGCAUAUAUACACACACACACAAACUGCACACACACACUGCAUACACACACAAAUUGCACACACACACACAAACUGCACACACACACACUGCAUACACACACAAACUGCACACACACACAAACUGCACACACACACACACUACAUACACACACACACACUGCACACACACUCACACUCACACACACUCACACUCACACACUGAACACAGUGACACACACACACACACGGGGACAGAGUGCAACAAACUCUUACCCUCACACACACACUCUGUUUUUAUACUCACACACACACACUGCAUACAUACUUGCAUACACACACACUGCACACACACACACACACACUGCACACACACACACACGCACACACACACACACACACUGCAUACAUACUGCAUACAUACACACACACACACACUGCGCACACACACACUGCACACACUGCACACACACACACACACACACUGCACACACUGCAUACACACUCACACACACACACUGCACACACACACAACUGCAUACACACUCACACACACACUGCACACACACACACACACACACUGCACACACACACACACACUGCACACACACACUCACACACACACACACACUCACACUCACACUUACACUCACACUCACACACAAACACACACACACACACACUGCACACUUACACUCACACUCACACUCACACUCACUCACACUUACACACACACUGCAUACAUACUGCAUACAUACACACAUGCACAUACUACAUACACACACACACACACACAAACUGCACACACACACUGCAUACACACUGAACACACACACACACACACACACACUGGACACACACAUACACACACACACAAACUGCACACACACACACUGCACACACACAAUUGCACACACACACAACUGCACACACACACACUGCAUACACACACAAACUGCACACACACACAAACUGCACACACACACACACUACAUACACACACACACUGCACACACACUCACACUCACACACACUCACACUCACACACUGAACACAGUGACACACACACACACACACGGGGACAGAGUGCAACAAACUCUUACCCUCACACACACACUCUGUUUUAUACUCACACACACACACACUGCAUACAUACUUGCAUACACACACACUGCACACACACACACACACACUGCACACACACACACACACACACACACACACACUGCAUACAUACUGCAUACAUACACACACACACACACACUGCACACACUGCAUAGACACACACACACUGCACACACUGCAUACACACUCACACACACACUGCACACACACACACAAACUGCAUACACACUCACACACACACUGCACACACACACACACACACUGCACACACACACACACGCACACACUCGCACACUCACACACACUCACACUCACACUUACACUCACACUCACACACAAACACACACACACACUGCACACUUACACUCACACUCACACUCACACUCACACUCACACUUACACACACACACACAUACAUACUGCAUACAUACACACACACACUGUAUACAUACUACAUACAUACACACACACACACAAACUGCACACACACACUGCAUACACACUGAACACAGUCACACACACACACACACACUGGACACACACAUACACACACACACAAACUGCACACACACACUGCAUACACACACAAAUUGCACACACACACAAACUGCACACACACACACUGCAUACACACACAAACUGCACACACACACAAACUGCACACACACACACUACAUACACACACACUGCACACACACACUCACACUCACACACACUCACACUCACACACUGCAUACACACUCACACACACACACUGCACACACACACACACACAAACUGCAUACACACACACACACUGCACACACACACACACACUGCAUACAUACACACACUGCACACACACUCACACUCACACACACUCACACUCACACUUACACUCACACUCACACACAAACGCACACACACACAAACACACACACACACACACAAACACUUACACUCACACUCACACUCACACACACAUUUUACACACACAACUCACACACACAUUUUACACACACAACUCACACACAUACACACAAAAACAGAUUACACACACACACACGGACAUAUUACACACACAUUUUACACACACAACUCACACACACACUGCAAAUAACACAGGUUACACACACACACACGGAUAGAUUACACACACAUUUUACACACACAACUCACACACACACAGAUAUUACACAGGUUACACAGAUUACAUACACACACACACACACACAAACACACAGACAAAUUUUUUUUCAGUACACACAAACACACACACAGAGAGCACACACCUGAGACUAAUCUCAAUUUCAUCUUAUGAAAACCCCAAAUUCUAAUCUCAAUUUCACCUAAAUAACAAAACCCUAAUUUGUUCAAUUGCAAAUCCACUUGUAUAUUAUGAAUUUCUCAAACCCAAAACAACAAAAUCAAAUAAACCUCAGUUAAUAUCACAAACAAAUCCACACAAAUCGACGAAAAAAAAUCCAAGAUUCGAAGCUUACCGACUAGAGGCAGAUGACAGCGACCAGAUGCAAGGACGACGAUGAGCGUGAGGACGAUGUGGGAGCACGGCAAGGACGACGACGAGGGCAGACGCAGAGAUGAGGACGAUGUGGGAUGUGAGAUGUGGGAAGACGCGGUUUCUCUGGCUUACGAGUCCGCCCGAAUUUGGGAUCCCUCGUGAAGAACGGCUAAGCCCCCCCUUAGUCCUAGCGAAUCCCACCUAAGCUCAUUAAAGCUAAUCCCGGUACCCACCAAACACUGGACUAUAGUCUAGUCCAGUCCAGUCCCAGCGAAUCCUGUCAAACAAACGUGCCCUAAAUUCGCAGGCUUUCCCCCUUCUUUCUCCAACACGGUUUCUGCUAUUGCCCCUGCGUCUUCUACGACUCCGAUCUGCAUAUUUGCUUUGCGUGGUAAGAAUUUUGUUCUCGAUUUGAAACUGGUUGUUUACCAAGAAAUCUCUCUCUUGCGUUUUUCUCCUGAGGUUUAUGCUCAGAUCACUUUGCAUCCAGAAGCAGAUGUGAGAAACAUGUUUUCUUUUUUGUCUUAUUUAAUGUUUUGUUCCAACUUCCUCUGUUUGGUGGCUUAGAAGGUGGCUUUUCAAAUCAGUUGGGAUAUUAUCUAAAAUACGAAUAGGGGAAAUUUCACAUUUUCUCAACCUUUUGCACAAUUUUCGUAGUUAAUGAGGCUUAGAUUUUGAUAUAAUAUUUGUUGAAAACGAUAACCGAAUGAAAAAGAUGUGAAGAUUUGAAGUUAGGGAAGCCAAAUGGAGAAGAGAAAAAAAAUCAAGAACAGCAGCAAAGCUGCUGGUUCAGUUUUAUUUGUGAUGUAUCUCGAAUGUUGUUUGUUGUUCCUUUAUUUUUUUGGUAUUCUUUUAAAAGCUACAGUGUUUGUUAACAACUGUUUCCAUUUCUACAUUCGCUAAACCCUCUUUGGAAAUUAUUUAAAAUGAUUUCUGGUACAUGCAAUACAUGUUACAAUUGAAUUAUUGUGACGAGUGGUCUGCAGAAAAAGGGAAAAGAAAGGAUGAAACUGGAGGAUUGUGGGGACUGCACUGAGCAAGUGCUUGGACAAAUUUUUUUAAUUGAAUUGUAAAUUUUGUUUCAGUAUUAGACUUUGUAUGAAUAUGAAUUUGAAUAAUCAUUUUUCAGUUUUUAAAUAAAUGAGUCUCAGUAAUUUGUGUUAGUUUUUAUCCGAACAACAUGUGCACUUACCUGUCUGUGUUGGUUAACUAAAUUGAUGCAUAUCUUGCCAGUUAGCAUUAUGUAUUUGAAGGAGUUUUUAAAAAUAAAUCCCUUAUUAAACACGUUUAAACAAUUGGUCUUUGGUUCUAUAUGUUUGAUAAAAAUUGGGUGGAAGGAGUAACCAGUUUGAUUGUAGUGUGGUAUCACCAUUUUGUUAGAUGCUUAAAUGAAUUGGGUUAGAACUUACCAUGUGGUUUUUUAUCAAUAGCAGCAUUUGGACACAAAGAUGUGUGAAAUGCUAAGCUAUUUACAUGGAAAAAAAAAACAUUGGGAAAUCAUGCUGUGUUAAGCUAUUUACACAACAAAAAAUAUUGGAGAACAUUGUUUAUUUAGAUUGAUGAGGGUGGUAGAAGUUGUUCAGCAGAAUAGCAAAAGCUUUCUUCCAGUUGUAUCUGUUGUCAAGAAGGCAGCCUAAGCAACAAAAAAAGAAAAGAAAAUAUUGUAACACGUAGUAAGCCGUUGAGAAGAAUUAAGUACCAGAGUUUACUAUUUUUUUUUUAAUUUUAUUCAUUUGAGGUUUGAUUUUAGGAUUAUGUGUUUUCUGUUUAGUGUGAUUCAAUACGGGUUUUUUGGUCAAAUGGGACAUGGAAAUUCAAAUGCUGUUUGUUAUUUCUUUAUUUUUUUAGUAUUCUUUUGAAGAUCGGCACGUGUGCUGUUACGCUUGUCUCCACAUGCUUCCUUGUAUCAUUCUCACUUGCCCUAUCUGUUCCAAGGAAGCAUGUGGAGACAAGCGUAACAGGACACGUGCCGAUACAUCCACUACUCUGUCAAAAGCAAAAGUAUCCCAUAUCAGCAGGGUCGAACGUACUCUAGAUUUGAUGGACUUGUUUUGACCCUCAAAUUCUUCAGUUGGCCUUAUACUCUGGAGGAAACCAGAAAACCCUCCAGCCCAGUUCAAGAAUAAGUCUGUGGAAAGUUACUUCUUCAAAAACAAAAGUAUCCCAUAUCAUCUCUUCUCAUUUUUCUUCUCUUUAUCCUUCAUGCUGCCUGCAAGAUAGGGAGAAUGUGAACAAUCAGCCGGAGCUCUGAUUGCUUACCUUGUCUGUCACCUCUUUCAGCAAAUCCCCUAGCUCAGCGACUUGAGGGACUCCUACUACAUGGUUUGUAUCGCGCUUGACCAAGCCUGAAACUACAAGUAAGCUUCAAGUGACAUUGAUACAUUACCUUGUGCAUCUCCACCAGUUACAGAUACCACCCCUGGAUGGAGGAAGAGUACUUCCAGAGAAGAUGCCACAUCUACCUAUGAGACAGAUAAGGAAAGUCAAGACGAUACCACACUCCGGUACUUAGAAGUUUCGUGGUUACGAGAUCAUUCUCCCACAAUAUUUCCUAAUGUCAUUUGUACUAAAUCAUUCACUUGUACUCACUAAAGGAGAACUUGAACUUAUGUACUUGUGUAAACCCUUUACAAUUAAUGAGAACUCCUCUAUUCCGUGGACGUAGCCAAUCUGGGUGAACCACGUACAUCUUGUGUUUGCUUUCCUAUCUCUAUCCAUUUAUAUACUUAUCCACACUAAUGACCGGAGCAAUCUAGCGAAGAUCACAAAAAGUGACCGUUUUCGCUACCUAGGAUCUAUCUUGCAAGAGAACGGAGAAUUAGAUGGGGAUCUCAACCAUAGAAUACAAGCUGGAUGGAUGAAGUGUAAGAGUGCAUCCAGCGUGUUGUGUGACCGUCGUAGGCCACUGAAGCUCAAGGGAAAAUUUUAUAGGACGGCAAUAAGGCCAGCGAUGUUGUAUGGUACAGAAUGUUGGGCGGUGAAGCAUCAACACGUACACAAAAUGGGUGUAGCGGAGAUGAGGAUGCUUCGUGGGAUGUAUGGGCACACGAGAAAGGAUAAGAUUGGGAAUGCGGAUAUCCGAGGUAAAGUAGGAGUAGCCAAAAUUGAAGGAAAUAUGAGAGAAAAUCGGUUCCGGUGGUUUGGACAUGUGCAAAGAAGGCCUACUGACGCUCCGGUUCGAAAAUGUGACUACGGGACAGAGGUCCAGGGCCGAAGGGAUAGAGGAAGACCUAGGAAAACUUUGGAAGAGACCCUAAGAAAAGACUUGAGUACUUGGAUCUAACGGAGGACAUGACACAAAACCGAGCGCAAUGGCGUUCUAGGAUUCAUAUAGCCAACCCCAUUUAGUGGGAAAAGGCUUUGUUGUUGUUGUUGUUGUUGUUGUUUGUUUUGAAGAUCUGCAUAUCGAUUGUUGCUUCUGUUUCUUAUAUAAACACAAUGUGUUUUGCGAUCACAACUUUUGUGAUCAGAAGUGUUUAAGUUCAUCCAAUUAAUUGUACAAUGGCUUUGAUGUCAGCUAAAACUGAAUGUAAAUGAAAACCAAGUUGCUGAUCUUACCAGCCCAGUUCACCCAUCUCUUUGCUUAUUUAAAUUAUUUGAAGAUGCCUAUGUUAAUUGGUGAUUUUGAAGUGAUUACCUUUCUUUAUACAAAUUCUCUUCACAAAGAAAUCUGGUUUGGCAGAUAAUAGAUAAAGCUUUUAAUGCAUUCAUUUAAUGUUAUUGCAGAUCCGCUACAUUCUUCAAGAAGUUCGGUUUACAGAACCGGAGCCGUUUAAGCAAAGGUGUCCCAGUUUAUAGCUGAGGUAUUUUCAUGUAUUUUAAUUCGAACGGUAACAUUGUGUGUUCAAAAGGAUCCCCUCUAAUUUUCAGAGAUUAAUAUUAUUCAGUAUGCUCAUCCAAUCACUACUCCAUUGGGCAAUACGCAAAACAAAAUAUGAAAAGCAAACUAACCAAACAGGCAAAAAAUAAAAAUAAAAUUCUAAAAUGUUCUCAAAUUUGAUUUUAAAGCCAGCAUCUCCCCCAUAUGCAGCUAACCCAUUUAGGAAAAACAAUAAAGAAGGCCAUUGGGACUCAAAAGUUGUUUUCAGUUUAGCAUGAUUAUCACUUAUAUAAACAUAUAAGGAAAGCAAAUCUCAAAGAGUCAGGUUUUUGCUCCAAUGUUAACAAUGUUUGUUUCAUUUGUAGUUUUUUGUAGUCUUUAUAAGCAUUUUUUAGUUUUGAUGUAAAAAUAAUAUUUUUUACUCUCUCCUCUCCCUCUCUUUCUCUUUCGUGUUUUUGUGGACUUUGGGUUUUAUUUCUUUUUUGGGUUUUGAGUGUUUUGAAUUUUUCUUCUGAUAAAGUAUUGGUUUUGCAGUAAAAGCGGCAAUCCUCUUCUCCCAGCUUCACUUCCACGUUCUCACUAUUCAUACCCAUCUUGCCCAUUUCUUUCUAAAUUUCUCCUUGCACCCACUGGAAAAAAACAGAGUUUUGUUUUUGUUUCCUCAAAAUUUAGAUUAGACAGCAAUAUUCUGAAUGCUUUGCUUAUCUAUGUUCUUUGCAGGAAGCUCAAAGGAUGAUAAACAAGAAAAGGAAAUCACAGAUUGCAAAUUAGAUGGACAAAAAAGGCAAUAGAAAUUCAUAGGGUCCCAAAUCCGUGACAUAAAAGGUAUGAAAUUGUUAAUUGAUAAUUGAACAUAAAUGUAGAACUGAUUGCUACAAAUAAGUAUGGUUACUUUUGUAUCACAUUCUUAAUUAAGAUGGUUAUGCAGUCCUUUUGUAAUUUUGUGUAUCUAUUAGCUCUGUAAUGACUUACAAGUUACACACACCUCAAAAUUUUCAUUUUCUUUCAAACAAUCUUGAUCCGCAAUAUGUGCAGGAUUGCAAUGAAAUAAUUGUGAGCAACAUGUAUAAUGGGAAGGAUUUACAAAGGUUUCAACUAUUGAACUUGCUUAUGCUCUUAUUUGAGCGACUGUAAAAAAGAUUUAGUAGGACAAACUGGAAUUGGCUUAAAUCAAUUUAUCAUUGAUAAUUUGAUUCUGUUAUUCGUAGACCAUUCUUCCGAAUCUCUGAGUUCGAAGCAGAUCAAUUUUUUCAUUUUUAUGUUUAAUUUUAGGAAGAAAUGAAAAUGAUUUUUGCCUUUUUUGAGUGUUUUGUUAGUACUAGCUUGCUGCAUAUGCUAUUCUCUGGGUGUAAAUAUAAUUAUCUAAGUAAGUGCACUUAUUUUUGAACUCUUUAACUGAUUUGUGGUUGCAAUAGGAUUUUUUUUUUCGGAUUUUUCCCAGUCUUUUUAACAGUAUUAGGUUUCUGUCCUGCAUGUCACCAGGCUUAUUCUUUUUUCAAUUCACAUUAAUCACGACUUUAUAGUUGAUUCGAUUUCAUUUUGGCUGCUGUAAAUGGGUUUUCAUCAGCAUGUCUGACAUGAUAAAAUCAUGUCUUUUGGAUUAAUUCAAACAAUGUAAACAUUUCAUUUGUAUUCUUGAUCUUUGUUAAUAUUAUAGUUACAUGUCUAACGAAAAGGAUUUCUUUUAAUGAAUAAUAUGUGUCAUUACCUAAAAUGACUUACCUUUGCUCAGAGUUUGCUAUUUAACAUGUUAUGUUCCUAGGUAACAUGCAUCUGAAACUCUUUGUGCAGAAGAAGAUAUCUCAUUACAACCACCUCAAUCUAACAAAACUUUUAUCACUCUUAAAACAUUAUCUGAACUCUCAUCUCAAGUAAGUCCUCAGUUUCCAUAUACUUUUUAUUUCUUAACAUCUACGUGGUUUUCAUAGUUUUUAACCAUUAAAUCACGUAACUUUAUAUUUACAAUUAUAUUCUUUCUAAUUGUUUGUAUAGAUUUCUUUUUUGCUCCCUACAAGAUAAUGUCAUGGCGUGGUUUAGUGGUGUUGAAUAUAAUUGGAGAAACUGAUUCUUUAAUCUACUCAUGCUGUAGGAUUUCAAAGUUGAAGCCCACUUACUUUCAAUCUUUUCGAACAAAUUCACUUUGCAAAGUAACAAAACAAUGAUAUUCCUACAACAACAACAACAACAACAACAACAAAGCUUUUUCCCACUAAGUGGGGUCGGCUAUAUGAAUCCUAGAACGCCAUUGCGCUCGGUUUUGUGUCAUGUCCUCCGUUAGAUCCAAGUAAUCAAGUCUUUUCUUAGGGUCUCUUCCAAAGUUUUCCUAGGUCUUCCUCUACCCCUUCGGCCCUGAACCUCUGUCCCGUAGUCACAUUUUCGAACCGGAGCGUCAGUAGGCCUUCUUUGCACAUGUCCAAACCACCGGAACCGAUUUUCUCUCAUAUUUCCUUCAAUUUUGGCUACUCCUACUUUACCUCGGAUAUCCUCAUUCCCAAUCUUAUCUUUUCUCGUGUGCCCAUACAUCCCACGAAGCAUCCUCAUCUCCGCUACACCCAUUUUGUGUACGUGUUGAUGCUUCACCGCCCAACAUUCUGUGCCAUACAACAUCGCUGGCCUUAUUGCCGUCCUAUAAAAUUUUCCCUUGAGCUUCAGUGGCCUACGACGGUCACACAACACGCCGGAUGCACUCUUACACUUCAUCCAUUCAGCUUGUAUUCUAUGGUUGAGAUCUCCAUCUAAUUCUCCGUUCUCUUGCAAGAUAGAUCCUAGGUAGCGAAAACGGUUACUUUUUGUGAUCUUUGCUAGAUUGCUCCGGUCAUUAGUGUGGAUAAGUAUAUAAAUGGAUAGAGAUAGGAAAGCAAACACAAGAUGUACGUGGUUCACCCAGAUUGGCUACGUCCACGGAAUAGAUGAGUUCUCAUUAAUUGUGAAGGGUUUACACAAGUACAUAGGUUCAAGCUCUCCUUUAGUGAGUACAAGUGAAUGAUUUAGUACAAAUGACAUUAGGAAAUAUUGUGGGAGAGUGAUCUCGUAACCACUAAACUUCUAAGUACCGGAGUGUGGUAUCGUCUUGACUUGCCUUAUCUGUCUCAUAGGUAGAUGUGGCAUCUUCUCUGGAAGUACUCUUUCUCCAUCCAGGGGUGGUAUCUGUAACUGGUGGAGAUGCACAAGGUAAUGUAUCAAUUUCACUUGAAGCUUACUUGUAGUUUCAGACUUGGUCAAGCGCGAUACAAACCAUGUAGUAGGAGUCCCCCAAGUCGCCGGGCUAGGGGAUCUGCUGAAAGAGGUGACAGACAAGGUAAGCAAUCAGAGUUCCGGCUGAUUGUUCACAUUCUCCCUAUCUUGCAGGCAGCAUGAAGGAUAAAGAGAAGAAAAAUGAGAAGAGAUGAUAUGGGAUACUUUUGCUUUUGAAGAAGUAACUUUCCACAUGCUUAUUCUUGAAUCGGGCUGGAGGGUUUUCUGGUUUCCUCCAGAGUAUAAGGCCGACUGAAGAAUUUGAGGGUCAAAACAAGUCCAUCAAAUCUAGAGUACGUUCGACCCUGCUGAUAUGGGAUACUUUUGCUUUUGACAGAGUAGUGGAUGUAUCGGCACGUGUGCUGUUACGCUUGUCUCCACAUGCUUCCUUGUAUCCUUCUCACUUGCCCUAUCUGUUCCUCAGGCAGAUGCGGUAUCUUCCCUGGAAGCAUAAGAUGUUGAAGAUGAGUACUCGAGAGCAAUGCCAGGUAAGUAAUCAGGUAAGGGGUUCCAGGCAGUCAGUUCCUGGCUGGAAGCUUGAUUCCAAGUGCUGACUGAUUGCUCUCUUUCUUCUUGUCUUGCAGGUAAGAACAAGGCCAAAGGAAAAGACAAGGAAAAAGUAUGAUAUGGGAUACUCUUGCUUUUAACCCUGAUGAUAUGAGAUAUUCUUGCUCUAGUAUAGCUUGUUUAUAGAGGUAUUAUCGGGAGGGAAAGAAAGCUGAAUAUUUCGAAAGGCUUCGUUGGGAGUGCCCUCUCAGAUAAGAGAAAGGGUUGAACAUUUUUGCAGGUCUGCCUGUCCGUUAGGGAUGGAGGUCGACAUAUAUAGGAGUCUCUCUAACAUCAAGUAAUAAUGCUAUUCCUUUACCCUGCUUGGUCAUAGCACGGUAGUGGGAGCUGCCAGCUUCACAUGUUUUAACUCUGUCAGAGCACUUUGAAAAAGUGGUCUGUGGUAUCUGGAAAGCUGAUGUUGCGUGUGAAGAUUACAGACAAGCUUUAUCCAAGGAGAUCCAGCUCUUGAAGUUGGGAAAGUGAUGCCUCUUCGAUUUUCGAACAAGCAAUCCUGUUGGGGAUCUGGCUCUCGAGAUUCGGAGAACGAUGCCUCUUCGAUUUUUGAGAAAGCAAUCCUGCUGGGGGUCUGGCUCUCGAGAUUCGGAGAGCGAUGUCUCUUCGAUUUUUGAGAAAGUAAUCAUGUUGGGAGUCUGGCUCUCAAGAUUCGGAGGGCGGUGCCUCUUCGAUUUUGGAGCAAGCAAUCUUGUUGGGAGUGUUUUCUCGAAUGUGAGUAAAGGUUGGGCAUGUUUGCUAGUCUACCUUGCCACGAAGCACAGAGGUUGACACACAGGGACUUUCCAAUUAUCCAGCAGUGGUACUGUUCCUUUACCCUAUUUUCGAUUUUUGAGAAAGUAAUCAUGUUGGGAGUCUGGCUCUCGAGAUUUGGAGGGCGGUGCCUCUUCGAUUUUGGAGCAAGCAAUCCUGUUGGGAGUGUUUUCUCGAAUGUGAGUAAAGGUUGGGCAUGUUUACUAGUCUACCUUGCCACGAAGCACAGAGGUUGACACACCGGGACUUUCCAAUUAUCCAGCAGUGGUACUGUUCCUUUACCCUUGUGGGUAAUAAUAUGGUAGCUAGACCUUCAAAAUUUAUGUGUCUAAACUUUGUUAGUGUUGUUUCUUUGCAAUUCUUUUACCCUUCUUGGUCAGAGCGAUGUAGCGGGAGCUGCAAGCUUCACGUGUCUCAACUUUGUCAGAGAACUUUGGCAAAGUUAUCUGUGGAACCCAUGAGUUACUGUUGCGUGUGGGAAGUGGGUGAUUGAAUAGUACGAUUCAUGUGCUUUCUACUUCGCCAGAAAUCUUCGACAGAAUGCCCAUAAUUUCCGCAAAGCUGAGUGUGCGUGUGACAGGUGCUGACAAGGCUGGAAAAGUAGGUGCCUCUUCGAUUUCUGAGAUCGGCCCUCGUGGUCUCUGAGCAGCCCAGCUUUUGAGAAAGCAAGCCUCUUCGAUUUCUGAGAUCGGCCUUCGUGGUUUUUGAACAGCCCAGCUUUUGAGAAAGCAACGCCUCUUCGAUUUAUGAGAUCGACCCUCGUGGUCUCUGAGCAGCCCAGCUUUUGAGAAAGCAAAUGCCUCUUCGAUUUCUAAGCAGGCGCCUCUUCGAUUUCUGAAGCUUCGUCGAGUGCAGAUUUUUUAUAGGGGCUGACAUUAAGUUCCAAAGCACACUUGAAUAUCCACCAGUAGAAGCUCCAUUCUUGCACUUCUAAGAUCUUGAUUUGUCCGACCUCCUCUCUCUUCAACACCUUUGAAAAUGUCUGGCCCCCCUCCGACCGUCAUUUUGACUUGAACCUUGUUGAAGAGGCAGCCCCGCCUUCUCCAGACAACAUAUGGCGCCCAUCCUUCGUCUCCCCUACUGGUCCUCUUACCGUUGGGGAUUCCGUGAUGAAGAAUGAUAUGACCGCUGCGGUAGUGGCCAGGAACCUUCUCACUCCCAAAGAUAACAGACUACUUUCCAAACGGUCUGAUGAGUUGGCUGUUAAGGAUUCUCUGGCUCUCAGUGUUCAGUGUGCAGGUUCUGUGUCUAAUAUGGCCUAACGCCUAUUUGCUUGAACCCGCCAAGUUGAAUCAUUGGCGGCUGAAGUGAUGAGUCUCAAACAGGAGAUUACAGGGCUCAAGCAUGAGAAUAAACAGUUGCACCGGCUCGCACAUGACUAUGCUACAAACAUGAAGAGGAAGCUUGACCAGAUGAAGGAAUCUGAUGGUCAGGUUUUACUUGAUCAUCAGAGAUUUGUGGGUUUGUUCCAAAGACAUUUAUUGCCUUCGUCUUCUGGGGCUGUACCGCGUAAUGAAGCUCCAAAUGAUCAACCUCUGAUGCCUCCUCCUUCUAGGGUUUUGUCCAGUACUGAGGCUCCGAAAGAUCCCCCUCCAGUAACUUCUCUUUCUGGGGCUCUACCGACUGCUGAGACUUCUCCUAAGCAACCUUUGUGAAGGCUCCAUCUUGUUUGUUUAUUUUGACUCAAGUAUAUGUACAUAUUUGUAACUUAUCGGGGAUAUCAAUAAAUAAGCUUUCCUUCAUUUCAACGUAUUGUGUUAAAUACACCAAAGCCUUCUUCGCUAAGUUUUUUGAAUUUUCUUUUGUUGAAGCUUGUAUGUUGAAGCUUUGUGAGUGGAGCAUGUAGGUUGAGGUAGUGUUCCCUUAAUUUCCCGAGUGAGGAAAACUUCUCGGUUGGAGACUUGGAAAAUCCAAGUCACUGAGUGGGAUCGGCUAUAUGAAUCUUAGAACGCCAUUGUGUUCUGUCUUGUGUCAUGUCCUCCGUUAGAUCCAAGUACUCUAAGUCUUUUCUUAGGGUCUUUUCCAAAGUUUUCCUAGGUCUUCCUCUACCCCUUCGGCCCUGAACCUCUGUCCCAUAGUCGCAUCUUCUAAUCGGAGCGUUAGUAGGCCUUCUUUGCACAUGUCCAAAACCACCGUAACCGAUUUUCUCUCAUCUUUCCUUCAAUUUCGGCUACUCCUACUUUACCCCGGAUAUCCUCAUUCCUAAUCUUAUCCUUUCUCGUGUGCCCACACAUCCAACGAAGCAUCCUCUCAUCUCCGCUACACACCCAUUUUGUGUACGUGUUGAUGCUUCACUGCCCAACAUUCUGUGUCAUACAGCAUCGCCGGCCUUAUUGCCGUCCUAUAAAAUUUUCCCUUGAGCUUCAGUGGCAUACGGCGGUCACACAACACGCCGGAUGCACUCUUCCACUUCAUCCAUCCAGCUUGUAUUCUAUGGUUGAGAUCUCCAUCUAAUUCUCCGUUCUUUUGCAAGAUAGAUCCUAGGUAACGAAAACGGUCGCUCUUUGGUAUUUCUUGAUCUCCGAUCCUCACCCCUAACUCGUUUUGGCCUCCAUUUGCACUGAACUUGCACUCCAUAUAUUCUGUCUUUGAUCGGCUUAGGCGAAGACCUUUAGAUUCCAACACUUCUCUCCAAAGGUUAAGCUUUGCAUUUACCCCUUCCUGAGUUUCAUCUAUCAACACUAUAUCGUCUGCGAAAAGCAUACACCAAGGAAUAUCAUCUUGAAUAUGUCCUGUUAACUCAUCCAUUACCAACGCAAAAAGGUAAGGACUUAAGGAUGAGCCUUGAUGUAAUCCUACAGUUAUGGGAAAGCUUUCGGUUUGUCCUUCAUGAGUUCUUACGGCAGUCUUUGCUCCUUCAUACAUAUCCUGUAUAGCUUGGAUAUAUGCUACUCGUACUCCUUUCUUCUCUAAAAUCCUCCAAAGAAUGUCUCUUGGGAUACGCUUUUUCCAAAUCUAUAAAGACCAUGUGUAAAUCCUUUUUCCCAUCUCUAUAUCUUUCCAUCAAUCUUCGUAAGAGAUAGAUUGCCUCCAUGGUUGAGCGCCCUGGCAUGAACCCGAAUUGGUUGUCCGAAACCCGUGUCUCUUGCCUCAAUCUAUGCUCAAUAACUCUCUCCCAGAGCUUCAUUGUAUGACUCAUUAGCUUAAUACCCCUAUAGUUCAUGCAAUUUUGUACAUCGCCCUUAUUCUUGUAGAUAGGCACCAAAGUGCUCAUUCGCCACUCAUUUGGCAUCUUCUUCGUUUUCAAAAUCCUAUUGAAAAGGUCAGUGAGCCAUGUUAUACCUGUCUCUCCCAAAACUUUCCACACUUCGAUUGGUAUAUCGUCUGGGCCUACUGCUUUUCUAUGCUUCAUCUUCUUCAAAGCUACAACCACUUCUUCCUUCUGGAUUCUAUGAUAAAAAGUAGUUUUCUACACUCUUCUGAGUUACUCAACUCCCCUAAAGAAGCACUCCUUUCAUGUCCUUCAUUGAAAAGAUUAUGAAAAUAACCUUUCCAUCUGUCUUUAACCGCGUUCUCUGUAGCAAGAACUUUUCCAUCCUCAUCCUUGAUGCACCUCACUUGGUUUAGGUCCCUUGUCUUCUUUUCCCUUGCUCUAGCUAGUUUAUAGAUAUCCAACUCUCCUUCUUUGGUAUCUAGUCGCUUAUACAUAUCGUCAUAAGCCGCUAACUUAGCUUCUCUCACAGCUUUCUUCGCCUCUUGCUUCGCUUUUCUAUACCUUUCAUCAUUUUCAUCGGUCCUAUCCUUGUAUAAGGCUUUACAACAUUCAUUCUUAGCCUUCACCUUUGUUUGUACCUCCUCAUUCCACCACCAAGAUUCCUUUUGGUGUGGGGCAAAGCCCUUGGACUCUCCUAAUACCUCUUUUGCUACUUUUCGGAUACAACUAGCCAUGGAAUCCCACAUUUGGUUAGCUUCCCCCUCUCUAUCCCACACACUGGGUGAUUACUUUCUCUUUGAAAAUGACUUGUUUUUCUUCUUUUAGAUUCCACCAUCUAGUCCUUGGGCACUUCCAAGUCUUGUUCUUUUUUCUCACUCUUUUGAUAUGUACAUCCAUCACCAACAAGCGAUGUUGAUUAGCCACGCUCUCUCCUGGUAUAACUUUGCAAUCCUUACAAGUUAUACGAUCCCCUUUCCUCAUUAGAAGAAAAUCUAUUUGUGUUUUUGACGACCCACUCUUGUAGGUGAUCACAUGUUCUUCUCUCUUCUUAAAGAAGGUGUUGGCUAAGAAGAGAUCAUAUGCCAUUGCAAAAUCCAAGAUAGUUUCCCCAUCCUCGUUUCUCUCCCCAAAACCAUGGCCACCAUGAAAACCUCCAUAGUUGCCUGUCUCCCUGCCCACGUGUCCAUUUAAAUCUCCUCCUAUAAAUAACUUCUCCGUCUGAGCAAUUCCUUGCACCAAGUCUCCAAGAUCUUCCCAAAAUUUCUCAUUCGAACUCGUAUCCAACCCUACUUGAGGUGCGUACGCACUAAUCACAUUGAUAAGUUCUUGUCCUAUUACAAUCUUGAUUGCCAUGAUUCUAUCUCCUACCCUCUUGACAUCUACAACAUCUUGUAUCAAGGUCUUGUCCACAAUGAUGCCAACACCGUUUCUCGUUCUAUUUGUGCCCGAAUACCAUAGUUUAAACCCUGAGUUUUCUAGAUCCUUUGCCUUACGACCAACCCACUUAGUUUCUUGUAGGCACAUAAUAUUUAUCCUUCUCCUCACCAUAACUUCUACUACUUCCAUAGAUUUUCCCGUCAAGGUUCCUAUAUUCCACGUUCCUAAACGCAUUUUGCUCUCUUGAACUCUACCCUUUUGUCCUAGCUUCUUCACCCUUCCCCGUCUAAUAGGAUCAAAGUACUUCUUUUGUGUGUCCCGUGUAAAGUUGAUAGGAGCAUAUGCUCCCAAACAACUUUGAGUGGAGUCGUUCGAAAAGAAGUUUCUAUAGCCCCCUUGCUCAUUUAACACUGCAUCCGGGUGCCGAUGGAGAUACAGCGACCCUUGCUCACUUAUCACUGUGCUCGGGCCACACAGUGCGCCACUUACGGGUGACGCCCUAGCUUUAGCGCGAUUUCGUUCUGGAUUCAUUUUCAUAAGGAUUCGACGUGAUCAUGGAGUGCCGGCUGUCGACUACCUGACGCCCUCCCCCUCCUCCUUUAUCCGGGCUUGGGACCGGCAAUGUAAGAUAAACUUACACGGCGGAGUUCAAUGAUAUUCCUAAAGGAAAUAAAAUUGUUUGCUUUGCUGAGGUGCUUCUGUUUAGAUUAAUCAAUGCUAUAGUGCAUUUUGAAACCUAAGUUAUGGAUCUAUUAGUUUCAAUUUAAACACAUCUAGAAACUUAGAUAUACAUUUAUUAGCUCACAUUUAUAUACUGCUGGAAAGUUAAAGAUCUGCUGAUGAUACUAAAUUUAACUUUGGUAGUUUUUCAAACAUAAUUACCCAUACAAUUUCUAAUCCCGCAGCAACGUGCGGGCAUCACUUUCUAGUUUAAUCUGUAUUUCAGAAUUAGUGGUCUUCUUGAUGUUUAACUGUAGCGAAAUGGUUCUUGAAAUUGUGUUUUGGAAUUAGUGAUCUUGAUUCAGAACAAAAGGACUAAUUUCCUUCCUACAUUCCACACCCGAGAUGGAGAGUUCUAAUUUUUAUUUGAAUUGCAUGUUACCUAGAUGAAAAAUUGAAGAAGUUUAUGAAUGUCGUAAAUCAGGAAAUACGUUGGAAGUUAUGCUGAUGAAAAUUCUAACUUUUAUUUAAAUUGAAAGGAACCCAUAUCGAAAGUACGAAUUUUUACUACAUUUUUUUAUUUUAUUUUAAAUUUUGUUCGCUCUGCUUUCAUGGUGUUUUGCGUUUAAUUUGAUCUUUGCAGGCACUGCGUUUGCUUAUCGGUAGACCAGUAGUGGGAAGACUUUUACGAUGAAUGGUUCCGAAACAGAUCCGGGUAUCAUUCAUUGAGCCGUUAGAGAUGUUUUUGACAGAACUCAGAUGGUAAUAAGCUAUUUAUGCUUUCUUAAUUUCAAAUUUGUUGCUUGCUUAUUGAAUUUGAUGCUUAAUGUUUUCAAUUGGAUGCUAUUUAUGUUUCCAGAUGUCACUGAUUCGAGUAUCCUACAUGGAAUUGUACAAUGAGGAAAUUAACGACUUUUUUGCAGUAGAGAAUCAGAAAUUGCAAAUUCAUGAGAAUUUGGAGGUUGGCUACUUACCCUUUUGACAAAUUUAGUUACUUCUUUUAAGUGAACUGAAUUUACUGAAUUUUUUCAUGUUCGGCAUGGCAUUUUUGUUGCUGGCCUCGGGGAGGAAAUUGUCAGUGAUGCUGAACAAGUGUUAAAGCUCAUUGAAUCCGGAGAAGGUUUGCACUUUGAAACCAAAAUGUAAUUAGGAAUUUAAUUAAACCGGCCCUAUGCAAUUGCCAGUUGCACUGAAUAUCAUCAGGUAUGAAGGAAUAAGUGUGUGUGUGUGUGUGUGUGUGUUUGAUUCUACUUAUCAAUAUAUCAAUAGUAAAUAUAGUGUGUUUCUGCAAGUCAGCAAUGUGAGACUCCUUCAUUGUUGUUGAUUGCGUUGAGAUGAACAAGCUUGAGGGUGCAUGCUUUAGUUUAAUAAAUUGGCUAAGCUGCUUAUGCUAUUCAUUGCCGAUUAUGUAUUACCAAUUAACUCAUAGUUUGUAGGAAUUAACUUGAGAUCUUUCUGAUAACGAUUAUUUCCUACCACCUGACCACAUAGAAACAAGAUUGCAUGCGUGCUAUUGUUUUUACACCCAUAUACUUAUUUGCAGAGUUUUGUUGCCAUAAGUGGAGGAUGUUAGUGAAAUUGAUGAACUAAUAAGCUUCAUGUUAGGAGCUUUGUCGAUUAUUCGCUAAAAAACUGAAUUAUGUUUGUGUCGGGAUCAUCGAAGGUUUUCUUCGAAUAUUCUACAAUAACGAUGUUGAUAUAAUGGAAGCUCAAAUUUGUCAGGUGAUACAUACAUGCAUACAAUUUUAUACUUAAAACUGUAUAUUUACUUUCAGAUUUCGAACAAGAAGAUUAGAGUCCGGAUGUGCAGAAUUUGGAGGCCCAAAUUUAUUGGAUCUGAUGAUCAGUUUGAUGAUUUGCAAUGCAUAUUAGUUGAUGAAAUGGUAAGGGAAUCGUUCCAUUAUACUAUCUCCAUUAAGUUAUAAUAUAUCAUUCGCGUACAAUUCAGUGCAACUCAAAUAAUGUCUCGGUGAUGAAAUUGGAGUCUAUGUUUGUCUAAUUUUUGAAGCUGUGCUGAAAUCCAGAGGUUUAUUUGACUGUCUAUAUAUUUGAUUCGAGCACGGGUUCUGCCAUGGUUUUGCAUUCAGUGUGUAUCCCAUCUGGAAAAAAGGAGAGGUGAGAUUCGUGAUACCGUUUUCGUUUGGGUAAACUUAGUUUUCAUUUUUUGUGGUGUCUAUAGGGAGAUUUGUUUUCUGUCUUAAUUUUUGAUUGGGAUGUUUUUGGCAAUUUGUAGUUUCGGAUUCGUUUAUGUUUCGUGCUUUUGUGUAACUAAACUAGGGUUUAUUAAAUUCAAUCACUUCCUUUUAUGCUCCUGCUUUGUUACGGUACAACUGAUGAUGGUUUGUUUCUUUGAUUGUAAAUUUCAGAAGAGCAACUUUUUAUGGGGUCUGCUGCUGUGACUGUUUCUAAGAUUCUGUGAAUAUUUGGUUUCUGGAAUAUGAUUAAUUUUCUUCUCCUUCCACGCUUGCUUUCUAUGAUAUACAAUGUGCCCUUUUUUUUUUAGAUAAACAACCUUUUCAUUAUCUUGCAUGCUUUGGCAACAAAGAUUAAUAAAACUUCACGUCUAUUAUAGAGAGAGAUAGAUGUAGGGAGACGUUGGAAUUGGAGAGAGAGAGAGAGGGUGAGGGAGGGAUGGGGUUGCUUUCUAAAGAUUUGUUUGGAAUUGUUUCUCCAGUUCUUUCUAUUUGUUUGGGAUUGUUUCCUUUUUACUGAAUUAUUUCGGUCCCUGCUACUAAAGUCUAAUUUCUGCUAUUAAUUGAUGCUGAAAUGUGACUUUUGCUAUUAAUUUUUUUACCUUUCAUGUUUAUGCUGCUUUUGGAUUCCAUUCGAAUUAAAUAAUGUAGUUAAUCUUGAUAUGAAUUCUCUGCAACAAUAAUUAGGGACUUUAGUUUAAAUUAUCACUAAUUUGUUCUUGAUUUGGCAUUGAAUCUGGUUCUGGGUCUUCCAAUUCCAGCGAGCUGUUUCCGUACAAAUGUCGGUGCACCGUGUACCGUGCCGUCGACCACAAUCCUCUCUGUUUUAUCUCCAGUGUUCCAGCCAUUUAAGGUAAGCAAUUUCAUAUUUAAUAAAACAAAUUAGGGAUCACUAGCUUUUGAUUAGGUUUCAAAUUAUGAUUUACAAAUUGGGGAUUUGGAGAUUAAUUUUUAUUAGGGUUUUAAUUUUGAGAAAUGAAUAGGUAGGUAGGAGAUAAAUUUGAUUGCAUCAGAAUUUGGGAUUGUUGAUGUGUGUUUUUUUGUUAUUCUGUUAAUAAGUCAGAGAAAAUAUAAUGGCUGAGAUCCACUACUACAAUAUAGGCUAUCACCGGCGGACCAAAAACCGACAAGAAACCAGAUUUCUGUCGAAAAUUUGGCAAAAAUCCGACAUAAAACACUGCAAUGUCAGAUUGGAAUAGCGACGCCAUUGCUACCGUCACUAAAGGGCUUCAGUGUCGCUUUGUUCGCUUAGUCCGCCACUAAGCAGCGUCGGUUUAAAGCGACGUUAGAUAACAAUUAAAUAAAUAAAAUAUGCAAACUAGUGACGGUUUAAAGCGACGUUAGAGAACAAUUAAAUAAAUAAAAGCGACGUUAGAGAACAAUUAAAUAAAUAAAAUAUGCAAACUAGUGACGGUUUAAAGCGACGUUAGAGAACAAUUAAAUAAAUAAAAUAUGCAAACUAGUGACGGUUUAAAGCGACACCACCUUUGAUAAUAAUAAUAUAAAAAAAGUCGAAAUCUGUUUCUGUAUUCGUUCUCAAAUAAUUAUAACUCAAAAAAAUUAUAUAAUCGAAAUAAUAAAUUUCAAUUUUAGGCCAAAACAAACAAUAAUAAAAAUAAUUCAAAAGAAAAAUAGUGCCAUAAUAUACAAAUGUUUUACAUCUAACAUUCCAUAUAAUUUACAAAAAUUCAUCCUCCACAUUUAUUUAAAAUUAGAUACAAUUCUUCAAAAUGGACAAUACAUUCAAAUUCUUGCCACUACGGAAGCAGAGAUUGUAGACAACCCAACUGCGGAAUCGGCCUGAAAUUCAAAAAUAUCGGAAAAAAAUGUCAAGAGCUUUGCUUAUUUGAGGAAAAACCCAAUUGAGAAAACGACCUGAAAUCCAAAAAUUCGACAAUGACCAAUUGAAAAUUUCCCAAAAGACUGAGAAUUUUACAGGCUUGAAGGGCUUUGCGUACCUUGAGAGAUUGAUUGACAGGCGGGUGGAGGGGAGAGAAGACAUGGGAGUGGCCUUGAACGCUGGUUUGUUGACGGCAGAUUUGAGAAGAGAGAAAGCCGGCUUCGAGAAAGAUCUGCAGCGAGAGGCCAUUGGAGCACUGGGCGGAGAAAUAGCGGAGUUAGGGUUUUGGGGUUAACAGUCACAGCAGUUGGAAGUUGGAGAGGCAGGGGUAUGGCUGAAAUGGAGGAAAGAGUAAGGCUGACAUGGGAGAAAGAGAAGGAGAAGGAGUAAACCAGAGGAGAAAUAUAAGAGUGAAAUGGAAGUGCAGAAGUACUGGGAAAGACGAGGUUUAAAUAUGGAUAAAAACUUAGUGUCGGUUAAUACCGACAGUAGCUACAACUUGUGUUGAACAAUGAACACCCUACGUUGGUCAAAACCGACGUAAUAUCUGACAAAUGAUAAAAUUUGCUUGCGUCGAAAUAUGAUGACUUUGCGUCGGUUCAAACCGACACUAGGUCUGACACACUUUUGACUGAAAGGUCUGACAUUUUUUUUACUGACAGGGUUGAAUCGGAUAAAACCGACGUUAGCUUGAUAGAUUUGUGUAGCGUCGAAAUAAUGAGAGUUUGCGUCGGUUAAAACUGACGCCAACUCUGACACAGUCUGCAAGAGCUCGUCCAACCCAUUUCCCCGUGCAAAAAAAAAACCGGGAAAAUUCUUUAAAUUUGAAUUUUUUAAAUUUGAAUCUUCAAAUACCUUUAUCUACCCGUUUUCUAAUUAAAAACACAUUAUUACUAAUCUUACCAAUUUAUCAAAAAAUCAAAAGAAACAUUGCCAGAGGUAGAUAAAAAAUAAAUAAAAAAUUUGUGAUGUAGGUAGAAUUUAUGAUAGAGGUAGACUAUGAACAAAAACCUAUUGUAUAGAUACAUAAUACAAAAUAAUUUGUGAUACAUAUAGACUAUGAACAAAAACAUAUUGUAUAGGUAGAUAACACAAUUAAUUUGUGAUAAAUAGGUAGAUAACACAAUUAAUCUUAGAUAGAUUAUCAACAAAAUAUGUUUUAUAUAUAGGUAGAUAAAUACAAUUAUUCAUGAUACAUGCACACAGUAUAAUAUAAAAAGAUUUAAAAAAUGACCAGUGAUAUAGGUAGAUACAAACAAAACAAAAAAUCGUGAAGAAAAAUGAUAUUGAGGGAGGAAACACUAGAGAAAAUGCUAAUUCGAUAGAACUUCAAAGUUCAAAAAAAUAUAAAAAGGAGAAUGAAGCCAAAAAAAAAAUGAGACGAAGAACCCAAAACACAAGAUUGACUAAUGCAAUUUCUUUAAAAAAAAUAAAAUAAAAAAACCAAUCAAAUGUAUAUUGAUCAUCCUUAUGGAAGGAGGAGGAGAAGAAAAAUAUUAUGGAAGAACAUUACUGGGCAAAGAAAAAUAUUAUGGAAGAACAUUACUGGGCAAAAUAACGCAGGAAGAGAAAGAUAUUGUGAGGAAGAAACAAGAAAGAGAAUUAAAAAAGAAAAGAGAAUGAACGGUUUGGGGAAGAAGAAGAAAAAAAGGAGAUUUAAAUCCCUAAUCCUAUAAUUAAGGAUAAGAUUAACAUUAAUCACAAACUUAAAAAACAGUAAUUACUUCAUUGGUCAAUUUAAGGGUAAAUUUGGCAAGAGAAUACAAAUAAGCUUAUGUGGACAAUGAAUCACUAGACCUAACCCAAAAAUUAAACAAAAUUGGAUUAUAACUAAUAAUAGCUCAUAAAAUUGGACUAAUAUUAAGUUUCUCCUAAAAUAUAAUCAGUUAUUUUAUCUUAUAUAAGAGCCUAAUAAAAAAAUAAUACAUACACUACUAAUCUAUGUCAAGGAGUGUAGCUGUAAAAAAUCAUUAAAAUCGGAGUUAAAAUAACCGUUAAAUCAUGAUUUUUCGUUUAUAACCGUCGAAAAGCUUUGUCCCGUUACUUGAUCUCUGAAUGUUUGUUUUUUGUGAUUUUUUGCUGAUGUGAUCUUGAAGCAUAUGCAAACAAGUUUGACGGUUGGGAUCGUUGAAAUUUGUUUCGGAGAAUUCGUAUCCCAUCAAAACAAUAGAUUGACUAACACUUAGAGUUUAUUUAUACUUUUAUUAAGUAUAACAUAAAAUUAUGUGGUAUCCACUUGUGUAAAUAUUUUAAAUUGAAGAUCGAAUUCAUUCAUUGUAUUCAUAUAGGGUCAAGGAGUGUAGCUGUAAAAAAUUAUCAAAAUCGGAGUUAAAAUAACCGUUAAAUCGUGAUUUUUUGUUUAUAACUGUCGAAAGCUUUGUCCUGUUACUUGAUCUCUGAAUGUUUGUUUUUUUUUAUUUUUUGCUGAUGUGAUCUCGAAGCAUAUGCAAACAAGUUUGACGGUUGGGAUCAUUGAAAUUAGUUUCGGAGAAUUCGUAUCCCAUCAAAACAAUAGAUUGACUAACACUUAGAGUUUAUUUAUACUUUCAUUAAGUAUAACAUAAGAUUUUGUGGUAUCCACUUGUGUAAAUAUUUUAAUUUGAAGAUCGAAUUCAUUCAUUGUAUUCAUAUAGGGUCAAGGAGUGUAGCUGUAAAAAAUCAUCAAAAUCGGAGUUAAAAUAACCGUUAAAUCGUGAUUUUUCGUUUAUAAUCGUCGAAAAGCUUUGUCCCGUUACUUGAUCUCUGAAUGUUUGUUUUUUGUGAUUUUUUGCUGAUGUAAUCUCGAAGCAUAUGCAAACAAGUUUGACGGUUGGGAUCGUUGAAAUUAGUUUCGGAGAAUUCGUAUCCCAUCAAAACAAUAGAUUGACUAACACUUAGAGUUUAUUUAUACUUUCAUUAAGUAUAACAUAAGAUUUUGUGGUAUCCACUUGUGUAAAUAUUUUAAUUUGAAGAUCGAAUUCAUUCAUUGUAUUCAUAUACGGUCAAGGAGUAGCUGUAAAAAAUCAUCAAAAUCGGAGUUAAAAUAAUCGUUAAAUCGUGAUUUUUCAUUUAUAACCGUCGAAAAGCUUUGUCCCGUUACUUGAUCUCUGAAUGUUUGUUUUUUGUGAUUUUUUGCUGAUGUAAUCUCGAAGCAUAUGCAAACAAGUUUGACGGUUGGGAUCGUUGAAAUUAGUUUCGGAGAAUUUGUAUCCCAUCAAAACAAUAGAUUGACUAACACUUAGAGUUUAUUUAUACUUUCAUUAAGUAUAAUAUAAGAUUUUGUGGUAUCCACUUGUGUAAAUAUUUUAAUUUGAAGAUCGAAUUCAUGCAUCGUAUUCAUAUAGGGUCAAGGAGUGUAGCUGUAAAAAAUCAUCAAAAUCGGAGUUAAAAUAACCGUUAAAUCGUGAUUUUUCGUUUAUAACCGUUGAAAAGCUUUGUCCCGUUACUUGAUCUCUGAAUGUUUGUUUUUUGUGAUUUUUUGCUGAUGUGAUCUCGAAGCAUAUGCAAACAAGUUUGACAGUUGGGAUCGUUGAAAUUUGUUUCGGAGAAUUCGUAUCCCAUCAAAACAAUAGAUUGACUAACACUUAGAGUUUAUUUAUACUUUCAUUAAGUAUAACAUAAGAUUUUGUGGUAUCCACUUGUGUAAAUAUUUUAAUUUGAAGAUCGAAUUCAUGCAUCGUAUUCAUAUAGGGUCAAGGAGUGUAGCUGUAAAAAAAAUCAUCAAAAUCGGAGUUAAAAUAACCGUUAAAUCGUGAUUUUUCGUUUAUAACCGUUGAAAAGCUUUGUUGCGUUACUUGAUCUCUGAAUGUUUGUUUUUUGUGAUUUUUUGCUGAUGUGAUCUCGAAGCAUAUGCAAACAAGUUUGACGGUUGGGAUCGUUGAAAUUUGUUUCGGAGAAUUCGUAUCCCAUCAAAACAAUAGAUUGACUAACAAUUAGAGUUUAUUUAUACUUUCAUUAAGUAUAACAUAAGAUUUUUUGGUAUCCACUUAUGUAAAUAUUUUAAUUUGAAGAUCUAAUCCAUUCAUUGUAUUCAUAUAGGGUCAAGGAGUGUAGCUGUAAAAAAUCAUCAAAAUCGGAGUUAAAAUAACCGUUAAAUCGUGAUUUUUUGUUUAUAACUGUCGAAAUUAGUCUCAUAGAAUUCGUAUUCAAUCAAGUUCAAUGGUGUGUGUGUGUAUAUAUAUAUAUAUAUUAAGUAGAUUUAAAUUUAUUUAUUUUUUAUGUAUAACACUUAAGAAAUUGAAUCGUAUGUAUAUUUAAGCCAAUCCAAUGAUCACCAAUUUUUUAAAAUUUAAUUUAAUAUAUAUAUAUAUAUAUAUUUAUAUAAUUAUUAUAGUUUUUAGGGAUAUAAAAUUUAAUUUAAUAUAUAUAUAUAUAUAAUUUAUGUUGCUUAAAAGCGACACUAGUAUUUAAAAAAUACUUUAUGUCGCUUAAAAGCGACACUAGUAUUUAAAAAUUAUUAAAAUAAUGUUUACGUCGGUUUAAAAGCGACACUAGUAUUUAAAAAUUAUUAAAAUGUAUGUUUACGUCAGUUUAAAAGCGACAUAAACAUUUUAUGACGCUUAUAAGCGACAGUAAAUCCGACGUCAUGUUCAAUUAGUGUCACAACUGCCUAAUCCGCCACUAUAUUAGAUUAAAGCGACACCACCCUCCGACACUAUAACCCCCUUUUGUAGUAGUGAUCGGUGGUGAGCAAGGCAGUGGAGGUUGGCAACAAGAAUAACCUCACCUUCACCGUCAGGAACUACGCCGACUUCGUCAUCCAGCAUGCCGGCCAAGCCGUCGCUGACGGAGCUAAAUGGUUCCAGGGCCGAAUAAUAAUUUCACAAUUUCCACCAUUUUUCACAUUUUCUGCCAUUUUUUCUCAUUCACAUUUGUUUACAGGGAGGUCGGAGCUUUAGGAGUGUGAAGAAUAGUAUACAGAGAUGGGAGGAAGCAGCUGUUUCCUGUAGGUAAUUUUUGCUCUGACUUAUUUAGAUUUUAUAUUCUGGGUUAAUUAUCAACCGGAUUUUGUUACUAGAUUUAGAAUUGUAAUUUGGUACCACUUCUGCCACAUGCCGCUUCAGUUUUCACAUCCUAAUGCCACGAAAUGCUAAUUUUAAACUCUAGGUUAUGGGUAAGGAUUAGUAUUUGGAGGCACAAAUUCUUCUCAGCUGCUAAACCAAGUUCAAAAUCAUUUUGCGCGUGGUUUACAUUAGGCUAUUCAAGCCCUAUUUUAAAUGUAUGAUUGGUUUAUGUGAAAUGAAAGAGAGUUAGAAUACCUUGUGAGAUGACUGAUUCGAGAACCCAUUUUAAAUAAAACGUAUCAAAAGUGUUGAGCUGAGAGCGAAGAGAUUCUUUGCAUGGAAAACAGAUUUCACUUUGUUUUCUUUACUCAAAGUGCUCUUAUUUAAUCUGGUUCUGUUUCGGUUGCAUAGUAUGUGGUUCGCAGCGACUAAGAAUCGUUUCCUAAGAAAUCUAUUGAGCUAAGUUCUUUUUGGUAGGAAAUUAGGGUUGCUGAUGUUAGCAAUGGAUUGAGUCUUUCUGUUUGGUAUGAUUAUAUCUCUGAACAAGCAUUAAUAAAUAGAACGAUUUCCAUCAAUAAUUUUAUUCGGUCAAGAUUCAAACUCCCAUUGUAGAUCAAACUAUAAGUCAAACUCCCAUUGCAGAUCAAACUAUAAGUCAAACUCCCAUUGCAGAGCAAACUAUAAGUCAAACCCCAUUUCAGAACAAACUGGGAACGAGGAGGCGCAAUAGGGUAUGGCUAUUUCCGGGCCGUCGUUCAUUUUGAGAUUCUGGUAACAUCUAUAUAAGCUAGCUUAUUUUUAGACCAUUGUUUAGGUGUACAUAAUUGUUUAAUGGCUUUGUACUUUUCCUUUUUGUCAGCUAUAGAUGUUCUAAAAGAUACACAUACCCCUCCACGGAGAAUCAAGUUCAUUAGUUUACAUUAUAUAUCAUUUUUAUGAUGUAAGAAACCACAACCAUCUAAAAGUUUUAGUGAAGUUGUAUUUUAAAGUCAGGUUGGUAGGACAUGUUGCUAUAUAUAUUUUCAAAAAGUUUUCAACUUCGAAUUUUGUGAUGUGUGAUUAUAGAGCAAGGAGAAUGUGACCCCGAUUAGCUCGAAGCUUGCGGUAAACUUUCUUUUUGUUCAGGGUUACGAGAAUUCUUACAAUAAGAACUAGAACAACUCAGAUUUUAAUUUUCGGUUUAAAGCUGUUUUUAAUUUGGUCCGCCAUGUUUGUUUGUUAUUAGGAACCUAGAAGAGUCUUGAAUUCAGUUUUCAAACUCUGACUGAAAAUGGAACUUGGUGCUAUUAAGCUAUCAUCCUCAGCCAGGUAGCGCCAUGACUUUUACAUUGCUGCUUUCAUUUUAUGUACUAAUUAUUGUUCUAUGAAUUGUAUUCUUCAGUUAAAUAAUGAUUCAUCCUCCUUUUCCCAUCUCCUUGGUUUUUUCGUUUAGAUUUUUCUGUUUGCGUAUUAUAAUUUUUUUGGGUAUUGGUUACUGUGCACUUAUUAGGUAAGUCAAUUCUCAUGUGAUUUGUACAUUCACAUUCCUGGGUGUAUAAUUUAUAAUAUGUGAACAUAUUAUAGUAACUAAGUUUAAUCCCUGAAUUUAUUAUUUAACUGGGAUGUAGAUUUCAUAAUUGAAAUUAUGUUAAAUGUGAAUUGUUAGUGAUUACACUUCACUCAAUUAUAUCAAUCCUCUUCAAUAUGUAGAUGUAAGUUCGUUAUUAGUGCCAUUAAGGGUUGAUUAAUCCUCAUAUGCGUAGCAAUAAUUAUUAGUGCCAUGUAGUGUUGGUACUUAUAUAAACGCAUUUUAAACGAAUGUUAGUAUAUUCUUAGGGAUGUUAACAACACUACUCUCUAGUUUAGCCAGGUACCUACUUUGGUUUUUUCGUUCCCUCAUCAUAUGCUUUGCACAAUCGUAACUAUGAGCUAAAUACUAAUGGGUGAAUAAUGAAUGUUCUGCUGAGUAGUAUGUUAUUACCAAUCUUGGUAGAUUUACAAAGCAUAUGAGAGAAUUCGUCAGUAGAGUUAAUCAUCUGUAACAAUAAAUGUUAAUUAUUCAAGCUUGAUUUCUUGGCAAUGGCUUCCUUCGUUAGCGUCUACAACUACGUCUCUCUUCACUUUCCCACUUCCUCCGGUCUCUCUUUCUCUUUCUAAUCUCUACUGAGUUUCUUUCAAUCUGUCAAUUUAUAUAAUUUAUUCUUUGAUGUGAUAUUUGGUGCGUUUGAUUUGGUUUUGUGAAUGUCUUCCUGACUUUUCUUCUUUGGAUUCAAAUAAUAAGUUCAAUGGUUAUAUACAUAACAGAAUAGUGAUUUGCGAACAAGGCAAUUCAAAGCUUGAAAAUUUGUAUAUCAUGCUAAGCUGACUACCUUUUUUCCCCACUUUUUCGACUUUGAGGAAUUGCAGUAUUUUAGCCCAACUUGCUAAAAUUUUUGUUUAUUUUUAAAUGAAUUCUAUAUGAAUUUACUUGGAAAUGUUAUAUGAAUUUUGUAUAAACUUGAAUAAAACUUAUAUCUGCAGGUUGAAUGUGUCCUUUGCCAACUAUUUUUUGGUAUAAGAAAAAGAUUACAUUAUACACACACAAUGCAAUGUGUUACCUAUCUGUUUAUAUACAUGUUAUAUUAAUACAUAUAAUGUUACAUGUUAAACAAAGCAAUAGAUGCCAAGCCAAAAGUGAGAAUGGGAACGAAGAAUCCAUGUCAAAAUCUCGCAUUUGUUCAAAGUGGUCUUGAUGGAACAUGGAAUCCAUAUCACCAAGUGUACUAAUUCAAGGUUCAUUGUUUAAUUCUUAAAUUAAAAUUAAUUUUGUCUUGACUCCAGUUUCUUCAUGCCUUUCUUAACUUCACAUGCAUAGUUGAUAAAGAGCUUCAGGAGGGUCAUUACUAAACAUCUACAAAUUUGUUAAGCCUAAGGCUUCCAGUUAUCAAACUACAGGUAACUACGGAUUAGUAGAUGUUUAGUAAUGACCCUUCUGAAAUUAUGGGUAUAUUAUCGAUAGUAUUGAUCAAUCGAGUAUGCAUGAGAACUUAAGUAAUCAUUGCCAUAAAAAGUAGAAGUGAUGACUCACACCAGGAAUCAGUUAUCUCAUCAACAACUUUAUUUUUAUCUAAGAUCGAGUUUGAUACCUGUAGGUGUAUAUAGGUUAAAUCGAUUGUUAAGAUGGAAAUUUAAUCACUUUUCAAUGUCCGAUAUCUCCAUCUCCCUGUUCUAGAUUUUUACUUACUUGAAAUGAAUAGAUUCGAGGUGUUUCAUUUAGCAAAAUGAGCAGUGGAUAGUGCUAAUUUAAACCUAAAAGUGAAUAAAUUUAAACCUAAAAGUGCCUAAAUAUAAGAGUGCGCAUGUGAGCAGAAUUGAACCCAAUUCACACGUGAUGCAGAGCACAAGUAAAGUGCAGUAGAGGUAGGAUAGUAAAGGUAAUCACCUAUACCAAAAUUUGCCAAGAAUCCUCGUCGACAUGAAAGCUCAGCUAUUAAAACUUGGAGGGGCGAAAAACAAAGGUGAGUGGGCUUAAAAAUAAAGCUUUGUAAAAACUUUUUCGAAAACAUAACAACCCCUUACUGUAAAACAAGUAUAGUUUCUAAAAUAUACAUACUACGUAUAGUAUGAAAAUACUUACCGUAGCCUGCAAUAUCUCAAAAAUUCAAUAAGUCACAAUAUUUCUAUAAUAAACAUCUAACGUCCGGUAAUCACAUAAUCUCGCAUAAACAAAAGUACCAUAUCGAGUGCUCAUUGACAUAUGCUAACACACGAGUUCAUGCAGAGGUAUUAUAACAUGAAUAGGACUAGAUGUAAUAAUGAUUUACGUUCUAGUACUACAAUCACGUGAAAACCUGCGCUAUGCGCAUCACAUAUGAGUCCUAAUUGCCUAUAGCAAUCUAGGAUAGGACUGGCAGCUACAAUGGAUCCAAAGUGAGCGUACCGUGUGAUGUGAACAUACACGUGAAAGAUUGUCCCUGGCCUUGGGCAUGUACUAACAUCGAUGUAGCACACGAUGAGCAGAUAACAUAAAUAUAAUCAUGCCAUAGUGAUUCGAUAAUACUAGUCAACAUAAUGUUAUUCAUGACUGCAAAUAUAAUUAAAGCAUCCCGAAAUAGUACACAUAACUUUACAUAAUGAUUUCCUAAUUCUCAACAUUACGACAUUUCUUAUAAACGUUAAUUUAAUUAUGGAAAUCACAUAGAAACUUCGUUAUUAGAUGUAUAUAUGGAAAAUAAACAAAUACAUAUAUUAUAUAAAAGAACAGACCCACUAACAGAUACUUGUGAAGUCGUAGUUGUUCGAACAGAGAAGCCGGAGUCUCCGCUAGUAAUCGCACCUAAGCAUUAUAUUGGGACCCAUUAGUUAAACUCAAUUAAAACGAUUAAAUUUGAGAAAACGAAGUGUGAAUUUGGAAUCAGGGCGACGAAAUACGCUAAGAAGGGUCCCGAAAAUUUUUCGUAAAAUGUCAACGAAAAGUCAACCGAGACGCCGAGCCAGUCAACUAUGUUAAAUACGGUUGAUGUGAAAUAUUUCAACAGAAACUAUGAGGAGAAUUUAUAAGAUAGAUAUUUAAUAGACGACAUUGAUGUUUUAUGUUUCUGCGCUUCAAGUCCGCCAGCCCUUUUGCAUUUGUUGCCUAUUGCACAACUGAUGGAUGUUAAUAUUCAGUUUACAGGCAGUUCCUACAAAACCAGUUCCCUUGUAGUCUACGAUUCUCAUUCAUUCGCUCCGAUGAUUGGAACGAAAUGUUGUACAAAUUUCGUAGCUCUGGUUUUAGAAUUUUAGACAACUCUUGCUAUACACAUUACUCUUAAAUAUCUAAUUGUUGUACAAGUAUUCUUAGUUACUGAGGCAUAGGAAAGUUUCGAUUUCAUUUGAUUGAAAAAAGUGUCUCCAAUUAAUCGAAUGAAUAAGAAUCCUUUUAAAUGAACAUAGCUGCUUUCAUUCUAAUUUCAGAAUAUCCAAAUCCAUGACAACAUGCAGCACUCUACUAUCUUUAUUUACAUUACUUUCAUCUCCAUUUUUUUUGGUUAAAAAAACUCUACGGUACGAACAAACAUUAUUAUAACGUUAAACAGUACGAUAUAUAGAGUAUAGUCUUGAACUUCGACAACACAAUCAACUAAAAGCUAAAAAGAACAAAUACAUUCUUUCUUUUUAAAGAAACCUCGACGGCGAGGGAAAAUUUUAUUGAAUAGAAAAAAAAAGUUACACCUAGUCAGGGGGGGACAUAAACCUUACCCCUCAAUAUUUUAAACACAAACACAAAUACAUAACGUGAAACAAACUUAUAACUAAACAUAUAAAAAGAGAAGGAAAGAAACCACAACAGAGAAAACAAACAACAACAACAAAUGCAUAACAUUGUAACAAACUCAAUUUCUACGCCCCCACUAGUACUCUAAAUUUUCCUUAUAUAUCAUUUGUCUGAUCAUUCCAACAAUCUUAAGAAACAAGUCGGGCCUCCUUGUGAUCACAACAUCAGCAAGAACUAACCCCACGACCAACCCACUUCCACAUCCGGCCGAAACAAUUUUCCAACCAAAUUCAAAUAUUCCUGCUGAGCUAGAAUCACCUUCGUCUACGGUUGAAGGUGGACGUUGAGGGGCCGUAGAAUUUCCACAUUUCUUUGGCAAUGGAUCUCCACACAACCCUGGGUUUCCCUCAUAUGAAGUGAUAUUCAAUGAAGUAAGCUGGGUUCCUUGUGGUAUAGGACCUGUGAGAUUGUUGUGAGACACAUUGAAACUGCCAAGAAAAGUAAGUUGCUUUAGUUGUGGGGGGAUCUGUCCUGAGAGCAUGUUUUGCGAAAGGUCCAACGAUUCAAGGUUCAUCAAGUUUCCAAAGGAUGAUGGGAUAGAACCAGUGAGACUGUUGUGGGAAAGAUUCAGAGAAUGAAGCUCCUUAAGAUUCCCGAUGAAUUCUGGAAUCUUUCCUUCAAAUUUGUUGCUUGAUAUAUCAAAGGAUGCAAAUUCUUCUCGAAUCUUUGGAUAGUAUUGCUCCAAACCUUUCGUUGCUAUUGUGAGUGCGUAAUCACCUCUUCUAUCAAUCGUGAUCCCGCUGACAUCAUAAACUACGUCUGUAUACAUAUAGGCUGACUUGUUUAUAAUAAUAUCUGGAAAGAUAGAUGGAACCGCGCCAGUAAAAUUAUUGUAAGACAAAUCAAGAAUGCGUAACUUGGGGAAAUCGACAUUCAUUCUAGAUUUUCGAAUCACACCGUAGAAUCCAUUAUGGCGCAUUGCCAAAAGUUUUAACUCUAGAAGAGUCCCCAACCAAAUGGGAAAAACAUCAUUGAAUUGAUUGUUUGACAAAACAAGAUACUCAAGCCUCACACAAUUGACCAAUGACCUCGGCAAUUGCCCCUGCAAUUUGUUAUGACUCACGUCAAUCAUCCUCAAACUGUUUCCGUUGUUGUAUGUCUGAGGAAUAACUCCAUGAAAGGAGUUGUUUCCAAGAAGUAAAAGAAUCAGAUCAUCACUAAAGUUUCCGAGACAUUGAGGAAGCAUGCCACUCAACUUAUUUUUCGACAAGUCAAGCAACUGAAGAUUUUUCAUAUUGCAAAGCAAGGGUGAGAUUUCUCCAGUAAGGUUGUUGUCUGUAGCUGUAUAUUCUAGCAUGGUUGGUGGAGCUAUCGGUAGUGAUCCAUGAAACCUGUUGGACGAAAACUUGAAGCAUACCAUGUUCACCCAAGGAAGGACAGGUGGAAGUUGGUCUGAAAUGAAGUUUUGACUCAUGUCUAAGAAUACCAAAGUUUCUAUGCUUGUGUUCCACAUCCAUUUUGGUACUUGGCCCUGGAUUUUGUUUGCAGCAAUGUCGAAACGCGUCAACCCCUUUUGAUAUUGUAAGAAGGAUGGAAACUCACUUAUGUUGCAAGAACUCAAUCCAAGAAUGGUGAAUUGUUGAACUGUUGAAUUCACAAUUCUGGAUUCAGUGACAAAUUCUAAACUGUUCCAAUUGAAUGUGAGUUGGGAAAGAAAUUUUAGAUUUUGAAACAUUUGAAACUCCACUACACCACUCAGACUAUUCGAUGCUAGGUAAAGGAUCUGAAGGUUUGUGAGAUUUGAAAAUGACAAGGGAACUGAACCAUUUAAUCUAUUAUAAUUAAAAUCUAGGUACUCUAGUUUGCUAAAGUUUCCUAACCAAGAUGGGAUUGGACCAGUUAAUCGACUCGUACUAAUCCUAAAAGUAACCAGUUGGGUAAGGUUUGAGAAGGAAUCAGGAAUUGGACCUCCAAAUUUGUUGGCUGAAAUGUCUAGAUAAGUGAGCUUCCUAAGAUUCCCAAGUGAAGAUGGAACCAACCCUUCCGAAAAAUUGCAUUGAGCCACAUCCAACUUUUGCAGUGAAUCAA